rnacentral:lncRNA from 1 species
AAACAUGAUAUCAGUAUCAAACUUUUGAACAAAGAGUUCAGCAUCAAGUCUCAGUCAUCUGGAGAUUUGAAUGCCCAAAUAUAUUCACAUGCUCAUACAAUAACAUUUUAAAAAUGCAUUAUGCAAUAGAAACAGAACAUCAAACUGACAGAGAAAACAUGCUGAUGCAGAAAAUACUCAAGUCGUAGAAAGGAGAACGCAUGAAAGUCCACACAUUAAACCAAAAGAAACACAAAUGGGCAAGCAAACAUGCGCCCUUACUUCUGGAGGCUUGUACGAUAAUGGGCAAGCAACAUUGUUUUUUUGAGGUUCGCACAGUAAUGACUAAAUACACAACAUGACAUUACUCCUGUGCUGUCAACAAUUCUUCUAACUUCUUCAGCAAUGUGAAGCCAAUUUGUAUCCCAUUGCCAAUGGAACAGUUGGAAUUAUUUCCCACCAAAUCUAAAACAUAUUCGCAGCACCAACCUUGAAAUCAUGUAACAGUUAACCACCAUUCAACAUGAGAUUGUUCUGCUAGGAAAACAUGAUAUCAAACUUUUGAACAAAUAGUACAGCAUCAAGUCCAAAUAUAUUCACAGCUCAAAGACAUGAGUCUCCAUCUUCUUUCCACCCCAUAUUUCUGGUCCACUCUCUAUUAAUGCUUGAAUCUUCAGCUACUUCAGGUACCUGUAAACCAAUUCAAGCAUGGCAUGCUCAUUUAACUUGUAAUCUUAUUAUUGAGAGAAACAAGAAACAAACAUACUAAAAGAGAGGCAAGAAAUCAAGUCAAAUCAGCAGCACCUCUGAUUGAGCACUCAUUGAACCAUCUGGUGUAGUAGCAAAUUUUGUGGUCAGCUUUGGACAUUGAUGGACCUUCAACUUCUCCAAACGAGGGAAUAAGAAAUAAUCACACCAUCCGAAACUAAAACAGACAAUACUUGAUAAUUGUUCUAGCGACAACUCCUUUAGAUUAGGAAGCACUAUCUCCUUCUCAACGUUGAUAGGUGAAGCUUGACCAUCCUGCUCAGGAGACUCUGGAAUUAUUUCCCUUUCACCAUCCUCUUCUCUGAUAAUAUGCUUCAAUUGACCGCAUUUACUUAUGUAAAGUCUUUGUAGCUUUGGCAGACUUCGAGCGAGGGACGGUGUGAAGAUAAAUGUCAGUUUGUUGAGAGACUCCAAAUUCAGACGAUUAAGACUUUGGAGGCUGACAUGUCUAGAUUGUUGUAUUAAACUCAAUCCAUCCAGAAGGUCAAGGAAGGCAGCCACCAGCUGUCACCGCCCAGCCACCAACCGGCCAGCCGCCAGCCACCAGCUGUUUGCCGCCACAGCCGCCAGCCGCCUUCACACUUGAAGGUUGAAUUUUCUUGUUUUGAAUUCGUGUAUAAAUAGCAAGCUAAGCUUAUGUUAUUCUGUGUGGAGAGAGUAGAGAGAAACACUAGAGAGAAAGAGAGAGGGCGUGUAUUGUGUUAAGCUUUUGUGUUAAGUAAUUGUAAGCUUUUGUUCUUGAAAUAAAACAGUGUGUUUUAUCCCCUCCGAGUGUUUCAAAGCCACCACCAGUGGUUUCUCCCACCAACAAUUGGUAUCAGAGCCCCGUUCGUCAGAAAACAGAAGUGUUUUGGGAGAUAUCCGAAUUUUCAAAGUUGUCAAAAACAAGUUUUGAUCAUUCCAUUGUAUAGAGCUCAUCCAUACGAACUCACUGCCGCAAAAAUCAGCUCAAUCGGACACCGGGGUGAGCCACACGCGCCGCCUGAAGAUCCGGUGACUGUAGCCCAGUCUCACCCACGCGCGCCAGAGGAAGAAGACGAGUGACGUCCACGCGCGCCAUAUUUGAGCCGUUAAGCCGAGCCGAGCCGAGCUGCAAGCCAAGCCUCCAGCCGCGCCGAAGAAUAUUCCCAAGAAUAUUCCCUUUUCAAGCCGAGCCGCUAUUAGCCGAAGCCGAGCCGAUAGAAUAUUCCACAGAAUAUUCCCGGUUCAACCCAGCAAACCGCCCGACGCCCAGAAUUGGUUUUUUGACCGGUUCACCCAUUUUCUGACCUGAUUUCUACAAAGUCAAACCGGUUCCCGACUAUUUCGACCAUUCCGGAUCGAUCUACAAUGUCGGUUUUGCCAAAUUCAACUCCCAGAAGGAGAUAUAGUCAUUAAAAGAGCAAAAUGACUACAGAAAGUACACAAACACUCAUCCCGAAGCUGACCAAAGACAACUAUGAUAGUUGGUGCAUAAGAUUAAAGGCAUUUCUUGGUUCACAAGAGUGUUUGGAGAUUGUACACUAUGGUUAUGAUGAACCAGAGUCUAAAGAAGAAGAAGAUGCUUUACAAGAGGCACAGAAGCAAGCCCUGAAAGUCAACAGAAAGAAGGACAACAAAGCAAAGACCAUCAUCUACCAAGGUCUUGAUGAAGAUACAUUCGAGAUCAUAGCUUCCGCUGAAACAUCAAAAGACAUAUGGGAGGCUCUCCAACAAAAAUACAAAGGUGCUGACAGAAUCAAGAAGAUUCGUCUUCAAUCUUUGCGAGGUGAAUUUGAGUUAUUGCAAAUGAAGUCCUCAGAAUCUAUUUCUGAUUAUCACACAAGGAUUAUGGUGAUAGUCAAUCAGAUGAGGAGAAAUGGAGAAGCCAUCAUAGAUUCUCGAAUUACUGAGAAAAUUUUGAGAUCCCUAGAUCCAAAAUUUGAUUUUGUUGUUGUCGCUAUUGAAGAGUCCAAGGAAGUGGACAAGUUGACAGUUGAUGAGCUUAUGAGUUCUUUGCAAGCUCAUGAGCAGAAGAUUGUAAAGCGAAAUGGAGAUAAGGCCAUCGAGCAUGCCUUACAAGCAAAGAUGUCUCUCAAGGACAGAUAUGAGCAAGGGGAGACUUCAACAAGUGGAUAUACCACUCAAGCAGGAAGUCAACAAUCCAGAGGAGGAUUCCAGAGAUUCCAAGGAAGAGGUUCUUGGAAUACAAGCUUUAGAGGAAGAGGUGGUAGAAACACCACCAGAGGAGGUAGAGGACAGCAAGCAUUCACUCCUAGAGGAAGAGGAGGCGGUUACAAUAACCGUGACAAGAGGAAUAUCCAAUGUUAUAGUUGCAAUCAAUUUGGGCACUAUAGCACUGAAUGCAGAAGGAAAGCUCCGUUGGAGAUACGUGAGCAAGCCAACUAUGCAGAGAAGGAUGACAUAGAAGCUGCAUUUCUUGUCCAACAAGAACUUGGCGAGAAACAGGAAAAUAUAUGGUAUCUAGAUACUGGAGCCAGCAAUCACAUGUGUGGCUACCGAGAGUUAUUUAGUGAUCUAGAUGAGACCAAGCAAGGUCUAGUUACUUUUGGAGAUACCUCAAAGGUUCCAUUCAAAGGUAAAGGCAGCAUCCCAAUCAAGUUGAAGAACGGCGAUUCCAGCUACAUCGCCAAUGUUUAUUAUGUCCCAGCCAUAAAGCAGAACCUGAUCAGCUUAGGUCAACUUUUGGAGAGAGGAUAUACUUUUUACUCGAAGAAUUGCCAUCUGACAAUUAGAGACAACAAUUGGAGAUUAAUGGCCUAUGUGAAAAUGUCCAAGAAUAGGAUGUUUCCUUUGAACAUCCAGUAUGAUGCAGCAAGGUGUUUGAGUGCCAUCACCAACAGUGAAGAAUGGCUCUGGCACCUGAGGCUUGGACAUCUGAAUUUCACGAGCUUGAAGAUGCUAGCAAGCAAGAAGAUGGUCAAAGGUAUGCCUCACAUUGAUCAUCCAGAUGAAGUCUGUGAGAGUUGUGUCCUCAGCAAACAUCACAGAUCCAGUUUUGCCAAAGAAGUCAACUGGAAAGCAAAGAGGCCACUGGAGUUAGUACACACAGAUGUGUGUGGCCCAAUAACGCCUAUGUCGACUGGACAGAAUAGGUACUUCCUCACUUUUAUUGAUGAUUUUAGUAGAAAGACGUGGAUAUACUUUCUGAAGAGGAAGUCAGAAGUAUUCAAUUGUUUUAAAGAUUUUAAAGCAAUUGUGGAGAAGCAAAGUGGUUACAUGAUCAGAACAGUGAGAUCUGAUCAAGGUGGAGAAUAUACAGCAAAUGACUUUGAAGCCUUCUGUACACAACAAGGCAUCAGACAUCAAACAACGCCUGCUUAUACACCACAGCUGAAUGGUGUAGCUGAAAGGAAGAAUCGCACGAUUCUUGACAUGGCAAGAAGUCUGCUCAAAGCAAAGAAGUUGCCCAAGCAAUACUGGGCUGAAGCUGUAUCAUGUGCAGUGUAUCUACUGAAUCGCUGCCCAAACAGAAGUUUGCAAGGUGUCACUCCAGAAGAAGCUUGGAGUGGUCACAAACCAAGUGUUACUCAUCUACGAGUCUUUGGUUGUGUGGCAUAUGCAAAGAUCCCAGAUGCAAGAAGGAGAAAACUCGAUGAUAAAAGCGAGAGAUGCAUCUUUGUGGGAUAUGGUGAAAGAAGGAUGGGAUACAAGCUGUAUAAUCCCAUCACGAAGAAGGUGAUUAUGAGUAGAGAUGUUAUCUUUGAAGAAGAUAAAUCUUGGGAAUGGACUGAUAAUAAAGAAGCAGUUAGAUGGAUCAACAUUGAUUUGAUCCUUGAAGGUGAAGAAGUACCAACAGUACUUGUCGAAGAACCGAUUGUGCCAGCAGCUGAACCACAAAGUCCGGUGAUUAUACCAGCAGCUGAACCACAAAGUCCAGUACACAGAUUCCCUGUAUUCAACAGGAGGAACACACCAGGAGCAUCAUCAUCAACACCAGCAGCAGCAUCCUCGUCAGAAGGACCAAGAAGGAUGAGAAAUCUUGACGAGUUGUACGAUGCCACGCAAGUCAUCGAAGAUACAACUCUAUUUUGUUUCUUUGCAGACAAUGACCCACUUAGCUUCAACAAAGCUAUCACAGAAGAGAAGAUAGAAGCAAUGGAUAAAGAAAUGCAUGCCAUUGAGAAGAAUGAUAUCUGGAAGCUGACUUAUCCACCAGAAAGCAAGAAAGCAAUAGGUGUCAAAUGGGUCUAUAAGAAAAAGAAGAAUGCAAAAGAAGAAGCGCAAAAAUACAAAGCCAUUGAAGAGGGAAACAUUUAUCAGAAUGAAGUUCAUGCUUGGCAUGACAUCCCUCGAUUGAGUUUAAAGGGGAGAUUUGUUGUAUUAAACUCAAUCCAUCCAGAAGGUCAAGGAAGGCAGCCACCAGCUGUCACCGCCCAGCCACCAACCGGCCAGCCGCCAGCCACCAGCUGUUUGCCGCCACAGCCGCCAGCCGCCUUCACACUUGAAGGUUGAAUUUUCUUGUUUUGAAUUCGUGUAUAAAUAGCAAGCUAAGCUUAUGUUAUUCUGUGUGGAGAGAGUAGAGAGAAACACUAGAGAGAAAGAGAGAGGGCGUGUAUUGUGUUAAGCUUUUGUGUUAAGUAAUUGUAAGCUUUUGUUCUUGAAAUAAAACAGUGUGUUUUAUCCCCUCCGAGUGUUUCAAAGCCACCACCAGUGGUUUCUCCCACCAACAUAGAUGGCCCCUUCCAUAUACAUUUGAGCUCAGGUAAACAUGACAGCCGUAACUCUGUUAAAGAUGACAGAAGCGGUAGCUCCUUCUCCUCACUACUUCCUUCAUCAGGCUCACCUAAUUCAAAUACCUCUUCCAAUGAUUUACAGCUGUCAACAAUCACCUCCUCUAGAUUGUUCAAAGCUCGGAGCAAUUUUGCUGGAAACGGAGUGCGAACAUCCCCACAAUCGUCCACUCGUACAAAUUCUAAUCUUUGUAAGAAGCCGUUUUGCUGCCCAUGGACGACCAUCUUAUCAGAGAACAAUAUUAUAUUUUUUCACUCAUAAAAACAAUUUAUAUGAUGAGAGAAAAAAAAAAAAACAGGAUUACAUACUUUUUAGAGAUUACAUAUUAUUGUUUCAGUUUUUUUCUUAAUUAGAGAUAAGUUAAAUAAUAAUUAGAUUUUUGCGAAAAAAGGUUACUACAACUCCUAAUAAUUAGUUUCAUGUAAAAAAUAAAAAUAAAAAUAGUAACUAAUAUUUUUAUUUUAGUUAUAAAGUUAAUAAAUUUUUAAAGAUAUUUUAAUUGAAUUAAAUAUUUGAACACAAAAUAAGCUAAUAUGAUUUCUAUGAUUAAUUGUUGGUAUUAAGUUUCUUAUAUUUAUAUAUGUUUAGAUAAAACAAAAAAAUAAGCAGUGACGAAGAAAGAAUAAAUCUAACAGAUAAUAUAAAUUACGUAAAUCAUGAGGCAGUUAAAUCUAACAGAUAAUAUAUUUCAAAUGAGGCAGUCAAAUCUAACAGAUAAUAUAUUUCAAAUGAGGCAGUCAAAUCUAACAGAUAAUAUGUUCUUCCAUAUGAUUAAUUUUUAAUAACGCAGACAACAAUGAGGCAGUUAAGUUUUUUAUAUUUAUAUAUGUUUACAUAAAAAAAUAAAUCAUAAAAAAAUAAAAAUAAGCAUUUAUCAAUUACUUUACUUUUAGAAAUUGGGAGGAAGAAAGAAUAAAUUAUCGCAAUUGACAAUUUAAUUUAGUGGAGAAAUAUAAAUUACGUACUUGUAGCUGUGCCAACCAAUUACCCACUUCUUCGUGGCCUUCAAUGGUUAAUCUUUGCAAGGGCAAUUGAGCAUCAAAAUUCCUUGGACCUAAAAAGCUGUAAUUAGAUUGGAGCCAAAGAGAAAAUUCUCUUAGCCGAGGGAACUUGAUGAUGCCAUCUCUGGUAAGUGCAUCUCCUUCUCCACCGUAAAAUAUUUGCUUUAAAUUGUCAGCACGAGCAAUCCUCAUCUGUUCCAGGUUCGUAAGACUUGGAGACAUGGAGACAGGGAAGACAUAUUCCAGUGAAAAACAGAAAGAUAUGUUGAUUUUUUUUAAUUUUGGGAAGCGAGGAGACUCUGGAAUUAUUUCCCUUUCACCAUCCUCUUCUCUGAUAAUAUGCUUUAAUUCACCGCAUUCAUUUAUGCGAAGGCUUUCUAGCUUUGGCAGAUUUCGAGCGAGGGACGGUGUGAAGAUAAAUGUCAGUUUUUUGAGAUCUGAAACUUUCAGAUGAACAAGAUUUUGGAGGCUGACAUGUCUGGUGGGCCCCUUCCAUAUGCAUUUGAGCUCAGGUAACUCUUGCAGCUUUAACAGUGUUAAAGAUGACAGCAGCUCCUUCUCCUCACUGCUUCCUUCAUCAGCCUCACCCAAUUCAAAUACCUCUUCCAAUGAUUUACAGCUGUGAACAAUCACCUCCUUUAGAUUUUUUAAACCUUGCCGCAAUUUUGCUGGAAACAGAGUGAAAACAUCCUCACAAUCCCUCACUUUUACAAAUUCUAAUUUAUGUAAAAACAAUUGCUCAAAUGUCUUCGCAUUGAAGGAUGUACCAGCCAAAAUUAAUCUUGUCGAGGUUGGGUAUCGUCCUGCAUCAAACCGAUUCCCAAAUAUUAUAUCAUAUUUGCGCAAGCUAACUGGAAAAACAAAAUCUCUGGGAAUGCAUUCAACCUUCGGUAUCCACAAUGAUAAUACGGCUAACUGAGACAACGAAUUUAGUUCUGUUAGGCUUGCAUUCAUUCCUCCUGUGCUGUCACAUCCAACAGCAUCCCAUCCCUGAAAGCUGCGAUCCCCGAUCAACAGCUCUUCUAACUUCUUCAACCUUCCAAUCAAAUUCACAGGGAUCCUUCUUAGCCUUUCACAACCUGUCACAUCCAACAACCUUAACUCCUUGAGCUCUCCUAUUUCAUCAGGUAAUUCUUCAAUGGAUAAGCACCGUCUAAGACCAAGAAUCUUAAGUCUCUGCAGCUUUCUCAACCCAAUGAGGUCCUUGCAUCCACACCUGAUCAACACCAACGAUUGAAGUUUCGUUGAGAGUUCAAGUGAUUGCAAUGACAAGCACCCUCCCUUCAGAGACAAAACUUCAAUUUCUGUCAUCCCUUCAAAAAACCUCUGAGGAACAUUCAAACCAGAAUCCACUUCCAAUAAUAGAACUUUGAGCUGUGGGCAUACCAAUCCUUCAGGAAGUUCUGCUAGUUUAUUGCCCAUUAACGAAAUUGUUGUACAACCUUCAAAGCUUUUACCCGUCCAUUGCCAAUUCUCUAACCCUAAGCCAGCCUUGACCAUGAAUCCAUAUUCUUUUGAUGCUAUCUGAAUAGCAACAUCACGAACAAGGUCAUGCAUUUUCACAUGUUCUUCAGUUUCAGAGCCCAACAGCAUGCAACAAUCUUUGAGGUUUUCGAUUGCCACAGAAACUCGUUUCCUUGCAUCUUCAAUGGGCUCCGCAUCUUGAUGUAACCCAUAGCCAACUGCAUAUCUCGUCAAGUCCUCGAUUGGAAUGUCAUAAUCUUCUGGAAAUAAACAGCAUAGCACGAAACAUGACUUGGUUUCCUCGUACUUCAAAUAAUCAUAGCUCAACUUAAGACAUGUGUAAGCAUUAUUUUGUUCAUCAAUUUGUUCCAUGCGCACAAAUUGAGAUUCUUUGAGCUGUUUAGACGCUACUUCCCACUGAACUCGUGAUUUACCUCUUAGAGCCCUUCCCACUGUCACAAGUGCUAUAGGCAAGCCUUGGCAUUCUCUCGCAACCUCCCUUGCCACUGUGUUCAAGGUAGAGUCCCCAUCACGUAAACCUGCAUUGAUACUGAAUAAAUCCCACGCUUCAUCUUCAGGUAAGACUCUUAAAUGCACUUUUUGCUGGCACUCCAUAGAAAAACAUAUGCCUUGAACACGUGUUGUUAGAAGAAUUUUACAACCCCUGUGAUCAUCACCAAAUGGGAUCCCUAUCUCUUUCAAGUCAAUAUGUUUCCAAACAUCAUCCAGGGUUAUAAGCAUCUUCUCCACUUUCUUCAGUCUCUGCCGUAAUCGAUCUGCUCUCCCUUCUUUACUGUUUUCUUCAAUUUUCAAACCUAACAUAUCUGCCAUUCGGUUCUGAAUGUCUAUGACAUUUGGAUUCUGCGACACCGUAGCCAUCAAAACUUCAUCAAAAAGCUGCGACUCUCUGGCUAUCGUGCCUACUCUUUUCACCAGGGUGGUUUUACCCACCCCUCCCAUGCCGUACAGUCCGAUCAUAUUGGCGUUGUCAUCUUUGCGAGCUUUCAUAAUCUGUUCCAAAGCUUCUUUUGAAGAUUCUGAGGGCGUGAAUUCCUUUGAUGGAAGAAAUUCUAUGGGCUGAGGAGGAAAUUUGUGGGCCACUUUUGUAAACUUUGUUUCUGAAAGUCUCCGACUCCUUGGCCAGUGCCUUGCUUAACUUGAAUUGUCGAAUGCAGUUUGGACACCAAGUGAAGCAUUUGCCAUUUUUUCCUAUUUCUUUUUCCAAGGGCUUCGCACCUUCAAUUUUGCUGUUUGCAUCUUCCAUCCACUUUUUGACACCUUUCUUAAUUUCUUCAGCAUUCCUUUCAGCAGCUUCGACUUCUUUUUGCAGACCAUCUAGUGCUAAAGCAAGGUUCUCCUUUUGUUCUUUGAAUUCUUCAACAAAAUUGUUGAAACAGAACAUGUAACGGAACUGCCUUCCUACUGGUUCCACCAUGAGUUCUGCUAUCUUAGAUAUAAUGGAUCCACCCACACUUUCGAGAGCCAUUUUCCACCAGUCUGAAAAUCAGAGAAAUGAGGAUACAGGACGUGAGAGUGAGUCACUACAAGUAAAACAGGCGCAGAGAGAAUGGGAAUAGGAAUUCCAUUACCGUAAUUUGGGAAAAUAUGCGCGGAAAGCACUGGUACUGAGAGCUCAAUGAAAUAGCGGGAGGAAGAAAAGGAGAAGGCCUUUAGCUCUGUAUGGAAUCCAGCUUCAAAAGCAACAAGGCAAGGUAUAAGGAUUCUAACUGACACUUGUGAGUUAAAGCAGUAAUUCCCAUUAAAAAUGCAUUUUGAUGACAUAAUUAAGAUCAUAUUGAGACAGUGGCAAACAAAAAAUAAAUGUAUAAAAGUACUCACCUAGCAAAGAAAGAAACGAAUGAAAGGUUCAGGAUAAUCACUUAGCUCGCUUCCAACAACAAAUAUAAUUAAUUAAUCUAAGCUAUGAUCGGUCAAAGUUUUUUUUAGUUUUAUUCUUUUUUUAAAAAAAAAAAAACAGGAAAAAACUUGCAAAGAAAUAGAAUUACUGGAAUGAACACAAUAAAAGAUGAAACUCAAGCAAUUAAAAAUAAAUUAUCUAUGAUGAUCAUGUCUGUGUCACACUCAAUGAGGUAAUCACUAUUACAAUAUUAAAUAAAUAAAUAAAAGCUAAAAGAACUAGGUUUUUGGUGGCAUCCAGAGUGCGGUUACUUUCUUCAUCCUUCUUUUGUGGUUUUAUUUUAUUUCAGUCCUUCAAAUCUUUUUCUUUUGCUAUUUCAUCGAGUUGCUUUGCUCUUGAGUUGAUGUGCUUGCCCUAGAAUAUGCAUUAUGCUAGGGAUUACAAUUACAUUACAUAAGAAAUUAUACUUACAGAUUAUAAUUAAAAUUUUCAGUUUUUUUUAAACAAAUUUAUGAGAAAGUACCAAUAUUACAACGUGAGUAAAUGAUAGGAGAAUUUUAAAUCUUUUUGUGACAUGGUGACCAGCUGAUCCAAGUAACCAAUAGAUUAUCGCCACUUGUUCAACCUGAUCUGCACUUUAAGAUAGGGGUAGUCAUAACUAUUCCUCGUUUUGUUUGAGGAAAAAUAAUUUUUUUAAAAAUAAAUUUUAAAUUUUUCUAUAUUUAUUUGCUAUUAAAAAAAUUAAUCAAUAAAAAAUAUUUUUUAGUAAAAAAAAUUAGUUUUAUUUUUUAAAAAGUAUUUUUCUUUUAUUUUAGGCGGAAAAUACUUUCCAGAAAUUGUGAAAAAUUUAGAAAUAUCAUAUUAUUUGUUGAUUAUAACAAAUUGGAUCCUCAAACUUUUAAUUGCUAUAUAUUUUGUUUUGAAUAUUUUUGUUUUCAAUUUCAUCUGUUAUAAUUUGAUUUUAUAUUAAAUUUGAUCCUUAUUUUUAUGAUUGUUAUUUGUUUUUCUCUUUUUAUUUUUUUAAUUGAAAUUUUUUAUUUAUCAAAUUUGAUCAUCAUUCUUUUGAUUGUUAUUUAUUCUAUUUGAAAUAAUUUAUGAAUAGAGGGAGAGGUUGUUGGAGGCAGAAAAGGAAAGACUACGAUACUAUUUUUCUCUAUAUUUUGAGUUUUAGUUGUUAACAGCCAUGCUCGUUUGAUUUUAUUUUAUUUUUAUUUAUUUUUUUCAUGCUCUUGCAGAUAAGGCAGGAAAGGAGGACCUGAAAUCACGACAGCGAAUAAGGAGAGAAAUAGCGUGUUUGUUUUUUAUUUUUGAAAUUAUUUUUUUAUAAAAUUAUUUUUUUAUUCUAAAUUAAUUUUUUGUAUUUUUAAAUUGAUAUUAAAAAUAAUUUAAAAAAUAAAAAAAUAUAUUAUUUUAAUAUAUUUUUAAAAUAAAAAAUAUUUUUAAAAACAACUACUUAUUCAAUCACUUAAAAUAAAAACCUUAAAAUCACGGCAUGAUAAAAGGAGGAAGAAAGGAAUGGGACAAAGGAGGAAGAAAAUAAGGUCACGUAUAAAAUAGAAGAUGAAAAUUAGUAUGAAAAAGAGGCUAUUUGUUUUUUUAAUGUGUCAGAGUGGUUUUUAUAAUUAUAUUUAAUUUAUAAAAAUAUUAAAUUAAUAUAUUUUUAAAUAUUUCUUGUUAUUAUUAUAUAUAUAUAUAUAAUAUUCUAAUAUUUUUUUAAAUAAAAAAUUAUUUUAAAAAAAUAUGUGUCACAAUACUAAAUUAUAGUACAAAUUAAAAUAUAAAAGAGUUUUCUAUUACUAUUUACCAAGACUUAUUUUGUUGUGGAUGUGGAUAUUAAUAGUGAAUUUUUUUAAAAUUUUCAAUUUGAUAUUUGAAUUUUUUUUUUUCAUAAUCGAAUCUCUUUAUGCCCAAAUUAAAACUCAAUUGCAUUUUGUUUUUUAAGUAUAAGAGUUGAAUUCAAAGAUAGAUGACUGAAAUGAAAAACUUGGUAAAAAUAUGCGGCGACAUUGUAAUUGUUUGCAAAGUUCAUUUUAGUCCCUUAUCUUUUUGAGCUACUAAGUAACAUGUCCCUAUAAUUUCUCAACAUUACAUUUUAUCCAGAAUCUCAGAUUAUGCUCUACGGACUAAACUAAAUUUUUCAUAAAUUGAGAGACCAAACUGAAAUUUAUCAUUUUCAAUCUUAAACCUAGAAUUUUCACAUAUCACCUACUGAUAUAACAAGAUUUCUAACUCAAAUUCACCAUUUAAACAAACCAUAACUCAAAAUCAUCAUUUUUACUUAAAGUCUUUCAAAAUCAACUAAAUAACUCAUUAUUCAUAACAAUCAACACAUAAUAUUCAAAUCAAUUCAUCAAUCAAACCCAAAACACAAUCUUCAAAACUCUAAUAUUCAACAAAACAGAAAAUUAAAGCUAAGAAAAACACAUUUAUACACAUCAAAGCGUAAAUAUUCUUACAUUUUAAUUUAUUUUCUCUAACUCUCUUAUCCUUUUGUUUAUCUUUUUCUCUUUUCUCUUUUUCUUCUUUCACUCUCACGGUUUUUUCUCUAAGAAUUCAAAUCUUUCUCUUUUUUAUUCUAUUUAUAUUUAUGAACUCUUUGUUCAAUUACUACAAUAUCGUUCAUUCAUUUAUACCUACUUUUAAGCCUCCAAGAGUUUUGUUGUUUUUUUCUAUUCUCUUUUAUUUCCAAAUCAUCACAAUAAAAUUGUUUUCUUUUUAUUAAGCUGCUAAUUUAUGCAGCUUUAGCUCUUGUUCUCUCUUCUUGUCUUGCUAUUCUGAUUUUAUCUUUUUCUUUACAUGAUAUAAGAGCAGGUUCUUACCUCUUGAAGUCUGCUGGAUAAACCUAUCAGCAGAAGAUCCUGAAGCGAUCCCAAAUCACAGCUUCAAUCCCCACCACAACCAAUCUCCUCUUUCCCGUAGUCUGUCGUCCUCAAUUGGGAAAUGAUCUCAAAAAAUCACUUGAUGCAACAAGUAGGGUAGAGAAAUAUAAGACUUCAACAAAGAAUCAAACUCAAAAAAAUAAAAGUAAUUGUCUAUGAGAAGCAUUUCUGUGUCACACACUCAAGUAAUAUGAUUGACCUAUUACAUUAUACAAAUUAACAAUAAUAAUAAUAAUAAUAAUAAUAAUAAUAAUAAAAGAACUAGGUUUUUGAUGGCAUCCAGAGUGCUGUUACUUUCAAACAAAGAGGCUUGUGCAUGCGGUGUUAUGCUGUUCGUGUAGGCUAAGAUCUCCUAUGAAUACAUUUGUAAAAUCAUACAAUUGUAUUCUUUUUAUUAAGCUGCUAAUUUAUGCAGCUUUAGCUCAUAUUCUCUCUUCUUGUUUAGCAAUUCUGAUCUGAUCCUUUUCUUUGCAUGAUAUAAGAGCAGGUUCUUACCUCAUGAAGUCUGCUGGAUGAACCUAUCAGCAGAAAAUCCUGAAUCAAUCCCAAAUCACAGCUUCAAUCCCCACCACAAUUACCAAUCUCCUCUUUCCUGUAGUCUUUCGUCCUCAAUUGGAAAAUGAUCCAAAAUCAACAACCAGUUCGGAGAUAGUCUGUGUGAAAAUAAACGGCUGAGAGAUGAAAUGUGAAGGUUAUGGUGAGAAAUUAGAUGACAAACUUACUUUGUCCUACUAAUGCUUUUGCUUUCAUUGUUUCAACAAGUAAAAGAGACAUAAGCAUAAUCAUAAGAAUCCUGUUUUUUCUAUUUUUUUCACCUAUUUAUACAUCAAAAAAUGGCAGUUUUUCUUGUCCUUUCUUUUUAAAAUCUUAUGCCUUGGGUGAGGAAAUUAGUGGAGCAUAAGACGUUUUAAAAGACAACAAAAAGAAGCAAUGUCUCAUCUUUUGAUAUGGUGGUCUUCCAUGAUCAGUUUGUUGAUGAAGAUAUCGAAAGAUUCGAGUCUCCGUUCUAGCUCAGGUUGGAAGCUAGGCCGAAGGCUAAGCUUCUUUUAAUUAUGAAUUGUUUAUGCAAAGGAAACCCAGAAGCUUGAACAAACAGAAAUGCCUUGUUGAUUUCUCUGCUACUACUCAUUAUUUCCAAUAUUAUUCCAUUAUCUUACCCGAAAGCAAUUAUACAAGAAAUUUCAUUAUCCUGCCCCAAAGGCAAUUUAUUACAAGGACUUCCUUUAACCUCCUUGAAGGCAAUUUAUUUGAUGAAAAUUCCUUUAAUCCACCUCAAAGACAAUUUAUCUUAGGGAAUUCCAACGACCCAGGCAAUUUAUUUGCUGAAAUUCCUUUAACCUCCUUGAAGGCAAUCAAGAUUUUAAAUUAAAAACCAUCUAGGUGGUGGCCCAGUGGUAAGAACCUGGGACCAAGAGGUUUGCUCAUCUGCAUAAUUAAAUAGUACUGUUACUGUAAACUACUAGGAAAUUCAUGCGUAGAGCCAAAAUGUUAACAAUAGCACAACGACCCAGGCAAUUUAUUUGCUGAAAUUCCUUUAACCUCCUUGAAGGCAAUCAAGAUUUUAAAUUAAAAAGCCAAAAAUGAACGCAUCUACUCUUGCAAGAAUGGACUCAAAAGGUCAGCUAAUCCGCAUAAUUAAAUAGUACUGUUACUGUAAACUACUAGGAAAUUCAUGCGUAGAGCCAAAAUGUUAACAAUAGCAUUGAUUCGGUCAGGGGCUCUGGUGUAUAGAGAGGACCUUGCCGUUAGAAACUAUGAACCCACUAUUUAUUAAUCCAUUUCUAUUUAGUACUAUUUACUAUUUAUUUAUUUUUAUUUACUAUAUUUCUGUAUGUGAUACCUAAGUACCAAUAAAAUUUGAGAUUCCUUCAAUUUUUUAGGUGCAUGUACAAAAUCAAUUCAAGAGUGUGUAUCCUUAACUAUAUAUCAGGCUAACCUUUACAGGCUGAGCUAGCAAUCGAUAAUUAAUUUUUAAUGAAUUCAUUUUUUAUUUAAAAUAAGGAAAAGGACAUUGUUACACCUUAACUAUUAUAAUUGUUACACCUUACCAAAGGGUUAAUUUAGAAAAAAAUUAUCAACUUACAGGUCACUGGCCGAGGUCAACUUAUGAUUAAGUAGAUCAAUUUAAAUUAAUUAUUUUUAUUAAAAUGAUAAUGUUUUGUUUUUUUUUUUCUUGAUAUUAAUUUGGCUAAUUUUUAUCAAAUCAAAUCACUAAAAACUUAAUCAAAUUAAAUUUCAUCAAAUCAAUAAUAUUUGAUGUAGUUGAAUUUUAUAUAUAUAUAUAAAUAUUUGAAAAUAAUUUAAAAAUGAUGUUUUCAUUAAUACCCAUUCUCAAUGUUUUUUUUGCCUUAUUUAGCUUUUUUUUCAAUUAGUUUUAAUUUUAUUAGCUUGGUUUAGUUUUUUAAGAGGUUAAUAUGAUUUAUUUGUAAUUUGUUUUAUAUAUUUCAGAUAUAUUAAGUAUUUUUUUUAUGUGUGUGUCAAUUUCUUUUAUAUAUUUAUUUUAGUAAAUAAAUUUAUUAAAUAUAACCAGAGAAAUGACUUUUUUAAUCUAUAUUUGUUUCUUAAUUUCUUAAUUUUUCCACCUGCUUUUUUAACUAUUGAUAAUGACUUUUUAUUAUUAUUAUUAUUCACACAAUAUAGUGCUGACACCCGCAGGUUGAGACUUGAGUAAACGAAAAUGAAAUAUUUUGGGUGUCUAUCUCCUAGUUAUGGUAUUAUUAAUAUUUGAGGGUUUUGAUUUGGAAUAAUUAGUGAAGAUUUAAUUAGAACUUAGCCAUGUACUUUAUUAAAAUUAAUUAUUUAGUCCUUAAAGUGUCAUGGAUAAUUAAAAAGUCUAUUAACUAGUGUUGACCACCCUCCAUUUACUAUGUUUUUCUCUAAAAAAUGCCUUCCUUCCUAAUGAAAUUUCCGCAACUGCAUCAGAUGUUUAUUCCCGUUCAAAUGCUCGCAACAGGGAAAGCAUAUGAUAAAGAGAAUGGAACAAGAUUCUUGUCUAUGGAGGGAAUCAAUGCUUCAACUUGCCUUGUGAUUUGCUUUAAUAAGAUUUUUUUUUAUAUAAAAAACAACUUUUAAAUUAUAAUUAAAAGUAAAAUAUCAUAAAUUUAUUUUAUAUUAAAAACCGAAUUCAUUAAACAUAACCAGGGUUGUUUAUUUUUUGUAAUGACUUUGUUUUUUAUUUAUUUAUAUAAUAAUUCAUGAUUUAUUUAAUUCGAUGCGUGCAUAAGUUUUUUAAUUUAUAUUUAGAAUUUUUCUUAAUGUAAAAAAAACAUGUUCAUAAAUUUUUAUUUUUAUGAUUUCAGUUUGAUUCUUAUUUUUAUGAUUUUUUAUGUUUUUUCCUUAUCCUUUUAUAAAAGUUUUUUUGUUUAUAAUUUCACCCUUCAAUUCAAUAUGAUGGAGUAAUUUUUUUUUUCAUUUUUUGCUUUAUAUUGUUGCCUCUCUCCUUUUGGGAAUAUUGUUGCCUCUCUCCUUUUUUUUUUUUUUUUUUCAUUUUAUCAGCUUUUGCAUGUGGAAUAUUGAGUCUUCUAUUUUUUAUCCACAGAAUUGAAUCCUUUAUAUAUUCUUAAAACUAGAUUUGAAUUCUAAUGAAGGAAUAAUAAAGAUUGUUGCAUGUACAAAUUCUCCUUCAAAAAAAUAUAAUAAAGUAUCAUGGAUUUAAGUAUAACUUAGCCCUGUAAUUUAUUAAAAUUAAUUAUUUAGUACGUCCUUAAAGUAUCAUGGAUAAUUAAAAAGUCUAUUAACUAGUGUUGACCACCCUCCAUUAAUUAUAUUUUUCUCUAAAAAAUGCCUUCCUUCCUAAUGAAAUUUCUCCAACUGCGUACUUUUCUUUUCCUUAUUCUAAUUUUUAAGAAAGAAGAAAAAACAUAUUAAUUGGAAAAGAACUAAACAAUAUGUAACUUUAAAAAUAUAAGAAUUAAACAUAUAGUUAUUGAAACUAUGGGAUUAAUUAAUUAUUGUUAUCAAAUUAUAGAGAAUAAAUUAUAAUUGAAUAAGUGUUUGUGUGGAGGAGUGUUUGCAAAUACCAUGGGAGAUGCGAUUUGUAUUAUUAAUUUAGUUGUUGGUAUAAUAGUCCAAAUAUUGUGACGACCAUUUUAUAGAAAUGAGCACAAUGUUUUUAGAAUAUUUAUAAAAAUUGACUUAAACCAAUCAAAAAAAUGAUUUUUGAGUUUGUUAAACAAUUUUAAUAAAAAUAAUAAAAAUAUAAAAUAGAAUUGAAUUGGUUGGAUAUGACCCAAACUAAAUUAAAUAAAAAAACUUAACCAAGCUAUAUUUCAAUGAUCUUGGUAUGGAUUUGUUUUUAUAAAAAAAACAUGUUCAUCCUUUUUUAAACUUCUUGUGGCCUGUUCAUUCAUACUUUAUUAAUAUUUAAAUUAUUUUUUUAUAUUUUUUAAAUUUGUUUUAAUGUUAUGAUAUUUUUUAAUUUUGUUUUGAUUGAUACAUAAAAAUAUUGUUUUUAUUGAUUAAAUUUUAUUUGGAAUUAUUGUUGAUAUUACAAAGACUUAUUUAUUCCUAUUCAGUUGAUAAUGACUACUUAGAUUUUGUAAAAAGAGUUACUUUCUUUAAUAGCCAAUUGAAUGAUUUUUUAUGAGAAAAAUAAAACAUCUUUUGAUGUGAAAAAAAGACACCAUGCACCGUCGUGUGAUACGAUGCUUUUUUUCUUGUGGCAUGUUUUUGAUGCUUUUGAUACGAUGUUCUUCCAGGAAUUUUUUAUCUUUUUAUUAGGCGGUCUAAGAUGCACAGUCGUGUGUGUGUCUAUAUAUAUAUAUAUAUAUAUAUAUAUAUAUGUAUGUAUAUAUAUAUAUAAGUCAUCGAUGCAUGUUUUUAUUUGGUAUUCAAUUCAAUUUCAUAAACAUUACUUUACUCUCUAAUUAAAUUGCUGCAACUAUAUAUAUUAUACCCUUAACCAGACUAUUAGUUUACCAUUCCUGACUAGCUAUCGUAUCCUUUUGGCAAGAAUCAUUGCCAAUUACUUUAUUCGUAGUAUGUAAGAGUCAUUAUCCAACCAUUUUCAAUUCCAUUUCAAAUCACUUUCUUUGAUAAAUUAGUUUAUAAAAUAUUUUUACAAAAACUCCAUACCAUACAUCUAAACAUCACAUAUGUUCAAAUUAAUUUGAACAUAGCAAGUGUUAUAUCUUCUUUUAAAGAUUGUAAAGGACAAAUAUACAAUUACAUUUUCCUUUUUGGGUCUCAAUUACAUUUGCAUUUACAUAUUGUUCACCUAGUAAUUUCUUUUAUAAAAUUUAUAAUAAACUCAAAAAAAUAAAUAGUACGAGAAACAAAGUUGAUAGACCCAACCGAGAACAUGCUCACGAGUUUAAAUAUCUUAAUUUUAGUUUGUAGAACAUAAAGAGAAAUAGAAUUGAUCCAUUAUUUUGUUUGCAGAACAUAAAUGAGAAAGCAACGUCAAUAUAUAAACUUAAUUAAUAAAUAUAUAGUUGGUUUUGUUUUACAAUAAAGAAUUAUUUUGUUCUAUAAAAGAGUAAUUGAAUUUUAUAAAUAAAAACACGAAAUUAUUUAUUUCCAUGCAAGAUGAAGUCAAGAUUCACCACUUAUUUGUGUGAGGCAAAAUAAUAAUAAUAAUAAUAUUAUUAUUAUUAUUAUUGUUAUUGUUAUUGAAUAAGAUGAAGUCAAGAUUCACCACUUAUUUCCAUGCAAGAUGAAGUCAAAUUUCAAAGUUCCCUUUACAAAUCGGUUGGAUAUGGCCCAAACUAUAUUAUACCCUUAACCAGACUAUUAGUUUACCAUUCCUGACUAGCUAUUGUAUCCUUUUGGCAAGAAUCAUUGCCAAUUACUUUAUUCGUAGUAUGUAAGAGUCAUUAUCCAACCAUUUGGUAUUCAAUUUCACGUUCUUUGAUAAAUUAGUUUAUAAAAUAUUUUUACAAAAACUCCAUACCAUACAUCUAAACAUCACAUAUGUUCAAAUUAAUUUGAACAUAGAUAGCAAGUGUUAUAUCUUCUUUUAAAGAUUGUAAAUGACAAAUAUACAAUUACAUUUUCCUUUUUGGGUCUCAAUUACAUUUGCAUUUUCAUAUUGUUCACCUAGUAAUUUAUUUUAUAAAAUUUAUAAUAAACUCAAAAAAAUAAAUAGUACGAGAAACAAAAACAAGAAACAAAAUUGAUAGACACAACCGAGAACAUGCUCACAAGUUUAAAUAUCUUAAUUUUAGUUUGCAGAACAUAAAGAGAAAUAGAAUUGAAUAUGAUGAUGAUGAUUUCUUUUUUCAUUUUCAGGAGACCUAUAAUAGCCGGUUGAGGGAGAGAUAUGGGGACGAUCCUUUGACCCUCCGGAUUUCGAUCCGGAUUUGUGGAUGGAGGUCGGAUCGUUCGGUGGACUCGAUAAAAAUCGGCUGUACGGGCUCUCCAACACUACGACCGAGAACUUGCGGUCGGCCCGUAGUGUCUCAACUGUUGGGAGCUCCAAAUCAGUAUCGAGCACCCAAUCUGAGGAUAUCAUGACCUUGAAACAACACACAGCUAAUCUCACCGAGAAAUACGAGCAACUCUUGGCAAAUUAUGAUCAACUCCGCCAAAUUGUCAUGAACAUGACUUCACAGAGUGGUGCUACAUGUCCGCCCCCUUUUUGGCCGUAUAACAACCAGCCUCCUCCUCCUCCUCCUCCAACUCCGCCAUUGUGCUAAUUUAAUAUUUUUUUGAAACACAUUCAAUUUGUAAUGAAUAUUAUUUAACACUAUUUUUUUGUUCUUAAUGUUUAAUAAAAUUUUAUUUGCAUAAUUGGUUUUUUUACUAUUAAUUUAUAUAAUUUUAUGUUAUUUAUUCUAAAUCAUUUUUAAUUUUUUUAAAAUACCCACCGAGGGAUUUACCGACGGAAUGUAUCACCGACGAAUUUACAGACGGAUAACGUUCGUCGGCCUUUCACCGAUAGCUAAAAAAUAUUUACUAUAUAUGCCACUAUCACCGACGGAAUAAAUUCGUUGGUAAGGUUCCAGCGGGAAGUUUUUUUUUUGGCGUGCAAUUUCCGUUUGUAAAACCAUCGAUAAUAUUUUUUUUACCGACAACCUUAGCGACGGAAUGCGGUAUUACCGACAAACAUUAUGCCGACGGACGUUUUUCGUUGGCGAUUUAGUCGGUAAAAAAAUUACUGACAAACUCUGAAUCUCAUACCGACGGAAUAUGUCCGUCGGUAAAACUGUGAAAUCUUGUAGUGAUUUAGAUUUGGGUUGGUUUUUUAUUUUUAAAUCAAUUAAAUGUUUAUUUAAGAUCAUGAAUGGACUUAUUGAGGUACCUUUUACCUAUAGCUCACUUUGAUACCCCCUCCGAUAUAUCUAACUCUUCAAUAAAGGAGCAAUUUUUCAUUACAUUCAGCACAAUAUUUAUUUCUCUAACAUGUAUGAAGAUGGCACGAGUUAAAAUGAUUGUGUAAAUUAAUUUACAAUAACGAGGCCUUCGUAUAUAGUAAUUUAUCCCAGACAAGAUGACUAAAGUACUCAAAAGAUUCAAGUAGACGUUGUUUUAACACCUUGAAGGAUUCUGAAAUUCUGCCUUGCUCGAACGCGCACAAAAUUUGCCUUUUCUUUUAUUCCUAAUCGGAUUCGUAUGCAUGCAAAAUUAAAUCACCUUGAAAACUCUUAAUCUCUAUCUCGGCUUUUAAAUAUAUAAUUUAUAGCCAUUGUAAAUUCACAAAAAAAUAUUGAUUUUUUUUUUAAUCUCUUGGGUUAUAAUAACCAUAUCUAUCCGGUGUUGUUUAUUGAAAUAUUUUUCAGUUAUUUUGGAUGAGUAUAAAAUGAAUUCAUAGUUUUUGAACUACAAAACCUAAGUUUUAUCUUGCAAACACCCCCAAAAACUUUUAGUAUUCUCAAAAACUCAAUUUUCAAUCAUAAAAUACCUUCUAAUUAGCCUAAAUGUGAAAAUCAAACCUAAUAAAAAAAAUUAUGGGUCUAAUAUACUUUUUCUAGCACGGUUAAAUGACAAGAUCAUUUUAAUCGAACUUCUUUUUUCAAGAUGAAUCUAUUAAUAUUAAAAUCGGAUUUUUUAGAUCAAAAUAUAAUCAGUCAAAUCCUUUUUUUUCUCCAUUUUCUGACCACAUUCUCUCCCUCCUCUCAAUAUUCAAUAACUUAAAAUAUAAUAAAAAUGAAUUUUUAAGAUUGAAUCAUAAAAAUUUAAAGCUAUAGAAUUAAAUAAAUCUGAAAAACAAAAACUUCAAGAACCAUAUUAAAUUUUUCUGCAACUUCUAAAAGGAUUGCAUUAUAGGAGAAUAGUUUAAUGCAUGAUAACUUGAGUCUUGCUACACAAUAAAAUUUGUUACAGUAAGAAUAACAAAUGUUUUAAUUUAGAAUAUAACUAGUUAGGUGCUCACACUACAUCGCGGGUUCACAUUUUAUUUUCAUAAAAAAUAUCAUAAAAAUUUAUAAUACAAAUAAUAAUAUUUUUUCAAUAUUAAUAAUCAUAUUUUUUCAAAUUUAUUAAUAAUAUUUAUAACACAAAUAAUAAUUUUUUUAUUAUAAUUGUAUUAAUUAUAAUAAAAAUAAAAUAUUUAUAACAUAAAUGAUAAUAUUUUUAAUAGUAAUACUAUUAAUUAUAAUAAAAAUAAUAAUAUUUAUAGCACAAAUGACACUAUUUUUAAUAUUAAUACUUUAAAUUAUAAAAAAUAUAUAUAUUUAAAAUACAAAUAAUUAUAUUUAGAAACCUAAAACCUAAGAACCUUGGGUUUUGAUAAAGGAUCCAAUAGAAUUAGGUUCUGACGCAAGACCCUUUAAGCUUGGGUCUUGAUACGGGACUCAAGACAAUCGGGUCCUGACACAGGACCCGAUUCGAAAGGUAAAAAUAUAAAUUAUUGUUCUUAUUAUCAUUAUUAUCAAUAAUAAAUUUGACAUAAAAUAUUAUUACCACCAAAGAAAAACUAUAUAGUUGAUUUGAAGGAUAAAAUUAAUAUUAAUAAUAAUAAUAAUAAUAAUAAUUAUUAUUAUUAUUAUUAUUAUUAUUAUUAUUAUUAUUAUAUGUGCUAUAGAUAUUAUUAUUUUUAUUAUAAUUGAAGGUAUUAAUAUUAAAAAUAAUAUUAUUUGUGUUAUAAGUAUUAAUAUUUCUAUUAUAGUUCAAAGUAUUAUUAUUUAUGGUAAAAAUAUUAUUAUUUUUAUUAUCAUUGAAGGUAUUAAUAUUAAAAACAGUAUUAUUUAUGGUAUAAAUAUUAUUAUUUAACUUGUCUGCCUAAAUGUUUAUAUUUUUGAGUCUUUAAAAAACAAUUGUGGUUUUUCUUCGAUAGUAAUAAUAGUUUUUUUUAAUUUAUUGAUGAUGAUGAUGAUGAUAAUUUUUAAUUUUACCUUUCAAAAUAAAAUUUAUGGUUGUUUUUCAAUAUUACUAAUAUUUGUUUUUCAAAUUUAUUUAUUAUUUUAUUAAUAAUAUUAAUUAUAAUUAAAAUAAUAAUAUUUAUAAGACAAAUAAUAAUAUUUUUAUUAUAAUAAAAAUAAUAAUAUUUAUAACACAAAUGAUAAUAUUUGUAAAUUCACAAAACAAUAUUGAUUUUUUUUUAAUCUCUAGGGUUAUAAUAACAAUAUCUAUCCGGUGUUGUUUAUUGAAAUAUUUUUCAGUUAUUUUGGAUGAGUAUAAAAUCAAGUCAUAGUUUUUGAACUACAAAACCUAAGUUUUAUCUUGCCCCAAAAACUUUUAGUAUUCUCAAAAACUCAAUUUUCAAUCAUAAAACACAUUCUAAUUAGUCUGAAAGGUGAAAAUCAAACUUAAUAAAAAAAAUUAUAAGUCUAAUAUACUUUUUUUAGCAUGGUUAAAUGACAAGAUUAUUUUCAUCGAACUUCUAUUUUCAAGACGAAUAUUAAUAUUAAAAUCAGUUUUUUUAGAAGGGAAUAUGAUUAGUCAAAUCCUUUUUUUUUCUUCAUUUUCUGACCACAUUCUCUCUCUCCUCUCAAUAUUCAAUAACUAAAAAUAUAAUAAAAAUAAAGUUUUAAGAUUGAAUCAUAAAAAUUUAUAGGAUUAAAUAAAUCUGAAAAACAAAAACUUCAAGGACCAUAUUAAAUUUUUCUGCAUCUUCUUAAAGGAUUGCAUUAUAGGAGAAAAGUUUAAUGCAUGAUAACUUGAGUCUUGCUACACAAUAAAAUUUGUUACAGUAAGAAUAACAAAUGUUUUAAUUUAGAAUAUAAAUAGUGGGUUCACUUUUUUAUAUAUAUAUAAAACAUAUCAUACAAAUAAUAAUAUUUUUUCAAUAUUAAUAAUAAUAUUUUUUCAAUAUUAAUAAUAAUAUUUUUUCAAAUUUAGUAAUUAUUUUAUUAAUAAUAUUUAUAACACAAUUGAUAAUAUUUUUAAUAUUACUACUAUUAAUUAUAAUAAAAAUAAUUAUAUUUAUAGCACAAAUGACACUAUUUUUAAUAUUAAUACUUUAAAUUAUAAUAAAAAUAAUUAUAUUUAAAAUACAAAUAAUUAUAUUUAGAAACCUAAAACCCAAGAACCUUGGGUCUUGAUGAAGGACCCAAUAGAAUUGGGUUCUGACGCAAGACCCUUUAAGCUUGGGUCCUGAUACUAGACUUAAGACAAUCGGGUCCUGACGCAGGAACCAAUUCAAAAACGGAUAAUUCCAACUCUGGCGUUGGUAACUAUUACGUAGCUAUAAAAUAAAUUUAGAUCAAUAUUUUUUUAUUCCUAACUUUAAAGCUAUUGAAUAAAAAAAUAAACUAAAUUCAUCUUAUUACGCAUUCACAUAUUUUUUAUUUCUUAUGUAGUUAAAUAAAAAAACAAAAAAAACAAUUAAAUCAGUGUUUUUAUUCAUGACUCUAGCGUCAGUGAAUAAACAAAAAAAAUAUUAUUUUUUCAUACAUGCACAUAUUUUUUUUUGCUAAAUAAAAUAAAAUAUAACGAAUAAAAAUAAUAUAAAUUUAAACCAGUAUUUUAUUCCCGACUCUGGCGUUGGUAAAUAAAUCAGUAAAUUUAUAUUAUUUUUAUUCAUGAAUACACAUAUUUUUUUAUUUUUUUAUUUUUUAUUUUUUUGGGGCUGGGCCCAGCUCAGCCCACAUGGGCUGGGCUAGCCCAGCCGGCCCAGCCCGGUCACUGGCCCAAGCCAGUGACCCGGCUGGGUCACAGCACGCAUGAACUAGUUUCAUGCGUGCAUGGCGCUGCGCGAAGGUAAUUAAUUACCUUCGCACACUGCUAAAUGCACUGAACUUUCGAAAGUUAAAAAACGAAGAAAACAGAGGAAGCUUACCUUGUUGCAGGUUGCUUCGCCGGAGUGUCAGCGUGUCGGGCGACGAUCAGUGGUGGCGUCCGUCAACAGUAAGCUAUAAUUCCUCCUUCGACCUCUGCCUUACUGCCCUCUGUUUCCUCUGCCCUCGUCUGAAAAAUUAUUCAUGUGCUCUGUUUUUCAAAUUCUCUCUACUCUCUCUCGGUUUGUUUCUGUUUUCGUUGUUUUAAGGCCGGUAUUGGUGAGGGAAAGGUUCACUUCUGGUAUGGGGUUCUAAAAAAAACUUAAAAAUUCGGCUGGUAUCUUUGUGUUUCUCUCUUGGGGUUUCGUUCGUCCCUCUCUCUCUCUAGCCAACCCCUGUUCUUCGGUGCUCCUCGGUUUAUAUAGAGCUCGGGCGGUAGGCUGAGGGUCGACCACCAUUAAGGCGCCCCUAACUGAAGCCAACGGACGACGAUUACUGCUGCAACGUUCUCCCUCCUUUACUGUAGAAAACGGUCACUGGCUUAAAGGAGAAGAAGAUGAACAGCGUCUUCAAAACGACGCCGUUUGGGAUAUGAGAUGGCCAUUUGCGUUUUGACCCGUGAAGUUUCGCAACUUUUAUAAUUAAGCCCCUGGUUUAAACUGUAAUUUCUCCUGCAUUUCGGCGCCUUUUACAAGUUAGUCCUUGGACUUUAAUCUGUUGCAAUCGUGCCCUAAUUAACCCCAAACUUUGCUAUUUCUUCAAUUAAGUCCCUAAGUUCAUUAAUUUAAUUCAAUCCAAGUCCAAUUAAGUCUCAAAACUUAUCAAUUAUCCAAUUAAGCCCCUGAUUGGAUUAAUUAAAUUAAUUCCAAGAUUAAAUAAGUCUCAAAACGUAUCAAUUUUCCAAUUAAACCCUUGAUUGGAUGAAUUAAAUUAAUUUCAAGCUUACUUAAGUCUCAAAACUUAUCAAUUCUUCAAUUAAAUCCUUGAUUGGAUUUAAUUAAAUUAAUUCCAAGUUUAAUUAAGUCUUAAAACUUAUCAAUUCUCUAAUUAAACCCUUGAUUUGAUUAAUUAAACAAGUAAAAAAUUUAAUUUAAAUCUUUAAACUUCCAAUCAUGUUACCCUUAACCCAAAUUUUAAUUCAUUCUUCAUUUAUUUCAUUUUUAUUAUUUAUUUUUCAUCAUCAUUAUUAUAUUUUUUUUCAUUAUUUUUCUUUUUAUCAUUUUCCAGUAAAUAAAAUAAUAAUAAUAAUUAAAAUAAAAUGGUCAAAAAUUGGGUUAUGACAACAUCUAUGGAAAUUCAAUCAUUUAAAAAAAUUCGGCAGCACCUCCCCUGUACUGAAGACUACCCACAAUUUAUAAACCUGCAAUCUUUACAAUAACCACAAUCCAAUUGACUCCAGCAACAUAAUAUAUACAACCUAACAUCUAUGAAAAUUCAAUCAUUUAAAAAAAUUCGACAGCACCUCCUAUAUAUUAGAGACUAUCUACAGUUUUCAUACCUACAAAUAUUAAUAAUUACACAAAUAUUGCAAAAUCAACUCUAUACAACCUAACAUAUAUAUACAACCUAACAUCUAUAGAAAUUCAACAUCUAUAUUUUUUCAACUAACAUCAAUAGAAAUUCAUAAAUAACAAUUAAAAUUAAUCAAAAUAAUAAACAACAUAACAAACAAUAAUAUCCUAAAAUUAAGAUAAACUAAUUAAACUUAAUUCUAUAUUUCAAUUAACAUUUUAAAUAUAAAUUCAACAACAAUAAUUAUUGCAAAACAAACAAUAAUAUCCUAAAAUUAAGAUAAACUAAUUAAAUUUAAUUCUAUAUUUCAAUUAAUAUUUUAAACAUAAAUUCAAUAACAACAAUUAUUGCAAAACAAACAAUAAUAUCCUAAAAUUAAGAUAAACUAAUUAAAUUUAAUUCUAUAUUUCAAUUAACAUUUUAAACAUAAAUUCUUAAAAUCUAUUGUUUUUUUUCAAUAUUAAUAAUAUUUUUUUUUCAAAUUUAUUUAUUAUUUUAUUAAUAAUAUUAAUUAUAAUUAAAAUAAUAAUAUUUAUAAGACAAAUAAUAAUAUUUUUAUUAUAAUAAAAAUAAUAAUAUUUAUAACACAAAUUAUAAUAUUUUUAAUAUUAAUACCUACAAUAAUAAUAAAAUAAUAAUAUUUAUAAGACAAAUUAUAUUAUUUUUCAUAUUAAUACUUUUAAUUAUAAUAAAAAUAAUAAUAUUUAAAAUACAAAUAAUUAUAUUUAGAAAGCUAAGACCCAAGAAGGAUCCAAUAGAAUUGGGUCCUGACGCAAGACCUAUUAAGUUUGGGUCCUGACGCCGGACCUAAGACAAUCGGGUUCUGAUGCUGGAUUCAAGAGAAUUUGGUCCUGACGCAUGACCCAUUACCCUUAGGUCCUAACACAGGACCCAAGCGAAUUGGGUCCUGACGCAGGACCCAUUAGAGUUGGGGUCCUAGGGCAGGAUUUAAGAGCAUUGAGUUCUAACGCAAACCAAUUACCAUUGGAUCCUAGUGCACGACCCAAGUGAAUUGUGUCCUGAGACAGGACCUAUUAGACUUGGACCCUUAGGCAGGAGCCAAGAGCAUUGGGUCCUGGCGCAUUUGAAAUAAAAUAUUAUUACCACCAAAGAAAAACCAUAUAGUUGAUUUGAAGGAUAAAAUUAAAAAUUAAAAUAGUAUUAUUUGUGUUAUAAAUAUUAAUAUUUUUAUUAUAGUUCAAAGUAUUAAUAUAAAAAAUAUUAUUAUUUGUGUUACGAAGAUUAUUAUUUUUAUUAUCAUUGAAAGUAUUAAUAUUAAAAAUAAUAUUAUUUGUGGUAUGAAUAUUAUUAUUUGCGGUACAAAUAUUUUUAUUUUUAUUAUAAUUGAAAGUAUUAAUAUUCAAAAUAGUAUUAUUUGUGUUCUAAAUAUUAUUAUUUUUAUUAUAAUUCAAAGUAUUAAUAUAAAAAAUGCUCUUAUUUGGGGUAUAAAUAUUAUUAUUUUUAUUAUAAUUGAACUAAUAAUAUUUAGAAUAUAAAUUAUAAUAUGUUUGAUAUUAAUACUUUCAACUAUAAUAAAAAUAAUAAUAUUUAUACCCCAAAUAAUUAUAUUUAGAAACUUAAGACCCAAUAACCUAGGGUCUUGAUGCAGAACCCAUCAGCCUUGGAUCCCGACGCCGGACCACAGAGCAUUGGUCCUGUUGCAGGAUCUAAGAGUACUGGGUCUGGACGCAGGACCCAAGAGAACUGGUCCUGAUGCAGGACCCAUGAGCCUUAGGUCCCGACGCCGGACCACAGAGCACUGGUCCUGUUGCAGGAUCCAAGAGUACUGGGUCCGGACGCAGGACCCAAGAGAACUGGUCCUGAUGCAGGACCCAUGAGCCUUGGGUCUUGACGGGGACCCAAGAGAAUUGGAUCCUGACGCUGGACCCAUGAGCUUUGGGUCUCACUAGGGUUCGCGCUGACCCAGCACACAAGCAGGGAAGCCCGAGCGUAAGGUGUCCCCAUGUGGCGCGCGGGUCUGGCUCAGCGCCUAGGGCUUGCCAGCCCUAGCGCCAGGUGUUCGCAUCCCAAGGCUUGUAGCCCCACCAAAACUGGAACUGACCAUUUUCUCCCCAACCAUCCCUUCAAUGCCAAAUAUAUCCCAGUGAGAAGACAACCCCACCCCUCCCCUGCUGUCCUUGCAAAUCUAUGUGGCAAGGGCAACUUUGUCAUUACACUACUUUAAUCCACAAUAUUUUGUAUCUAGAUAAAUAGUAACAAGGGCACUGAACCUUUUUAGUAUAACAAGGAGAUUUCAAGAAGUAGUUAAAUUUAGGUUAUAUUAGAUACGACUUUUGUAAAUUGAUUUAAUUUAUUUUUUACUUUUGAUUUUAAUUUAUUUUGAAGUAUGUUAGUUAGAAUAGCUACCAGAUUAGGCAUGUAACUUAUGAAAGGGUUUGCAAGCAGAAAACAAUUAGAAAUCAGAGGAAGAUUUAGAGGAUAUAAUAUUUAGGAUCUCUAGCAAAAGCCAGCAAGGUAUCUGCUCGAAAAAACCAUUCAACAUGAGAUUGCUCUGCUAGGAAAACAUGAUAUCAGUAUCAAACUUUUGAACAAUUAGUACAGCAUCAAGUCUCAGUCAUCUUGAAAUAUAUCGACAUCAGCAUACAAAAACAUUUAUUCUGCAUUGCCAGGCCCAUUUCCAAAACCACAUAAGCAUAUGCAAUAGAAACAGAGCAUCAAACUGACAGAGAAAACAUAGUGAUGCAGCAAAUACCCAAGUCGUAGAGCCAUUAAUUUGAGCAGAAAGGAGAAUGAAAGUCCACACAUUCUUCUUCUUUCCACCCAUUAUCUCGGGUCCACUCUCUAUUAGUGCUUGAAUCCUCAGCUACUUCAGAUACCUGUAAACCAAUUCAAGCAUGGCAUACAUAUUUUAACUUCUAAAUCUUAUUAUUGAGCGAAACAAGAAACAAACACACAAAAAGAGAAGCAACAAAUCAAGACAACUCAGCAGCACCUCUGAUUGAGCUCUUAUUGAACCAUUUGGUGUAGUAGCAAAUUUUGUGAUCAGCUUUGGGCAUUCAAACACCUUCAACUUCUCUAAAUGAGGGAAUAAGAAAUCAUAACAUCCGAGACUGAAGCAUACAAUACUUGAUAAUUGUUCUAGCAACAGCACCUGCAGAUUCGGGAGCUCCAUCACCUUCUCAACAUUGACAGGUAAAGCAUUCUCUUCCUGUCCAAAUACUCCCAAUAAUUGAGAAGCUUCUCUUACUUUCAGUAUUUGGAGAUUUGGGAGACCUGAAGCCAUGCCUACUGGGAAGAGACAUUUCAACUUGUUGCAUUUUCUGACAUCAAUUUCACAUAAAUUGGGGAAGCAUAAAGAUUGAAGAUGAUCUCCUGGCACUAUCUGAUCCUUUCCAUCAUCAUUAUCCCUAGCAAUGAUUUGCUCUAAUUCCUCACAACUUUCUAUGUUUAGAAAAUUCAGUUGAACUAGACUAGCAAUCAUGCUGUCUGAGAAUACAUGUGUUAGUCUCUUACACUCAUACACCACCAAAGUAGUCAAAUUGCUCAGCACGAGACCCUUCCACAAACACCUCAUGUCAGGCACAAGCAGGGAGCCCAAGCGCAAUGUUUUCAAACUUGUUAACUCCUACAUCAAAAGACAACAAUGGCACUAAUUUGUUAGAUAUAAUUCCUAGUAUGUUUUGGUAAAUAGAUGAAUCAGUUAUCAACAAAAGGAUACAAGUAGACAUGGCAAAAGGGCAUUGGAAUAUGAAAUCAUAAGUUGCAAGACUGAAAUAGACAACUCAAUAUUAGCAAAUGGAGGUUUAUCGUCCUAUCCAAAUACUUUCAUUAAUUGGGGGAAGAGCCUCAAUUUCACUCAAACUGGGAAAGCAUAAAUCAAGGUAGGAUUUCAUUACAAUAAUUAAUUUCUUACUUCUUAAGCCCUGCGUCAAGAGACAGGGAAUGAUACAGUUAGACAACUCCUUUUAAAUUUAGUGGAUGGCUAAAGGAUUUAUCUCCACUUAUAAAUUACUUCAGUUUUAGAAAUUUGGAGGAAGAAACACAGUGUAUUGAAGUUGACAAUUUAAAAUAAAAAGCAAAAAAAUUAUUGGAGAAAUAUAAAGGACGCACUUGAAGCUUUGCCAACAAAUUACCCAAUUCUUCAUGGCCAUCAAUGAUUAGACAUUGCAAAGAAGGCAAUUGGGCAGCAAAAUUCUUAGGGCCAAAAAAGCUGAAAUUUGAUCUGGAAGAAAGAGACAAUUUUCUUAGUCGAGGGAACUUGAUGAUGCCAUCUGUGGUGAGUGCAUCUCCUUCUCCACUGUAAAAUAUUUGCUUUAAAUUAUGAGCAUAAAAAAUCCCCAUCUCUUCCAGGUUCAGAAGACUCGGAGACACAGAGACAGGGAAGACAUAUUCCAGUUUACCACACUCUUCUAUGAAGAUAGUUUUUAAUCUUGGGAAGCGAAGAGACUCUGAAAUUAUUUCCCUUUCAUCAUCCUUUUCUCUGAUAAUAUGCUUCAAUUCACCGCAAUAUCAUAUGUCAAGGGUUGCUAGCUUUGGCAGACUUUGAGCCAGGGAUGGUGUGAAGAUAAAUGUCAGUUUGUCGAGAGAAUUCAAAUUCAGAUGAACAAGAUUUUGGAGGCUGACAUGCCUAGUAGCCCCUUCCAUAUACAUCUGAGCUCAGGUAAGUCGAUCAGCAGUAACGUUGUUAAAGAUGACAGUAGCGACAGCUCCUUCUCCUCAUUGCUUUCUUCAUCCACCUCACCCAAUUCAAAUACCUCUUCCAAUGAUUUACAGCUCUCAAUAUCCACACUACUUAGAUUUUUCAAAGCUUGCAGCAAUUUUGCUGGAAAAGGAGUGCGAACAUCCCCACAAUCGUUCACUUCUACAAAUCUUAAUCUUUGUAAGAAGCCCUUUUGCUGUAUAAAUAUUAUAUUUUUUAAACCCUUCACUCUCAUAAAAACAAUUUAUAUGAUGCAUAAAUAGGAAAAAAAUUUUAUAAAGUACGUACUUGUAGCUGUGCCAACCAAUUACCCAAUUCUUUGCGGCCAUGAAUGGUUAGUUUUUGCAAAGAAGGCAAUUGGACAGCAAAAUUCCGUGGACCUAAAAAGCUGUAAUUUGAUCCGAGCCGAAGAGACAAUUCUUUUAGUUGAGGGAACUUGAUGAUGUCAUCUCUGGUAAGUGCAUCUCCUUCUCCACCGUAAAAUAUUUGCUUUAAAUUGUCAGCAUAAUAAAUCGUCAUCUGUUCCAGGUUCGGAAGACUUGGAGACACAGAGACUGGGAAGACAUAUUCCAGUUUACCACAUCCUGAUACAAGGAGAGUUUUUAAUUUUGGGAAGCCUGGAGACUCUGGAAUUAUCUCCCUUUCACCAUCCUGUUCUCUGAUAAUAUGCUUCAAUUCACCGCAUUUUUCUAUCUCAAGUGUUUCUAGCUGUGGUAGACUUUGAGCGAGGGACGGUGUGAAGAUAAAUGUCAGUUUGUCGAGAGACCAAACCUUCAGAUGAGCAAGACUUUGGAGGCUGACAUGUCUGGUGGCCCCCUUCCAUAUGCAUUUGAGCUCAGGUAACCCUUGCAGCUCUAACAUUGUUAAAGAUGAUAGCAGCGGCAUCUCUUUCUCCUCAUUGCUUUCUUCAUCAACCUCACCCAAUUCAAAUACCUCUUCCAAUGAUUUGCAGCUGUCAAUAAUCACCUUCUUUAGAUGUUUCAAAGCUUGCCGCAAUUUUGCUGGAAACAGAGUGCAAAUAUCCCCACAACGCUGCACUUGUACGAAUUCUAAUCUCUGUAAGAAGCCCUUUUGGAGCUCAUGGCCAUGGUUGGUCAUGUGAUCAGAGUGCAAUUCUAUAUUUUUUAAACCCUCUAAACUCGUAAAAAUAAUUUGGGACACCGUAGGAAACAACAGCUCAAAUGUCAUCACAUUUAAGGAUGUGGCGCUUGUACCAGCCAAAUUUAAUCUUGUCGAGGUUGGGUAUCCUCCUGCAUCAAACCGAUUCCCUAAUACUAUAUCAUAUUUGUGCAAGCUAGGAAAAACAAAAUCUCUGGGAAUGCAUUCCACCUUCGGUAUCCUUAAUGAUAAUACAGCUAACUGAGACAACGAAUUUAGUUCUUUUAGGCUUGCAUUCAUUCCUCCUGUGCUGUCACAUCCAACAACAUCCCAUUCCUCAAAGCUGCCAUCCCCGAUCAACAAUUCUUCUAACUUCUUCAACCUUCCAAUCAAAUUCACAGGAAUCCUACUGAGCCUUUCACAACCUGUCACAUCCAACAACCUUAACUCCUUGAGCUCUCCUAUUUCAUCAGGUAAUUCUUCAAUGGAUAAGCACCACAUAAGACCAAGAAUCUUAAGUCUCUGCAGCUUUCUCAACCAAAUGAGGUCCUUGCAUCCACACAUGAUCAACACCAAAGAUUGAAGUUUCGUUGAUAGUUCAAGUGAUUGCAAUGACAAACGCCCUCCGUUCAGAGACAAAACUUCAAUUUCUCUUAUCCCUUCAAAAAACCUCUGAGGAACAUUCAAACCAUAAUCCACUUCUAAUAAUAGAACUUUGAGCUUUGGACAUACCAAUCCUUCAGGAAGUUCUGCUAGUUUAUUGCCCAUUAACGAAAUUGUUGUACAACCUUCAAAGCUUGUAUUGCUCAUUGGCCACUUCUGCAACCCAAUGCCAGCCUUUACCAUGAAUCCAUAUUCUUCUGAUGAUGCUAUCUGAAUAGCAAAGUCAUGCAUUUUCACAUGUUCUCCAGUUUCAGUGCCCAACAGCAUGCAACAAUCUUUGAGGUUUUCGAUUGCCACAAAAACUCGUUUCCUUGCAUCUUCGAUGGGCUCCGCAUCUUGAUGUAACCCAUAGCCAACUGCAUAUCUCAUCAAGUCCUCGAUUGGAAUAUCAUAGUCUUCUGGAAAUAAACAGCAUAGCACGAAACAUGACUUGGUUUCCUCGAACUUCAAAUAAUCAUAGCUCAACUUAAGACAUGUAUAAGCAUUUUUUUGUUUGUCAAUUUGUUCCAUGCGCGGAAAUUGAGAGUCUUUGAGCUGUUUAGACGCUACUUCCCACUGAACUAGAGAUUUAUCUCUUAGAGCCCUUCCCACUGUCACAAGUGCUAUAGGCAAGCCAUGGCAUUCUCUCGCAACCUCCCUUGCCACUGUGUUCAAGGUAGAGUCCCCAUCACGUAAACCUGCAUUGAUUCUGAAUAAAGCCAAUGCUUCAUCUUCAGAUAAGACUCUUAAAAACACUUUUUGCUGGCACUCCAUAGAAGAACAUAUGUGUUCAAAACGUGUUGUUAGAAGAAUUUUACAACCCCUGUGAUCAUCACCAAAUGGGAUCCCUAUCUCUUUCAAGUCAAUAUCUUCCCAAACAUCAUCUAGGAUUAUAAGCAUCUUCUCCACUUCCUUCAGUCUAUGCCUUAAUCGAUCUGCUCUCCCUUCUCUACUCUUUUCUUUAAUAUCCAGACGUAACUUAUCUGCCAUUCGAUCCUGGAUGUCUGUGACAUUUGGAUUCUGGGACACCGUAGCCAUCAAAACUUCAGGAAAAAGCUGCAACUCUUUGGCUCUCCUGCCUACUUCUUUCACCAGGGUGGUUUUACCCACUCCUCCCAUGCCGUACAGUCCGAUCAUAUUGACACUGUCAUCUUUGAGAGCUUUCAUAAUCUGUUCCAAAGCUUCUUUUGAUGAUUCUGAGGGCGUGAAUUCCUUUGAUGGAAGAAAUUCUAUGGGCUGAAGAUGAGCUUUGUGGGACACCGUUUUAAACUUUUCGCUAAUUUCUUCAAGUUUUCUGAGAGUCUCCGACUUAUUGGCCAGUGCCUUGCUUAACUUGAAUUGUCGCAUGCAGUUUGGACACCAAGUAAAGCAUUUGCCAUUUUUUCCUAUUUCAUUUUCCAAAGGCUUCACACCUUCAAUCUCGUUGUUUGCAUCUUCCAGCCACUUUUUGACAACUUUUUCAAUUUCUUCAGCAUUCGUUUUAGCAUCUUCGACAAUAUUUUGCAGACGUUCUUUUGCCGAAUACAGAUUCUCCUUUCGUUCUUUGAAUUCUUCAACAAAAUUGUUGAAACAGAACAUGUAACGGAACUGCCUUCCUACUGGUUCCACCAUGAGUUCUGCUAUCUUAGAUAUAAUGGAUCCACCCACACUUUCGAUAGCCAUUUUCCACCACUCUGAAAAUCAGAGAAAUAAGGAUACAGAACGCGAGAGUGAGUCACUACAAGUAAAAGAGGCACAGAGAAUGAGAAAAGGAAUUUUAUUACCUUAUUUUGGGAAAAUAUGUGCGAAAAGCACUGGUACUGAUUGCUCAAUGAAAUAGCGGGAGGAAGAAAAGGAGAAGGCCUUUAGCUCUGUAUGGAAUCCAGCUUCAAAAGCAACAAGGCAAGGUAUGAUCUAAGACGAAUGAAAGGUUCAGGAUAAUCACUUAGACGCCUCCAUGGGUGAUACCAGCUCGCUUCCAACAACAAAUGUAAUUAAUCUAAGCUAUGAGCGGUCAAUGUUUUUUUUAGUUUAGUUUUGUUUUUUUUCUUAAAAAACAGAUCAACAAGGGAAAAAACUUGCAAAGAAGUACAAUUACUGGAACGAACUCAACAAAGGAUCAAACUCAAGCAAUUAAAAGUAAUUGUCUCAUCUCUGUGUCACACACUCAAAGAAUUUCAUUACCUUAUUUUGGGAAAAUAUGUGCGAAAAGCACUGGUACUGAUUGCUCAAAGAAAUAGAGAAGGCCUUUAGCUCUGUAUGGAAUCCAGCUUCAAAAGCGACAAGGCAAGGUAUAAGCAUUUUGAUGACAUAAUUAAGAUAACAUGCGUAGUAAUAUAAAGAAAAUGACAAACAAAUAAAAAAAAAUAAUGUGUACAAGCAAGAAACGAAUGAAAGGUUCAGGAUAAUCACUUAGACGCCAUGGAUGAUACCAGCUCGCUUCCAGUAACACAUAUAUUUAACCUAAGCUAUGAUCGGUCAAAAAAAUAUUUAGGUUUCUUUUUUUUAUAUAUAAAAAAAUACAGAUCAACAAGGGGAAAAAAAAAAGAAAAGACUUGCAAAGAAGUAGAAUUACUGGAAUGAACUCAACGAAGGAUCAAACUCAAGCAAUUAAAAGUAAUUGUCUCAUCUCUGUGUCACACACUAAAGGAAGGAGAGAAAAGAAGGGGAUGGGAUCACGGCAAGAAAGAAGGAGAAAGAAAGGAAUGAGACAAAGAAGGAAGAAAGUAAGGUCACGUAGGGGCCAGUCUUGUAGAAAGUUUGAGAAUUAGAAUGAAAAAGAGGAUAAUAAAGUAGUUCACUUGUCAGAAUCAAAACACAUAAACAUAGGACAAAAACAGGGAGAGAGGCUAUUUGUGUUUUUUAACUGUGUUAGAGUGUAUUUUAUAAUUAUAUUUAAUUUAUAGAAAUAUUAAAUUAAAAGUUUUUAAUAUUUUUUGAUAUUUUUUAAAAAUAUAAAAUAUUAUUUUAAUAUAUUUUGAAAUAAAAAACAUUUCACAAUACCAAAUUAUAGUAUAAAUUUAAAGAGAAAUUGAUUUUCUUGUUCAUUAAUGUUUACUCAGACUCAUUUUACUAUGAAUAUUAAUUAUGGGUUUAUUGAAAAUUUUCAAUUUGAUACUUAAGUUUUUUUUCUAUAAUUGAGCCCUUUUGAGCUCAUUUGCAUAUUUUUUUAAGGAUAAGGGUUAAAAUGAAAGAUAGAGAACUAAAAUGAAAAACUAGGCUAAAAUAGGUGGCGGCUCUAUAAUUUGUUUGCAAAGUUCAUUUUAGUCCUCUAUCUUUUUAAACUAUUAAGUAACCAGUUCUUAUAAUUUUUAAACAUUGCAUUUUGGUAUAAAAUUUUAUUUUCCUCCUUUUUUUAGUUUUUUUUUUUUAGAGGAAAGAGAGAGGGUCGCCAGAUUUCAUCUUAGAGAGAAAACGUUGUAGUUGGGGAAGAUUUUGGCCCCUAAAACAUAUGUUGCUUGAUUUUUAAUUGAGUCUAAGUGGUUUUUAUAAUUAUAUUUAAUUUAUAAAAAUGUUAAAUUAAUAUAUUUUUAGUGUUUUUUUGUGAUUUAAAAAAAUAUAAAAUUAUUUUAUUAUGUUUUUAAUAAAAAAUAUUUUUAAAAAGCAUGUGUCCCAAUACCGAAUUAUUAUAAUUAUAAUAUAAACUAAAAGACACAGUCUUUUAGUUUGGCCUUUGACUUAUAGCACCGUGAAUUAGAACAACGUUAUCAUGUCCUAACCAUAGUUAUUAAACCCGAUCCAGAGGUUGACCUGGCCAAGGUGCCGGGUCCUGAGUUUCAUGGGUCAACCCGGAAAAAAAAAUAAAAAUUAAAGUUUUAAUAUUUUAUAUGAAAAAUUAAGAAAAAAUACAUGUAAAUAUAUGCUAUACAUAUUGUAAAUAAUGAAAUUUAAAAGAAUAUUUUAAAAAGUUUUUUUAUCUCACAUUAAAAAGAUAUUAUGUUAGGCUUUUAAGUUGAAAUAUUUAAACCAAAAAAGUUUUUUAUCUCACAUUGAAAAAAAUAUAACUUUUUUCUUGGAAACAUAGAGUAUAUAUAUUAUAAUACUAAUGGGUUUUAAAUCCCACAUUGAAAAAACAUAGUUUUUUUCUUGUGAACAUAACAUAGUUUUUUUCUUGUGAACAUAGAAUAUAUAUACUAAUGGGUUUCAAAUCCCACAUUGAAAAAAGAUAACUUUUUUCUUGGGAAUAUAGAGUAUAUUUACUAUAAUACUAAUGGGUUUUAAAUCCCACAUUAAAAAGAUACUAUGUUAUCCUUUUAAGUUGAAGUAUUUAAACUAAAAGGUUUUUUUAUCCCACAUUGAAAAAACAUAACUUUUUUUUUUGAAACAUAAUAUAUACUAAUGGGUUUAAAAUCUCACAUUUGAAAAAAAAACACCGGGUCUCGCCCCGGUUGACCCGCCAGGUCGAUCAAGUUUGGUCAGGUCAUUGCAUCGGCCGGUCUUUUGACAAACAUGGACCGGUUCAGCCCCCAGGUCAACCCGCCAGUCCGUUCAGGUUUAAUAACUAUAGUCCUAACUGACACGAUCAAAGAGUUGAUGUCUUAUCCCAAGUGCAAGAGUGUCAAAGUAAUAAAUAACCCGUCAAGACCGGGGUCGAACCACAAGGAGGUGAAUUAUAUAAAUUAUAAUAAUAAUAAUAAUAAUAAUAAUAAGAACAACAACAACAAUGAUGAUGAUGAUGAACAACAACAGGACUUUGAGAUGUAAGAUAAAUGUGAAGAUUAAAUAAUGAUAAAAACAAAUGUCAAGGUUAGAGGAUCCACUAAUAGUAUUAGAGAUAAGUAAAGUAUAAACUCUUUAUAAAUUAUCAACACGAUCAUAUCAAUCAUCUUAUUUACGUAACACCAUAUUUGUCGCACGUCAGAAAAUUCGUGCGGCAUCGGCUUGCAAUUUUAUCGUUGUUAUGCGUUGAUUUAGGGUCUUAGGAGUCGCCACCUAGUAAUUUAUAGAAGGCUACUAGGAAACCGGAUGAACUGGUCUUGUCAGAGAUUCACGAGUAAGAGACUGGUUGUGGUUAGAGAAGGUAUUAGCACCCCUAACACACCCUACCUGAGGUAAGCUGCUUCGUGGACUUGAUGUGUUAAAGAAGUUUUAAAAAUUCUGUUCUUUCAUUGAAUUUUAGAAAUACGACUUCCAUGUAAGUUCAUAAUUCUUUAUCCGUGAGCAAAUCAAAAUAUUAAAUUCUUCUUUAAUCUUUGCAAUUUUAUCAUAAAUAAAAAAAAAAACAUCCAUAACAAAAAAUAUAAACACACACAUACACCUUCACUGUAUUUUUUCUCUUUUCUUUUCUUUUCUUUUUGUUUUUACAUCCACAAUACAAAAUACAAUUUCAAAAGAACAAACUAAACCAAAAUUACAAUAAUAACCCCAAAACAAUCUGGAAUUUACAGGGAACACCUUCUGCAUCACCAGAACAGUGUCAGGCAGACUUCUGGAGCUGCAAGAACAGUGGUCGCACGUCUCCUCCACUCGCCACCGUGGCUGGUGGCGCGUGGGUUCACGCGCCGCCGCUGACAAUGCCCGAAAAUGGGCGGAUCUGCCCUGCUUUCUUCUUCCCUUCCCUUCUCUGCUGGCUGUGAGAACCACCGUUACCUGCAAAGGGGGAAAAAUAAACACAAUGCAAAGCUUCCGAUCCUCUCCUUUUUUAGAUCUACUAUCUUCUGUCUUCUCUUUCGGGUUUUCUGUUCUUCCCUUCUUCAGGUGGCAGGUCUGCCGGCUUCUUCUCCCCUUCCCCUCUGCAUCAGCGGUGGCUAGUGAGGAUGGAGACUGGCUGCUGUGGUCGGGUCUGUUCGUUGACCCGGAGAGGGAGGCCGAUGGGUCGGCUGAGAGAGGAGAGGAGGUGUUCCCGGGCGUGGAUGCUGCUGGAUGCUCUUCACUCCUGUUGGUGGCAGCAAUGGUUGGCCUUGCUGCUGUUGUCCGGCUGUCACUGGAGGCUGGUUGAUGGAGACCUGUGAGAUGGCCGGGGAGGGAGGCCGAUGGAAGGGAACAGUUGGGAUGGAGAGGGACGGCACUGCUGCUGUUCAGCCGCUGCUGGGGCCGAAUGGAGGAGAGACCUGGCGAUGGAAAUGAGAGAGUGAGGGGAUCCUGUUCUGUCAAAGAGAGGGGCGAGUGAAAGGGAGAUGAGGGAAAUGCAGAGGAGGCUGCUCUGGCUUGGGAAAAGAAGUUGGAAAUGAGGGCUAUCUGUUGAUGACCGGGCUGUGGGAGAAGGAAGAAAAAUGAGUGCUAGUCUUGGGAGAUGUGGAAACGGUGGGUGUUGUCUGUGAAGGGGAGGCUGGUCUGGGUGUGUGGGGGCUGUGGCUGAGGGGAAGGAACGGUGAUCAAGGGGGAGGGGGCUGGACUAUGGCCGGCUGUCACUGGUUGAAGGAAGGCCUGUGGGAAAGCUGGAGAGGCAGAGAGGGAAGAAGAAACCGAAGGGAAAACUUGGGGAAAGGGGAGCAGCGGCUUGUGUGAAGGAAAAUGGAGUGGGCAGCUGUUGUAAAAAUGAAUGGGGUUUUGUGUUGUUGGCUGGCCAAGGAGAAGAAAAUGGGAGGAACGGCGUGGAGAGGAAAACCAAAAACAUGGGGGGCCUGUGUUGUUGGCUAGAAAAUGGGGGAGGGCUGGCGGCUUGGAGAAGAUGAGAUAGGUUUAGGGUUUCUCUUCCCCUCUUCUGAUGUUGUCAAAAUUCUCCCCUGUUUGAGUUGUGGACCAGUAUUUAUAGAUAAAAUGUUGCAUGGAUCUAAAAAUUGAUCCCUCAACUUUUUUUAUUUUUUUUGUAAAUUUGAUUUUUCUUAAUUUUUUUGUAUUUUUUGAAAACGAGCAAUAUCAACGUCGACUCAAUGAAGAAAAUCAAUGAUUUUAAAAAUAACGCGUUGAAAGUUGAACGCGUUCCAAAUGUCUUUGAAAAUUUAAAUUCUUUUGAGACGAUGCUAAAAAAGAUGCAAAUGUAUUAAAAAUGUAUUUUUUGGAUUUUCAAUGUUUUUCGCUAUUUUUGGAUUUUUUCUGAAAAUUUAUCAAAACAUGGGUCAAAAAUUGGGUAGCAACAGAUGCCCCCUCUUUACAAUGCUUACGAAGCAAAACUCCUCAAUGUUUUGCAUAGUAAGCUUUGUAAAGAAAAACUUGUCUUUCUGUCACUCAAUAUCCACUCAUCUAAAGGCCUUGCUCUUUUUUUUUGUUCUCUCUUCCUUCUCUUUUCUUCCUCUUCUUUCUUCCUUUCUUUCUUUCUCUUUUUUUUUUUAUCUUGAGAUCCCAUCUGGCGAUCUCCUUUUCCAAAACCAAAGAAUAUGUGUAGCUCGGUCAACCUGAAAUCCCAUCUGGCGAUUUCCUUUAACCAAAGCUACAUGAGAUCCCAUCUGGCAACCUCAUUAAACCAAAACUAAAAAAAUGUGUGUGUAGUCUUAUUAUGACGGGUGACCUACCCAAAAUGAAAGAUGGUCUCAUUAUGACGGGUGACCUACCCAAAUACAAGAUGGUCUCAUUGUGAUGGGUGACCUACCCAAGUGGAAAAGGGAAAGAGUGGUCUCAUUUUUAUGGGUGACCUACCCAGGGGGAAGAAUGGCCUCAUUAUAAUGGGUGACCUACCCAAGUAAAAAAAUAAUGGAGAAUGAUCUCAUUCUAAUGGGUGACCUACCCAGAAAAAAUGGUAUCAUUGUGAUGGGUGACCUACCCAAGUGGAAAAGGGGAAGAGUGGUCUCAUUCUUAUGGGUGACCUACCCAGGGGGAAGAAUGACCUCAUUAUAAUGGGUGACCUACCUAAGUAAAAAAAUGGAGAAUGGUCUCAUUAUGACGGGUGACCUACCCAAAUACAAGAUGGUCUCAUUGUGAUGGGUGACCUACCCAAGUAGAAAAGGGGAAGAGUGGUCUCAUUCUUAUGGGUGACCUACCCAGGGGAAGAAUGGCCUCAUUAUAAUGGGUGACCUACCCAGAAAAAAAAAUGGAGAAUGGUCUCAUUCUAAUGGGUGACCUACCCAGAUGGAAGAUAGAAAAAAUAUGAAGUGGUCUCAUUGUAAUGGGUGACCUACCCAUAUGGAAGAUGAGAAAAAUGUGAAGUGGUCUCAUUAUUAUGGGUGACCUACCCAGGUGGAAGAUAGAAAAAAUGUGAAGUGGUCGCGUUAUAAUGGGUGACCUACCCAGGUGGAAGAUAGAAAAAAUGUGAAGUGGUCGCGUUAUAAUGGGUGACCUACCCAGGUGGAAGAUAGAAAAAAUGUGAAGUGGUCGCGUUAUAAUGGGUGACCUACCCAGGUGGAAUAUAGAAAAAAUGUGAAGUGGUCGCGUUAUAAUGGGUGACCUACCCAAGUGGAAAGAAUGUGAAGUGUGGUCUCAUUAUAAUGGAUGACCUACCCAGAUGGAAGAUAGAAAAAAUAUGAAGUGGUCGCGUUAUAAUGGGUGACCUACCCAAGUGGAAAGAAUGUGAAGUGUGGUCUCAUUAUAAUGGGUGACCUACCCAGAUGGAAGAUAGAAAAAAUAUGAAGUGGUCGCGUUAUAAUGGGUGACCUAUCCAAAGAAAAAGGAAAGAAUGUGAAAAACGGUCUCAUUAUGAUGGGUGACCUACCUAAAUGGAAAAAUGUGACUUACCUAGCAAAAAGACUUGGCAGGCGAAGUCCUGAUAGGAUAAGGCUGACAAACGGCGCUUCCUAAUUGCAAGGUUUACUUGAAGACUCCUCUUGAUGACGGGGUUAAUCUCCUCGUUUCUUUGAGAUUCUCCUACUGGCAGGGUUCAUCUCAUUCUCUUCUCGUUCCAGGAUCUAAACCGAUUCUUUGUCAUCAUCAACUCAAUGAUUCUUUCUUUGUCCACAACCUUGUUGAACUUCAUUGAGGAUCUUUCUGUAACAAAUCACAAGUAUGUGCAAUGCUUUGAGGUUAGAUGACAUGCAUGCAUCCUUACCUGAUGUGAAAUAUAGGUCCCCCCCUUUGAUGAUCCAUCGUCAUAGGGUGCCUUUGUUUGCUAACCAAAGCCUUCUUUGCUCUUCCCAUGUACUGACUCAUUCGUGUGCUAGCCAUCCACUCAAAUGUAAGUGCAGUGCCCAUCUCGGGCUGUCUACGACGAUUACUACUCUCAGUUGUUCUCAAUGUUGACCAUGCUUCCAAGCGUGGUGUUGCUCGAUUCAUCAUGAAGGAGUUGAACAAAUCAUCCAUCUCCUAGAUUCUCUCAAGAAUUGUCCUUUGAUUGGUUGUGCGUGUUUUGCCACUGCCGGUCAAGAGGUUUUCUAGUGUUUAACCUCAUUUUAGAUGGACUUGCCCCCAGUUGAAAUAACACUCUUCAAGUAUAUAUUAUCACCCGCCUUCUUGGAACUGCUAAGUCAUCCAGACAUGCCUCUCAUACUUUGCAGUAAAAGGCUAAUCAUUGUAAGCUCAAAGUUCUUCUCCAUAGAUUCCUCUCAGCUUGUCAAAUCAGAUCAGGAAAGGAAAUGCGUUGGCAUCAUCAAUGAUGUUCAUCACCCAUAUUCAUGCGGUGAAGUGUACAUUUGAGCUUCAAAGCAGAUGGUCCCACAGUCAGUCUUGGUGGGUGCAUCUUUCCAACAUUCAUUCAAAUGCAACUAUGCGAUAACAUCAUUCAAAAGUCAUAGCCAUGUUGGAGAUGAUAAACCAUGAUGAAGAUAUGAAAAUAUCCUUCAAAUGCAGCGUUGUUCAUCAAUUGCUGUUGAAGUUCACUAGAUCACAAACUGUCUUUGAACAAUAUUGCCCCCAGCAAUGAUUUGAAUGCUUGUUCAUCUGUCUAUAAUCAAGAAGUUUUUUUUUCUUUGUCAUUGCCAGAUGCUAAACAUAACUUCGAUGGACUUUGACGACUCAUCAUCUGAUUUUUUUUUUGCUUUGCCCUCAGCUGAUCUGAAUACUGCUUGUUUUCCUACCUAGGAUCCACUGUAUUGCCCCUAGGUGGUCAACUUUUCAAGGAGUGUCGAGAAAUGUUGAUGUCAUUCUUGUCAAGGAUUUUGCAAAUUCAAUCGAUGUUCUUCUUGUUUGACAAUCUUCCUUGUUCUGGAAUCAAAUCUCAUAUUUCAACGCUCAUGUCUAUUCAAAUCUAAUUGUUGAAAUGAAAUCAGAGAGAUGUCAAUUUUGAAAAGUAUUUUCUGGAAAUCAAGCUUGUUUGGUCAAAGAUCCAACACACGCUAUUCAAUGAAGUCCUUUAAUUGUCUUGUAUUUUGAAGACAGAAAUAACUCGUUGUAAGAUUAAAAUGACUUUUUUCGUGGUUCUUUGUGUCAAUUUUAAUCUUUGAUCUUAGGUAUAUCUUUUGAUGGCCUGCGAUGAGGUGACCUUCUGUGGAUUUCAAGAAACAAAAGGCUCAAGUCAAAACUUGAGGAUUCAUCAAGAAAGAUUGUUUUCUUUUUUAGCACCAAUUUUAUUAGCAUGCAUAAUAACAAGUAGCUUAAUCCAUGAAGUCACGACCCUUAUGGAAAAGCUCUUCAAGUUUUGAGAUCGUCAUUUAUCGGUUCAGAUUGCUUACUUGAUUAAAAAAAGGCUUUUUACAGCACGUAAUGCAUGCUAUGGUUCAUGGCUUAUGAAAGAAAGGAAAUUCACAGGCUCAAAAGGUGUUUGAGGGUUUUAAAGACCUAGGAUCAACAUCAAUUAUUCAUCAACUCCUUUUCUAUUGUUGUCUUUGUAGAGACGACAUAGAACCUUGUUAACCUCAAAGAUCAGACUUCUCUUAACAUAAGUCAUAAUGCAAAUCCACCUUUCCUUGAUGAAUAACCAACCUCAAUCAUCUGAUAACAUCAGAGGUUUUAUAAUGGAUAUCAAAAGUCACGUUUAUAGCUUAGUCUUUCUUCUGCUAUUGACUUUUGUUGUCUUUCCUUGAUGUCUUUCUUCUGCUAUUGACUUUUGUUGUCUUUCCUUGAUUGAAAUUUCUUUUGCCAAGACUUGAUAGACAUUCUCUUUCCUUUAUCUUUGACUUGCCUUUAAGUGAAGGCAAUUUCAACUUCUUUUUUUUUUUUUCAUAGCCUUCCUCAAAAUUUUCUUAUAUGCCCCCAGCCUAUGUGUUUUCUUUUAGCCCUCUCUCAAUCAUUGGACUUUUGUUCUAAGCCUUCCUUUUAUCCAUUAAUGUCUUCAAAAUAUCUCUCAUUGCCCCCAGUGUGGGGUGUGGUCCUAGUCAGGGUUUCUUUUUGAAAGAAAAUAUUUUACAAGGCUAAAAAAUGGGACUGCAAGGGAUAUAAUCUUUAGAAAGUGAAGGGAUAUCAAAGAUGACAUUUUCUCAUUUCAAGCAAGGUCGGUUAGAACCGAUAAAUUUUGACCUCAUCCAGUGUAAUGAUUGGGACUUGUAAGAAUAAUGAUUCACGAGUCCAUAACUAUCGAAUCCACUACAUGUCAUUAUGCAUACUGCUAAAACUUAGCUAUAUGAUGUUUUUUUCAGUUUCAGGAGGUAUGAGUUCAAAAUUGUUUGGUCACCUCAUGUCAUUUUCAAGAAUCAAGUCGUUUCUGCAAUCAAAAUAUUUUUAAUCUUCAGGAUUAAUUAAUCUUAAUCGUAUGUUCGAGCUUGAUCAAAAAUAUUUGUGUCAAAAUAGCCUUUGAAAGAAGCAUCGCUUGAUUUCAAAACAACAAGAAGACAAAGAGAAGACAUGUUUCGUUGAAGGGUGAGAUGUGAUCCCAAAACAAAAUGCAGAAUGCUAAAAUCCCAUAACAAAAAUGAUUGACAAUUUGACCCCUUCUUGGAUCACCUACUCUGGCGAUAUCUGUGUUUCACCGAGUCAAUUUCGAUCACUUGUCAUUCUGAGGAUGUUCUGGUGACAACAUGAUUGAUGACAUCAUCUUUCACAAACUCAGCUCGAUUCUUGAAACUCUUGUGUCUGUUCAACUGAAAUGGUUCACGAACCCUCCAUGAUAUUCACAUCUGGUUUGAAUUAUACCACGGUGGUUGCAUGCAAUUUGUCGAAGUCCGGGGCACUAAGUCUGGAAUCUGGCAGAUGCUAGUCGACAAACUUAAGUGGCAGAGGGAUGUCAAUCUUGGCAAAGACAUUUGAGCCAUUGAUGCUACAAUGAGACCUGGCUAAACCACAUAACUAUGGUUUUCCAUCUUCAGAGUCAUCUCCUUAUUCAACUCCCUUCACAGUUCUGAAAUCCACGGUAGAGCCUUCAAUCUUUCCCAUCUUGAUAGUUAGCUCUAUUCUUUUGGCAAUCCUCACAACAUCAUGUCAAUCUUCCAAUGUUGUUGCGGUUGUAUGAGAAUUGUUGGAACCCUCCACUAGCUAGGUAAUCUUGGCAGCAUACAGAAACAUGCAGUACCACCACUGCCGACGUGUGGAAUCACGCGUUGUCUCAACUGGAAGAGAACUUGAUGAAUCUAAAACUCCUUUGUCUCCUCUUUGAUUCCUCACUGACGGCGCAUCAAACAGACACCUGUAGAGGGAGUUCUGCUCCAUUGAAGUUUCAGUCUUAUUCCCGUUUUUCAGCCCACGUUUGUCUCUUCUCCCUACUUUUGUGUUUUAAUUCCAACACUGGUAGGAGAAAAUUGUAGACGAUCUGAAACUACUGCAUCCCUUCUUGGAUUCCUCACUUACAGAUCCACAAACAAAUCUCUAUAGAGAGAGCUCUGCCACAUAGAAGUUUGAUGUCUGCUUAUGUUUUUCAGACCAGGUAUGGCUUUUCAACCCACUACAGUGUCUUCGUACUGAAACUGGUGGCGUAAAUUUUCAUAUCUUCUGAAACUACUACAUCCCCUGUUCUGCUAGGAAAACAUGAUAUCAGUAUCUAACUUUUGAACAAAGAGUUCAGCAUCAAGUCUCAGUCAUCUUGAGAUUUGAAUGCCCAUAUAUAUUCACAUGCUCAUACAAUAACAUUUUUAAAAAUGCAUUAUGCAUUAGAAACAGAACAUCAAACAAAGAGUUCAGCAUCAAGUAGAACGCAUGAAAGUCCACACAUUAAACCAAAAGAAACACAAAUGGGCAAGCAAACAUACGCCCUUACUUCUGGAGGCUUGUACGAUAAUGACUACACACACAACAUUACAUUACUUCUAACUUCUUCAGCAAACACGUAGAUAGAUAAGUCGCAAUCUUCUAUGGUAAAUAAGACUGUUACAAUGUGAAGCCAAUUUGUAUCCCAUUGCCAAUGAAACAGUUGGAAUUAAUUACUUCCCACCCAUCUAAAACAUACUCGCAGCACCAUCCUUGAAAUCAUGUAACAGCUAACCAACCUUGCCUGAUGCAAACAUGAAGAACAAAGACAAUCCAUGAUUUAAUUCAACCAUUAAAAUUUGAAGGUAAAGGAGAGGAUAAAUAAUCUUCAGCUAUGUCACCUGGUUUGGGCAAGAAAGAAUUAUUAGACUAGCAAUCAUCAUCAUCAUCAUCUUCUUCUUCUUCUUCUUCUAUUUCUUUCCACCCAUUAUUUCUGGUCCACUGUCUAUUAAUGCUUGAAUAUUCAGCUACUUCAGAUACCUGUAAACCAAUUCAAGCAAGGCAUGCUCAUUUUAACUUGUAAAUCUUAUUAUUGAGCCAAACAAGAAACAAACACACUAAAAGAGAGGCAAGAAAUCGAGUCAAAUCAGCAGCACCUCUGAUUGAGCACUCAUUGAACCAUCUGGUGUACUAGCAAAUUUUGUGGUCAGCUUUGGACAUUGAUGGACCGUCAACUCCUCCAAACGAGGGAAUAAGAAAUAAUCACACCAUCCGAAACUAAAACGGACAAUACUUGAUAAUUGUUCUAGCGACAACUCCUUUAGAUUAGGAAGCACUAUCUCCUUCUCAACGUUGAUAGGUGAAGCUUGACCAUCCUGCCCAGGAGACUCUGGAAUUAUUUCCCUUUCACCAUCCUCUUCUCUGAUAAUAUGCUUCAAUUGACCGCAUUUACGUAUGUAAAGUAUUUCUAGCUGUGGUAGACUUCGAGCGAGGGACGGUGUGAAGAUAAAUGUCAGUUUGUCGAGAGAAUACAAAUCCAGAAUAUUUAGACUUUGGAGGCUGACAUGUCCGGUGGGCCAUAUGCAUUUGAGGUCAGGUAAAAUUUGCAGCUCUAACUCUGUUAAAGAUGACAGCAGCGGCAUCUCCUUCUCCUCAGUGCUUCCUUCAUCAGGCUCACCUAAUUCAAAUACCUCUUCCAGUGAUUUGCAGCACUCAAUUUUCACAGUGCUUAGAUUUUUCAGGGCUCGCAGCAAUUUUGCUGGAAACGGAGCACGAACAUCCCCACAAUCCCUCACUCGUACAAAUUCUAAUCUUUGUACGGAGCCGUUUUGCUGUUCAUGGGCGGCCAUCUGAUCAGAGAACAAUAUUAUAUUUUUUCACUCUCAUAAAAACAAUUUAUACGAUGUAUAAAUAGGAGAAAAAAAUAGAAAAAAGAGGAUUAAAUACUUUUUAGAGAUUACAUAUUAUUGUUUUAGUUUUGUUCUUAAUUAGAGAUAAGUUGAAUAAUAAUUAGAUGUUUGUGAAAAAAAGGUUAAUACAACUCCUAAUAAUUAGUUUCAUGUAAAAAAUAAAAAUAAAAAUAGUAACUAAGAUUUUUAUUUUAGUUAUAAAGUUAAUAAAUUUUUAAAGAUAUUUUAAUUGACUUCAAAAUUUUCAACACAAAAUUUAUGCUCUUAUAUAUUAAUGAUUUUUUUUGUGAAGUUAUUUGAUGUAAUUUGGUCUAAUUUUUAUCCAGAUAGAUUACCUCCAAAGUACCCUUCCAUAUACACCUCGUGUCAGGCACGGAGUCCAAGCUUAAUGUUUUCAAAUUUGUGAACCCCUGCAUCAAAAGAAAUUUUGUGCACUUUGGAAUUGUCCAUAUAAAACUUCAGCCAAAAACUUAUCAACAAAAGGAUAGAAGUAGACAUGGCAAUACGGCAUGGGAAUAUGAAAUCAUAAGUUUUUGAAGAUAUUUUAAUUGAAUUAAAUAUUUGAACACAAAAUAAGCUAAUAUGAUUUCUAUGAUUAAUUGUUGGCAUUAAGUUUCUUAUAUUUAUAUAUGCUUAGAUAAAACAAAAAAAUAAGCAGUGACGAAGAAAGAAUAAAUCUAACAGAUAAUAUAAAAGCUGCAGGACUGAAACGAACAACUCAAUAUUAGCAGAUGGAGGUUUAUCUUCCUCUUCAAAUACUUCCAUUAAUUGGGGGAAGAGCCUCAAUUUCACUCAAACUUGGAAAGCGUAAAGAUUGAAAAAUCUGGAUAUCAUUUCAUUACAAUAAUUAAUUUCUUACUUCUUAAGCCCUCCAUCAAGAGACAGGGAAUGAUACAGUUAGACAACUCCUUUUCAAUUUAAUGGAUGGCUAAAGGAUUCAUCUCCACUUAUCAAUUACUUCAGUUUCAGAAAUUUAAAGGAAGAAAUCAACAUGUAUUGAAGUUGACAAUUUAAAUUAAAAAGGAAAAAAAAAAAUUGGAGGAAUAUAAAGGACGUACCUGGAGCUGUGCAAAGAAAUUUUCCAAUUCUUUGUGGCCAUAGAUGGUUAGACUUUUCAAAGAAGGCAAUUGUGCAGCAAAAUUCUUUGGACCAAAAAAGCUGUAAUUUGAUCUGGAAGAAAGAUCCAAUUCACUUAGUUGAGGGAACUUGAUGAUGCCAUCUGUGGUGAGUGUAUCUCCUUCUCCACUAUAAAACAUUUGCUUUAAAUUGUCAGCAUCAGAAAUCGUCAUCUUUUCCAGGUUUAGAAGGCUUGGAUACACAGAGACAGGGAGGACAUAUUCCAGUUUACCACACUCUUUUAUGAUAAUUGUUUUUAAUAUUGGAAAGUAAGGAGACUCUUGAAUUAUCUCCCUUUCAUCAUCCUUUUCUCUGAUAAUAUGCUUCAAUUCACCGCAUUUACUUAUGCGAAGGCUUUCUAGCUUUGACAGACUGUAAGCAAGGGACGGUGUGAAGAUAAAUGUCAGUUUGUCGAGAUAAUUCAAAUCCAGAUGAGCAAGACUUUGGAAGCUGACAUUUCUGGUGGGCCCCUUCCAUAUGCAUUUGAGCUCAGGUAACCGGUACAGAUUUAACUCUGUUAAAGAUGGCAGAAGCGGCAGCUCCUUCUCCUCACUGCUUCCUUCAUCAGGCAGCUCACCUAAUUCAAAUACCUCUUCCAAUGAUUUGCAGUCCUUAAUUUCCACCUUCCUUAGAUUUUUCAGAUCUGGCAGCAAUUUUGCUGGAAACGGAGCCCCACAAUCGACCACGUGUACAGAUUCUAAUCUUUGUAAGAAGCCGUUUUGCUGUCCAUGGGCGGCCAUCUUAUCAGAGAACAAUAUUAUAUUUUUUCACUCUUGUAAAAACAAUUUAUAUGAUGUAUAAAUAGGAGAAAAACAUAGAAAAAACAGGAUUAAAUACUUCUUAGAGAUUACAUAUUAUUGUUUCAGUUUUUUUUUCUUAAUUAGAGAUAAGUUGAAUAAUAAUUAGAUUUUGGAGAAAAAAAGGUUAAUAACUCCUAAUAAUUAGUUUCAUGUAAAAAAUAAAAAUAAAAAUUGUAACCAAUAUUUUUAUUUUAGUUAUAAAGUUAAUAAAAUUUUAAAGAUAUUUUAAUUGAAUUAAAUAUUUGAACACAAAAUAAGCUAAUAUGAUUUCUAUGAUUAAUUGUUGGUAUUAAGUUUCUUAUAUUUAUAUAUGUUUAGAUAAAACAAAAAAAUAAGCAGUGACGAAGAAAGAAUAAAUCUAACAGAUAAUAUAAAUUACGUAAACCAUGAGGCAGUUAAAUCUAACAGAUAAUAUAUUUCAAAUGAGGCAGUUAAAUCUAACAGAUAAUAUGUUCUUCCAUAUGAUUAAUUUUUAAUAAGGCAGACAACAAUGAGGCAGUUAAGUUUCUUAUAUUUAUAUAUGUUUACAUAAAAAAAUAAAAAUAAGCAUUUAUCAAUUACUUUACUUUUAGAAAUUGGGAGGAAGAAAGAACAAAUUAUCGCAAUUGACAAUUUAAAUUAAGUGGAGAAAUAUAAAUUACGUACUUGUAGCUGUGCCAACCAAUUACCCACUUCUUCGUGGCCUUCAAUGGUUAAUUCUUGCAAAGGCAAUUGAGCAUCAAAAUUCCUUGGACCUAAAAAGCUGUAAUUUGAUCUGAGCACAAGAGACAAUUUUCUUAGUUGAGGGAACUUGAUGAUGCCAUCUCUGUUAUGAGACAAAGAGACUGGGAAGACAUAUUCCAGUUUACCACAGUAAGCUACAUGGAGAGUUUCUAAUUCUGGGAAGCAAGGAGACUGUGGAAUUAUUUCCCUUUCACCAUCCUCUUCUCUGAUAAUAUGCUUCAAUUCACGGCAAGCAAUUAUGGAAAGUCUAUCUAGCUUUGGCAGACUGUAAGCAAGGGACGGUGUGAAGAUAAAUGUCAGUUUGUCGAGAGCAUACAACUCCAGAUUAAUAAGACUUUGGAGGUUGACAUGUCUGGUGGGCCCCUUCCAUAUGCAUUUUAGCUCAGGUAAUAUUUUCAGCUUUAACUCUGUUAAAGAUGACAGCAGCGGCAUCUCCUUCUCCUCACUGCUUCCUUCAUCAGCCUCACCCAAUUCAAAUACCUCUUUCAAUGAUUUACAGCUGUCAACAAUCACCUCCUUUAGAUUUUUAAAACCUUGCCGCAAUCUUGCUGGAAACAGAGCGAAAACACCCCCACAAUCCCUCACUUUUACAGAUUCUAAUUUAUGUAAAAACAAUUGCUCAAAUGUCUUCGCAUUUAAGGAUGUACCAACCAAAACUAAGGAGGUUGGGUAUCGAUCCCAAAACCUUAUUUCAUAUUCAUUAGCAUACCCUAAUAUUAUAUGAUAUUUGCGCAAGCUGACUGGAAAAACAAAAUCUCUGGGAAUGCAUUCAACCUUCGGUAUCCUCAAUGAUAAUACGGCUAACUGAGACAACGAAUUUAGUUCUUUUAGGCUUGCAUUCAUUCCUCCUGUGCUGUCACAUCCAACAACAUCCCAUCCAUCAAAUCUGCAACCCCCGAUCAACAGCUCUUCUAACUUCUUCAACCUUCCAAUCAAAUUCACAGGGAUCCUUCUUAGCCUGUAACAACCUGUCACAUCCAACAACCUUAACUCCUUGAGCUCUCCUAUUUCAUCAGGUAAUUCUUCAAUGGAUGAGCACCACAUAAGACCAAGUAUCUUAAGUCUCUGCAGCUUUCUCAACCAAAUGAGGUCCUUGCAAUUACACGAGAUCAACACCAACGAUUGAAGUUUCGUUGAGAGUUCAAGUGAUUGCAAUGACAAACACCCUCCCUUCAGAGACAAAACUUUAAUUUCUUUCAUCCCUUCAAAGAACCUCUGAGGAACAUUCAAACGAUUAUCCAGUUCUAAUAAUAGAACUUUGAGCUGUGGACAUACCAAUCCUUCAGGAAGUUCUGCUAGUUGAUUGCCCAUUAACGAAAUUGUUGUACAACCUUCAAAGCUUGUAUCGCUCAUUGGCCACUUCUCUAACCGUAAGCCAGCCUUUACCAUGAAUCCAUAUUCUUCUGAUGCUAUGUGAAUAGCAACAUCACGAACAAGGUCAUGCAUUUUCACAUGUUCUUCAGUUUCAGAGCCCAACACCAUGCAACAAUCUUUGAGGUUUUCGAUUGCCACAGAAACACGUUUCCUUGCAUCUUCAAUGGGCUCCGUGUCGUGAUGUAACCCAUAGUCAACUGCAUAUCUCGUCAAGUCCUGGAUUGGAAUGUCAUAGUCUUCUGGAAAUAAACAGCAUAGCACGAAACAUGACUUGGUUUCCUUGAGCUGCAAAUAAUCAUAGCUCAACUUAAGACAUGUAUAAGCAUUAUUUUUUUCGUCAAUUUGUUCCAUGCAAGCAAAUUUAGAUUCUUUGAGCUGUCUACACGCGAAUUCCCACUGAAGUGCAGAUUGAUCUCUUAGAGCCCUUCCCACUGUCACAAGUGCUAUGGGCAAGCCUUGACAUUCUCUCGCAACCUCCCUUGCCACUGUGUUCAAGGUAGGGUGCCCAUCAAGUAAAUCUGCAUUGAUUCUGAAUAAAUCCCAUGCUUCUUUUUCAGGUAAUUCUCUUAAGAACACCUUUUGCUGGCAUUUCAUAGAAGAACAUACAUUUGUACGACGUGUUGUUAGAAGUAUUUUACAACCCCUGUGAUCAUCACCAAAUGGGAUCCCUAUCUCUUUCAAGUCAAUAUCUUUCCAAACAUCAUCUAGGAUAAUAAGCAUCUUCUCCACUUGCUUCAGUCUCUUCCGUAAUAGAUCUGCUCUCCCUGGAUUAGUAUUCUUUUCUUUAAUAUUCAUCAGUUCUAACUUAUCUGCCAUUAGGUGCUGAAUGUCUUUGACAAUUGGAUUCUGCGACACCGUAGCAAUCAAAACUUCAUCAAAAAGCUGCGACUCUCUGGCUAUCGUGCCUACUUCUUUCACCAGGGUGGUUUUGCCCACCCCUCCCAUGCCGUACAGUCCGAUCAUAUUGACAUUGUCAUCUUUGAGAGCUUCCAUAAUCUGUUUGAAAGCUUCUUCUGACGAUUUUGAGGGCGUGAAUUCCUUUGAUGGAAGAAAUUCUAUGGGCUCAGGAUGAGCUCUGUGGGACACUUUUGUAGACUUUUUUUCUAAAAGUUCUCUGAAAGUCUCCGACUUCUUGGCCAGUGCCUUGCUUAACUUGAAUUGUCGCAUGCAGUUUGGACACCAAGUGAAGCAUUUGCCAUUUUUUCCUAUUUCAUUUUCCAAGGGUUUCGCAUCUUCAAUUUCGUUGUUUGCAUCUCCCAGCCACUUUUUGACAUCUUCGUAAAUUUCUUCAGCAUUCCUGUCAGCAGCUUUGACAUCGUCUUGCAGACGUUCUUUUUCCGAAACCAGCUGCUCCUUCUUUUGUUUGAAUUCCUUAACAAAAUCGUUGAAACAGAACAUGUAACGCAACUGCCUUCCUACUGGUUCCACCAUGAGUUCUGCAAUCUUAGAUAUAAUGGAUCCACCCACACUUUCGAUAGCCAUUUUCCACCGACCUGAAAAUCAGAGAAAUAAGGAUACACAGAACGUGAGAGUGAGUCACUACAAGUAAAACAGGCGCAGAGAGAAUGGGAAUAGGAAUUUCAUUACCUUAACUUGAGAAAAUAUGUGCGAAAAGCACUGGUACUGAUUGCUCAAUGAAAUGGAGAAGGCCUUUAGCUCUGUAUGGAAUCCAGCUUCAAAAGCAACAAGGCAAGGUAUAAGGAUUCUACUGACACUUGUGAGUUAAAGCAGUAAUUCCCAUUAAAAAUGCAUUUUGAUGACAUAAUUAAGAUCAUAUAGAGACAGUGACAAACAAAAAAGAAAGAAACGAGUGAAAGGUCCAGGAUAAUCACUCAGCCCGCUUCCAACCACAAAUAUAAUUAACUAAUCUAAGCUAUGAUCGGUCAAAGUCAAAGUUUUUUUUAGUUUUAUUCUUUUUUUAAAUAAAAAAAACAGGAAAAGACUUGCAAAGAAAUAGAAUUACUGGAAUGAACACAAUAAAGGAUGAAGCUCAAGCAAUUAAAAAUAAAUUAUCUAUGAUGAUCAUCUGUUUGUCACACUCAAUGAAGUAACAUGAUUGACCUUUUACAAUAUUAAAUAAAUAAAUAAAUAAAAGCUAAAAGAACUAGGUUUUUGGUGGCAUCCAGAUUGCGGUUACUUUCUUCAUCCUUCUUUUGUGGUUUUAUUUUAUUUCAGUCCUUCAAAUCUUUUUCUUUUGCUAUUUCAUCGAGUUGCUUUGCUCGAGUUGAUGUGCUUGCCCUAGAAUAUGCAUCAUGCUAGGGAUUACAAUUACAUUACAUAAGAAAUUAUACUUACAGAUUAUAAUUAAAAAUUUCAGUUUUUUUUUAAAAACAAAUUUAUGAGAGAGUACCAAUUUACAACGUGAGUAAAUGAAAGGAGAAUUUUAAAUCUUUUUGUGACAUGGUGACCAGCUGAUCCAAGUAACCAAUAGAUUAUCACCACUUGUUCAACCUAUCUGCACAUUAAGAUAGGGGUAGUCAUAACUAUGACUAGGAGUGAGCAAAAAAACCGAAAAACCGAUUUAACCAAGAAAACCAGAAAAAAAUUAACCGAAAAAACCGAACCGGUAAAAAAAACCGAUUGAACUGGUUAAAAUAUUUAGGAAAAUGUCCGGUUCGGCUUCCGGUUUUGGUGUGCCUAAACCAGCCAACCCGAACCGAACCGAACCGGUUCGGUUUAGGAAUGAAAAAAAAAUAUAAACCAAGCGGGUCGCCUCCUCCCAUUACUUUCCCUUUCAACAACCCUAGCAGACCAUUUAUUUGUUUUCCCUUUCACACAGCCGCCCCCUCCCCUCCAACCCUUUCAAUCUUCAUUCACACUUCACAGACAUAGCCGCCCCCUUCAAUCACCCCUACUCCCAUUAACAGCCGCUCCCUCCCAUUAACAGCCGCCUCCUCUUCACCAGUCAACGAGCUUAGGCUAUUCUCGGACAACCAUUCUUCGAAUCUCGAAAGAAACCGCCGUGCGUGUGAGGUGGCGAAACUGUUACCGCUUCUAGAUCUUCUUCAAUCUAUUGCUUCUAUCAAAGCCGAUUACAUCGCUCAGGUAAUCUUGUCAUGUAAUUACAUAUUUAAUUAAUUAUUGCUUGUUGAUUUUAUAUUGUUUCUAUUUUUCAAUUUUGAUGUGUUAAUUAUUUUGAACAAUGUAAAAAUAAAGGUGGACGAAAGAACACAAUUUGGAAAGGAAAUUGGAAUCGUUGUCCCUGUCUCAGAUUCUCAAAAGACAAUCAAUCGCAAACAGUAUGUCCUCCAUUUUUUUUUCUUCUUUUCUUUCUCACUGGUAGAUUGGAAUUUGAAACUGCCAACAAAAGUUUGUAUUCGAAGUUAGCUUUUUGAAAAUUGACCCUAUUAUAUAUUUACUGUGGCUUAAGCUUUGAGAUAUUGCAUGAUUAUGAAUUAGUUUAUAUGAGUUGAAACUUGAAACAUAGUCUGACAAGGAUGGAUUAACCAAUUGCUGGGAAAAUAGUUUUCAAAUCUCUUUGAAAAAUGUCUGAUGCUGCGACAUAAGUCACAUAACAGACUCGAUUUGAAGGGAAUCUUUGAGAUAUUGCAUGAUUAUGAAUUGGUUUAUAGAAAUUUGCUGGAUUGAUUUUUUUUCUUUUUCUUUUUUAAAAGGGAAUUUAAUUAAAAUACAUUUUUUUCAUCUACUUUUUAAGUUUAAAUCUUAGAAUUAAUAUCCAAAAAAUUUCACCUUUGCUCGCUAAAAUAUAAUUUUAAUCUUAACAAAAAACUAUAUCUUAAAAUUGACUGUGUUGCUAUCCAACUAAGAAAUUGACUCAAGUGGCUUAGUGAUAUAUAGUGGGGACAUUCUAUUUUAGACAUGCAGCUUGUUGCCUUGUUCUACUUUAUUCUAUAAUCUAUUUGAGAAAAAUGUUGUUUAUUUCUUCUAGACACUUUAGUCUUCCAAAUUUCAGUUGUAACCAGCAAGCAUAGAGGUUAUGAUAGAGGUUAUGUAUUGGGAAGAUGAACUAUCUUUUUAUUUGCAGUGGCUGUGAAACUCUCUUUCUGUGUGUCUCUGUCUCGUGUGCGUGUGUAUAUAUGCACCUGUAAUUCUUGCUUCUCUCCAGUUCCUUUCGUUUGCAAGUUACUGUUGCUAGAGUAGGUGCAACUAGUUCUUUCCUCUACAAGUCGGGUUUGGUAAGAUUGAUUAUAAAGAAAAAGGUAUUGGUAAUGCACAAUUUGAUUUUAGUGUUGAUGUUAAGUGUGGCUUGUUUUAUGAUGGAUAAUUAUGUUGACAAUAUUGGGCUUCAUGAAUGAUGAUGCCAGUUUAUUUAUGGUCUUAAUAAGCUAUAUUACUGCUGGAUUUGUGCUCUUUAUUUAUAUGGCAAAUUCUUAUUCAAAUCUUUGAUAUUUAUCGCUAAUGAAACUUCAAUCUUGCCUCAAGUUGUCGACCAAGUCAAAAUUCCUCCUACAAGUAUACAAUAUUGUUUUAUUAUAAUGUUAUAAUGUUAUCGCUAAUGAAACUUCAAUCUUGCCUCAGGUGCUCUUUAUUAUUAUAUUGAUAUUAAAAAUAAUUUUAAAAAAUAAAAAAAAUAUUAUUUUAAAAUAUUUUUAAAAUAAAAAAUAUUUUAAAAAACAACUAUUUAUUCAAGGACUUAAAAUAAAAACCUUAAAAUCACGGCAUGAUAAAAGGAGGAAGAAAGGAAUGGGACAAAGAAGGAAGAAAAUAAGGUCAUGUAGGGGGCCAGUCUUGUAUAAAAUAGAAGAUGAAAAUUAGUAUGAAAAAGAGGCUAUUUGUUUUUUUACUGUGUCAGAGUGGUUUUUAUAAUUAUAUUCAAUUUAUUAAAAUAUUAAAUUAAUAUAUUUUUAAAUGUUUCUUGUUAUUAUAUAUAUAUAUAUAUAUAUAUAUAUAUAUAUAUAUAUAUAUAUAUAUUCUAAUAUGUUUUUAAAUAAAAAAUUAUUUUAAAAAAAUAUGUGUCACAAUACUAAAUUAUAGUAUAAAUUAAAAUAUAAAAGAGUUCUCUGUUUAUUACUAUUUACCGAGACUUAUUUUAUUGUAGAUAUUAAUAGUGAAUUUUUUUAAAAUUUUUAAUUUGGUAUUUGAAUUAUUUUUUUUUCAUAAUUAAAUAUCUUUAUACCCAAAUUAAAACUCAAUUGCAUUUUGUUUUUUAAGAAUAAGAGUUGAAUUCAAAGAUAAAUGCCUGUAAUGAAAAACUCUGUAAAAAUAUGCGGCAACAUUGUAAUUGUUUGCAAAGUUCAUUUUAGUCCCUUAUCUUUUUGAGCUACUAAGUAACAUGUCCCUAUAAUUUCUCAACAUUACAUUUUAUCCAGAAUCUCGGAUUAUGCUUUAGGGACUAAACUGAAUUUUUUAUAAAUUGAGAGACCAAACUGAAAUUUUAUCAUCUUCAAUCUCAAAUCUAAAAUUUUCACAUAUCACCUACUGAUAUAACAAGAUUUCUAACUCAAAUUCACCAUUUAAACAAACCAUAACUCAAAAUCAUCAUUUUUACUUAAAAUCUUUCAAAAUCAACUAAAUAACUCAUUAUUCAUAACAAUCAAUACAUAAUAUUCAAAUCAAUUCAUCAAUCAAACCCAAAACACAAUAUUCAAAACCCUCAUAUUCAACAAAACAAAAAAUUAAAGCUAAGAAAAACACAUUUAUACACAUCAAAGCGUAAAUAUUCUUAUCUUUUAAUUUAUUUUCUCUAACUAUCUUAUCCUUUCUUUAUCUUUUCCUCUUUUCUCUUUUUCUUCUUUCACUCUCACGGUUUUUUCUCUAAGAAUUCAAAUCUCUCUUUUUUUUUUCUAUUUAUAUUUAUGAACUAUUUGUUCAAUUACUACAAUACCGUUCAUUUAUUUAUACCUACUUCUAAGCCUCCAUGAGUUUUGUUGUCUUUUUCUAUUCUCUUUUAUUUCCAAAUCAUCACAAUAAAAUUGUUUUCUUUUUAUUUAGCUGCUAAUUUAUGCAGCUUUAGCUCUUGUUCUCUUUUCAUGUUUAGCAACUCUGAUCUGUUCCUUUCUUUACAUGAUAUAAGAGCAGGUUCUUACCUCUUGAAGUCUGCUGGAUAAACCUAUCAGCAGAAGAUCCUGAAGCGAUCCCAAAUCACAGCUUCAAUCCCCACCACAACCAAUCUCCUCUUUCCCGUAGUCUGUCGUCCUCAAUUGGGAAAUGAUCUCAAAAAAUCACUUGAUGCAACAAGUAGGGUAGAGAAAUAUAAGACUUCAACAAAGAAUCAAACUCAAAAAAAUAAAAGUAAUUGUCUAUGAGAAGCAUUUCUGUGUCACACACUCAAGUAAUAUGAUUGACCUAUUACAUUAUACAAAAUAAUAAUAAUAAUAAUAAUAAUAAUAAUAAUAAUAAUAAUAAUAAUAAUAAAAGAACUAGGUUUUUGAUGGCAUCCAGAGUGCUGUUACUUUCAAACAAAGAGGCUUGUGCAUGCGGUGUUACGCUGUUCAUGUAGGCUAAGAUAUCCUAUGAAUACAAUUGUAAAAUCAUACAAUUGUAUUCUUUUUAUUAAGCUGCUAAUUUAUGCAGCUUUAGCUCAUGUUCUCUCUUCUUGUCUUGCUAUUCUGAUUUUAUCUUUUUCUUUGCAUGAUAUAAGAGCAGGUUCUUACCUCUUGAAGUCUGCUUCAAUCCCCGUAGUCUUCCGUCCUCAAUUGGGAAAUGAUCCAAAAUCAACAACCGGUUCGGAGAUAGUUUGAGUGAAAAGAAACGGCUGAAAGAUGAAAUGUGAAGGUUAUGGUGAGAAAUUAGAUGACAAACUUACUUUGUCCUCCUAAUGCUUUUGCUUUCAUUGUUUCGAAAGUAAAAGAGACAUAAACAUAAUCAGUGUGUUUUCUGUUUAGCAAUAGCUAGAAAGGUAUCUGCUUAAAAAGACCAUUGAACAAGGGAUGACCCAUUCAGCAAGGGAUUCUGCUAGGAAAACAUGAAAUUGUUCUUCUAUUUGAUAUUUGUUUCAAUCUUCUAAACAAAUAGUACAGCAUCAAGUCUCAGUCACCUAUUCACGAAAUUGUUGUAUUUCUAAUGACUAUGCUAAUAAAAAAGUUGAGCCAGCAUGACACAUGAAAUUCAAAAAUAACAAAAUAACAUGAGAAAAUAAAUAUUUAUAUUAUAAUUAUGCAUCUUAAAAAAUCACUUGAUGCAACAAAUAGGAUAGACUUCUAGGAAAUUCUUUCACUGUAAAAUGGCUGAAGGUUCUUUUAUGAACAUUUAUAUUAAAAAAUUGGGUCAAUUGAUCUUUGUUAUUUAACAUGAAUAAAGUGUUGAUUUAGUCUUGUAGUUAUUAUAUCAAAGUUUUUAUUAGUUUAUGCACGAUCCCUUAUUUUACUUGCUUUAUUUUUUUUAAACCCAGCUUAGUUUCAAUCUCGAAUCUAUCGGGUCCCACUACCAGAUAUUCGCUAAAUACCAACGGAUUUACCGACGAAAUAUUUUCUGUCGGUAUUUUGAGGUCGAAAUUACCGACGGCCACUUUCCGUCCGUAAUUCAGUCGGUAAAAACCGACAAAAACUUUUCCGUCCGUAAUUCAGUCGGUAAAUACCGAUGGAAAUUUUCCGUCGGCAUUUACCGACUGAAUUACGGACGGAAAAGUUUCUGAAUUUUAAAAAAGGCGGGUCGCUGACGUGGAGGUUUUGGCGGGUUUUUUUUUUCCGACGGAAUCACCAACGGAUUCAAAAACGACUGCCCGUACAGUGCCCGUAAAGUGAUGUGACCGGUUCACCGUUUAAAUUUCCGACGGACUCACCGAGGGAUUUGAAAUGGCAGAUCCGUACGGUGACAUGUCUAUGUUUCCGUCAGAAUCACCGGCAUAAUAACCGACGGAGUGUCCGUCGGUAAAACCGUCGGAAAAAGUUAAUAUAUGACAGCUCUGCCGACCCUCUCAUCCCCUAUUUCUCCUUCUUCUUCCUCAUCCCAACUCUCCCCAUCUGCAAACAACCAGCCCCCCCUCCCCCCUAAAAAAAAAAAAUCUUCCUCAUAUCAGCACAAGAAGUUAUAUUUCUUGAAGUUUUGUGGUCACGGCAUCCGCGCGUGUUCUGAUUUAUCGACGGAUUUUAUCAAUUUUUGUAAGUAAUUAUAUCUUUUUAAAUUUUAACAUUUAAUUAAAUGUCAAUUUUAUUGUUUUUUUAGUAUAUGUAUUUUGUUAGUAGAUGUACAUGUUUUAUUGUUAUUUCUCAAACAAACUUGUAGUAUAUGAAUGUAUAAUUUUGUACCUGUUAUGGUUUGUUUUAGAUUUUGUAAGAUUGUAUUUGUUUGUAAAUUAUUAUUUCUUUAUGGAAUUACCGAAUUACAUGUGCUAUUUUGAAAUAAUUAAUAGCUUGGUUAAUGGGCCCGUUUAAAGUUUUAUCAAUGGUAUUGUGGAGUGGUAAUUUCUGUAAAUUUAUAUUUUUUAAUUCGUAUGGACGUUGAUAAAUGAUAAUGAAUAUUUAAUAUUUAUGAGAAGUUGUGAUUGGUUUGUUGGAUAAUCUCGAGUUAAAGUAAUAUUUGUACAAGUUUAUUUACCUAACUUAGUUAAUUAAUACAUGAUGUCAUCAUAAUUUUAUAGAGGUUCGAUAUAAGUCAUGGAUGAUCGUUCAUGGAUGUAUCGAGAUUCACCCCAAGGAUUGCGGAGGAUGGAUUAUUGUAAUGGGGUUCAGGGUUUUAUUAAUUUCGUAACAUUUAUUCCCAGAAAUUUUACUGGAGGCGGUAUUAGGUGUCCAUGCAGGAAGUGUGAAAAUAAAAAGUAUUUGCAUCCAGAUGUUGUAAUGAUACAUCUUCUACACAAAGGGUUUAUGGAGAAUUACCAGUGUUGGUAUGCACAUGGAGAAGUAUUUGUUAGCGAGAGUGAGAGGAGAAUGGAAGAAACGGUGGUUGGGUCUACUUCUAGUGCUAGUAACGUGCAUGAAACGGCAAAUGACAACACUAAUCCUUACAGAAAUAUGGUUAUGGAUGCAAUGAGAAUGAAUCAAGGUAAUGGCAGUCAAUGUCCAAUCGUAGAAGAAGAACCUAAUGUAGAUGCAGCUAGGUUUUUUGAUUUGUUGAAAGAUUCUGACGAACCAUUAUGGGAUGGCUGCACGAACCACAGUAAAUUAUCGGCUGUAGCACAGGUGUUCACCAUCAAGUCAGAUCACGGGUUGAGUGAGGCCGGGUAUGACAAGAUUAUUGAAUGGGCAAGAAGCAUUUUACCUGAAGGGAACAGGCUGAAAGAGAACUUAUAUGCUGCGAAGUUCAUGAUGAAACCCCUCGGUUUAGGAUACCAGAAAAUUGACAUGUGCCCUAACUUCUGCAUGUUAUACUACCUUGAAAAUGCUGAGAUGACUGAGUGCAUGACAUGCGGGCAUUCCCGUUACAAACCUAGAACUGGCAGGGGAAAGACUCUAGUGGCAUAUAAAAAACUUAGAUACUUCCCGAUCACACCUAGACUGCAGAGGUUAUUCAUGUCACCAAGGACUGCUGAGCACAUGACAUGGCACCAAGCACACCAUGCGGUUGAUGGAGUGAUGGUUCAUCCUUCUGACGGCGAAGCGUGGAAACGCUUUAACAGUGUUCAUCCUCACUUUUCAGCUGAAUCAAGGAAUGUGCGUCUUGGGUUGUGUACAGACGGAUUCAACCCAUUUGGGUCAUUUGCUGCUCCUUAUUCUUGUUGGCCGGUCAUACUCACAGUUUAUAACUUGCCACCGGGAAUGUGUAUGAGGCCGGAGUUCAUGUUUUUAUCUAUUGUCAUACCCGGUCCAAGAAGCCCGGGGCGGAAUAUAGAUGUUUGUCUUCGACCGUUGAUUGAUGAGUUGACGCAGUUGUGGUCCUCCGGAGCUCUGACUUAUGAUAUAUCGAGGAAACAAAAUUUCCUUAUGAGGGCGGCAUUGAUGUGGACUAUCAAUGAUUUUCCAGCUUAUGGAAUGCUUUCUGGUUGGAGCACGCAUGGGAAACUCGCAUGUCCAUAUUGCAUGGAAAACAACAAGGCAUUCACGCUAGCAAAUGGAGGUAAAGCUUCUUUUUUUGACUGUCACCGUCGCUUCUUGCCACUUCAUCACAGGUACAGAAAGAACAGAAAAGAUUUCUUUGCUGGCAGAGUUGAAAAAGAUGUUGCAUCCCCGCGUCUUUCUGGUGAAGAAUUGCAUGAUGUUGUCUUAGAGUACGGUGACAUUGUGUUUGGCCUUCAAUCAGGAAAGCAAAAGUUUCCUGGUUUUGGUUUGACCCAUAAUUGGGUAAAGCGAAGUAUCUUUUUUGAGCUUCCUUAUUGGAAGACCAAUCUGCUUCGCCAUAACCUUGACGUCAUGCACAUCGAAAAGAACAUGUUUGAGAAUAUUUUCAACACCGUCAUGGAUGUGAAGGGGAAGACAAAGGACAACAUCAAGGCUAGAUUGGAUAUAGCUUUAUACUGUAACCGAAAAAAUAUGGAGUUGGUUUAUGAUGAGUCACGGGUCGCAAAACCAAAAGCAAGCUUCGUGUUAGAGAAAAACGCACAACUGCUAGUCUACAAAUGGCUUAAGAGUCUGCGUUUUCCGGAUGGACAUGCAUCGAACAUAUCAAGGUUGGUUAAUAUAGAGGACUGCAGAUUGUAUGGAAUGAAGAGUCAUGACUGCCACGUGUUUAUGCAAACACUCAUCACAUUAGCUUUUCGUGAUUUGUUGCCAAAGGGAAUAUGGGAUGCACUCACGGAGAUCAGUCAUUUCUUCAGAGAUAUAUGCUCCAGCAAGUUGAAUGUUGAUCACAUUGAGAGGCUUCAAACGAAUAUCGUCGAGACACUGUGCAAACUUGAGAUGAUAUUCCCUCCAUCAUUUUUUGACUCAAUGGAGCAUCUCCAUAUACAUCUAUCGUUCGAGGCAAAAGCUGGAGGACCGGUCCAAUAUAGAUGGAUGUACCCAUUCGAACGGUUAGAUAUUACAGUUGCAAUGUAAUUCAUAUAUAAAAGUAUUUUAUAUGUUUUUCUUAAUUGAAAAUACUUGAUUAAUAUUUCAGGUGCGGUCGCAGCUAGUUCGUCUAGCAGCGAGGAUGAUAUUUCCUUAGGUGCCUCUCAAGAAGAGGCACCUACACCACCUGCGCCGUCAACCGAUGCUGCCUCUUCCAGCGGUACUUCACAGCGCAGAGGCGGCGUGCCUUCGCAGCGGAAUCAAUUUACCCGCAAGUACGAGGCACAGUGGAAGGACGACCUUUCAAUGUAAGUUUGUUAAGGUUUUAGUUUUUUUUAAAAAAAAUUACAACAUAAUUUAUCAAGUAAUCACUAUUGAAUUUAUUUCAUUUAUUUUCAGGUUCACAAACAUUGAAGUCGCCCGAGUAAUAUCAUCGGCGUUUAAAUCGUCGAUGGAGAUUCCAUUGUUUCAAUGGAGUCAGAUAUCCAAGCAUCCUGAAUGGAUGCCUCAAAUCAAUGCAUGGUUUAACAGGUUUGAGGUUGGUAUUAAUUUAUAAUUUUCAGCUUAUUAAUAUAAUUGUAUUAUUUUUAUUUAAACUUGUUUAUUUAUACAAAGCACAAAUUCUGCUAGGACAUUGAGCAUAACGCUGUUGUGAGGAGGGUGUGGGAAAAUCACGCGGCAACUAGGUAAGAUCGAAAACAAUACAUGAUUUUUUUUAGACAAAAAUUUAUGUUUCGAAAUGUAAUUUUUGGUUGCGUGAAGCAGGUUGCGUGAUUUUUGGUAUGAAGCACAGAAAAAGGCAAAAAAAACCGCGAGGGAUAGGGGUUUCCAAGGCUGGAACGAUGUUGCGGUUUGGAGGGAUUUCAAACUGAUAUACAUCCCGGAAGAUAUAUGGCCGCACUAUCUUGAGCACGUGACGUCUGAGCAGUUCACACGACGCUCACAGUCCGGUGCUGGCAACCGGAAUCGACCAAUUCAUGGCGGGGUGAGAACUCACACUGGCAGCUCCGUUCCGUUUGCUGCACAUGCGAAACGGAUGGUAAGAUUAAUUUAAAUGAAAUAUAUCGUUAAAUUCAGUUGUUGUUAAUAUAUCUUUUUUCAUUAUAGGCUGCGUCUCUUGGACGUGAGCCGAGCCCGAUGGAGCUGUUUGUGGAGACGCACGUGCGGAGUCAAGACCGCCAGAAGGGGGCGCAACAGUUCGUUGAUAACCGUGCUCAGCAUUUCGUGGUAUGUUUGUUCAACCAUUUUAUUUUCUAAGUUAUUAUGUUUAUUGUAUUGAAUAUGAUGAUUACUUUUUUUAUUUUAUUUUCAGGAGACCUAUAAUAAUCGGUUGAGGGAGAGAUACGGGGACGAUACUUUGACCCAUCCGGAAUUCGAUCCGGAUUUGUGGAUGGAGGUUGGCUCGUCAGGUGGACCAGAUAAAAAUCGGGUUUACAGCCUCUCCAACACUACGGCCGACAACUUGCGGUCGACCCAUAGUGUUUCAACCGUUGGGAACUCCCAAUCAAUAGCGAGCUCCCAAUCUAAGGAGUUUGUGGCUUUGCAGCAACUCAACGAGAAAUACGACAACCUACAAGCGGAGUACGCACAACUCAAAGCAUCUCAUGCACAACAAAGAGCGGAGUCUGAGCAAUUCAAAGCGUCUCAAGCACAACAAAAAGCGGAGUAUGAAGCGGCUCAUGAACAGCAAAAAGCGGCUUAUGACCAGCUUUACGAAAUGAUUAUGAAAUUGUCAAAUAGCGGAACAUGUGCGCCUAAUCCUUUUUGGCCGUAUAACCACCAGCCUCCGCCCGGAUCUCCUCCUCCUCCUCAAGCUCCAUCAUCUUUAUAUUAAUUUGUAAUCAACAUUAUUUACCUUUAAAACUUCAUUUAUUAUUUUUCUUGAAACAUAUUCAGUUUGUAAUGAAUAUUAUUUAACUUUUUUUUUUUAUGUUUAAUAAAAAUUUUAUUUGCAUAAUUGGUUUGUAUAACAAUUAAUUUAUAUAGUUUUAUAUUAUAUAUCCUAAAUAAUUUUUUAAAAACAAAUUAAGAAAAAAACUAUUACCAAGGAUUUUACCGACGGAUGAAUUCGGUCGGUAUUUUAAACUUUCACCGACAAACUUACCGACGGAAUUAAUCCGUCGCCAUUUAACAGUAGCUUCCACCAGUACCGACGAAUUUACAGACGAAAAUAUUCCGUCGGUAUUUCAUACAUUCACCGACCGAUAUCACGACGGAUAUUUUCCGUCGGUAAUUUCAAUUUCACCGACGGAAUGAAAAUCCGUCGGUAUAUUUCAAGCGGGAAUCUUUUUUUUUUGGCGCGCACGUUCCGUCUGUAAAACCGUCGGUAAAUGAUUUUUUUGUUUUUCCGACUGAUAUACCGACGGAAUGAGGAAUCACCGACGAAGGUAAAGCCGACAGACGUAUUCCGUCGGUAAAAAAAUCACCGACGAACUUCUAAUCACACACCGACGGAAUUUUGCCGCCGGUAAAACUGUGAAAUCUUGUAGUGUCCUGGAUCGACCCAUAAAGCCAAACCAAGUUUUAAAACUAUGUUAUCUUAGCAAAUUUAAUUAUCCCAAUUCUUAAUUUUCAAUUGAAAAUGCUAAAGAAUUCCCCACUGGGAGCAAAUAAUAAUAUGUUAAGCAUGACAAAUUUUAUUUAAAUUAAAAAGCCAAAAAUGAACGCAUCUACUCUUGCAAGAAUGGACUCAAAAGUUCAGCUAGUCCGCAUAAUUAAAUAGUACUGUUACUGUAAACUACUAGGAAAUUCAUGGGUAGAGCCAAAAUGUUAACAAUAGCAUUGAUUCGGUCAGGGGCUCUGGUGUAUAGAGAGGACCUUGCCGUUAGAAACUAUGGAGCCCACUAUUUAUUAAUCCAUUUUUAUUUACUACUUAUUACUAUUUAAUUAUUUUUAUUUACUAUAUUUUUGUUUGUGAUACCCAGUACCAAUAAAAUUUGAGAUUCCUUCAAUUUUUUAGGUGCAUGCAAGUCUAAUGGCUUCAUGUACAAAAGCAAUUCAAGGGUGUGUAUCCUUAACUAUCAGGCUAACCUUUACAGGCUUCGCUAGCAAUCAAUAAUUAUUUUUUAAUGAAUUCAUUUUUUAUUUAAAAUAAGGAAAAGGACAUUGGUGAAUAAAUUGUUUCCUUCCUAUUAUAAUUGUUAGACCUUACCAAAGGGCUAAUUUAGAAAAAGAUUAUAACUUAUAGGUCACCAGGGCCGAGGUCAACUUGUAAUUAAGUAGAUCAAUUUAAAUUAAUUGUUUUUAUUUAAAUGAUAAUGUUUUGUUUUUUUUUCUUGAUAUUAAUUUGGCUAAUUUUUAUCAAAUCAAAUCACUAAAAACUUAACCAAAACAAAUUUCAUCAAAUCAAUAAUAUUUUAUGUAGUUGAAUUAAAAAUUCAAUUCAAUUCUAGCUCUGAACCCUGAUUAAGCAUACAGGUUUAAAAAAUAUGCAUCUCACUUGCAGCUGUGGUUUGCUGCGGGCAUUUGGUAAUUGGGAGAGGCUUUAGUUUCGUACCUGUUGAUCUGCUUCAUAUACACUUGGACCUCUUAUUUUAUUUUAUAUUGGUUGGAUCCAAACUUAAUCCAAUACAAAAUUAACAUAUUUAUUAUUUAUUUAAGAUAAAUGAUAUGGCUUUAACAUAUUAGCGUACACUUAAUAUGAUUAAAUUUAAUUUAAUUAAUUAACAUCUCACCGCAAUAAAUUUUACCAUUUGCAACCAUAAACAGUUGACACCUUAUUAAUAUAAUCAAUAUAGUAGAAAAAUUAUAGUGAUUUAAAACAAUUCAUUAAAAUGUUCGUAAAUGUUUUUAUUUUGUGAUGAUGGUUUUCGUGUUAUCUUUUAUGUAUUGUCGCUACCGUACAUGAACGCCUGACAUGAGGGUUAUUUGAAAUCAUUAUCUAGUUAUUUAGUUUAAGGUCACUAAGAAACCUAUAAAUACUAGUCUUGUUAGAGAUUUGAGAGUAAAUGACUAGUUGUGGCUAAAGAAUGUAUUAACACUCUUAAUGCACCCUACCCAAGUAAAUUAUUUUGUGAUUAAACGUGGUUUAGAGAUUUUGAUGAUUUUCUGAUAUAUCUAUAGUUUAGGAUUGGGAUUUGCUUGUAUGAAUAAAUUUGGUGUUUAAUAAUUUAUCAUGGAUUCUUGUACCCAGAUAAAUUCUUAGAAAAAAAAGUUCUUCAUAAUUUGUGUACGUAUUACGGUAAAAAUUACUCUCAAUAAAAAUUCAUGAAUAUUUAGAAUAACUUUGAGGAUUUUCUAAUCAACUUCAAUAUUUCAAAUAUCAGCCUCACUUAUAGGUAUAGCGUUUUAUAUCAAUAUUUUUAACCAUUAAUUCUCAUUAAUUAAAAAAUAGUGGUUUAUUAAAAUAUUGACCAAAUUCACAUGAAUUUAAUAAACUAGUUAUUAAAUUUUAAAAUGCAUAUACAUAUAUAAUAUUUUAAUUUGUUUUUAAAUAAAGAAUAUUUUUAAAAAGCAUGUGCCAUAAUACCAAAUUAUAGAAUAAAUUAAAAGAGAAAGGAGUUUUCUCUUCAUCACUAUUCACUUAUAUUCAUUUUACUAUGGAUAUUAAUAGUGAAUUUUUUGAAAAUUUCCAAUUUGGUACUCAAUUAUUUUUUUUUCACAAUUGAGCUCUUUUAAAUCCAAAUUAAAGCUUAAUUGCAUAUUUUUUCAAGGAUGAGGGUUGAAUUGAAAAACAUAGGACUGAAGUGAAAAACUCGAAUAAAAUAAGUUGUGGUUUUGCAAUUUGUUUGCAAGUUCAUUUUAGUCCCUAUAAUUUUUUAUCAUUGUAUUUUGAUACCAAACUUUAUUUUCUUCUGUUUUUAGUUUUUUUGUGUAAGAGAGAGAGAGAGAGGAUCACCAUAUUUUGUUUUAGAGAGAAAAAGUUAUUUUUAAGGAUUGUGACCACCAAAACAAUUGAUUUUUGUGUUAAAUUGUUAUGUCUUAAUUCAACAAGGUUCCUUGAAUGUUUUCUAGGUGUUUUGGGUUAAAAUGGGUUGAAGACAGGUUUUAGGUUAUAAUUAGGUUUUUUACCAAAUUGAUCAAAUUUUUUUAAAAAAAAAAACAAAUCAAGAAGAGAAAAAGACUUGUAAAAAAGUAGAAUUACUGAAGGAAGCUCAACAAAGAAUCAAACUCAUGCAAUUAAAAAUAAUUGUCUAUGAUGACCAUCUCUGUAUCACACAUUCAGGAAAUAUGAUUGACCUAUAACAAUAUUAAAAAAAACAAAAAAAAAAUAAGCUAAUAGAUGGUCGCCACGUGUUCAACUUUAUCUAACCUUAGCAAAGGAUAGAAAGUGGGAGAGAGAGAGAGAGGUUAAAAGGAUUAAGAAAAAGAAAAAAGGAAAGGCAGAAACGGAAGAAGACAUUGAAAGAAAGAAAAAAACGAUAAGUUAUUUAACGUCUUUUUAGGGGGGGAAAAAAAAGCUUGUAACACCGUGCAGACCAAACAGAAGAGACAUCUGUUUAUUUAAAGAAAAAAAAAAUAUAUAUAUAUAUAUAUAAAUACUCUCUCUUCCAAUUUCCUCUCCCAGCUGAAUUUCGGCGACCGCCCACACAACGAUAGCCUACACAACCACCAGCCAUGCCACCUUUCAAGACCCCAUCUCUCAACCUCAAAACCAAAAACAACUCUUUCUCCAUUUAUCCGAACCUCAUAACUCCAGGAAGGUGAAGGACUAAACCAUAGUGGCAAAAAUCUUAAAGGGUUCUAAAUUGUCUGUUACUUUCCCUUAAUUUUCUAGACAAGCAAAAGGAGCUAAACUUAUUCCCGACCAAAACGUCAAGAAUUUCAGUAGAACAAAAGAAGAGAUCAUUACUUGACCAAAAACAACUAGUCAGCACCCAAAGAAACCGAGUGAAUGAGAGAAAAUUAAAGAUUAAUAGCUAGAAAACAAUAAACAGAUCCAAGAAUUUUCUGUAUGGUUUCCAAGAAAAUGAAACGAAAUGAGCAGCACAACCCUCUUUCUCCUCCAAGAAAAGAAAGAAAAAGAAAGGAAAGAAACAAAGAAAGUCAAACUUGGCUCCUCUUUUAGUGUUAAAAAAAAAAAGAAGUUAGAGGAAGUGGGCUGCCUUUUUUCUGCUGUUCAUGUGGUGUUCUGCUGUUCACGCAGACUAAGAACUCCUACCAUCGUAAAAUCAUACAAUUAAAACACAACAAUAAUAAAGUAAUAAGCAGCUAAUUAUGUGCGAAAACAAGAGAAAUAAGGAUACAGAACGUGAGAGUGAGUCACUACAAGUAAAAGAGGCGCUGAGAGAAUGGGAAUAGGAAUUUCAUUACCUAAACUUGAGAAAAUUGUGCGAAAAGCACUGGUACUGAUUGCUCAAUGAAAUGGAGAAGGCCUUUAGCUCUGUAUGGAAUCCAGCUUCAAAAGCAACGAGGCAAGGUAUAAGCAUUUUGAUGACAUAAUUAAGAUACUAUGCGUCGUAAUAUAGAGACGGUGACAAAGAAUUAAAGAAAAAUAACGUGUACAAGUACUCACCAAGCAAAGAAAGAAACGAAUGAAAGGUUCGGGAUAAUCACUUAGACGCCUCCAUGGAUGAUACCAGCUCGCUUCCAACAACAAAUAUAAUUAACCUAAGCUAUGAUCGGUCAAUGUUUUUUUUAGUUUUCUUCUUUUUUAUAUAUAAAAAAAACAGAUCAUCAAGGGAAAAGACUUGCAAAGAAGUAGAAUUAAUGGAACGAACACAACAAAGGAUCAAACUCAAGCAAUUAAAAGUAAUUGUCUAUGAGUACCAUCUGUGUCACGCACUCAAGUGAGGAGAGAAAAGAAGGAGAAAGAAAGGAAAGGGACAAGGAAGGAAGAAAGUAAGGUCACGUAGGGGCCAGUCUUGUAGAAAUUUUGAAAAGUAGCAUGAAAAAGAGGAUAAUAGAGUAGUUGUCAGAAUCAAAACACAUCUAAACAGAGGACAAAAACAGGGAGGGAGGCUGUUUGUUUUUUUAACUGUGCCUGAGUGAUUUUUAUAAUUACAUUUAAUUUAAAAAAUAUUAAAUUAAUAUAUAUUUUUAAUAUUUCUCGUUAUUACAUAUAUAUAUAUAUAAUAUUUAAUAUAUUUUUAAUUAAAUUUUUUUUAAAAAAAGUAUGUGUCACAAUACAAAAUUAUAGUAUAAAUUAAAAGAAAAAGGAGUUUUAUGCUCAUUACUAUCCACUAGACUUGUAGAUAUUAAUAAUAAAGUUUUUGAAAGUUUUCGAUCUAGUAUUUGAAAUUUUUUUUUUUUUGCAUAAUUGAAUUUAUUUAAGCUUAAUUGCAUAUUUUUUAAAAGGAAAUAGGUUGAAUUGAGAAACAGAGAAACUCGGCAAAAAUAUGUGGUUAAAAUCAAUCCUUUUUAAAAAAAAAAAAAAAAAACUCCUUAGUUGUUAAGGAAAGAUUGGUAGUGUGAACAAAUCACCAAAGUCAGCAGCAAGGAAGUUCCAGGAAGUGGGCAGCCUGUUUCAGGGCUACCUGUUUUUGAGAAUUAUGGAAAGUUAUCCCUAACUCAAAAACGGCACCAAUUAUAAGUUCAUUAAAAAAAAUCUGGAACACAACAGAUGGAAAAAACUCGAAACAACUUGUAUAGAAUUUAGGCAAGAAGAAUGAGCCAAGAUUUCAAGUGCAAUGAAAUUUGUCUCACUUUGUUUUUUUAUUUAAUGAUACAAGAUAUACCGUCCUAUUUCAAGGGUAAAAUAGAAUGGAAUAGACAACCUUUAAAGGGAGCAUAUACCACAUAUGUGUAGCUGGAAUUCGAUAGCCUUUCUCCAAUGCUGACAUGUGCUUUACAUGCAUGCACCAACAUUUCACAUCGGCAAGUGAGGAUUUGGUAGCUCAUCUUAUUAAUAGUGUUGGUUAAUGACUUGUCAGACGCGUUUUGAGGUCAUGCGUGGUCAUCAAAAACAAAUUUGUGAGGGCGAUAAGGUCCAAAAUGGACAAUAUUUGACAAGUUGGAUCGGACUAUGACAUUUGGUAUCAAAGCUGGCCUCACUAACUAUCCAGUUGUGCUGAUGGGGUCAUUGAGCUCCUUAAGGGGGUGAAUUGUAAUAUCUCACAUCGAUGAAUGAGGAUUUAGAAGCUGACCUUAUUAGUAGUGCUGGUUGCUAACUUGUCAGAUGCGUUUUGGGGUCAUGCGUGAUCACAAAAAACAAAUUCGUGAGGAUGAUAAGGCCCAAAACGGACAAUAUUUGGCAGGUUGGGUCAGGCUGUGACAUAUUCGAUAAUAACUCUUCAAUUAAGUCCUAAAUCUCAUUUCAUCUUUUCAAUUUAAUCCCUAAUUUGACACCAACUCUUCAAUUAGACCCCAAAGCUCAUACCACUUGAGGAAAGCCCUCUUCUUUCAAUUUAGCCCCUCAUUUAUCUUUAAUUUAAUAUCGAAUUUUAUUCGAUCCAAGCCCAAAAUAGGCUCAAGCGAAGACAAAAUAAAGGAAGGAAAGAAAAUGAAUAAUUGCCCAACCAAGUUAACGUAUUCUGGUCUUUUCUCCAUGAUUCGGGUUGAACAUUUGACAUUUAUCCUUUUUUUAGAGGCUUUUCUCUAUGUUCGUUAUGACGCUGUACACGUGCGACAACCAUUAAAUCUAUAGUUAAUUUCAUUUUUUGAUAAAAGAUAAUGCCAUCAGUAUAGAAUGGUUACCAACUGUUAGUUUAAUAAGCCUUGUAUCCAAUCGGUUAGUUACACGAUAUAUUAUUAUAUUCAUGUAAAUACAUAUUUAUUAUUAAUAAAGGCUUAAUUUAACUUUAAUAUUCAUAUAAUAUUAGAUUAAUGAAUCUAGAGUGUCAUAACCCUUUUUGGGUUUUUCCCCAAAUUCAUUUUUUCUCUUCUAAAAAUUAAAAAAAUAUAUAUAUUUAGACUAAAAAAAAUAAUAACAGUGAGAAGGGGAUGCCAAAACGCCUGGAAAAUAACUAAAAAUUGGUUGAGGAGGUUUAAAAAUACAAGGAUUGAAAUUUGGCAGUAUAUCAUUGACUGAUGAGAGCCCGAUUGACAAAGAAAAUUCAAUUUGAGGAAGAAAUGUCUAAAAUCAGAUGUUUAUUGGACUCAAUUAAAUUUAUUAAAGGUUAAAUUGAGUUUAUAGAGGGUUUGAUUGCAAGAACAAUUGAUUUUGGAGUCAAUUUGGGCUUUAUUUGGAAGAAAUUAAAGUUCUGAGGUCAAAAUAUAAUUUUAAGGAGUUAAUUUGGUCAAAUCAGGGGCUUAAUUGCAUAAAUAUUGAAGUUUGAUGGCCAAUUAGGGACUGAAUUGAAGAAAUCUCAAACCAAGAACCAAACUGGAAAAGACACGUAAAUAGAGAGGCUGUAAUUAACCGAAUAAGGGGCUAAAUUAAAGAAAUUGGAAGUUUAUUUAUUAAUUAAGGGUCAAAUUGCAUACAUCAGAGACCAAGGACUAAAGUGAAAAAGGCGGCCAACUUCAGGGCCGACGAUUGAAUUUGACAGGGAUGCAAUUGAAUUGAUUUUUAAAAUCAAAAUAGCAAUUUAGGACUUGAUUGAAUAAAUCACAAAUUGAAGACUGAUUUGGACUUUGACACGAUUUUGCCGCCAUUUUCAUUUUGCUUAAUAUUGGUUUGUAUUUUAAUACUGUAAAAAUACAAAUCCGAUAUUAAAAUACUUGGUUUUUGUCAAAACAUAAAAUAUAUAUAUAUAUAUAUAUAUAUAUAUAUAUAUAUAUAUAUAUAUAUAUAUAUAUAUUUGUUUCAUGCAUACGUCCAAGUCUCUCAAAGAUAAAAAAAAAAAAAAAACCAUAUUGUAUUUUCAUACUACAAAGAAAACUUCAAAAAAAAAUAUGUUUUAACAUGCAUUUUGGCUUUAAUAACCAGUUUAUUAAAGUCACGAGAAUUUGGCAAAUAUUUAAAAAAUUUCAAAAAAAAUAUUUGUUUUUUUUAGUAUUAGGGAUUAUGAAUUUAUAUGUAAAAUGUAUUUUCAAUAUUAAAAGUGUUUUUCUUUUGAUGACAUAAAACAUUUAGGUGUUUACCUGAUAAGAUAAGAAUCUCUUUAUAGAGGAGGAUUUUUCUUAAACCAUAGAUAGACUGACAAUUAAAAACCACAACAAGACCUUAAAUUUUAUCAAACAACAAAACAAUGCAGCUUACAUUAGGUAGGGUGUAGUUGGGGUGCUAAUACCUCCCCUUUAUGCAACCAGUCUUCGUACCCGAUCUCUAAGACCAAUUAGGGUUCCUAGUGACCAAAAUACUAGGUGGAAACUCCCAUUCUAUUUUCCACUGAUAAAAGACAAGAAUUCCUUGUCUCCCCACAUUUACCAGAUAGAUAUACAUUUACUUGAGAGGGUGGACGUUUAUCGUGACACCGCACACAUGCGACAGAAUGGCGACUCCACAAGGUACCUUGUGGAUUAAUCUUUGUUUUUGUCUGAUUAUCGUGUUUUAUUGUUUGGUUUGUGUGUUAUUGUUAAUAUGCAUUUUCUCAUUUGCUCAUACGCUUUAAUUUUGUACAUAUUUGUUCAUGGAUUGUAUAAAAUUGUUUCAUGCAUCAUUCACAUUUUAUGAGAGUUUAUACUGAGAAAAACUUUAGGUUAAGUGGGGGACUAGUAGCUUACCUUACAAUUUUUAGUCGAGGUUUAAGUUUGUGUAAACCUCAACUCUUUGCUGAGUACUUAGAUUGAUAAUGAUUGGUACACAUGUCAUCUCAUUACCUAUUAAGCCCUUAUAUUGCCUUUACGAGGGUGAUCACUGGGACAACAAGAGACCCUUUUAAGACUAGGUAGAAAUGCACCCAUCAUGUAAUGGCCCAAAACCUAUCCUUAGAGUAUAAGCUCCCUAAUAUACAUGUACAUAUAUUUGCAUCCAUACAUACAUCAAUUCAUUGUAAAUAACAUACGUGCAUCAGAUUGAAAUAUAGGUCCCUAAAAAGUGUACAACACCCGACUUUGAGCAAGAAACAUAGAAGAUGGAGAGCGUGCUCACCGUGAUGCCUAUUUUCAAGAAGAGUUGGAGUCUCUGAAGACAAGCAUGGCUCGCCUUACUAGCUUACUCGAGCAAACACUGAGAAAUACCUCUGGUGAAGGCCCUUCUAACCGGCUAGUCACCGUCAAUUAGGCUUCAACUACAGUUUAGCCUGAAGAAAGAAUGAGUGAACAUGGUCAAGAGCCUUAAUAAAAUCCAACAUUUGUACAGUCAGCGACACUUGCAUUAGCCCCGACAGUCAUGAAGGUAUUUGCUAAUGAGUCCCAUAUGGCCAAUUCAUCUGAUAGCAUUGAUCAAGAUAAAAUACAGGCAUUGGAAGCCAGAAUCAAAGUCAUUGAAGGGGUAGACUUAUAUGACCCAGUUCGGGCAGCAAAGAUGUGUCUGGUCCCAAAUAUGGUUGUCUCGAAAAAGUUUCAUGUUUCGGAGUUCAUCAAAUAUAGUGGAAUACAAUGCCCCAUGACUCACCUCAAGUCUUACUGCAAUAAAAUGGCAGAGAUAGUACAUGAUGAAAAACUACUGAUGCAUUUUUUUAGAGAUAGUUUAAGUGGGGCAAUAUUGAGCUGGUACAUGAGAUUGGACAACACAAAAAUCUAGAGAUGGAAGGAUAUGGUGGUUGCUUUUGUCAAGCAGUACAAGUACAACAUGGACAUCACUCCCGACAGAAUCAACUUGUCCAAUAUAGAGAAAAAGGAUAAAGAAAGCAUAAGGGAAUACGUUUAAAGAUGGUGGGAAUCAGCUGCUCAAGUACAUCCCCAACUUCUGGACAAAAAGAUUGGCACUUUAUUUGCCGACACACUCAAGGCACCAUAAUGGGUAGUUUGGCCCAGCAAUUCACUAAUGCUGUGGUAGUGUGUGAACACAUAGAGCAAGGCGUCAAGAGUGGUAGAAUUUCUGCACCCAUUGAGAAUAGAGGUUUCGAAUGAAAAGAGGUUAACCAUAUUGAAGAUGGCUACAAGGGUAGGAAAAACUUAUCCCAAAACUACCAUACUUCAUCCCAAAUUGCCGACAUAAAAAAACCUGAGCCCCAAAACUUUCAAGCCAAAAGCCAAAUUAGAAAUUACCAAAGGGUCCAAGAACAACUACCUCCAUUACCGCUACCAUUAAAUGAGAUGUACCAGAAGUUAUUAAGCAUCAGACAUAUAGCUCCCGAACCUCUAGCACCUUUGCAACCCCCUUACCCCGGCUGGUAUAAGCCAGAGCUCACUUGCGAAUACCAUGCUAGUGUUGCUGGACAUGACAUUUAUAUUUGCAACACCUUUAAGAGAAAGCUUCUGCAAUUAAUUAAGGCAGGGUGGAUAGCAUUUGAAGACACUCUGAAUGUGAACACAAACCCUCUACCUAAUCAUGCUUAAAGCAGUGGAUUAGAAAUGCACUAGCAAUCGAAUGUUCGGGGAAUUUGAAAUCAUCAAUGGGCCAGGUAGGGUGCGAAAGGGUAGCAUAAAUUUUAAAGGACUCAAAUUCCAACCACAGUUGUUAUCCCCAUCAUCCCAAGAAUUAUUACAGGGAGGCUAGCCUAAAAGGAGAUUUACCAAAAUGAAAGGAUGAGGCCUGCCAUAUUAUUGCCUUUUGUUUAAUCAUGUUGGUUUCAACUAUUUCAGUCUUGUCGGUAAUUUAGCUCAUAAUGCCACAAGACUUUCUUUGUCAAAUAAGCCUUCUUGUUAAUAAGAUCAUGUAUUUUCCUGUGCUUAUAACAUGUUUUCCUUUUUCCAAAAUAUGCAUGAUCUCACAUGUUCAUAAGAAUUUUAGGAAUUCAAAGUUUGGUAUAAAAAUAAAAAUCAUAUUGGUGUUUGUCCAAAACAAAUAAAUUCUGGAAAUUCAAGUGAUUCCUUAGAAAGAUAAGUAUACACGUAGAAAACUUGAAAAAACAAAUAAACAAAUAAACACAUAAAAAAAAUCAUAAGGUGACUCCAAAGUUAAGUUUUAUUUGAAUAAAUAAUGAGAAAUCACUUUGCAUACUCGCAUGAAAGCAAGACGUAUCGAUCUUAAGUGCAUGUGUUUGAGAUGAGGAAAUGCCUUCUUUGAUAAUCGCUUCACGAGGCUAAAAUAUAUCCUUUGCAAUCCCUUUUUGAGUCUAGUAACAUUUUUUGAAAAUAACCUUGGCUAGGAUCACACUCAAACUAGGGUUAAGUGCGAGAGACACAGAAAAGACCUUGAUGAUUGAAGUGCCCAAGCAACACUGGGGGCAUAAAAGAAAAUUCUCAAUCAUCAAAGGUGCCCAAACAAAGCUAGGGGUAUGAAGAAAAAUCCAAAGGAUCCAAAAAUUUUAAGCAUACAAAAAAAAAACAAUUAAAUAAUGCUCAAAACCAAAUGAAGAAAAAAAAAAUAAAGAGAAAGAGCCCAACAUUGGGGGGCACGAUAAACCAUUUUGAAAAGACAUUCCAAAGACAAAAGGUCAGGAAACAAGCACUAGUGAUCCUUAGUCUUGAAAUCCCGUGAAAUACCUUUUGAGCCUACAAAUAUCCUUUUCUUCAUAACCAAGAACCCAAGCCUAUAUUACAUGCCUAAUCAAGCCCUUUCUGAUCAAAGACAAGCAAUCUGGAUCGGCAGACAAUGCUUUCUCAUACAACCCAAAUUAUUAUUCAUGUAAAUAAAAUAAAUGCUUUGAAGACUGGUUCUUUGUAACCCUCAAAUUAAAUCUUAAACCAUUUUUUACCAAACCCAAUGUCACUUCAUGUUUUUCACCAAAAGCAAAACGAAAGGUUUUCAUCACUUCUGAAAACCUCUUCAUAGGAAUCACUUGAAUUUCUUCAGAACAAGUUUGCUUUGAAUCGAUGUCAAAAUGAUUUCUGUGUUUGGAAUAGCUUUUAAAUUCCAACAUUUUUGCAUCAGAACAACUCCUUGUCAAAACUUCCUUUACAUAGCCUCAUUCCCAAACCCGAAUUAAAUACUUGGGGGCAUGAUCAAGUUGGGAGGCAAUAAAAAAUACAUGGUAGGGCAGACUUUAUAAUUCUUUUUCUAAGAAAAAUGUUGGGUAGAAUUGGCAACCCUUGAGAUAUAGGUUAGAGGGCAAAGAAGUAGGAUGAUAUGAAGCCUUUCUUAGAGGUCAAGAUCACAAGAUAUGACUCAAGUAAGCAAGAGCGAAAAAGUCAUCGAAAUUUACUACUUACACUCCAACUUUUGAGAAAAGAAAGACAUCAUGAAGAAAUGAGGACCUAUAUUUCUCAGGUAAGUAUACAUGCAUAUCAAUCAUAGUGCAUUACUUUCAACAUUGUCAGAUCGGUGUUUCACCAUCACCUUUUGGGUAGGACAUUUUAUAACCCUACCUCAUUUUGAGUGUGCCUUUGAGCCCUUAUUUUCUUUUCGAGUAAGUCUUUGAGCCCUCAUCUCAUUUUAAGUGCGCCUUUGAGCCCUUACUUCGUUGUCAAGAUGCGACUUUGAGCCUUUGCUUCCUUUGGAGUGCGCCUUUGAGCCCUCAUUUCCUUUUGAGUACGUCUUUGAGUCCUCAUCUCUUAGGUAGUGCAUUUUAUAACCCUACCUCAUUUUGAGUGCAUCUUUGAGCCCUUACUUCCUUUUGAGUGCGCCUUUGAGCCCUCACUUCAUUUCGAGGGUGGUAGUGUAUUUUCUAACCCUACCUCCUUUUGAGUGCGCCUUUGAGCCCUCACCAUCUUCCUGGAUAGGUCAUCCAUUACAAUGAUGCUAUUUUUACACUUGGGUAGGUCACCUAUUAUAAUGAGACCAAUCUUUCCUUUCCCACUUGGGUAGCUCACUCAAUACAAUGAGACUAAUUCUUCGUAUUUUUUUGCCUAGGUAAGUCCCUCAUUAUAAUGAGACCAUUCUUCCACCUGGGUAGGUCACCUAUUAUAAUGAGACCACUAUUUCCUUUUUUUUUCCCUUUGGGUAGGUCACCCAUUGCAAUGAGACCAUCCUUUUUUCUAGGUAGGUCACCUAUUAUAAUGAGACAACUCUUUUAUUUUUUUUUUCCCUUUGGAUAAGUCACUCAUUACAAUGAGAUCAUUUUUUUUCUAGGUAGGUCACCCAUUACAAUGAGAUCAUUUUCCAUGUUUUUUUUACCUGAGUAGGUCAUCCAUUACAAUGAGACCAUUCUUUUUUUUUCCACUUGGGUAGGUCAACCAUUACAAUGAGACUAUCAUUUUUCUGGGUAGGUCACCCAUUAUAAUGAGGCCAUUCUUCCACCUGGGUAGGUCACCCAUUACAAUGAGACCACUCUUUCUUUUUCCCCUUUGGUGACCACUAUCAUUUUUUUGGGUAGGUCACUCAUUACAAUGAAAUCAUUCUCCAUGUUUUUCCACUUGGACAGGUCACCCAUUACAAUUCGACCAUUUCAAAAAUCUUUGAAUUUCACCAGGAAAAAAAACCUUUCGACCAUUUAAGUUUGCUUUCUAGCCCUCAAAUGCUUUCCAAACAAUUCAUCAUAUGGUGAGUCCGUUAUCUUUUUUUUUCUUCUUUACAAAGCUUAUUAUCUAAAAUCUCUUACGAGACUUUCUAUCGUAAGUAUUGUAAAUAGAGGACAACUGUCAUAACCUAUUUUUGGAUUAUUCCCCAAAUUUAGUUUUUCUCUUCCAAAAAUAAUAUAUAUAUAUAUAUAUAUAUAUAUUCGGACUAAAAAAUAAACAACAAAAAAAAUAAACAAAAUAAUAACAGUGAGAAGGGGAUGCUAAAGUGCUCGGAAAAUAACUAAAAAUUAGUUGAGGAGGUUUAAAAAUACAAGAAUUGAAAUUUAACAGUAUAUCAUUGACUGAUGAGAGCCCGACUGACAAAGAAAAUUCAAUUUGAGGAAGAAAUGUAUAAAAUCAGAUGUUUAUUGGACUCAAUUAAAUUUAUUAAAGGUUAAAUUGAGUUUAUGAAGGAUUGGAUUGGAAGAAAAAUUGAUUUUGGAGUCAAUUUGGGCUUUAAUUAGAAGAAAUUAAAGUUCUGGGGUCAAAAUAUAAUUUUUGAGAGUUAACUUGAUCAAAUCAGGGGCAAAAUUGCAUAAAUAUUGAAGUUUGAUGGCCAAUUAGGAACUUAAUUGAAGAAAUAUGAAACUAAGGACCAAACUGGAAAAGGCGCGUAAAUAGAGGGCUGUAAUUAACUGAAUGAAGGGCUAAAUUAAAAAAAUUAAAAGUUUAUUGAUCAAUUAAGAGUCAAAUUGCAUUCGACCAAGAACUAAAAUGAAAAAUCAGCUAACUUCAGAACUGAUGAUUGAAUUUGACAGGAAAGCAAUUAAAUUAAUUUUUAAAAUUAAAAUUAUAAUUUAGAACUUGAUUGAAACACUUAAAAUAAAAAACUUAAAAUCACAGCAUGAUAAAAGAAGAAAGAAAGGAAUGGGAAAAGGAAGAAAGAAUAAAAAAAUCCCCUAAAAUCACGGCAUGAUAAAAGGAGAAAGAAAAGGAUGGGACAAAGAAGGAAGAAAGUAAGGUCGCGUAGGGGCCAGUAUUGAAGAAAAGCUAAAAGAACCAGGUAAUCCAAGGAACCAAUAGAUUAUCGCCACAUGUUCAACCUUAUAUUUAUUGUGACAUGGAGAUAAAGAUAAUCUCAAAAGCUAAUAGAUGGUCGCCACGUGUUCGACUUUAUCUACCCACUAGGAAAGGAAUCAAAGGAUAGAAAAGUGGGGGAGAGAAAGGUUAAAAAGGCUUUAAAAAAAAAAGAAAAGGAAAGACCCGGUUGAGAUAAGAGGGGGGACGUGGAAAUAGAAGGAGAAACGGAAGGAGACAUAGAAAGAUCGGAGGAGAGUAAGAAAAAAAUAUAUGAAUAUGUGAUGUCCAAUUUCUCAUAAAAAUUCUCUGUUUUUUUCUCUCUUUUAUUUGGAAUUUCUUUGGACACUUUAAUAAAAUAAUAACAAAAAAAUUAAAAUAUUGAUGAAAUUAAUAUUCAUUCAAACACAGAUUUACUGUGUACUAUGAUAUUAUUAUUUUUUUAAUUUUAAAAAACACGGCUUGGAUAAUAUUUCAAGUAGUGUCGUAAAAAAUAGCGUGUUUGUUUUUUAUUUUUUAAAUAAUUUUAAAUAAUAUUUUUUUAAUUUUUAUAUUGAUAUUAAAAAUAAUUUUUAAAAAAUAAAAAAUAUUAUUUUAAUAUAUUUUUAAAUAAAAAAUAUUUUAAAAAAACUACUUUAAAAACCUUAAAACCACGGCAUGAUAAAAGGAGAAAGAAAGGAAUAGGACAAAGGAAGAAAGUGAAAGGGAGAAAGGAAGAAAGUAAGGUCACGUAGGGGGGCCAGUAUUGUAGAAAAUAGGAGAUGAAAAAUUGGUAUGAAAAAGAGGAUGAUGGAGUGGUUGUCCAAAUCAUAGUGGUUUUUAUAAUUAUAUUUAUUUAUAGAAAUAUUAAAUUAAUAUAUUCUUAGUAUUUUAUAUGAUUAAAUUUUUUUGUUGAUUUAAAAAAUAUAUGCGUAUAAAAAAUUAUUUUAAUAUAUUUUUAAAUAAAAAAUAUUUUUAAAAGUAUGUAUCACAGUACCAAAUUAUAGUAUCAAUUAAAAGAAAAUAGGGUUUUAUGUUCAUUACCACUCACUUAUACUCAUUUAAUUCUUAUACUCAUUUAAUUGUGGACAAUAACAGUAUCUCAUUUGAAAACUUUCAAUUUUAUACUUAAAUUUUUUUCAUAAUUAAUCAUUUUUAAUUAAAAUUAGAGUUCAAAUGUAUAUUUUUUUUUAAGGAGGAGAGUUGAAUUAAAAAACAGGGACUGAAGUAAAAAAUUCAGCUAAAAUAGGUAGCGACUCUAUAAUUUAUUUACAAAAUUUAUUUUAGUUUCUCAUCUUUUCAAGUUAUUAAAUAAUAAGUCCGCAUAAUUUUCCAACAUUGCAUUUCAAAUUUUUUUUAUUAUUAAUACUUUUAAUAUAUUUUUUUGAAAAUAAUUUUAAAAACGGUGUUUUCAUUAAUAUUCCUUUUCUAUGAUUUGUUUUUUUGGCAUUAUGUAGUCUUUCUUCAAUUAUUUUUAAUUUUGUUGCUUUGUUUAAUUUUUUAAGAGGUUAAUAAUAUUUAUCUGUAAAUAUUUGUUAUAUAUUUCAGAUAGAUUAAGUAUUUAAUUUUCAUAAUAAUUUGAAUAUGUGUAGCGUUGCAUAGUUUUUCUUCCUUUUAUGAUAUUAAAAAAAAUUAUGUGUGUGUUGAUUUCUAUUAUCGAUUGAUUUUAGUAAAUAAAUUCAUUAAAUAUAACCAAAUAAAUGAUCCAUAUUGCAAUAUUAAAUACUUUAUCUAUAUUUGUUUCUUAAUUUUUCCACUUGCACUUUUAAUUAUCGGUAAUGACUUCAUUUUUUCAUUUAUUUACACAAUUGUUUGUGAUUUAUUUAAUUUGAUGCGUGUAUAAGUUUUUCGAUUUACAUUUAGAAUUUUUUUAAUGUAAAAAAACACGUUGAGAAAUUCUUAUUUUUAUGAUUUUAGUUUGAUCCUUAUUCUUAUAAUUUCUUAUUUUCUUUCUAACCCUUUUAUAAAACAAAAAAUUGUUUAUAAUUUCAUCCUUCAAUUGAACAUAAUGAUGUAUUUUUUUUAUUAUUUAUAUUCUUGUUUGUUAUUAUUGCUUUUUUUCUUUAUAUAAUUCAUAUAAAACCAGCUUAUUUAAUCGGCCAAGACUAAAUAAAUAAAUAAAAAGAUAUACUGUGUCUUCCCAUUUCCUCUCCCUGGUGAAUUUUGGCGACCACCCACACAAUGAUAGCCUAAACAACCACCAGCCAUGCCACUUUUCAAGACCCCAUCUCUCAAUCUCAAAACCAGAAACAACCCUUUCUCAUAAUUCCGGGAAAGUGAAGAACUAAACCAUAGUGGCAAAAAUCUUAAAGGGUCUAAAUUAUCUCUGUUACUUUCCCUCAAUUUUCUAGACAAGCAAAAGGAGCUAAACUUAUUCCCGACCAAAACGCCAAGAAUUUCAGUAGAACAAAAGAAGAGAUUGUUACUUGACCAUAAACAAUUAGUCCGCACCCAAACAAACUGAGUGAAUGAGAGAAAAAGACUAAUGGCUAGAAAACAAUCAACAGAUCCAAGAAUUUUCUGUAUGGUUUCCAAGAAAAUGAAACGAAACGAGCAGCACAACCCUCUUUCCCCUCUAAGAAAAGAAAGAAGAAGAAAAAGAAAAAGAAAAAGAAAGGAAAGAAACAAAGAAGUUCGAGGAAAGAAAAAGUAAGGAAGAUGAAACCAUAAACCUGCAAGUCCUACAAAUCAUAAACAUUGACUUUGAUUUUUCCUUUAUAAAACCAUAAACCUGCAAGUCCUACAACAUGAAGACUUAUCAGAUCCUAAUGAAAAGCUGUCAAAAUCCUAUCAGAAAUUAAGGAAGAUGACGUUACGUUAACUUCAAAUCUGAGGAUUAAUUGUAGCAGAUCUUAUAGGGUUCAGCUGAUUGCUUUACUUGUUUAAAUAAUUCUCUUGUAAGCCUAAUGGUUCACGUCUUCCAUCAUUGCAACCUUUUUUUCUGUGAUUGAAAAAUCUAUAAUAGGAACCUGCACUGCAUCCCUUCUAUGCUGUUGUUCUUUCUUCUUGUUUUGCUAUUUUGAUUUUAUCAUAUUUUCUAUGAUGAAAGUUGAAGAAAUUCUACUUCGAAACUCAAGACAAAGUCUCUCGAUCGGACUGCAUAUUAGUGGGUUGCUCAUUGGGAUUUCUAUAAACAACUGAUUCUAAUAUUGCAAAGCAACAUUACGAAAAACUGAAUAUUUCACACAUAGUCUAAUAAAAGUAGAUUCCAUUGUCAAUUCCUUAACAUUUUCCAAACAAAUCCAUGCUCCUCAUUUUAUACUUUCUUGAGGGUUUCUAUUCUCUUAUUACCAAUUUCAGUGAGUUUCAUAAUAAGCUGCUUAGAAAGAAGCUAUCUAGCAGGAGGGUGGGGCUACUCUUAGCCAAUGAAAACAGCUUCACAUGCUAUACAGCAACGUGAAAAAAAGAUUCUCAGCCUGUUCUCUCUUUAAUGAACACCCUCUUGGAUUCUCUAGCAUUAGCCAACAAGGUAUUUGCUUGGAAUUACUUCCACCUGAAAACAACAGUUAACCUAUUUAAUAUACUUAACUAAGUAUCUAUUUCAUAACCUUAUAUAUUUUUUUAAUUAAAUUAGUUAUUUUUUUCAAAAAUAAAAAAAGUAAACGGUUUUCCAAAAAUCUAAUUCACAAUAAAACAAAUAAUGAAACUUGAUAAUAAUUCAUUAAAUAACCAUCAAUUAUUCAUCAAACCAAUCUGAAAAAGCUCAUAUUAAAGCUAGGGACCAAUCUGGAAUUUUAUCAUAUUUUUAGGGGUCAAAUUAUAAUUUUAUCAAAUUAGAAGACCAAACUAAAAAUAUCAUAAAUUCAUGACUAUACUAGAAUUCUGCCCAUAAUUCAUCAUAAAUUCUGCCCAGAAUUUCAAAUUAUGCUCCAAGGACCACUAUAGAAUUUUAUCAAAUAUCUAGGGUUAAGUUGUAAUUUCAUCAAAUUGGAGGACCAAAGUGAAAAUAUCAUAAAUUCAUAACUAUACUGGAAUUCUGCCCAUAAUUUAACUUUAAUUCUGUCCAGAAUCUCGGAUUAUGCUCCAGGGACCAAUCUCUAAUUUUUCUAAAGUUCAAGGACUAAACUGUAAUUUUCACAAAUUGAGGGACCAAACUGAAACUUCAACCUCAAACCCAGAAUUUACACAGAUAACCUACUGAUAUAUCAAGAUUUCUAACUCAAAUUCACCAUUUAAAUAAAAUCAUAACUCAAAAUCAUUAUUUUUACCUAAAAUCUUUCAAAAUCAACUAAAUAAUUCAUUAUCCAUAACAAUCAACCCAUAAUUUUUCUGUAAUGUAAUUGUAAUUCCUAGCAUAAUGCAUAUCCGAGGGCAAGCACAACAACUCAAGAACAAAGAAACUCGAUGAAAUAGCAAAAGAAAAGGACUUGAAGGACUGAAAUAAAAUAAAACCAAAAAAUAGGGAUUAAAAAAGUAACCGCACUCUGGUUGCCAUAAAAAACAUAGUUCUUUUAAUAUUUUUUUUUUAACUAUUGUAAUAGGUCAAUCAUAUUACCCGAGUGUGUGACUCAGAGAUGAUCAUCAUAGAAAAUUACUUUUAAUUGCUUGAGUUUUAUCCUUAGAUGAAAAACUUACCUCGUCCUCCUAAUGCUUUUGCUUUCAUUGUUUCGAAAGUAAAAGAGACAUAAACAUAAUCAUUUCCUUCCUUUUACUUUCCACUUCUUUGUAAUGGAUUGCAAACGGGAUGGUGCUUAGUGAGGCCAGUUUUUCUUUUCCUUUCUAUUUAAAAUCUUAUGCCUAAUUGGGUGAGGAAAUUAGUGGAGCAUUAGACUUUUUAAAAGACAACAAAAGGAAGCAAUGUCUCAUCUUUUGAUAUGGUGGUCUUCCAUGAUCAGUUUGUUGAUGAAGAUAUCGAAAGAUUCGAGUCUCCGUUCUAGUUCAGGUUGGAUGCAAGGCCGAAAGCUAAGCUUCUUUUAAUUAUGAAUUGUUUAUGCAAAGGAAACCCAGAAGCUUGAACAAACAGAAAUGCCUUGUUGAUUUCUCUGCUACUACUCAUUAUUUCCAAUAUUAUUCCAUUAUCUUACCCGAAAGCAAUUAUACAAGAAAUUUCAUUAUCCUGCCCCAAAGGCAGUUUAUUGCAUGGACUUCCUUUAACCUAGCUCCUUGAAGGCAAUUUAUUUGAUGAAAAUUCCUUUAAUCCACCUCAAAGACAAUUUAUCUUAGGGAAUUCCAACAACCCUUAAGGCAUUUUAUCAAAGGGAAUUCCAAAAACAAUUUAUUUCUUGGACUCAGUAUUCUUUGAUACUAGUUAUUUAUAUAUAAUUUAACAACACUUAACCAUCUUACAUUUAAGAAGAAAUUCAAAAGUAAGGAUAACCCUUAUCUAGAGCUCCUGUGGUUCUUGCUCCCGAGAGAAUUGGCUCCACUCCGGACAAAUCUACUAUCAGAAACCCAAGUUUCAACCAAUCAAUAACAUCAACACCCAUUUUAUAUUAAUGCAAUAAGUUUUUCUUAACCAAUUUACUUGAUGCAAGUUCUUAUAAUAAAAGUGACAGUAUUCAAGGUGAAGACAAGCAGAAGGGCGUGAUAGAGUUUGACAAAGAUGAAGCUAGUUCCAAUAAAGGGAAACACUCUAUGCAGGCCAAACAACAGUGGAAAUUCUUAUAAUCCCACCAAUCAAGGAUUACAGGACCCUAGUCCUUCCCAAACCAAUUUGAACUCCCCGUAGAGAAAACAUCUCCAAACCCAUUUUGAAUCACCCACAACAAGCAUCUCCACAACCUGUUCUGAACCCCCCCACAACAAGCAUCUCUGCAACAUGAUUUUAUUUCCUUGUGUGACAGGGAGGUCAAAAUUGAAAGAUAUUACUAUUUUCAUUAAUUUUAUUAAAGCUUAAUUAUUAUUUUUUUUCCCUUUUCUUUUAAAAAUGUUAUCUCCUUGGUAAGGAAUCCUUGGUUCCCAACAGCAACUGUAGCAUAGUUAAAAAAAUAUCUAAACUCCACCGAAAGUAGUGGAGCCUUAGAAUUUUUAAAAGACAAAACGGGGACAAGUGAGAGACGAAGAAAAAGACAAAAGUAAUCCCAUCUAUUGAUGUGGUGAUCCAAGAUACACCAUAACAUGGUGUUCUUCCAUGAAGUCUAAGAUACACCGUCGUGUUGUUUCAUAUAUAUUUUUAUAUAUGAAAAUAAUAAAGCUACCGUUUAAAACAACUCUGAAAACAAAAUUUUUAAUAAUCCAUAAUUUUUAAGCAAACAUCACUUAUAAGCAAAUAAUUAAUGAUGGUUAGUUAAACUAAUUCAUUGUUAGGCGGAUAUAUAUUAAGGUUAAGAACCCUCUAUCUAACACUAAUAACUAAUCACUGAUAAUAUUUAUGCAAAACUUGUAGCUUAGGAUGAACUCUCAGAGAUGUGGGCGAGGCAACUCAAAGUAGAAGGGAAGGGGUAACCUCUGAUAACAGAGAAAAUUGUAGAGUAAAGCAGGACCGAAUUUUCUUAAAUUAACAACAGAAAUCUACAAUGAACAGUUCUCGAGAAGAAACUCAAGAAACGUAUAUAAAGCUACAUGAUGACAUAAUAGGAACCUGCAUUGCCUCCAUUCUAUGAUGAAAGUUCAAGAAAUUUUACGUCGAAACUCAAGACAAACUCUCUCAGACUACAUAUUAGUGGGAUUUCCAUGAACAACUGAUUCUAUUGCAAAGCAACAUUAGGAAAAAUUGAAUAUUUCACACAUAGUCUAAUAAAAGUAGAUUCCAUUGUCAAUUCCUCAACAUUUUCCAAACAAAUCCAUGCUCCUCAUUUUAUACUCUCUCUCUUAUUACCAACUUCAUUGAGUUUCAUAUAAGCAUAGUCAAUCACACAACUAAUAUGUGAAUUCACAAUUUCUUACCGAAAACAUUUUAUCAGUGCAAGUUAAUACAUAAUUUUACCUCUCCUCUUGGUGAAAACAUAAAGACACAACCACCGAGCAGAUCUCUGGUAAUGGUCUCUACAAAUUCCCUACAGUUCCUAUUGCCAACAAACUCCUCUUGCCAUUCCCUAACUGCAUUGAGCCAGCUAAUCUGGAUGAAAGAAAAGACUUCAGCCAUUCCCUAACCUUAAAGCAGACCCAACUUUGUAGCUCAUUACCAGUUAAGUAAAAGUUAUCAAUAGCUGUGUAAAUCAUUGAAACUGCCACAAAAGCCCCAAAUUAGUUAUGAAUUGGAUUCGAUAAGGGAAAGAGGGGAAGAGGGGAAAUGGGUAACGGAAAAUUAAAGAGAGAUGAAGAUCUGCGCAGGGCUACCUGUUUUGAGAAUUAUGGAUUUUUAUCCCUAACUCCAAAUUGCACCAAUUAUAAGUUCAUUAAAACAAAUCUGGAACAGAACAGAUGGAAAAAACUCGAAACAACUUGGCUAGAAUUUGGGCAAGAAAUUCAGAACGGCCAAGAUUUUAAGUGAGAUAAAAGUUAUCCCAUUUUGUUCUGUUUUUUUUUAAAAAAUUAAUAUGAGAUGUACUAUCCAUUUCAAGCGGAACAUAAUGGAAUGAACAACCUUGCAUCGAAGACCUAAUUUUAGUGAAACUCAAGUUUCUUGUGUCAAAGAAAAUGUUCUAAAAAAAUGUUUUAAGCAUUAACAAAAUCUAGUUGGCCUAGGCAAUCCACUAUUGUUGCUGUUACCGUUGGUGCAUACUCCAUUACACCAUUGACAUAGUGCAACUGUUUUUCUUUCUUUCUUUCUUUCUUUCUUUUAAAAAAAUCCAUGUUAUGUUUUUUAUUUGAAGCUUUUUUGUUAAUAUCUUUCGCAAUUGGCCUUGGUAUUUUGUUUCCAUUUUCUCUGUUUCCUUCUUCUGUAGUUAGAAAACAUCAUGUCUUUGGGUUUGCGCUUGAUACAGCAAAAUUAAGGACACAAUAAUCAAAGAACACAAAAUUUUAUAAGGGAAAGGGGUUGCAGUUGUGAACCUAAAAUUUACAAAUUUAUUUUCUCAAUAAUAAUAAUAAUAAUAAAGAAGUUUGCCUUCUUAAAAGGUUUACAAAACCUUAAAUAGGUUAGGAACCUUACCUCAACAAGGGAACAGAAAAAAAAUCCAAAAUUAUAAAUGAAACAAGCAUAAAAUCUGAAAUAAGCAAGAAAUGAAAAUAACAAAAAACUACCAAAAUCAGGGGCAUCAUUGAGAUUUUUAAUAUCUAAAGAUCUAAUGAUUUGUAUAAAAAUUUGAGCACAUUAAUCCAAUAAUCGAAAAAACAAUUAUGGCUCUUUUGAGCUGUUAUUCUAGUCUAGCACGAUCAAACAUUCUCUUGGGUUUAGACUUGUUCUAUUGGUUCAUAAAUGCAUUUACUAGGCCAUCAACAUUAAUUGUCUAAGGCAAAUUCUCAUCUAGUUGUGGUAGACUCACACCUGACUGCUUAUAAAAUUGGUUGGUUUUUUGUUUUCGAAGAGAUUUAAAAUUUGAUGCAAAUGAAAGCUAAAAACACAAUAAUUAAAGGGCACAAAAAAAAUUAUAAGCGAAAAAGACUGCAGAUGUGAACCCUCAAAUUCACAAGUUUAUUUUCUCUAAAAUAAUAAUAAUGAAAUUUGUCUUCUUAGGAGGUUUCCAAAGCCAUAAAAAUAUCAAGAAUCCUACCUUAACUUGGAAACAAAAACACAAACUCAAAAUUACAAAGGAAAAAAGCAUAAAAUCCAAAAUAAGCAAGAAAUUAAAAAAUAACAAAGAAAAUCACAAAAAACUACCAAAACUAGAGGGCUCAACAAGAUUUUUGAUAUCUAAAGAUUCAGCAGUCCACGCAAAAAAAUUUGCAUGGUCCAACGGUCGGAUAAGAAAUUGUGAUCAUUUUGAGCUAUUAUACACGACCAAAUCUUCUUUUGAUCCUAUACUUGUCCUAUUAGUCCAUAAAUGCAUUUUCAUAACCUAUCUUUUUUUUUUUUCUACUAUAGAUGGUGUUUGACCAUCAUCGUCAUAUGGUUUGACUUAGUUGUACCGGUUUUUAAUAAGAUGAACUUUAUAUAUUAUGGGUUUACAUUUACUAUUUUUUAAAAAUGUUCAUUAUCGUUUCGAUCUCUAUAAGUCCAUUGUUCACAACUGAAGUCCGUACCUGCAGCGGAUCACAGGCAAUGAAACUAUACAAACACACUAGAGACUCAAGAGUAAACAUGCUACUAUAGUUAGCAGGUAAGGGUCAGGUCAUUUGUUGUCUGGUUUCAAAUAGAGUUUCAACUCAUUUAAUAAAUAUAUAUACAUGGCUCAUAGUUGGAUUAUUUGUGUUUUUGUUAUUUGUUCUUCCCAGUAAUUGUACCAGAAGCUGCUCUCAUAUUUGAAGGAAUGCAAACAAUAUAUUGUUAAUAUGAAACUUAUGAUGCCUAGGAAAUUGCCAUUUUUCUCAUUUUUAAUUGGAAGAAAAAUCACAAGUAUGUUUCUGUUAGAAAUAACUUCUUAUUUCAAUCAGAAGUGUGUCACUAAAUUGAUUUAUAAGUAAGUUUUUAAAUUGUGGAUUAUAUCUUAAUUACAUUAUAUUUUUUUAUUAACAAAAGUUUAUUUGAGUUAUUUUUAUUAAAAAUACUUAUAAUUUAAAAUUAUUUUAAUUCUUUUUUAUCAUAAAUUAUUUAUUAAAAACAACUUAGAUUAUCGCUUGAAAUAAAAAAUUCUUAAUUCAAAAGUCAUUAAAAAAUUCUUAAUUUAAAGAAGCUAAUAAUCUAAAAGGAGGGUGGGGCUGCUUAGCCAAUGAAAACAGCUUCACAUAUGAAAACAGCUUCACAUACAACGCAACAACGUGACACAAAGUAGAAAAAAAAAGAAAAAGAAAAAUUUCUCAGUCUGUUUUCUCUUUACUGAACAACCUCUUUGAUUCUCUAGCAUCUGCUUGGAAAAACCAUUCAACAAGGGAUUCUGCUAGGAAAACAUGCAAUUGUUCUUCUAUCUGAUAUCAGUUUCAAAAUUCUAAACAAAUAAUGCAACAAGUCACAUUUAUUCCAGACCUCAAGCUGCAUUGCCUAUUUCAAAACCACAAAGAGAACAUCAAACAGAACAACAAAUACCCAGUCGUAGAGCCAUUAAUUUGAGCAUAAAGGAGAAAGAAAGUCCACGCAUUAAACAGUAGGCACACACAUGAGUAUACAUUAUGCCCUUGUUUUUGAAGAUUCAGACACUUCAAAAGAAAACUCACGCUCUUAUUUUUGGGAAGUUCUUGUAUGGUAAAUAAGACUGUUACAAUGUGAAGCCAAUUUGUAUCCCAUUGCCAGUGAAACAAUAGGAAUUACUUCCACCAAUCUAAAACAUAUUCGCAGCACCACAGCUCAAAGACAUGAAUCUCUGUGAAAUCACCUAAGGUCGAGUUGCUCAUGUAAUAGGCAACCAACCUGCCUAAUGCUAACAGAAGAACAAAGACCAUUCAUGCAUAUCCAUUACCUGUUUAGCAUGUUUUUCAAAUUCCAAUGCCAAACUAAUCAUCCUACCCAUCAUCAUCAUCACCACCAUCUCCCUUCACCACCUUCCUUCAUCUCCUUCACCACAUACCCACCCAUUAUUUCGGGUCCACGUUUUACAAGUGCUGAUUGGCGCAGAGCAACCAGUGCUUGAAUCCUCAGCUACUUCAGAUACCUGUAAUCCAAUCCAAGCAUGGCAUACACAUUUUGGCUUCUAAAUCUUAUUAUUGAGUGAAACAAGAAACAAACACACAAAAAGAGAAGCAAGAAAUUAAGACAAUUCAGCAGCACCUCUGAUGGAGCUCUUAUUGAACCAUUUGGUGUAGUAGCAAAUUUUGUGAUCAGCUUUGGGCAUUCAAACACCUCCAACUGCUCUAAAUGAGGGAAUAAGAAAUCAUAACAUCCGAGACUGAAGCAUACAAUACUUGAUAAUUGUUCUAGCAACAGCACCUGCAGAUUCGGGAGCUCCAUCACCUUCUCAACAUUGACAGGUAAAGCAUUCUCAUCCUGAAGCCAUGGCUACUGGGAAGAGACUCUUCAACAUGUUGCAUUUUCUGACAUCAAUUUCACAUAAAUUAGGGAAACAUACAGAUUGAAGAUGAUCUCCUGGGAAUAUCUGAUCCUUUCCAUCAUCAUUAUCCCUAGCAAUGAUUUGCUAUAAUUCCUCACAACUUUCUAUGUUUAGAAAAUUCAGUUGAACUAGACUAGCAAUCAUGCUGUCUGAGAAUACAUGUGUUAGUCUUUUACACUUAUUCACCACCGAAGUAGUUAAAUUGCUCAGCACGAGAACCUUCCACAAACACCACAUGCUUGUGUCAGGCAGGGACUUCAAUUUUAAUGUUUUCAAACUUGUUAAACUCCUAUGCAUGCUCCACUUAUCAAUUUUAAUGUUUUAGCUCUUCAUUCGUCUCUCCAUUUAAAGCUAUAAAAUAAAAUAAAAUAAAAAUAGCUAACAAUAUUACCCUUUUUUUUAUUGACAAAUGCUACUGUUUUUUUCUUUUUUUUUUUCUUUUUGUCAUUCUAAAUAGAGCAUUUGCCAAUAAAAAAAAAUUAAGGCCUGGAAAUGAUGUUUUGUGAUUGGCCCAUCAUUAAUUUUGUUAUCCAUGCACAGUAUAGACCGGCCCGGGAAUGAUGUUUAAACUGGGAAUAAUGAGUUUUCUAUGGGCUUUGGAGCAUUGUGUGACACUUAACAGUGUGCACUUCAGGCCCAUUUAAGAAGAGAAAAAAGGGACAGGGAUAAAGUCUGAAGUAACGGUCAGAAAAGAAACCGAUAAAUUAAUUAAAUUGAAAAAAUUAAAUUAUAAAAAAAAUUAAUUAAAUAAAUUAGAAUAUUUUUAAAAAAUUAGUUGAGUUUGAUUUUGAUUUCAUAAAUUUAAAAUUAAAAAACCGAACCAAAUAAAAAAACCCAUUAAAAAAUCCCAAAAUUACCAAAAAAACAACAUAAUUUUUAAUUUUAAAUAUAAAAUAAUCAAACCAAAUCGAAAUCGGUCAAUUGAUUGAGUUUCAGUUUUUAAUAUAAAAUAAUUAAACCAAACCAAAACAGGUCAAUUGGGUUUUAUUUUCUAAUAUAAAAUAAUCAAAUAAAAUUAAAAUUGAUCGGUUGGAAUCGGUUUUAAUUUUUUUAUAUAUUUUAUAAAAUUUGAAUUUAUUAUUUUUAUAAAUAAAAAAAAUAAUCACUCUCGGUCUAAAGUCAAGACAUUGUGGUAUAUGACAUCAUUGGCAGGGUACUAUUCUACCACUAGAUCACUGGCACUUGUUGGUAUCAACGUGUGGAAUAGCUAAUUAAAUAUAUAUAGUCAAAUAGGUAAUUGAAUAUAUAUAAUGACACGUAUAUUUCCUAGUCAAACGCAGGAGCAAAAAUUUCAAAAUAGCAGACAACGUUUUUGACAGAAGUCUUGUACCAUUACUUCUAUCUCGCUUUAUUCUCUUCUAUAUAUAUAUAUAUAUAUAUAUAUGGUGAAUUGACUAGAGCAUGCAUAUAAGACUUCUUCUAGUCAUGAUGGUCAGUGAGGUUUUUGGUUUUAAAAUCAACAACUCCACUUAAAUUUCUUAAACUUGAAGAAUAUGCGAAGACAAUGCAUUUUUAAUAUGCUAAUUAUUCCUUGUACAGAAACAAGAAGGGAUUCUCCUCUACAUUAUUGUCCCAAUAUAUCAAACAUUGAUAAAGAAAAAAUGCAAAUCAAAACCAAGGCUCCCUCCCCACUGUUUCGUUUUAUAUGCUCUUGGAUCUUGAUUAACUAAUGAAGGAAACAAUUUGAAAACAUUAAAAUUGUAUCAAGAGACAGGGAAUGACACAGUUAGACAACUCCUUUUCAAUUUAGUGGAUGGCUAAAGGAUUUAUCUCCACUUAUCAAUUACUUCAGUUUCAGAAAUUUGGAGGAAGAAAUCACAAUGUAUUGAAGUUGACAACCAGAAGCCCAAAAGAAAACAAUUUUGACGAAUACCCACCAAACAGUUGAAGUGCUGCUGUAACUGAGAUUUUUUAUUAUAUGUAUUUUUUGUGGUCCAAUGGAUAAAUAAUUUUUUUUUCUUUUAUUUUAUCAGCUUAAUUUUGCAUGUGGAAUAUUGAGUUUUCUGUUAUUUUUUCAGACACAGAAUUGAAUCCUUUAUAUAUUCUUAAAACCAAAUUUGAAUUCUAAGUUCCUAAAUGAAGGAAUAAUAAAGAUUGUUGCAACUUGCAUGUACAAAUUCUCCUUCAAAAAAUUAACAAAUAAUAAAGUCUCCUAUGUUAAUGAAGAUUUAAUUAUAACUUAGCCCUGUAAUUUCUUAAAAUUAAUUAUUUAGUCUUUUAAGUAUAAUGGAUGUCGCACCCGACAUCGCGGCGGCCCUAAAAAUAAUCCUCGAAUAUGAAAAAAGAACAGAUUUCUGGCAUCUUGCUCUUUUAGAAGAAAAAAAAUGUCUUAUUUGAGGAGUCGCCACCUAUUAUUAUGGUCACUAGGAACCCUAACUAGUCAACAGAGAUUCUAUGGCUCGGGAUUGGUUAUGUAAAAGGGAAGAUAUUAUCACCCUUUAAACGUUCUGCCUAAUGCAGAUUGCAUUGCUGGUUUUGUCUUAAAUUGCUAAAUGUUUAUUAGUUUAUGCUAUGAUAAUUUGUUUAUAAUAUUCCUGACUCUGGCGCCAAUGAAUAUUCGAGCUCGAAUAAUUCCAACUCUGGCGUUGGUAAAAAUUCGUUGCUACGAAAAAAAAUUAGAUCAAUAUUUUUUAUUCUCUACUCUAGCGCCAAUGAAUAAAUAAAUAAAAAUAAAUUUAUUUUUACGCAUGCACAUAUUUUUUUAUUUCUUAUGUAGUUAAAUAAAAAUUAAAUCAGUAUUUUUUAUUUCUGACUCUGGCGUAAGUGAAUAAAUCAAUAAAUUUUUCUAUUUUUUCUAUUUUUAUUUUUUUUUGUUUUGGGGGUUGGGCCCAGCUCAGCCCACAAGGGCUGGGCUGGACCCAGCUGACUCGAUUGGGUCACUGGUCUAGACCAGUGACCCGGCCGGGUGGCAAACGCACGCCUGCCCAAUGAAUUAUAAUUCACUUGCUACAGUAGCAAGUGAAUUAUAAUUCACUGCUACUGUAGCAGUGAAUUAAAAUGCAAAAGGGUAGAGAUGAGGGACGACUGACCUGGUGCAGCAAGGCGUAGCCGGAGACGAUGGCGCACUGUGCUGGACAAACGACGCUGCCUCCUCUUGUUCUUCCUCUCUUCUUCCUUCUCUUCCUCCUUUUCUUCCCUGGUUCGUCCCUGUAUUUCUUUCCUGGAGUGCCCUGUUUCUGGUGCAGUGGCUGCUGAAGAUGGAGCUCUGGAGUUGCUGCUUCUGGAGGCGACGAAAACGGUUGUGACGCUGGUGGUGACUCUUGUCUACUGCUUUCCUUGGUCUUCCUUAUGUGCUUCCUCUGCUCAGGACAUCAACGAUGGUGAUGAAGAUGUUAGGUGCUGCCGGUUGAAUGGAAGCUUGCUCCCCUGUUUCUGUUUUUCUGCAUUCGUCUUCCCUAGUUUUCCUUUCCUAAGCUGUGAUAAGAUAGGAUUUAGAGGAAGAAGAGAUAAUAAGAUAAAAGGUGAUUGUUUAUUGAUUGCAUGCCUUUCCUCUCGAAACAGUGAGCCUAAAUAGGCCAUUCAAUACAACUGUAAACUAAAUAAUAGGAACUCCAGUAGUGGAGAGCUGAAGACUAGGGAUUCUCUGACCCAUUCAAUUACUUAAUUAAACAAUGAAAUAAAUUAAACAAUGAAACAAACAAAACAUAAAGUAAUUCCACGUAGACUCUCUCCAUGCAGUAGUAGCAAGAGAUCCACGUGCCCAAUGCUCUUAUCAUUCCCUCUCCCUCCCUUGAAUUCUCCUUGUCCGCAAGGUUGAAUUGAGGAUAAGUUUUUGCAAAUCGCCACAAAUUUUCCCACGAAGAAUCUUCUGGCAAUGCCCCCUUCCAUUGCACCAAGAUUUCCGUUCGUGGCCUGUAUUUCCCCUUCUGGAUAACCCUUCUAUCAAGGAUUGCUUCUGGUUCUGGUAACACCACAACAUCUGACAUAAUUGGAGGAAGGGUGAUCACCGCGUCCUUGGCUAUAUCUCCCCACUGUUUCUUGAGUAAACUGACAUGGAAAACAUCAUGUAUGCGUGACCCUGUGGGAAGGUCUAAUUUGUAUGCCACUGGUCCAAUGCGAGCGAGAACCUUGAAGGGGCCAAAAAACCUGGGUGAUAACUUUAAGGAACUCCUGAAAGCUACCGUUUUUUGGCGGUAUGGUUGCAAUUUUAAGAACACAUAAUCUCCAACCUGAAAUGUGACUUCCCGACGAUGCAAAUCUGCCCGAGAUUUCAUGCGUCCCUGUGCAUCAAUUAAAUUCCGUCUGAGGUCCCGCAGGAUGACCUCUCUUGUGCGCAGCAUUUGAUCUACUGCUUGAAGCUUUGUAGUUCCUGGUAUAUAGGAGAUCAUAGAUGGAGGAGGGACCCCGUACACAGCUUCAAAUGGAGAAACCUUCGUUGUUGAUUGAAUGGCCGUGUUGUAACCAUAUUCAGCCCAAGCCAGCCAUUCCAUCCAUGCCUUUGGGUGGUCGCAAGUGAAACAGCGCAGGUACUGUUCCAAGGUCCGAUUAACCACUUCGGUUUGGCCGUCCGUUUGCGGAUGGUAACUGGAGCUGUAGUUAAGUGUCGUGCCAUGUAGCGUGAAUAAGGACUUCCAGAAGGAGCUGAUGAAGAUUUUAUCCCGAUCACUCACUAUAGAACGCGGCAUGCCAUGUAAUUUGACCACAAUAUUUAAGAAACACUUCGCAACCGUCACUGCAGUGUAGGGAUGUUUAAGUGGCAUAAAAUGGUUGUAUUUGGAGAGCCGAUCCACCACAACCAUGAUAACACUGUAACCUUGCGAAGAUGGUAAGCCCUCGAUAAAAUCCAUAGAUAUGUCCGUCCAAAUGAGCUGUGGGAUUGGGAGAGACUGAAGUAACCCCGCUGGCCUUAAAGUUUCAUGUUUACAACGCUGGCACACCUCACAUUCUCUAAUGAAGUUCUUGACAGAUGUUCGUAUGCCAGGCCAUAGAAAGCUGGAGGAGAUGCGGGUCAAGGUCUUUAAAUAGCCAAAAUGUCCACCUGCAGGGAAUGAAUGCCCAUCGGCCAAAACAGCAGGUAACAAAGAGGAUGUAGGACUCAAGUGUAUCCUCCCUUUCUGCAUCCAAACCCCAUCUCUUUGAACCAGUUUUAAAGUGGGAUUGGUGGCCACAGUGCUGUAAUAGGGCUGCUGCUGGACUUCUUGUUGUAGAGUUUCCCACCAGUCUGUAAUAGGAGCUGAUAUAGCGUGUAAUUGUGCUGCUGCCACGCGAGAGAGAGCAUCAGCUCCCUGAUUUUCCUUGCCCUUGCGAUACUGAAUGCUGUAAUCGAACCCCAUAAUCUUCGGCAGCCAACGGGCUUGAGAAGGGGUGGUAAGUCGUUGCUCGAGAAGGUACUUCAAGCUUUGAUGAUCGGUCUUGAUCACAAAGGUUCUGCCCAAUAAAUACGGCCGCCAUUUCCGCACUGCCUUCACUACUGCGAGCAUCUCCUUGUCAUACGUUGACAGUAAUCUAGACUUGCCCUUCAAGGCCUCACUGUAAUAAGCAAUUGGCUGAUUGUCUUGAGAUAAAAUUGCUCUCAACCAUCACCACACGCAUCACACUCCACUGCAAAUUGUUGUGCAAAGUUUGGAAGUCGCAGCACAGGUGGGGACGUGAGGGCUUGCUUCAGUUUAUUGAAAGCCAUGAGCGCCUCCUCAGACCAGCGAAACCCCUCCUUGGAUAGGAGCUGAUUUAAUGGUGCAGCUAUGACGCCAAAUCCUCUCACAAAUUUUCAGUAAUAUCCAGCCAAACCGAGAAACCCACGGACAUCCUUGGGAGUUGCUGGAAUUGGCCAAUUUUGGACGGCUUGGAUUUUGGCAGGGUCCACUGCUACUCCUUCGGCAGAAAUGAGGUGCCCCAAAUAACCCACGGUAAGCACUCCAAACUGGCAUUUUGAGAGCUUUACAUACAGCUGGUUGUCCGAGAGAAUACGCAGCACUUGACAGAGAUGUUGUAAGUGAUCCAUCCAAGACCUGCUAUACACCAAAAUAUCGUCAAAAAAUAACAAUAUAAAUCGCCGUAAAUGAGGGCGAAAGAGGUCAUUCAUGAGACUCUGAAAAGUUGCUGGGGCGUUUGUCAAUCCGAAUGGCAUGACCACAAACUCGUAGUGACCGUCAUGAGUGCGGAAUGCGGUUUUUGGAAUGUCUUCCGGCUGGACUCUAAUCUGGUGAUACCCGGAGCGCAAGUCCAGCUUUGAAAAGAACUUCGCGCCAUGUAAUUCAUCAAGCAACUCAUCAAUGACCGGAAUGGGAAACUUGUCUUUAAUUGUGAUUUCAUUGAGCGCCCGAUAAUCAACACAAAAUCGCCAAGACCUAUCAGCCUUUUUAAUCAACAAAACCAGAGAAGAAAAGGGGCUGCGACUGAGGCGAAUAACUCCAGAUUGUAGGAAUUCCUUGACCAGUUUUUCAAUCUUAUUUUUUUGAUAGUACGGGUACCUGUAAGGCCGGUUGUUGACUGGAGAUUUAUUGGACAUCAAGGGAAUUUGGUGGUCAUGGCUGCGCGUAGGUGGCAGCGUUGUAGGCUCCUGGAAAACAUGUGCAAAAUCUGAAAGGAUGAGAUUGAGGUCAGGUGACCACGCUGAGGCUGUCUUUGGCAUUGUCUCCGUUUCUAUAUGCACAAAAUACCCCACACCUGAUAAGUGGAUCAACUCCUUAUCACUUAGGGGAGCGAGUUCAGUGUUUGAUAGUCCUCUCAAUGUGUACGUCUGGCCUUCUUGUUUAAAUGACAUGAUGAGCUUUUUGUAAUCGGUCUUGAUGGGGCCUAAAGUCUCCAGCCAUUGCACUCCUAAUACGGCUUGGCAGGCUAUCACUGGAAGCACAAAGAAGUCUGCGCGAACAAUGAUUCCUUGAAUCGAUAAAGAAAGGCCUAAGCACCGCCCAGUACACUCAAUAAUCUCCUUGUUCCCAACUGUGACUUGGAUGGUUUUGCCGCGAAUAACAUGUAGUCCCAAUUUGGUUGCCGUGGACUGAUCAAUAAAAUUAUGGGUGCUUCCCCCAUCAAUGAGCACUGUCAUAGCCGUGUUUCCUGCUCUACCAAUGACACGGAAAGUCUGUGGGUGGUUUGUUCCCACCAGAGCAUGAAAUGAUAUCUCUGGAAUGUCUUCCUCAGGCGUCACAAUCUCCAUGUCCACAUCGUCUCCUUCCUCCUUCUGCUGCACAUCCACCAUCAUGAACAACUGAGGCCGUGAACAACGAUGCCCGGGAACAUAUCGCUCAUCACAAUAGAAACACAACCCUUUUUCACGUUUCUCCCUUGCCUCCUGACCUGUUAUCCGUCGAAUUGGUGCAGUUGGGUGAGUUGUUCAUUGAGCCGGGGCAGGACCCAAGAGUCCCAUGGUGUUUGUGUGUGGUUGUUUCGGCUGGAAUGAAGGUGUUGUCGAUGGUCUGACUGGAUUGUUGAAUUUCCUUUGGAAAUGAUUUCGUUCUUCAAUUAAAUGAGCCACACUAAUGGAUUCAGAGAGAGUUUUUGGUUGCUUAACUCGAACAUCCAAACGAAUUUCAUCUUUUAAUCCCGCAAUAAAACACCCUACCAGGAAAUUUUCUGGGAGGUCAUCAACCUUGUGAGACAGUUUCUCAAAGGCUUCUUGAUAUACAUUCACAGUCGUGGUUUGCUUAAGUCUGGACAAUGCUUCUGACGGAUCAUCAUACUCAGUUGGUCCAAAACGGUGGAGAAGGGCUGAGACAAACUCAUUCCAGAGUAAUUGUCCCUUGCUUUUCGUAUACCAACGAUACCACUGCAAGGCGACACUCGACAGAUGAAAUGACGCCAAUUGUACUUGUCGUGGAGCGUCAAUGUUCUGGAACUCAAAGUAUUGUUCUGCCUUAAAUAUCCAGCCAGUGGGAUCCUCCCCUUCUCCAGAAUAGGUUGGAAAAUUCAACUUGAGGGUAGUGUGGUUUCUGUCGGCAUUGAAGGUUGCAGACGACCUGUCGUGAGAAGUACUUCCCCCAGCAUAAGGAUUUACUUCCCUCUCACUGGAACGAUGGGAAUGGGCGAUCCUCAUCGCUUGUAGCUCUGUCAUGACUCCCUGAAGGGCGUCGUUGACUCGAUUGAAAUUGUGAUUCAAUUCGUCAAAAUUGGCGUCGUGUCAUCCGAGAGUUUCUGUGAUCUCAGCACGAAACUACGCAUUAGUUUUACCACGCGUGUCCAUGGAUUGAACAGCUCUAAUACCACUGAUAAGAUAGGAUUUAGAGGAAGAAGAGAUAAUAAGAUAAAAGGUGAUUGUUUAUUGAUUGCAUGCCUUUCCUCUCGAAACAGUGAGCCUAAAUAGGCCAUUCAAUACAACUGUAAACUAAAUAAUAGGAACUCCAGUAGUGGAGAGCUGAAGACUAGGGAUGCUCUUGCUAAUCCCGUUACUUAUUCUCUAACCCAUUCAAUUACUUAAUUAAACAAUGAAAUAAAUUAAACAAUGAAACAAACAAAACAUAAAGUAAUUCUACGUAGACUCUCUCCAUGCAGUAGUAGCAAGAGAUCCACGUGCCCAAUGCUCUUAUCAAGCUGUUGCUUGUGAUAUUAUUGGAAAACGAAGACGCAGACGAAGACGAUGGUCGAUGGUGAUGGAGGUCUGCACCCAGGAGAUGGGGGUUCUUCCCCUGCGUUUUUCUUGUUGUUGUUCGUCUCUGUGUUUUUUUUUCUGUUCUCUGUUCUGGGUCUCCAGUGGCUUUUCGGUUAUGCCCUCCCCUCUCUUCUGUCUUCUCUCCCCUUUUCCCCCGGUUUUGCUCUUUUUUCCUUUCAUCCUCUUCUGCUCAGUCGUUCUUUGGCUUUUAUAGCCAGAGAAAAUAAUGUCGUUUCUUCCAACCAUAAAGUGUGAUAAUUGCAGAAGUAAUGGCUGUGCGGCGGUGGGCGUCCGUUUCGGUCGGGUGAGGAAGAUGAACAGUAACGGGCAACGGUGCUGUUUUGGUAUUCACAGUUGUAUGCCUUUUGGCCCUUGAAGUUUUGAACGUUUUGUAAUUAAGCCCCUAGUUAAAUUGUAAAUGGACCCCUGAAUUUCGACGCCUUUUACAAGUUAGGCUUUGGACUUUAAUCUGUUGCCAUUGUGCCCCCAAUUAACCCCAAAAUUUGGUAUUUUUUCAAUUAAGUCCCUGAUUUCAUUAAUUAAAUUAAAUCUAAGUCCAAUUAAGUCCCAAACUUAUCAAUUCAUUAAAUAAGCUCUUGAUUUUGUCAAUAAAACUAAUCCAAAGUUUAAUUAAAUCUCAAAACUUCCAAUUUUGUUGCCAUUAACCCAAAAUUUUAAUUCAUUCUUUAUUUUUAUCAUUUCACUCAUUUCAUCAUCAAAUUUUUUAAAUAAAAUAGAGAAGUCAAAAAUUGGGUUAUGAUAAUGAAUAAUUAAAAAAUCUAUUAACUUGUGUUGACCACCCUCCAUUUACUAUAUUUUUCUCUAAAAAAUGCCUUCCUUCCUAAUGAAAUUUCCUCAAAUACAUACUUUUUUUUUUAGGAAAUGUUCCAUUUUCCUCACUUCUAGAAAAAAAAAAUUAAAUGCUUGUGCGCAUGGGCUUGACCUUGCAGAUCCGCACACAAGCCUUUGAUGGGUGGGCCAAGCACUAGGCCUGACUUUCUAGAUCUAACAACGUAUGACCUCAUUUAUUUUUUUUAAUUAUUAUUAAUACCUAUAUAUAUAUAUUUAUUUAUAUAUUUGAAAAUAUUUUUAAAAAUGAUGUUUUUAUUAAUACUCGUUUUCGUUGAUUUUUUUUUUUGCCUUAUUUAGCGUUCAAUUAUUUUUAAUUAUGUUGGGUAUGUUUAGUUUUUUAAGAAGUUACUAUUAUUUAUCUGUAAAAUUUUUUUAUAUAUUUCAGAUAGAUUAAGUAUUUAUUUUUUUAUAAUAUUUUGAAUAAUUAUAGCCUUGCAUGGUAUUUUUUUUCCUUUUAUGCUAUUCAAUAAAUUUUAUAUGUGUAUUGAUUUCUAUUAUAAAUUAAUUUUAGUAAAUAAAUUAAUUAAACAUAACCAGGGUUAUUUAUUUAUUGGUAAUGACUUUUUUUUUCAUUUAUUUAUAUAAUGAUUCAUGAUUUAUUUAAUUCGAUGCGUGCAUAAGUUUUUUAAUUUAUAUUUAUGAUUGUUUUUAAUGUAAGAAAACACGUUCAUAAAUUCUUAUUAUUAUGAUUUCAGUUUAAUCCUAAUUUUUAUGAUUUUUUAUUUUUUUUCCUUAGCCUUUUAUAAAAGUUUUUUUGUUUGUAAUUUCACCCUUUAAUUUAAUAUGAUGGUGUAUUUGUUUUUUUAUUUUUUGCUUCUAUAUAUAUAUAUAUAUAUAUAUAUAUAUAUAUAUAUAUAUUCCCGUCUUUUGUUUUUUCGUUUUAUCAGCUUUUGCAUGUGGAAUAUUGAGUCUUCUACUUUUUCAGCCACAGAAUUGAAUCCUUUAUAUAUUCUUAAAACUAGAUUUGAAUUCUAAUGAACGAAUAAUAAAGAUGGUUGCAUGUACAAAUUCACCUUCAGAAAACAUAUAAUAAAGUCCCAUAUGUUAAUGAAGAUUUAAUUAUUAAGAAUAUAAAUUAAAUUAAAUUAAAUAUUGAAAAAACUAAAUGAAUUCCUUAAUAAAUAAAUAAAUUCUUUCUUUAGAAAGCAUGGAAAUGCCAUGACACUGGCUUUUUAGAGAGAUGAAGAUCUGGAGCACAACAGCCAAGAAAGUUAUCGAUAAAAGGAAGAUGGGAAGAGGGGAAAUGGGUAACGGGAGAGAGAUGAAGAUCUGCGCAUGGCUACCUGUUUUUGAGAGAAUUAUGGAAAGUUAUCCCUCACUCAAAACGGCACCAAUUAUAAGUUCAUUAAAAAAAAUCUGGAGCACAAUAGAUGGAAAAAACUCGAAACAACUUGUCUAGAAUUUAGGCAAGAAGAAUGAGCCAAGAUUUUAAUUGCAAUGAAAUUUAUCUCACUUUGUUAAGUUUUUUAAAAUGAUACAAGAUAUACUACCUAAUGAAACAAAAUGGAAUCAACAACCUUUAAAAGGAGUAGAGAUCACUUAUGUGUCUCUCAUAUUCAAUAGCCUUUUUCCCAUACUGACAUGUGCUUUACACUCACCAACAUUUUUUUUCUUUUUAUUUUAUAAUAUUCAACAUCGGCGAGUGAGAAUUUGAUAGCUAACUUUAUUAGUAGUGUUGGUUGCUGACUUGUCAGACACGUUUUGAGGCCAUAUGUAGUCACCAAGAACAAAUCCAUGAGGGCGAUAAGGCCCCAUAAAGACAAUAUCUGGUAGAUUCAGUCAGGCUAUGACAUAUUCGAUAAUAACUCUUCAAUUAAGUUCUAAAUCUCAUUUCAUCUUUUCAAUUUAAUCCCUAAUUUGACAUCAACUCUUCAAUUAGACCCCAAAGCUUAUCUCACCUGAGGAAAGCCCUCUUCUCUCAAUUUAGCCCCUUAUUAUCUUCAAUUUAAUAUCAAAUUUUAUUUGAUCCAAGCCCAAAAAAGGCUAAGCGAAGAUAGAAUAAAGGAAGGGAAAGAAAAUGAAUAAUUGCCCAACGGAGUUAACGUGUUUUGGUCUUUUCUCCAUGAUUUGGGUUGAACAUUUGACAUAUAUCCUUUUUUCUAUAGUUUUUUAUCCAUGUUCGUUGUGACGCCAUUGGUAUAGAAUGGUUACCAACUGUUAGUUUAAUAUGCCUUGUAGCCAAUCGGUUAGUUACACGAGACAUUAUUAUAUUCAUGUAAAUACAUAUUUAUUAUUAAUAAAGGCUUAAUUUAACUUUAAUAUUCAUAUAAUAUUAGAGUAAUGAAUCUAAAGUAUAAAUAAAGUUUAUGAGACAAAAAUGUUUUGCAAAGGAAAUUAUAAAGUUGUUAUAAUUAUGAGAUUUUUAAUGCAUCAAAGUAUAAUUCAUAAAAUAUUCUUGGUCGAUGCUCUCUUAAAUACUGGAUAUUAAUUAGAGCUAUAAAGACUGAUACAUAUUAUGUUUUUUCCUUUAUGAAAUGAAGCAACUGUUCUCAUAAGUUGAGCUAUAAGGGAUACCUAAAACUAAUAUGUAUAUGCUUGUCAUUAGACAUGUACACUGAAUUGACCGGCAUGAGAAUUCCAUAUGAAGAGAUUAUUUAUGUCUAUGGAAAGACUCACAUGACGGUUGUAUAUGUAAUCCUUAGACUUGAGAUCACUAAGUUAUCUUAUAUAGAGAAUGUUAUGCUUUGAUCCUGUUACAUGUUAUCUUAAUUGAGGUAACAAAAUGAUAGACAUUGGGUAUAUCAUGAACUAUAUGAAGGUACUUGAGUAAUCAAGAGAGGAUUUCAUCACCCUAUGUGAAUUAGAAAAAAUGUUCAAUCUGUUCUCAAAUAAUAUUGACUGAGAAAUCCGUGGCCAAUGUGGAAUGAUAUUUAAAAAGGAUUUCAAAUCUUAUUCAAAUAAUCAAUUGCUAUCAUAUAGAGAAUGACAUGAUUUAACAUGGCAAACAUGCUUCAUGCUUUAAUGUUAAAUAAGAACAUUAGUGAUAAAAUGGUAUUAAUUACAAUGAGAAACUGGUAAUUGAAACCACUAAUAACUUUUCUAAUAUUUAUGGGAUCAUGACACGUUACUAGACAAUGCAUAUGAUCUUCAAAUCUUCAAUUGUAAUUUAUUUAAUUAUAAUUAUAAUUUAUAUUUGGGUUAAUAUAUUAGGAACCUAAUAUGUCAUACACAUUAAGAAUUAAAUUGUGAUGAUUUAAUUAAGUAUAACUUGAUUAAAAAAAAAUUUAGAAAUUAAGGACUACAAUAUAAUUAAUACAAGGAUUAUAUUUUUAGAUCUAGAAAAAUCAAGGACUUGAUUGAGUUAAUUUAUAAAAUUAUCUUAAAUUAAUAUAUGGAUAUUAUUCAAGGGGAAAAUUGAUAUUUUGUCAAUUUAUAGGGUUUUUCAUAUUUCCUUAUAAAUAGUAAGUGUCGCACGUGUGCGGCGUCGUGACAAAAACAUUCACCCUCAAAAUCUUAUCUUAUAAUGUGGCAAAUGUGGGGAGACAAGGAAUUCUUGUUUUUUAUUAGUGGUAAAUUGGAAUGGGAGUCGCCACCUAGUAUUUUGGUCACUAGGAACUCUAGCUGGUCUCAAAGAUCGGGUACGGGGACUGGUUGCGUAAAGGGAAGGUAUUAGCACCCCAAAUACGCCCUACCUAAGGUAAGCUGCAUUGUUUUAUUGUUUGAUAAAAUCUAAGAUCUUGUCGUGUUUUCUCGUUGUUGGUUCGUCUAUGGUUUAAGAAAAGUCCUUCUCGGUAAGGAGAUCCUUAUCUUAUCGGGUAAUUCUGACGUCAACCAAAGAAUUUAAUAUCCGAAAUACGUCUUACGUAUAAGGUCAUAACCCCAGAUAUUAAAAGAAAACAAAAUAAUUUUUUUGGAAUUUUUGAAAUAUUGGCCUAGUUCUCGUGACUUUAAUAAACUGGUUAUUAAAGCCAAAAUGCAUGUUAAUAUAUAUUUUUGAAAUUUUCUUUGUUAUAUGAAAAUACAAUAUGAUUUUUUUUUCUUUUAUUUUUGAGAGACUUGGUCGUAUGCAUGAAAACAAAAUAUUUUUUAUUUUUUAAAUUUUUUUAAUGUCUUGACGAAAACCGGGUAUUUUAAUACCAGAUUUAUAUCUUUACAGUAUAAAAAUACAAACCAAUAUUGAUCAAAAUGAAGUAAAAAAUUUGCAGAAAAUCACAUAUUUUUUUAAAAUUCUUUUUCCGGGCUGGGCCCAGCCCGGCCCAUGUGGCUGGGCUGGACCCAGCAGGUUUCUACCCGCAUGCGUGCGUGAACAAUUCACGCACGCCUGCUACAGUCGCGAUGUAAUUAAUUUUCAUGUGCACAGUGUUUGUGCAUUUUCUGCAAAGUUGGAGAAGUUUACCUGGAAGCAAGACGAAGGCAACAACAGCUUUGGACCUCUAUCUUCACCUUUUCGUUUGUUUUUCUUCUGGUUCCUCUGGUUCUUCCUGUUUUUUUCUGUUUCUGUUUUCCGUUCUUCUUGUGGUUCCUUUCCUUUCGUCUCUGUCUUCUCCUUCCUCCCGGUAUUCUUUGUUUUUUUUGGUUCCCCUCCCCUUUUCUGUUUCUCUCCUCCCUAUCCUCUGCUUCCUUACGCUCUCCCUCUGUCUAUCUCUCUUUUUGUUCUUUUCAAAAGAUUUCCCACCCUCUGUUUCUUUCUCCCUAUGCUGCCCAGUUCUCCUUCCUUCUCGUUCUUUUUCUAUGUUUUCUCCCUGCUCCCUUCUUCUCCCCCUCUUCGGCUCAGUCUUCUUCUGCUGCUUUUAUAGGUCAGAGAAGGCUUUGUGCUGGUAACGGCUGGCUUGGUAACGGUUUGAAGAGGGAUGACAGCCGUGACACAUGCCCUAUAAUUGAAGAGAAUUGGCACUGUUGCUGCAAGAAAACGUCUCUCGGCCUUUAGUGCUGAAACGGCUGGAAGAAGACACUGAAUAGUGUUUCAAGGCAACGGCCCCGUUUUUUGCAAUUUUAAAUGAUAUUUAUGAUUUGGUCCUUGGAUGUUUUUACAAUUUGUAAUCAAGCCCUCGGAUAAAUUAUAAUUGGAUCCCUUGAUUGUAGCACCUUUUCUGUUUUGGUCCUUGGUUUUGAAUUGUUUCAAUUAAGUCCCUAAUUGGCCAUCAAACUUUAAUAACUAUGCAAUUAAGCCCCUGAUUUGACCAAAUCAACUCUUUAAAAUUAUAAUUGGACCCCAGAACUUUAAUUUCUUCCAAUAAAGACCUAAAUUGACUUAAAAAACAAUUUUUCUUGCAAUCAAACCCUCCAUAAAUUCAAUUAAACCUUAGAUAAAAUUUAAUUGAGUCCAUAAACAUCUUAUUUUGAAUAUAUUUUUUCAAAAAUUGAAUUUUCUUUGUCAACAGAACUCUCAUCAGUUAACGAUAAACUGUCAAAUUUCAACCUUUUGCAUUUUUGAACCUCUUCAACCAAUUUUUGGCCAUUUUUCGGCAUUCUAGCAUCCUUUUCUUACUCCUAUUAUUUUUUGGAUUUCUUUCGAAUAUUUUUUGAUAUAUAUUUCUUUUUGUAUUUUCUCAUUUUUUUGUGGGAACCCAAAAAUGGGUAACAACAGUAAGCUAUGCCUUUUAUUUUUUAGGAGUUGUCUGUUAGACAAAAAGACUACGUAUGUCACAUAAUAAAGAGAUAACACUCUAGGCAUAACAAUCCCUCUCUCUUAAAUAGGGACUUGAGAGAUUUUUCACUAGUGGUUCAUGUGAAUUACUAUUGAAGGACAAACAAUUGGACGACUUCUAGUUUACAACAACCCAGUCUUUAAAAAAUUAUUCAAAACCGAAGAUGAUCAAAUCUUUAGGUAAUAAAUCCCUAAACAACUCUAGAUCUGUUUAACAAAAUUCCAGAAAUUCCCGAAUAAUUUUAGGCUGUGUUUGUUUUCCGGAAAGUGGUUUCCGGAAAACCACUUUCCAAACUUUCCUGUGUUUGUUUGUUAUUAGGAAAGUUGGUCAACGGAAAACACUUUUCAGUCAAAGGCAAAAUUUAGCUUGGUUUUUAGAAAAGUGUUUUCCUUUUAUUUUAGGCGGAAAACACUUUCCGGAAGUUGUGCAAAAUUUAGAAAUGUCAUAUUAUUUGCUGAUUAUAUCAAAAUUGGUCCUGAAACUUUUGAUUGCUAUAUAUAUAUAUAUAUAUAUUUUUUGUUUUGAAUAUUUGUUUUUCAAUUUCAUCCCUUGGAAUUUAAUUUUUAUAUUAACUUUACUCCUCAUUUUUAUAAUUGCUAUUUGAUUUUCCCUUAUCAUUUUUUAAUUAAAUUUUUUUAUCUAUCAAAUUUGGUCAUCAUUCUUUUGAUUGUUACUUAUUUUAUUUGAAAUAAUUUAUAAAAUGUUAAUUAUUAUUAUUUUAAUUUCUUCAUCUUUCAAUUUUUUUAUUUUUUAGAUUUGAUCUCUAUUAUUUUGAUUAUUAUUUAUUUUAUUUGAGAUAAUUUAUGAAAUUAUAUUUUUUUUCAAUUUUAUUCUCAUUCAACUUUUUAAUUUGUAAGAUUUAUUCCUCGUUAUUUUAAUAAAUUUGAGAAAAAUAAAAUAUUAAUACGUUAUUUUCCAGCUUAUUUUCCAUGACAUAACAAAACACAGGAAAAUGUUUUCCAACUUAUUUUCCAUGACACUGCAAUUGGAUGACUCAUAUUUGAUUUAUGGAGCUAGCUAUGCUAAGGGAAUCAUGCUUGUAUCACCUAUACUAAUAAUAAUAAUUACAUAUUAACAAGCAUCAUUUGAUUAGUAAGUUUCCAAAUUCUAUCCACAAAUAUUAUAACCUCUUAAUUUAUGCAAGAACUUAGCUACAUUUCAUGCAAGCAAUCCCUAACUCUAGUAUUUUGUCUGUGUUAAAAAUGGAGACUUCUUGGUGUUCGCCGGAGCUUGGGUAUAUACCAUAUUUGAACAAAUAACAAUGUAAAAACAUCUUUUAACGAUAUUAAAAUCAUUUAUUCAUUUAAAGUAUCAAUAUUGUCAUUUAUAGUGAAACAUUUAAUUUUACUACAUUGAAAAUACGUUGACCAAUAGAAUCCCCGCCUUCAGCUAACCCCCAAUAUGUCUUGAAUAGCAAUGGCCAUCCUUUGGCCAUCAUGCCAUAAAAGCCUCAUUUGGAGCCAAUUCCUCUCUUUCUUGCCACUAUUUAGCUUCCGACCAUUCUUCGCGUUUCACUUUUCUUCAAAUGUUUUCACCAAAACAAAGCUUCAACCUUUAAAUUGUUGCUUAUAAAGUCGAGAUCCAAGGGAUUAUUUAAGAUUUUAUGGAAAUUACGUAUUUCAAAUAUUUUAUGUUUAUUUUUCUGAAAUAUCGUUUGAAGCAAAAGGCAAAAAAGAAUUAAAAAUUUUUUUAAAGUGUUUUUAAAACACAAAAACAAACAGAGUUUGUUUUUUAUUUUUUAAAGAAUUGUUUUUAAAAAAUAAUUUUUUGUAUUCUAAAUUAAUUUUUUUAUUAUUUUAAUAUAUUUUAAAUAAAAAAUAUUUUAAAAAACAUCUACUUAAAAAAUAUUAUUUUUCUGAAAUAAUACUUUUCUCUAUAUUUGAGUUUAGUUUAAAAUANNNNNNNNNNNNNNNNNNNNNNNNNNNNNNNNNNNNNNNNNNNNNNNNNNNNNNNNNNNNNNNNNNNNNNNNNNNNNNNNNNNNNNNNNNNNNNNNNNNNAUUUUAAUGUUUUUUCAUGCUCUAGCAAAUGAGGCACGAAAAGAGAACCUGAAAUCACGGCAGCAAAUAAGGAGAGAAAUAGGUGUUUGUUUUUUAUUUUUUAAAGUAUUAUUUUUUAAAAUUAAUUUUUUGUAUUCUAAAUUAAUUUUUUUAUAUUUUUAUAUUAAUAUUAAAAAUAAUUUUUAAAAAAUAAAAAAUAUUAUUUUAAUAUAUUUUUAAAUAAAAAAAUAUUUUAAAAAAGAGCUGCUUAUUCAAACACUUAAAAUAAAAAUCUUAAAAUCACAGCAUGAUAAAAGAAGAAAGAAAGGAAUGGGAUAAAGAAGAAAGAAUAAAAAAAACUCCAAAAAUCACGGCAUGAUCAAAGGAGAAAGAAAAGGAUGGGACAAAGAAGGAAGAAAGUAAGGUCACGUAGGGGCUUGUCUUGUAGAAAAUGUGAGAAUUAGCAUGAAAAGAGGAUAAUAGAGUAGUUGUUAGAAUCAAAAGACAUAAACACGGGAGAGAGGCUGCCCCUUACCUCCUCCUGGGAAGGAAUAUAUGUCAGACUAUACAGCCUUUUUCAAUUCAUUAAUGUCGUUCUCUGUUUGUCUUCUAAAACCUACUCCCAUCAUGUACAUGUAUUAUUUUCUUAAAAUUGCUCUAUGGAAUUGCAGGCCAUGCUCGUUUGAUUUUUUUAAUAACAAAAUUCUUUUCAUGCUCUUGCAAAUAAGGCAGGGAUGGAGGCCUUGAAAUCACGGCAGCGAAUAAGAAGUGAAAAAGAGCCUUUGUUUUUGCUUUUUUAUUUUUUAGUAUUUUUGAAACAAAUUAGAUUUUUUUAUUUUUUUUAUUUUCUAUUAUUUUGAUAUAUUUCUAAACAAAAAAAUAUUUUAAAAAACAACCACUAACACAUUCUUUUUAAGCUAUUAAGUAACCAGUCCCUAUAAUUUUUCAACAUUGCACUUGGGUACCAAACUUCAUUUUUCUCUUUUUCAAGUUUUUUUUUUGGUGGAGAAGACAGAGAGGGUCGCUGAAUUUUAUUUUAGAGAGAGAAAGUUGUUGUUAAGAAAGAUUUUGGCUACCGAAAUCGUUGAUUUUUGUAUCAAAUGGUAACCGCCUAUUUUUUUCAUGUGUUCAUACUUAAAACCUUCUUAAAGAGUUCUUAUCAAUGGUUUUAAAACCUCUCUCUCAAGAUCGAAAGGUUAGAAAUAACUCUCUACCCUCUAAGUCUAAUAAAACCAUCAAGUACUCUUAAAACCAAAACCACAAUUGCAAAAACCAGUUUAGUACAAGAACUUCUAACUAUUAGCUUUUAUCCAUAACCCUCUCACUUUGAUCAAAUGGUUAAACUUUCAUCAAUCUUUGAGGGAAUCCACAAAAAAACCUAGAAAAACAUAUAAUUACUCUUGAAAAUUAGAGCCGGAGAGGAGGAGAAAAAAAGAGGAAAAACAUGGGGAAAUAAUUUGUUAAUAGACUCUAUUAUAAAGGUUCAAGAGCCUAGAAGGUUUAACCAGCUUUAGAAAGAAAAAAAGUGAAAGGAAAAGAAGGAAGGAAAUGAAAAUAAAAAAAUAACAACGUAAUUUUGAACUUAAAGGCCUAAUUUCAGUGAAAGUUAAGAGCAUUAGAGACUAGACCGUGCUUAUACCAAAGACUCUCAUCGUUGAAGGAAUGCAAACAGUUGUUAACGAGACACUUAUGCUGUUCCAACAUUCAAAGAUUGUUGAAUCUAGUACCGGUGCUCAUUCUGGAUCUAGUACCAAAAGGAGAAUAUAGAAAGAGAUAGUAGUGAAUUAAUUAUGUUUCAUUCAGUAGUAAGAAACAAACGGGGGCAAUGCAUUUAUAAUAGCCAGAGAGGGGUUUUUAUAUACAUUCNNNNNNNNNNNNNNNNNNNNNNNNNNNNNNNNNNNNNNNNNNNNNNNNNNNNNNNNNNNNNNNNNNNNNNNNNNNNNNNNNNNNNNNNNNNNNNNNNNNNACUAGAUAUAAAGAAAAAGUACAAAUUCCAACAAAAAAUACAUGUUUGAAGGUUCAACAAAAAUGAUUUGCUAAUUAGCUAUAAGCUUGAGAAAGAUAAAUAAUGAGAGUGUGAGUUCAAAAACUCAGUGAGUAGAUAACGUUCAAUAUACAUACACGAGGUAAUACAACAAUGAGGAAUAUAUAUACAAUUAUGGCUUUAGAUUCUUAUAGGAAGGUUUCUCAAAUAGGCCAUAACAAGGUUAUCAUAAGGUAAAAUUCGUUAGAAAAUCAAAAUGCAAUAACAUGAGGCUCUGUACUAUGGGAUGAUCAGUCCACACAGGUUGAUGACUCUCCCAACCAACUAGGGUUUCAAAUACAAUGUGCACUAAGACUAACACUACCCUGUUAGUAUGAGCAUUCUAACUGGCAUACCAUAAGUUCAUAUCAUAAUCAAACAAACAAAUUCAUAUCUCAAGGCCCAACUCAUGACAUUAAUAAAACAAGAAGCUAUCAAUUCAGAAGUCAAUUUAGAAGUAUAUAUUGGCUUAUAUCAAAAAUUCAAAUUCAACAAUUAAUCAUGUUUUAUCAUAACAAAGAUAAUAAUCAACAUAUAUAUUAUCAAGAAGCACGAUCCAAUUCAUAUUAACAGCUCAAAUAUUUAUACUAUUUCUCAUGCAUAUGGAAAAUUAUACACUCACUUGACUUAAAAGUGAACAGAACUCGAAAGCAAAUACCGAAGAAAAUCCUACUGAUAUUCCGCAUAUAGAAUAUCAAGAUUAUCUAAAUACAAAGAAGACAUAUUAUAAAAUGACUCGAAAAGAACAUACAACCUAUUUAAUACACUUAACUAAGGGUCUAUUUCAUAACCCUAUACAUUUUGUUAAUUCUAAACUAGUUAUUUUUCCCAAAAACCAAAAAAGUAAACGGUUUUUCAGAAAUCUAAUUCAUAAUAAAACAAAUAAUGAGACUUGAUAAUAAUUCACUAAAUAACCAUCAAUUAUUCAUCAAAACAAUCUGAAAAAGCUAAUAUUAAAGCUAGGGACCAAUCUGAAAUUUUAUCAUAUUUUUAGGGGUCAAAUUAUAAUUUUAUCAAAUUGGAAGACCAAACUAAAAAUGUCAUAAAUUCAUGACUAUACUGGAAUUCUGCCCAUAAUUCAUUUUCAAUUCUGCCCAGAAUCUCAAAUUAUGCUCCAGGGACCACUAUAGAAUUUUAUCAAAUUUCUAGGGUUAAAUUGUAAUUUCAUCAAAUUGGAGGACCAAAGUGAAAAUAUCAUAAAUUCAUAACUAUACUGGAAUUCUGCCCAUAGUUUAUCUUUAAUUCUGUCCAGAAUCUCGGAUUAUGCUCCAGGGACCAAUCUCUAAUUUUUCCAAAGUUCAGGGACUAAANNNNNNNNNNNNNNNNNNNNNNNNNNNNNNNNNNNNNNNNNNNNNNNNNNNNNNNNNNNNNNNNNNNNNNNNNNNNNNNNNNNNNNNNNNNNNNNNNNNNCAGACCCACAUGCCUAGGGUCUGCAGACCCGCUUGCGGUUUGCAGACCCUUAUCCCUGGAGUUGCAGAACCCCGCGCCUGGGGUGUGCAGAACCGGGAGCAGGGUCUAGACCCGCUCAUCUGGGUUUGAAGAACCCCACUUCUUCUAUCGUGCCUGGGGUCUGCAGCAUCCUCCCAGGGGUUGUAGACCCACACAACUAGAUCUGCAGACCCCGUAGAGAAAAAUAACAAACUUGAAAAAAAAAAUGAAAACAAAUAUAAUAACUAAUAACAAUUAUUUUUAUCAUUAUUAUUAUUAUCGCUAAUAAAUUUUAUAAAAACAUUAUUACUAUCAAAACUUGGACUAGACAAGUUUAAUAUUAUUAUUACUAUACUAAAUAUUAUUGUUUUCAUUAUAAUUAAAAGUAUUAAUAUUUGUGUUAUAAAUACUAUUAUUUUUAUUAUAAUUAAAAGUAUUAAUAUUAAAAUUAUUAUUAUUUUUCUUAUAAAUAAUAUUAUUUUUAUUAUAAUUAAUAUUGAAAAUACUAUUAUUUGUAUUAUCAAUAUUAUUAUUUUGAGUAUAAUUAAUACUACUAACAUAAUAAUUAAUAAAUUUGAAAAAAAUAUUAUUUAUAUUGAAAAGCAAUAAUAGAUUUAAUUUGAAGGGUAAAAUUAAGAAUUAUUAUUAUUAUUAUUAUUAUUAUUAUUAUUAUUGUUAUUAUUUAUUGUUAUCAUUAGUAAAUUGAAAGAAACAAAAUUAUUAGUUAUUUUUAUCAUUUCAGCUGGGGUUGAAUUUUCUUAUUAGAGCAUGUUUGGUUUUGGUUUUAAAAAUUGCUUUGAAAAGAAUUUUAUUUUUUUUAUUUUUUUCUUUACUUCAAAUUAAUGUUUUUUCCUUUAAUUCAUAUUAAAAUGUUUUUGUAAUAUUUUGACGUGAUUAUAUAUUAAAUAGAUUUAAAAAAAAUUAAACAUUGCAGGAUUCAAAAUAGUCUUGGGUCCAGGUUGGGGCAGGACCCUAGAUCUUACAGGUUGCAGGACCCAAAAUAGCCUUGGGUCCGGCCGUAUGCAUGACCCAAAAUAGCCUUGUACAGUUGAGAACAUCUCAUGCAUGCGACAUCCAAUGCAACAUAAUAUAUAAAUUGCAAUGCAUGUAAUUAAUGGGGGGGAAAUUCAUGAAUGAAUUGAAAGAUAUAUAUCUUAUGGGAUAGAUACAACACGAGAAGAAAAAACCAUUUAGAGAAACAGACAAUCUCGAUUGAUGAUCAUCCUAUUAUUAGCAUGAAAGGUUGAAAAAGAAAGAAUUCAUACAAGGAGGUUGGCCUUGAAUUGGCAUUGCCUUAUUCCAAGCGCUAGCUAGCUUAUAAUAUUAUUCACUAGCUAGCUAGCUCGCUAGCUCCUCUCCCUAGCCUUCCCUGCAUCGAUCUUCUGCUUUGCAACCUCUUCCUGGAGCGACUCGAUGGAGGCAUUGGGGAUUCUUUUCUGGGUCACAACGCGGAAGCCCUUCGUAACUUAAGUAUUUUGGUUUUCUUGUAAUGGUAUCUGCUACAUCUCCUGCAACAAACGUGGUCAUCAGGAGCAUUAAAACACCAAAAGCCAUCAAUCCUUUGGACAUUGACAUUGUUAAACUAUGAUGAGAGCAGACAAUACACAAAUGUUGUUCUUAAAAGAAUAUUGAUUCGGUGACAAUAAAAAGCAAGGUCUGGCAUAUAUAUAUAUAUAUAUAUAUAUAUAUAUAGCAUAUGCAUGGAGUGUUUGCCGUUUAUAGCACAAUUUCUUGUGGAUAUUAAAAUAGUUAAUUCUCUUUGCUUUUUCAGAUUAUAGCCGCACCACUUAUAGCACAAUUUCUUGAAGUUGAUACCCACAUAUAGCUGGGAGCUCAAAUGGCCACAUCUUGCAUUAGACAUUGAGAGCUUAAUUGGAGGUCUUGGUCAGCUAAAUUCUCAGCAUCCCUGAUGAGGAGCACACAUUGCGUGGUUGUGACUUCACUUGAGAAAAGUACAUCCAAGAAACAAGGAGAGAUAUGCUACCAAAGAAAAGAUGUCGUGAGUUCGAGCGUCCAGGUUUGGAUCAUGGGAACGCAUACACAACCACAUGCCCACCCAGCUGCAAGAGCUCCAAGUCUGCAAUAUUGAUCUUGUAUUGUAUGUAAACUUCCAACAAAAGUGAACUAUAUGUUAGAUCAUUAGAGAAGGUUUUCCAUGUAACAUGACAUAACAAUAUUAAACAGCAUCAGGACAAAUAUUGCGAACAUAAUAUGUUUGGUUUAGGUGCGCGCGCCGCCUCUUAAAAAGCAUGUCGAAAUCCAUGCUUUCUGCGAGGUGCACCGCCCGGCGCACCUUACAUACAAACACAUUGUAAUUAGUGUGACCAAAAAGAACUCUUGGUGCGAUUAUCCAAGACCACAAAUCACACUCUGCAACGAGAAGUGUCCCCCAAAGACUAAACAAAAAGAAAAAAUAAAAGCAGCUUCCAAUCGUUUCAUUACUUGACUCACCCAAUAACAAAAGCUCUUCGUCUUCUCAAUAAGGAAAUUAAUACAUGCAAGCUGCCACAAGAUUAAAGCACUUAAUGCAGAGAAAGGAGGAGUCACUGCAAUCUAUUCUACUUCCCAGAUGUUGCAGUCAAACUUAAAAUGUGAAAAUCAAAUAUGGUAAAGGCCACGGCUCUACAUAUAAAGAAAUAGACACCUGGGAUAUGAGAGUUCUUAUUGUUAAAUAAUAUUUAUGUAGUCUUAUUUAUUAAGGGUAGAAUAGUACUUUCAGUUUGACCUAUAUAUACUUUAUUUGUAUUGAGGUUAACACAAAGCAUUCAUAAUAAACAGUCUGAGGGAAGAGAUAUGAGCCUACGUUUAAGUAUUUGAUCUCGAUUACUUUAACAUGGUAUCAGAGCUGGUUUUAUGGCACGAGGUUAAUCCCGUACACAGCUUAUGUCAAGGUAACCGAGCUCGAUAUCUAUCCUCAAUUAUUUUGGUAUUUCGUCUUCCCUUCAGCUUUGCAAUUUUGGUAAUUCCGUUCAGUUUCUGCAAAUUGUUUUGUGUUUUGGAGUAAUCGUAUAGUUUGAGAAGAUAUUUGUUUAGUUUCUGCAAUCUCUGUUCAGUUUCUGCAAUUUGGUAUUUUGUUUUCCGCUGCUUUUGCAUUCUGGUUCUUUGUGAUUGUUGAUUAUGGCUACUGAAAGAGAUGAUUCGCUUCAGUCUGUGAGUGUGAGGUUGGAUGGGAAGAACUAUUCGUAUUGGAGCUAUGUAAUGAGAAAUUUUCUUAAGGGUAAGAAGAUGUGGGGAUAUGUUAGUGGAACUUAUGUGGUACCUAAGAAUACUGAAGAAGGAGAUACUGUCUCGAUAGAUACAUGGGAAGCAAACAAUGCAAAGAUCAUUACUUGGAUCAACAAUUCUGUUGAGCAUUCUAUAAGUACACAGUUGGCAAAGUAUGAGACAGCAAAGGAGGUUUGGGAUCAUCUGCAACGGUUAUUCACGCAAUCAAAUUUUGCAAAACAGUAUCAGUUAGAGAAUGACAUACGAGCUCUUCACCAGAAGAAUAUGAGUAUUCAGGAGUUCUAUUCUGCCAUGACAGAUCUUUGGGAUCAAUUGGCUCUUACAGAAUCGGCAGAAUUAAAAGCAUGUGGUGCUUAUAUUGAACGUAGAGAGCAGCAACGAUUGGUACAAUUUUUAACAGCACUUCGCAGUGAUUUCGAAGGACUUAGAGGUUCAAUUCUGCAUCGUUCUCCACUGCCCUCUGUUGACUCUGUUGUCAGUGAGUUAUUGGCUGAAGAAAUACGUCUUCAGUCUUAUUCUGAAAAGGGAAUUCUUUCUGCUUCGAAUCCUUCUGUACUAGCAGUACCUUCUAAGCCAUUCUCUAAUCAUCAGAACAAGCCUUACACAAGGGUUGGCUUCGAUGAGUGCAGUUUCUGUAAGCAGAAAGGUCAUUGGAAGGCUCAGUGUCCUAAGUUGAGACAGCAGAAUCAAGCUUGGAAGUCUGGCAGUCAGUCACAAUCUAAUGCUCAUCGAUCACCUCAGGGUUAUAAACCACCACACCACAAUACUGCAGCAGUAGCUUCCCCAGGCUCUAUUACCGAUCCUAAUACUUUAGCUGAGCAAUUUCAGAAGUUUCUCUCCUUGCAGCCACAAGCAAUGUCCGCUUCUUCCAUAGGUCAGUUGCCUCAUAGUUCCUCAGGUAUGUCACACUCUGAAUGGGUCUUGGAUUCUGGUGCUUCACAUCAUAUGUCUCCAGAUUCCUCAUCUUUUACCUCAGUGUCCCCUUUGUCCUCCAUUCCUGUUAUGACUGCUGAUGGCACUCCUAUGCCCUUAGCAGGUGUUGGUUCUGUUGUCACACCUCACUUGUCUCUCCCUAAUGUUUAUCUUAUUCCAAAACUCAAAUUGAAUCUUGCGUCUGUUGGUUAAAUAUGUGAUUCUGGUGAUUAUUUAGUCAUGUUUUCUGGUUCUUUUUGUUGUGUACAGGAUCUGCAGUCUCAGAAGCUGAUUGGGACAGGUCGUAGGGAGAAUGGGCUAUAUAUUUUGGAUGAGUUAAAAGUGCCAGUUGCUGCUGCUGCUGCUGCUGCUACUGCUGAUUUGUCUUCCUUUCGUUUGAGUCUUUCAUCUUCUAGUUUUUAUUUAUGGCAUUCCCGUCUAGGUCAUGUUUCGUCUUCUCGUUUGAGAUUUUUGGCAUCCACAGGAGAUUUAGGAAAUUUGAAAACUUGUGACAUUUCUGAUUGUAGUGGAUGUAAACUGGCAAAAUUUUCUGCUUUAUCUUUUAAUCGAAGUAUUUCUGUUUCAUCUUCACCAUUUGAUUUGAUUCAUUCUGAUGUAUGGGGACCUUCUCCUGUUUCCACAAAAGGAGGGUCUCGAUAUUAUGUCUCUUUUAUUGAUGAUCAUACUCGUUAUUGUUGGGUUUAUUUAAUGAAACAUCGUUCUGAAUUCUUUGAGAUAUAUGCAGCUUUUCGAGCUCUUAUCAAAACUCAACAUUCUGCUGUGAUCAAAUGCUUUAGGUGUGAUUUGGGUGGGGAAUACACCUCUAAUAAAUUUUGUCAAAUGCUUGCCUUAGAUGGAACCAUCCACCAAACUUCAUGUACAGAUACUCCUGAACAAAAUGGUGUAGCUGAAAGAAAACAUAGGCAUAUUGUCGAAACUGCUCGUUCUCUCUUGUUGUCUGCUUUUGUUCCUAGUGAAUUUUGGGGAGAAGCUGUUCUUACUGCUGUAAGUUUGAUUAAUACAAUUCCAUCUUCUCAUAGUUCGGGUCUAUCUCCUUUUGAAAAGCUAUAUGGGCAUGUCCCUUAUUAUUCCUCAUUUAGAGUCUUUGGUUGUACUUGUUUUGUUCUUCGUCCUCAUGUAGAACGCAAUAAGCUAUCCUCUCGAUCCGCUAUUUGUGUCUUUCUGGGUUAUGGUGAAGGUAAAAAGGGGUAUCGUUGUUUUGAUCCAAUAACUCAGAAACUUUAUGUGUCUCGUCAUGUUGUCUUCCUUGAGCAUAUACCUUUCUUUUCUAUUCCAUCCACUACUCAUAGCCUGACAAAAUCUGAUCUUAUUCAUAUAGAUCCUUUUUCUGAGGAUUCUGGUAAUGAUACCUCUCCCUAUGUUCGAUCAAUUUGUACUCAUAACUCUGCAGGUACUGGUACUUUACUCUCUGGCACAUCUGAAGCUUCAUUCUCAUCUACAGCCCCUCAAGCUUCAUCUGAGAUUGUGGAUCCACCUCCACGUCAGUCCAUCCGCAUUCGUAAGUCCACAAAACUACCAGAUUUUGCUUAUUCUUGUUAUUCUUCAUCAUUUACUUCCUUUUUAGCUUCUAUUCAUUGUCUCUUUGAGCCCUCUUCCUAUAAAGAGGCAAUUCUUGAUCCGCUUUGGCAGCAAGCUAUGGAUGAGGAACUUUCUGCUUUGCAUAAGACAGAUACUUGGGAUCUGGUUCCUCUACCUCCUGGUAAGAGUGUUGUUGGUUGUCGUUGGGUGUAUAAGAUCAAGACUAAUUCUGAUGGGUCUAUUGAGCGAUACAAAGCUAGGCUGGUUGCAAAAGGAUACUCUCAACAGUAUGGUAUGGACUAUGAGGAGACAUUUGCCCCGGUUGCCAAAAUGACUACUAUUCGUACUCUUAUUGCCGUAGCUUCGAUUCGUCAGUGGCAUAUUUCUCAGCUUGAUGUUAAAAAUGCAUUCUUGAAUGGAGAUCUUCAAGAAGAAGUUUAUAUGGCACCCCCUCCUGGUAUUUCACAUGACUCUGGAUAUGUUUGUAAGCUUAAGAAAGCACUAUAUGGUCUCAAACAAGCACCUCGUGCUUGGUUUGAGAAAUUCUCUAUUGUGAUCUCGUCUCUUGGCUUUGUUUCUAGCAGUCAUGAUUCUACUCUUUUUAUUAAGUGCACUGAUGCAGGUCGUAUCAUUCUGUCUUUAUAUGUUGAUGACAUGAUUAUUACUGGUGAUGAUAUUGAUGGUAUUUCAGUUUUGAAGACAGAGUUGGCUAGACGAUUUGAAAUGAAGGAUUUGGGUUAUCUUCGAUAUUUCCUAGGUAUUGAGGUAGCAUACUCGCCUAGAGGUUACCUUCUUUCUCAGUCAAAAUAUGUUACAGAUAUUCUUGAGCGAGCUAGACUUACUGAUAACAAGACUGUAGAUACUCCUAUUGAGGUCAACGCGAGGUACUCUUCUUCUGAUGGUUUACCUUUGAUAGAUCCUACUUUAUACCGUACUAUUGUUGAGAGUUUGGUAUAUCUCACAAUUACUCGUCCAGAUAUUGCAUAUGUUGUUCAUGUUGUUAGUCAGUUUGUUGCUUCUCCUACUACUGUUCACUGGGCAGCUGUUCUUCGUAUUUUGCGAUAUCUUCGGGGUACAGUUUUUCAAAGUCUGUUACUUUCAUCCACCUCUUCCUUGGAGUUGCGUGCAUACUCUGAUGCUGAUCAUGGUAGUGAUCCCACAGAUUGCAAGUCUGUUACCGGGUUCUGUAUCUUUUUAGGUGAUUCUCUUAUUUCUUGGAAGAGCAAGAAACAAUCUAUUGUUUCUCAAUCAUCCACCGAAGCAGAAUAUCGUGUCAUGGCAUCUACUACCAAAGAGAUUGUUUGGCUACGUUGGUUACUUGCUGAUAUGGGAAUUUCCUUUUCUCAUCCUACUCCUAUGUAUUGUGACAACCAGAGUUCUAUUCAGAUUGCUCAUAACUCGGUUUUUCAUGAGCGCACUAAGCACAUUGAGAUCGAUUGUCAUCUUACUCGUCAUCAUCUCAAACAUGGCACCAUUGCUUUGCCUUUUGUUCCUUCUUCCUUGCAAAUUGCAGAUUUCUUUACCAAGGCGCAUUCCAUCUCUCGUUUUCGUUUUCUGGUUGGCAAACUCUCGAUGCUUGUAGCUGCCGCAUCGUGAGUUUGAGGGGAGAUGUUAAAUAAUAUUUAUGUAGUCUUAUUUAUUAAGGGUAGAAUAGUACUUUCAGUUUGACCUAUAUAUACUUUAUUUGUAUUGAGGUUAACACAAAGCAUUCAUAAUAAACAGAUUAUUCAGAAUUGUAGCCUCCUUUUUGUAUUUGAUCUCAAUUACUUUAACACUUAUACCAUGCCUCAAGGACAAAUGAAGGAGAGCAAAGCAUCUCCCGGAAAAAAAACAUCAAAUCAAGAGUCUUGCAAUCCACAUGCAUUAAAGCUUCUUUCAUAAAGGACAGAAGCUUUGAUUUCCAAAUGAGACAGCAAAAAAGAUAUGUCACUGAUAUCCACUUGUAAUUAAUAACCACUUCAUUUAUUUAUUCUAGGACAAAAAACCAAAACAAUCUUGGAUCACAUAGGAACAGGAAAAGGCCUUAAACUCUGACGAACAAGGCGGAGCUAUUAUACAUAGGAUACUUCAGAUGAACUGUUGAUUUCCAUUAUGCUUCAUGCCAAACGUGAGAACCCAACCUCCUUUCCCACCCAUAUCCACAUCACACAACCCGAUCAUCGUCGCAUAUUAAUUUCAUUACAUAAUAUGACACUAGGAUGCAUGUCAUGAUGAAACAUGGAUGAGAUUAAAACUCAUUGACAUAAAUCUGGUCUUUUAAUACAUGUCUCAGAUAAUUAGACCUGAUGAUUAAGAUUAUAAGUUCAAAAACAUAAAUAUAUAGCCAUACGCAAGAGUCUUAGAUUCUGGAAGCCAACAUUUCCAGCAAUACAUGUCUAGGCAAGACAUUGCAUAUCUGAUUCUGAGAAUCACAGCAAAUAUGCCCACUCUAUCAAACAUACUUGAAUGCAGCCAGUCUUAUUUGACAGGCAACUAAAACUAAACAUGAAAAAAGUUUCAUAUUAAGAAGAAGCAGUGAUCAUCUAUGAUCUACCAUCCUCCUAAAUCCUAGAACCUUUUAAUUUUUAACACAAAAACUAGUGACAGCACCUCAACAUGAUAGAAUUGAGAAGGAGAAGCUUCAACGCAAUGCAUGCAACUCAAAGCCAAUAUAUAUUACCCUUUCACUUAGACUACCAUCACAUUUCUAAGCAUCGAGUUUCAAUCUACUAGUUCAUUCCAGAAACAUUCUUCAACUAAGACAAAAUGCCGAACCUACCUGGAAGGCAGGACCCCCUCAGCAGAAUUCAUGAUGCUCCAGCAACCCAUGAAUGCAAAGAGGAACAAUCUUCUAAAAAUGACUUCCAUUGGAGGAAGUUCGACAAAAUUGAGUAAAUUCUUGACCCAAGGAGGAGACUCCUCCACUUUCUUCUCUAUCCUGGUCUUGAAAUUAAUUUUUGUUUCUUUCCUCUGUCUAAAGCUAGUCAUCAACAAUUUCUCAAAGGCAGCUUCUAUUGAUUCUUCGCUUCUUUCAUGCCCAGCAUAUUGUUUCAGGAGAAAAUUGCGUGAACUCCAGACUUCCUCUUCAGAAGCGUAAGGACUGACACCAAGACGUUUAAAAGGGUCCCAAACAUUCAUGGAAGGGAAUUUCGGGAUGUUACCUGUUGAGUUUGAACACGAUUGUGAUAGGUCCCUGUCACAGCAAGUAAUUAAAGACAAGAAACAAACACAAAUGUAUUCUGCUUUGGGCGAGAAUAAGCCACAAUUGAUAUUAUUGAAUAUUGAAUGAAUGCGUUCUCUGUCUCAUAGCAGAGUUUAAAUACAGGAAUUGAAAUAACAACUUUCCUAAAAUACUGGCAUGACUACAUAAAAUCAGGAUGACUCCUGCUACAUAGCUGGCAUUUAUUUGCUGAAUAAAACUUGACUCCUUCCUCCCGUGCACUAAGGCACUGCAGUGAGAAGACCCCCUUGACUCGUUCCUCCCUUGACUAGCUCUUCACAGCUCAAUAAACCUGCGAUUCUUCUUACGAAUUCUGCAUGAUCUUCUCGGCUCCAGCUGUUGCUCAUCCCGUUGUUGUAGUUCAUCACUUGACUCCUUCAAUUGCUGCUGCUGCUUAUCAAUACCUCCCUCUUUUAAGGGAACCUUGUCCUCAAGGUUCAGAUUCUGAAAUCGCUCCCGUAACGCCACAGCAUCUUCCCACGUGGCAUCAUCAUUCUGCAGAUGUUUCCAUUUGACGAGAAUUGCUUCGACAAACCGAGACCCUUUCUUGAUCCAACGAGUGUCUAGGACAGCCUCAGGUUCAAUCAGCAUCUCUCCCGCAGCAGACAUAGGUGGCAAUUCGAUUGAUUCAACCACCUCAUCUCCAAUUUUCUUUUUGAGCAAGGACACAUGAAAGACUGGAUGAAUUCAAGCCUGUGUAGGCAAUUUUAGCUUAUACGCUACCGCGCCAAUUCUUUCUGCAAUCUGAUAAGGACCAUAAUAGCGGCUAGCCAACUUUUUGCAUACACUCCUGACCACGGAUUGUUGACGGUAAGGGUGAAGUUUAAGAAAAACCCAAUCUCCCACCUGAAAUUCAAUAUCACGUCGCUUAGAAUUAGCAAGUUGUUGCAUGCGAUUACUAGCCGCAUGCAGGUUUGCCUUGAGCAGACUCAACAAUUCGUCCCUAGAGGCGAGUUGCUGAUCCACUUCAUUCACCGGAGACAUGCCAAUGUGGUAAUGGGGAAUUGUAGGUGGUAAACGUCCAUAGAGGGCCUGAAAUGGUGUCAUUCCUGUAGAAGCAUGAUAAGUUGUAUUAUACCAGAAUUCGGCCCAAGGUAGGAGGGAAUUCCAUUUUGCUGGCUGGUGGUGAACAAAGCACCGAAGAUAUUGUUCGACGCAGCGAUUGACCACCUCUGAUUGCCCAUCCGUUUGUGGAUGAUAUGCGGAACUCAUCUUCAACUUGGUACCUGACAAUUUAAAGAACUCACGCCAAAAAUGACUGAUAAAGAUAGGAUCUCUAUCACUGAUAAUGGACCGCGGCAUACCAUGUAGCUUCACUACCCCGUCAACGAAUUUCUCGGCCACAAUUUUGGUCGUAUAAGGAUGAGCCAAUGCCAAGAAAUGUGCUGACUUACUUAGGUGAUUAACCACAACGAAAAUUGUGUUCUUGCCACCCGAUGUCGGGAGACCUUCAAUAAAAUCCAUCGUAAUAUCAUCCCAAACCUGACAGGGAACAGGUAAUGGUUGUAAUAAACCCGCCGGUGAUAGUGUGUCUGAUUUUACCCGUUGACAUACGUCACAGGAUGCGACAUAUUCCUUCACUAUGCGAGCCAUUGAUGGCCAAUAGAACUGGUGUGCCAACCGUUUGUAAGUGCGCAACACACCCGAAUGCCCUCCAAUAGGUGAAUCAUGGAAUUCACGUAAUAGUUGUUGAAUGAUGUCCGAGUUGGGGGCAACUACUACUCAAUUUUUAUAGUGGAGCAACCCAUUCCGCCGUGUAUAUGGGCUGCCCGAAUUUUCAGCAGCGAGCUUGCCAAUUUUCUUCAUGUAAGGAAGAGAAACAGCUUCGGCCUUAAGCUGAUCCCAUACGGUACUUUGUGGAACAGAUAAGUGCGAAAGGCAAGGGCUUCCCGUCAUUCGUGAUAAAGCAUCCGCAGCUGAAUUCUCCUUUCCUGGCUUAUACACAAUUUCAUAAUCAUAGCCGAGUAAUUUCGAUACCCAUUUCUGCUGUUCUGGGGUAGUAAUACGCUGCUCCAAGAGGUACUUCAAGCUGCGUUGAUCGGUUUGGAUCACAAACUUACGGCCUAACAAGUAUGGUCUCCACAGCUGGACAGCCACCACAAUAGCCAGCAUCUCCCUCGCAUAAGUUGACCAUGCACGCUUGGAUAGCCCCAAAACGCGACUCAUGAAAGCUAUUGGCCGCCUUGUUGGGUCAGAACAGCGCCGAUGCCAUCACCGGAAGCAUCAGACUCAAUCACGAAAACUUCAGCAAAAUUAGGCAUGGCAAGUGUUGGGGUGGACGUCAUUGCGGUCUUUAAUGCCUCAAAAGCUGCCUCGGCUUCAUCAUUCCAGCCAAAUUGACCUUUGGUAACAAGGAUGUCAACGGUCGAGCAAGAAUUCCAUAAUUGCGGACAAAUUUCUUGUAAUAACCUGUAAGACCUAAAAAUCCACGAAGCUCAGAUAUAUUAGUAGGUCUUGACCAGGAUAGCAUAGCCUGGAUUUUUGCUUGAUCAACCUUAACCCCCAUUGGAGUAAUAAUAUGCCCCAAGUACUCCAGUUCUUGUUGACCAAAAGCACAUUUCUUCAAUUUCGCAAAGAAUUGGUACUGCCUUAGAAUUUCGAAAGCCUUGCGAACAUGUUCAAGAUGCAUGGUCCAAUUGGGACUAUAGAUCAAUAUGUCAUCAAAAAAGACUAAUACAAAUUUGCGAAGGUAUGGUCGAAAUAUGGCAUUCAUAAGGGCUUGAAAAGUAGAGGGUGCGUUACACAAACCAAAUGGCAUGACUAAGUAUUCGUAAUGACCAUUAUGAGUGCGAAAAGCAGUUUUAUGAAUAUCAUUUGGUGCUACCCUAACCUGAUGGUAACCAGCUGUCAAAUCUAGUUUGGUAAAAUAAACAGCCCCAUGCAAUUCGUCUAACAUGUCAUCUACUGUAGGAAUAGGAAAUCGGUCUUUAAUAGUUACUGCGUUAAGUGCUCUAUAAUCGGUGCAAAAACGCCAUGUGCCAUCUUUCUUUUUGACUAACAAAACAGGUGAUGAAAAAGGGCUAGUGCUUGAUCUUAUAAAUCCCAAUUUUAACAUGUCUUGAACCUGUUUUUCAAUUUCAGCUUUUUGAAAAUAGGCAUACCUGUAGGGUCUGACAUUGACCGGUUCUGUCCCUUCUUUGACAGUGAUGGUGUGGUCGAUCUCCCGGACCGGUGGCAAUUGAGCUGGAGUUUGAAAAAUAUCUCCAAAUUCCUCCAACAUCUGCUGCAUUUCAGACUCAACUUUGCUAACAGGCAUCUCGACUUCGGUUUGUAGACAGAUAGCAAACAUCGUUUUGCUUUGGCGCAGCUCCUUCGAUAAAUCCUUGAGAGACGCGGGUUGAAUGUGUUGGCUGUCAAUUCCCUGUAAUUUUUGCAUCUGAUUCUUCCACAUAAAUUCCAUGGUCAUUUUCUUCCAAUCACAGGCUACUGUUCCCAAUUGUUCAAGCCACUGCACUCCCAAAACCAAAUCUAACCCACAUAAAGGUAUGGCAUAUAAAGUCAGCAUAAAUGGGAUACCUUGAAGUAGGACGUGUAUGUUUUCAAAUAUGCCUUGACACUUCAAUGGAUUCCCAUUUGCCACCUUUACGUUGAAGGGCUGUGUGGGUAUCACUGGUAGGUGUAGCCAAUUAGCAAUCCGCUCGCUAAUGAAAUUGUGGGUGGAGCCACUAUCAAUGAGGACAGUCAAUUCGUGAUUUCCAAUUCUUGCCAUGAUGCGCAUUGUUUUGGCAGUCGACCAGCCAGUAAGAGCAUGUAGUGAAAUUUGUGGUUCAUCAUCUUCGAAGUCUUCGUCAUCUUGCAGAUGUGUCUUUUCGUCUCCUUCCAGUAGCAACAAACGGGGUCUUUGACACUUAUGGCCAGGAGUGAAUUUUUCGUCACAAUUGAAGCAGAGACCUUGCGAUCGGCGCUUCUGCAUCUCGUCCCACGCCAGGCGUUUCAUGGGCAUAACUGCUGCUGGUGAUUUUGUGGGUGAAAAAGAAGCAAUUGGAUUCUGACUAAUGGAAAAUGGCUUACGUCGUUGGCGAAGUAAUUGCUCAUCUCUCAUUCUGGCAAGGCUAAUUGCCUCUUUCAAGGAUUUGGGUUUAAACAUCCUAAUCCCUUCUGCAAUGUCAGGUUUCAAGCCUCCCAUAAAAGUUCCCACCAAUGCCUUCUGCGUCCAGCCUUGCACACGGUUACCCAGCCUUUCGAAUUCUUUUUGGUACUCCCGUAGUGAGCCCCCUUGUCUCACCCUUGACAGUGCUUCAUCGAAAUCUUCACAUUCUGGUGGUCCAAACCUUGCCCAUAAUUCCUCCUCAAAAAUUGGCCAUGUCAUCUCCUUGUCUUCCUCUUUGUAAGCACGUCGCAGCCACUGCCACCACUGGUUCGCCUCCCCUUGAAGAUGAAAAGAUGCCAAUGACACCUUUUGUGUUUCCACAGUACCUUGGUAUUCGAAGAAUUGAUCAACUCUGUUGAACCAUUCAGUGGGGUCGUUGCCCGAGUAUAUGGGGAACUCAAGCUUCGCCAGUUUUGAAGAGAACAUCUGUCUGUUCCCCUCAGCUCGUUCUGCAAUGUCUUCACGUUGAUAGCGCGGGCGUCCAUUGCGCUCAAUGGAUUGGCUGCUGGAUCCUUCUUUGUUGGACAGUAACGCCUCUGUCAGCUUAUUGAUGUUGACUUCCAUCUGCUGCAUUCUGUCAACAAGAGUAAUUUCCAUUCGGCUCAUUCCAUCUUGCAGACCUCCCAAUCCGAUUUCCAAAUUUUCUAUCCGCUCCUUGUUUGUUGUCAUUGUUAACCUGGCUCUGAUACCAAUUGAUAGGUCCCUGUCACAGCAAGUAAUUAAAGACAAGAAACAAACACAAAUGUAUUCUGCUUUGGGCGAGAAUAAGCCACAAUUGAUAUUAUUGAAUAUUGAAUGAAUGCGUUCUCUGUCUCAUAGCAGAGUUUAAAUACAGGAAUUGAAUAACAACUUUUCUAAAAUACUGGCACGACUACAUAAAAUCAGGAUGACUCCUGCUACAUAGCUGGCAUUUAUUUGCUGAAUAAAACUUGACUCCUUCCUCCCGUGCACUAAGGCACUGCAGUGAGAAGACCCCCUUGACCCGUUCCUCCCUUGACUGGCUCUUCACAACUCAAUAAACCUGCGAUUCUUCUUAGGAAUUCUGCAUGAUCUUCUCGGCUCCAGCUGUUGCUCAUCCCGUUGUUGUAGUUCAUCACUUGACUCCUUCAAUUGCUGCUGCUGCUUAUCAACUGCAUUGGCAUCCAAUAAGUGAGGACAAUCUUGUAUCUUCCAAGUGGCAGUAGAAUUUAAUUAUAACUACCAUUAUUCUUAUCUUUAGUUAGUAAUAUAACUCUAUUUAUUGUUUCUAGUACGUAGGACAUGUUGUAAUGAAAACCUGUUAGUUAUUUGGUGUGAUUCCAAGGAGUGAUUCCUUUGAAUGAUAUCAGGCUCUACUUAUUUUCCUCUAUCAAUACUUUCUUGCUAUCUUUUAUACCAUGUUCAUUAGUUUACAUAAAUUGUUCCCUUAAUAUCCUUUGGUAUUAAUAUUAAUUGAUAUCAGAACAAGUUUUGAAUUUUUGAUCUGCUAUGCCUGGAACCGCAGUGGAAAUUCUUAUAAUCCCACCAAUCAAAGAUUACAAGACCCUAGUCCUUCCCUAACCAAUUUGAACUCCCCGUAGAAAACAUCUCCAAACCGAUUCUGAACCCCCCACAACAAGCAUCUCCACAACCUAUUCCGAACCCCCCACAACAAGCAUCUCUACAACAUGAUUUACUUCCUUGUUAAACCAGUUAGAAGAUGCUCUCAGAAUGGUAAGCUUCGAAGAGCUGCAGGAUGCAAGCGUGUGCUGAAGAAGCAAGAGGACAAUUGCCCACAUAAAUGGCAAAGGGGGUGAUUGUUGGAAUAUUGCCAAUUAUGUGGCUGCCAUUGUCAAAGAAGAUGGCUGCAAUGGUGGGUUGUUGGUGGCAGCCAACAACCAUUGUCUAAUGUCAAAGUUUGGUAAGUUUGGCAGCCACCAUUGUUGACAAAAGAGUUGGAGGAGCUGCCAUGAAUGCCUAUAAAUAGAGGCCUACAUUAGAGAAGCAAAGUGAGAGAAGAAAGGAGAGAAAACGUGAGUGUGAGUUGAGAGAAAGAGAGAGCUGCAAUGGCAGCAGCCUUGCUGCCAUUGCAGCAGCUGCAACAGCUGUGUGUGAGAGCUGGGAGUAGAGUAGAGUGAAUGUAAUCCUCCUCCUCCAUAUAUAUUGUAAUCCUUUCUCUAUAUAUCUCAAUAAUAUAGACUCUCCCGUGGAUGUAGGCGGUUUUGCCGAACCACGUAAAAUAUUGUGCCAGUGUGCUAUCCCUCCUUUGAGCAAUUAUCAGUACACCCCCGGUCGGAAAUCCCCAACACAGAGUUGAUCAAGGAGGAGAUGUGGCUAUAGAUGAAGAAGAAGUAGGAGAACAUUAGCUCAAUUCAGUCUACAGUGACAGGGAGGUCAAAAUUGAAAGAUAUCACUAUUUUCAUUAAUUUUAUUAAAGCUUAUAAUAAAAGGUUGUGUUUUUAAUUGGAUUUAUUUUUAUAUGGCGUGGCUUCUUUUUUUAAAAUGCAAUCUGCUUCCCUUUAUAAUACAGAAAUCCAGUUUUGAGUUUAUGUAACUAUAUUAACAAAACGAUUAAAUGCUUUCGUGUCCGUUUAAUUAUUUAUAUAAAUAAUAAACCCAGUUAAUAUAUUUUGCAAUCAGUUUAUGGUUUAUUUAUCUCAUAGUUGAGUUAGUUAAUGUAUGUUUUUUCAAAUUAGUAGCAAAGGCGUGUGGGCUUGUCUCAGGCUCACAUGCUAGUGCCUGAGUUGUACUGUAAUAGACCCUAUCAUAUUAGGCCACAUAAGCCCGAGUGGUUGGAAUUUUUUUUAUUGGUCAUUUUUUAUUUUUUUAAUAUAAUUUUUUAAUUUUAUAUUUUAUUGUUGAGUUUUUUUAUUAAGUUUUAUUUGUCAAUAUUGAAUUAAUUAUAAAUUAAUUUUUAUAUUUUUUAUUAUAUAUAAACCGAGUAAAGUAUUUGGUGGGUUAGCUAUAAACCUGAACUUUUUAUUUUUUUAUUUUUUGGACUAGUAAAAGACAAAUUAAAAAAACAAAGUAAUCUUAUUUGAUAUGUUGUAAAUUUUUUUUUUAUCUAAUAAUUUAAAUUGAAAUCUCAUUUAAUAAUUUAAAUUAUUAAAUUGAAAUAAAUUUUUAAUACAAUGAUUUAAGAUGUACCAAGAUAUGGUUGUAGUUUUUAUUUUUUUGCCUUUUUCUUUAAAAAUGUUAUCUCCUUGGUAAGGAAUCCUUGGUUCCCAACGGCAACUGUAGCAACGUAAAAACAAAUCUCUAAACUCCACCGAAAGUGGUAGAGCAUUAGAAUUUUUAAAAGACAAAACGGGGCGCGACAUUCAUAAUUUAUAAACAGAUGCGAUAAAAUAAGUCAUACUGCAUGUUUUCAUUUGGCAUUUAAUUCCAUGAACAUGGCUUUUUUAGAUUAAUAUAGUGUUUGGACUAGCUUGUAUAUCUCGAAUAAUCUCAAGAGAUCUUGAAGUUAACAACGUACCAUAUAAGGCUUUAAUAGCAAUGAGAUUUGUAGGAUUCGAACUAGUGAUAUUUAGAAAACAAACUUAGUGACUAACUAGUUGAGCUACACCCCUUAAAAUUCCAUGAACAUGAUCUUACUUUUCGAUCAAAUUAAUGUGACCAUAUUAUACUUGUAAUCAAACCAUUAAUUGACUGUUCUUGACUAGCUAUUGUUUCUCAUUGGCAAGAGUCAUUGCCAAUGAUCAUAACAUGUUAGUGAUCUAUUGCAACUAGUUCUAGUAUCGACAGAGUUGUUAUUUAACCAUUAAAUCAAUUUAUAAAACAUUAUUGACUAGCUAUCUAACACUAACAACUAAUCACAGAUAAUAUUUAUGCAAAACUUGUAGCUUAAUACGAACUCUCAGACAUGUGGGUGGGGCAACUCAAAGUAGGAGAGUGGUAACCUCUGAUACAUAACAGAGAAAAUUAUAGAGUAAAGCAGGACGGAAUUUUCUUAAAUUAACAACAGAAAUCUAGAUACUUCAAUAAAUUAACACACUGACUAAUAAAUCCCCCCCACCAUCAUCCAGUUAUCACAGGUGCAUCUACAAUGAACAGUUCUCGAGAAGAAACUCAAGAAACGCAUAUAAAGCUACAUGAUGACAUAAUAGGAACCUGCAUUGCCUCCAUUCCAUGAUGAAAGUUCAAGAAAUUCUACUUCGAAACUCAAGACAAAGUCUCUCAGACUACAUAUUAGUGGGAUUUCUAUAAACAACUGAUUGUAUUGCAAAGCAACAUUAUGAAAAACUGAAUAUUUCACACAUAGUCUAACAAAAGUAGGUUCCAUUGUCAAUUCCUUAACAUUUUCCGAACAAAUCACAGUUGCUCCUCGUUUGAUACUUUCUUGAAGGUUUCUUUUCUCUUAUUACCAAUUUCUGUGAGUUUGUGAUUUUUUAUCUGUACCGUAUCAUCCGAACAAUUACUAGAACCACACAACUAAUAUGUAAAUUCACAAAUUCCCUACAGUUCAUAUUGCCAACAAACUCCUCUUGCCAUUCCCUAAUUGCAUUGAGCCAGCUAAUCUGGAUGAAAGAAAGGACUUCGACCUUGAAAUUAGCAUCAUAGUCAUGGAACCUUAAAGCAGGCCCAACUUUGUAGCUCAUUACCAGCUACGUAAAAGUUAUCAAUAGCUGUGUGGAUCAUUGAAACUGCCACAAAAGCAACCCAAAUUAGUUAUGAAUUGGAUUCGAUAAAGGAAAGAGGGGAAGAGGGGAGAAGACAGAUGAAGAUCUGCGCAGGGCUACCUGUUUUGAGAAUUAUGGAUUUUUAUCCCUAACUCAAAACGGCACCAAUUAUAAGUUCAAUAAAAAAAAAUAUGUAACAGAACAGAUGGAAAAAACUCGAAACAACUCGGCUAGAAUUUAGGAAAGAAAUUCAGAAUGAGCCAAGAUUUUAAGUGAGAUGAAACUUUGUUCUUUGAAAAAAAUAAUUAAUAUGAGAUAUACUUUUCAUUUUAGUGAACCUUAAAGCAGACCCAACAGUUAAGUAAAAGUUAUCAAUAGCUGUGUAAACCAUUGAAACUGUUACUGUAGGUGCACACUCAAUUACACCAUGGAUUCACAUAGUGCAAUUGUUAAUUUUUUUUUUAAAUUCCAUGUUAUUUUUUUAUUUGAACCUUUUUUUGUCAACAUGUUUCGCAAUUGGCCUUGGUAUUUUGUUUUCAUUUUCUCUAUGUUUCCUUCUUCUGUAGAUAAAAAACAUCAGGUCUUUGGGCUCGUACUUGAUAGUGCAAAAUUAAUGACACAAUAAUCAAAUAACACAAAAAUUUUUAUAAGCGAAAGGAAUUGGAGAUGUAAACCUAAAAUUCGCAAGUUUAUUUUUUCUAAAAUAAUAAUAAUAAUAAUAAUAAUAAUAAAGUCUACAUUCUUAGAAGGUUUACAAACCUUUAAAUGGGUCAAGAACCCUACCCCCAACUAGGAAGCAAAAAUAAAAAUUCAAAAUUACAAAGAAAAGAAGCAUAAAAUCCAAAAUAAACAAGAAAUCUAAAAAUAAUAAGGAAAAUCACAAAAAUUACCAAAACUAGAGGCCUCAAUGAGAUUUUUGAUAUCUAAAGAUCCGACGGUCCGCAUUAAAAUUUGAGCACAAUCUAACAAUUGAAUAAAAAAUUAUGACUCUUUUGAGUUGUUAUUCUGGUUUAGCGUGACCAAACCUUCUCUUGGGCUUAGACCUGUUUCAUUGGUCCAUAAAUACAUUUGCUAAGCUAUCAACAUAAUUUAUCUAGGGAAAAUCUUCAUCUAGUUAUGGCAGAUUCACACCUGACUGCUUAGAAUCACUAAUUAUUAUAGGAUUGACUACAUCAAAAUUGGUCGGUUUUUUUUGUUUUCAAAGAGAUUUAAACUUGAUGCAGAUGAAAGCUAAAAACACAAUAAUCAAAGAACACCAAAAAAUAUAUGAGCGAAAGAGAAUAUAGAUGUGAACUCUCAAAUUCCCAAGUUUAUUUUCUCUAAAAUAAUAAUAAUAAAGUUUGUCUUCUUAAGACGUUUACAAAGCCUUAAAUAUGUUAGGAACCUUACCUUAACUAGGAAACAAAAACAUAAACCCAAAAUUACAAAGGAAAGAAACAUAAAAUCCAAAACAAGUAAGAAAUAAAAAAAUAACAAGGAAAAUCACAAAAACUACCAAAACUAGAGGCCUAAACAAGAUUUUUUAUAUAUAAAGAUUCGAUGGUUCACGUGAAAAUUUGAGCAUGAUCAAAUAAUCAGAUAAAAAAUUAUAACUUUUUGAGCUUUUAUUCUGGUCUGACACGACCAAACUUCUUCUUGCUAAACUUGUUUCAUUGGUCCCUAAAUACAUCUCCAUAACCUUUUUUUUUUGUUUCACUAUAGAUAGAGUUUGACCAUUAUUAUAUAUGGUUUGACUUAGCCGUAUCGGUUUUCAAUUAGAUCAACUUUAUAUAUUAUGGGUUUACAUUUACUAUUUUUUAAAAAGUGCUCACAAGUCCAUUUUUCACACCUCAAACUCGUAACUGCAACGAUUCGUAGGCAACGAAACUAGUUAAAGACUAGAGAGUAAACAUGCUACUAAAGUUUGCAGGUGAGGGUUUAGAUUAGAUUAUUUGUUGUCUUGUUUCAAAUAUUAGAUCAGUCUCAACUCAUUAAAUAAACAAGUGGUGCAUUGAUCCUUGGACUCAAAUCAUAUAUACACGGCGAGCUCAUUUGUGUUUUUAUUAUUUGUCCCUCCCUGUACUUGUAGCAGAAGAGAAGCUGCUCUCAUCUUUGAAGGAAUGCAAACAAUUGUUAAUAUGAAACAUAUUAUGUACAAAUUAUAAUAUUUGUAAGAAGCCGUUUUGCUGCCCACCGGCGGCCAUCUGAUCAGAGAACAGUAUUAUAUUUUUUAAACCCUUCACUCUCAUAAAAACAAUUUAUAUGAUUAUAAAUAGGAAAACAUAAAAAAAAAUAGGAUUACAUAUUUUUAGAGAUUACAUAUUAUUGUUUUAGUUCUUUUUCUUGAUUAGAGAUAAGUUGAAUAAAAGUAGUAAUAAUUUAUUUUUGUGAAAAAAGUUUACUACAACUCCUAAUAAUUAGUUUCAUGUAAAAAAUAAAAAUAAAAAUAGUAACUAAAAUUUAUUUUAGUUAUGUUAAUAAAAUUUUAAAGAUAUUUUAAUUGAAUUAAGUAAUUCAACACAAAAUUUAUGUUCGCAUACAGUUGUUGUAACCCAUUUUUGGGUCCCCACACAAAAUACAAAAAAAAUAUAUCAAAAUAAAAAAAAUAUUAUAGAAAAAUAAUAGCAGUGAAAAGAGGAUGUCGGAGCGCCCAGAAAAUGAUCAAAAAUUGGUUGAGGAGGUUUCAAAAUAUAAGGAUUGAAGUUUGACAGUAUAUCAUUGACUGGGGCUUAAUUGCAUACAUAUUGAAGUCUGGUGGCCAAUUAAGGACUUGAUUUAAGAAAUCCAAAACCAAGGACCAUAGUGAAAAAAGCGCGCAAAUUGAAGGGCUAAUCUGAAAUUGGACCCAUUUUGGCACCAGUUUUUGUUUAAAUGAAAUGGCACGUUUUGAUAAAAAACAACGCCGUUUCAUGCAUUGCACAAAAAAAAGAGAGCAAACGGUGCCGUUUUGAACGGCACCAUAAGCCUUCUUCUUCCCCUGUUGAGAACAGGGGAAGAAAAAGCAUUUUUGAUGUAACUAUAUUAUUUGAUAGUUUCACCCACAUUUAACUAGUGUUUAGCCUAUGUUAUAUAUAUAAAAUGCCUUGAUAUUCUUUGUUUUAUGUUUUGAAGGCACCUUUAGAUGAAAGAUGCAAAAAGGAGUAAAUUGAAGAUAAUUGGCAGAUUUGAUGUUCAGUCGAUGUUUUGUGCAGAGCAUGAGCUCUAAAAGUCAAAACGAAGUGAUUCUAGUGGCAUUAGAAAUCUAACAUCCAUACCUUUCUGUAAAUAUAAGUCAAGAAAAAUAAAAAUACAACGAGCAUGGAAAUCACAUCCUUCAAAGUCAAAACUCGCAUUCUGCCAGUGUUGACCUUUGUCCAUUCAAAAUUCAAUAUCUGGAGCUGUAGAUAUCCAAUUGAUGUAAACUCAAUUGUUUUGGAUUCCUGACUCAAAGGUGUCUAUAAACGCUCCAAAUUUCAGCCACAAAUGAUGUCAUAUGAGGGAGAUAUGAGUUUUCAAAGAUGACAACUGAAUUCUGCCAGCAAACAGGUUUCGUGAAGAAACGAAUCCAAAUUACAUCCCGAAGCAUCAAAACCGACAUCCAAGUUUUAAUUUCAUCAAUUUAGCUCCUCAAGUAAAUCAAUCCAGAAGGUCAAGGAAGGCAGCCACCAACCUCAAGCCACCAACCUCAAACCACCAACCACAAACCAGCUGCCAGCCACUAGCCGCCUUCACACUACCACCAUCUCUUGAUGUUCACACUUGAACUUUGAUUUUUCUUACUUACAAUUUAUGUAUAAAUAGGCAGCUAAGUUUAUGCUAUUGAGUGAGCCAAGAGGGAAGGAAAGAGAGCCAAGAGGGAAGGAAAGAGAGCCAAGAGAGAGGGAGAGGGAGUGCAGUAGAAUAAAGAAAGAGGGGUGGCAGCCAUAAGAGAAGAAACACAAACUCUCCCCUCAACAAAUCAGAAAUCAUGUAUUCUUUUAUCUUUAGGAGUAGUUUUUCAAUAGAUAUGCAAGGCUAAGCUCGUUUUCUUGGUUGCAAGGACGCAAAAACCUUCAGAUUUAAAGAACCGUGAGAUUUAUUCUUCCAUUUAUUUUCAGUUUGUAUUAUGAAUGAGUAUGUUUGUUUUCCUAUGCAUAUUUUCUAUGAUUGUUUAUCUUAAUUGCUAGAGCGGACUCUAAGUUAUUAUUGUGAAUAAUCUAUUGCUAAGUUUGAUAUCAAAACCGGAGUUGUGGUAUAUAAACGUGUGAAGCAAGUAAGCUUGAUAAUUGUAGCGGAACUACAUUAUUAAACUUAGGGAGAACAUUCGAUCAAAGCAACACAAGCUGACAACUUGGUUGUUAAGAUUAAUGAAUUUAUCUAGAUCUUAAGGCUGCCAUUGGAUUAAACCAUUAGUGCGGACACUGUGAUUGUUUGUUGGUUAGGGUUAGUUAUACGGCGGAUCCGUUAAUUAACCAACAUUAAGAAAAGAUAAAAAAUUCAGAAUAUAAACUGAAGUUUCGUUUCAAGGAUCGGUUCUGAUUUCUGUAGGUGGAUGUGUGCUUGCGACCAAGGUUUGUUUUCUUGAUAUAUUUCAGUUUCAAUUGAUUUUGUUUGUUAGUGUAAUUUCUACCAUAGUUUAGAUCAUUGCAAAUCAAACCCCCCCAAUUAUAUAAUGUAUAGCAUAAAAAUCUGAACUAAACCUUCCUCGUGGGAUCGACCCCUUGCUUGCUCUAUACUAUCUUGUGUGUUUUAAGCUAGGGUAAUUAAUUUAUGCGACCGCGACAUCGCAACAAUUUCCCCCCCAUUUUUUUCUCCUCUCUCUCCCAAAACCCAAAAAACCAACGACGACCCGACUUGUCCUUUCACUGACACCACCACGCCCUCAUGCCGAAAGACCCAUACCCUACAGAGGUAGGGGCGGCUGUGCAGUAGCUGCCCCCAUGCCACCAUGCCCUGCACCAUGGCACAGGACAGGGCAUGGUGGCCCUCUCUCCCUCUACCUAUAAAUAUAAAGGGAGUGCGGGAGAGAAGAGGGGGGAAAAAGAUUUUUUGAAAGAGAAAGGGAGGAGAAACCGAGAGAGAGACCGACUGUUUUUUAAGGAGGAAAAGAGAGACCGAAAGAGGGGAAACAACAGUUUUUUUAGAGAGAAAGGAGUGAAGAGAAGCAGACCGAAACACUAGAAAUUAAAGGGGAGAAAAGAAAAAGGAGGGAGACCGAGAGAGAAGACAGAGGAGAGAAAGGGAAGCCAUAAAAGAAGCGGGGAAGAACAGGAAGUGACAGGGGAAGAAAAAAAUACUGGAGAAGAAGAACAACCACAGCUGCCACCGUGCUUCCUCUCCACCGACAUAGCGCACCACCUGACCGUAGCUGACAGCCCCGAAGAGACAGAGGAGAAAAGGAGAAGAUAACGGGAAAAAAAACACAGAGAUGAGGGGGCUGAGAAGAGAAACAGAGGAGAGGAGAGAAGGAAGGAAAACGCCGCCGCUGUCACCGCCGCUUUCCACCACCGCUGACGACCACAACCGUUCUUUCCCGCUCCAGGUAACUUUCUCCCCUUCCCUUGUCGUUUUUAGUUGUUCAUCUUCAUUUUGCAUGCAGACGUGAGCAAUUCACGUUCUGCAGCAAAAUGUAGAUUAAUUAGCUAGUUACUAUGUUAGGCACAGUAACUAGCUAAUUAUAUUUUGCUGGUUACUGUGUGCAGCACAGUAACCAACCCUUUGAUUGCUUAUGGGCUAGAACAUCAGCCCAGCCCACGCGGCUGGGCUGAGUCCAGCCCACAGUAUAUGGGCCGGGUCAGGCCCAGCCCAGGAUGGUUGGGCCAGAUCCGGCCCAAGUUUUUUUUUGGUUAAAAGAAAAUUUCAAAAAUAUUUUUUCAGAAUUUUAUAAUUUCCCCGCAUAUUUUUAUGUCAUUUUGAUUAAAAGCAAUAUUUUUUAUGUUGCUAAAAAUACAAAAUCCGAUAUUAAAAUACCUGGUUUUCGUCAAAACUUUCAAAAUACAAAACAAAAACUUUGUUUUGAAAAAAAGGAAAAUGUUUUUGUGCAUACGGCCAAGUAUCUCAAGGCUAAAAAAUCAUAUGGUGUUUUUCAUACACAAAAAAAAAACAAUGUUUUUGCAUGCAUUUUGGCUUUGAUAACCAGUUUAUUAGAGUCAAGAGAACAUUGGCCAAAAUUUCAAAAACUACAAAUUUUUUUUUUUUUUUGUCUUUUAGUAUCCGGGGUACGAUAUUACAUGUAAUACAUAUUCCAUAUAUUAAAUGUUUUUCCAACGUUAGAACGGUUAGGUUCUACCCCAUUAAAGAUAAGAACCUCCUUAUUGAGUAGGGCUUUUCUUGAGUCUUAGAUAGACAGGACCAAUAAGUAGAAAACACGACCAAACCUUAGAUUUUGAUAAGACAAAUAAAACAAUGCAGCUUACCUUAGGUAUGGCGUAUUUGGGGUGCUAAUACCUUCCCUUUACGCAACCAGUCUCCGUACCUGAUCUCUGAGACCAGUUAGGGUUCCUAGUGAUCAUAAUACUAGGUGGCGACUCCCAUUCUAUUUUUUUCACCGCUAAGAGACAAAGAAUUCCUUGUCUCCCCACAUUUACCAGAUAUAUAUCCAUACAUUGAGGGUGGACGAUCGCCGCGACGCCGCACACGUGCGACAGAAUGGCGACUCCACUGGGGACCUUGUGGACUAAGCAUUGUUUUGUCUGAUUUUUUGUUGGUUUUGUCCCUGUUUUGUUAUUAAGAUGCUUAUUUUAUUUACACGCUUUAAUUUUUGUACAUAUUUGUUCAUACAUUGUAUAGAACUGUUUCACGCAUCAUUCUUUUUAUGUGAGAGUUUAUAUGAGAAAACUUUAAGUUAAGUAGGGGACUAGCAGCUUACCUUAUGACUUUUAGUCAAGGUUUAAGUUUGUGUAAACCCCAACUCUUCGCUGAGUGCUCAGACUGGUAAUGAUUGGUCCAUAUGCCAUCCCAUUACCUACUGAGCCCCCAUAUUGCCUUCACGAGGGCGAUCACUGGGACAACAAGAGACCCUUUUAGAGACAGAAUAGCCAACCUACCCUUGUCAAGCAUAAAAGAAUUAGAACCGGCCUUUAGGGUGUAUGCUCCACUGUACAUGUUUUGCAUAAUACAUUAAACCUAACCAUAAAGCAUAUUGGUUUUCAGGUCUUUUUAACGAUAAGAUGGCCAUCAUUACCAAAGUUACUACUGUGGAAUAUGGGCAAAAUUCUGAAUUGUCACAACUAUCAGAGGGAGACGGCUCUAGAUGUAAUGCAAGGAAGCUUCCAAUAGUCAAAGACCUGAAUUGUAUGGUAAAUGAGAUGAAGAGAAUAUUGGUUCAUAGUCAGAACAUUGAUGAGGCGGCAUUUUCCGUGAAGUAUGGGCGAUUGUUAGAAAUUACGAAGAUAGAAGUAUUGAACCCAGCAAUCAAAGCCUUGAUUAACUUUUGGGAUCCUGAUUAUAGAUGUUUUUCCUUUGGAAAUGUGGAUUUGUGUCCCACUGUAGAGGAGUAUGGAAUGUUGAUGGAGUUUCCCAAGCACCUGCACAAGGUUUAUUUCCCUUUGAGAAGUGACAAAGUAAUUCCCGAAUUGUCAAAAUUGCUGAAAAUUCCAUAUCUGAGCAGAUUUUUAGAGAAGAAUGCCAGCGGUUUAAAGUGGAAAUUCCUGGAGAUUGAACUAGAAAGGAAAAAAUCACAAUAUGGAUCGAUGCUAGAAAGAGACAGGUUAAUCGCUCUGGGGAUAUAUGGUCCUGUAUUAUUUCCAAGCUUAACAGGGGUUAUAAGCCUAGAAGCUGCUGCUGCAUUUGUGGAAUAUGAAAAUACUCAUGUCAACCCUAUAACUGCCAUAUUAGCUGAGACCUUCCUGACCCUCAACCAUUUCAGGAAGACUGGGAAAGGCGCAAUGAGAUGUUGUACUAAGUUAUUAUACAUCUGGAUGGUAAGCCAUAUUGAAACCAAAAAGCCGAUCUUUAAUAAUUUUUGGUGGUUUAACCAAAAACCUUUGAAGUUAGUAGAAGAAGAAGAAUGGGGAAGCUUGGGCGAUCAGGGUUGGAUGAAAAAACUGCAAGAGUUACCAAGUAGCAACUUUAGUUGGAAAGCCCCUUGGGUCAAAUCGGUUGAUAUCCUAGUAAGUUGCGGACAAAAAUGUUGGGUACCUUUAGUUGGGAUCAUAGGUUAUGUCAGCUAUGCUCCGGCCUUGGUGAUAAGACAAUUAGGCGGCAUACAACACAUCCCAAGAACUGUGGGACUCGCUGAAUUUUCCAGGUUUUUCAAGGAUCAAUCCGCGCUAGAAGAUUGGAGCCAUUUGACUUUAAUGUGAAAGGAAUCUGAAAGGUUAAGAGACCCCAGCUCAAGUGAAGGAUAUGAAAAGUGGAGGAAUUUGACCCCGACUGCCGCUCCUAGAAUGCCAUGUUCUGAAGACGGGCCUUCACGAAUUAUAGAAGGGUCAUUCAAAAGAAAAAAGGUCAGUAAUGAGGAGGACCUUAUGGGGCAAUUGGAAAGGCUCCAAAUAGAAUUGGGAAAGAGUAAGGUAGAUAAAACAGCAUUAGAAAUGAUGAUGAUAGAGGGAGACAAAAGCCGAGUAUUUCUAAACGUACAGCUCGAAUCUAGAGAUGUAAAAAUAAUGAUGUUGGAGCUGCAACUGAGCAAAGGAAAAGUUGUAAUGGAAGAGUCCGAGAAAGAGAGGGGAACGCUGAUUUUGGAUUGGAUGCAGAGCAGCUCUGAAUUGGAAGCAUUAAAAGCCAACUUCAAUGACUAUCAGAUGCUGAAUAAAAUCAGGAUAAAUUUUUGCACGUUCAAGCGGAGUUAAUGGACCGAAUCGAGAAGUAUGAUGAGUUAAACAAGAAAUGUGUGAUGGUAAAAAGUCGGCUAGCCGAAUUGCAAGAGUUCGAAAGAAAGGGGAAGGAAGAGGAGGUUGUUAAAGCAGAUUUGGCAACUAAGAAAAAUGAAAUUAGGAUGCUGAAAGCGAAACUUGAUAGAGAGCGGGAAAAGGUAAGACAGUUGACCGAAAAGUUGGAAGCUUCAAAAAAACAUAAAGAACAGAUCGACACCAACAACAAUACCUUGAAUCAGAACAACAUGUUGCUUAUGGAGAAGAUGGCCAAAGUAGAUGAGCAAAUGGAUGAAGCUGCCAUUCAUGCACGGAUUAUUAGAACCAAUGCCCGAAGGGUGGGGAGGGACAUCUUUUGUUAUCGACAAAGCUUGGCUGAGACUGAUGCCUUCUUAGAAAAGAUUGAGAAUUGAGGCCUUGCUUUCCUACCAGUGGCUAGAAAUAUGGAUGAAGAGGAAGAUUGAUGUAUUUUUUUUCUUUUUUUGUAUCCUCUUUUCUUUUUGUAUCCUCUUUUCAAGAGAUGUAUUAGCCAAUAUUAUUAAUGAAAAGGGGCCUUGACCCAUCUUUUGUGAAAUAUCUCUUAUAGAGUAAGGUUAAGUCUACCAAAGCAACAACUUGAGCAAAACUACCCCUGAUAAGGAACGUGACAAAGGAGUCCAUACCCAUUACGCAAGCGAAAUGUUGGCCAUCGAUCGUUUUUGAAAAACAAGCUCACAUUACAUAUGCAUCAUGCAUUGUUCAUUAUCAUACAUUCAUUUACAUUUUUCCAUCCGCUCCAGAUCGUGAAACAUAGGUCCCCCACCCAAGGUCCACCACACUAGGCUAAGAUCAAGAAUGGAGAACGAAGAGAGGGCCAUUCUAGAAUCCCGCUACCAAAGUGAAUUGGAAUCCGUGAGAAAUGAAGUUUCCCGGAUGACCAAUCUGCUUGAGCAACUUCUAAGAGCCAAGAAUGGGGAGGGAACGUCUACCCAACCACCCAUAGGAGCACCACCAACUCAUGUCCCUGGGGUAUCUCAGAACUUGAGGGCAGAUUCAGUAACGGAACAACACUUUACACUAGCCAUUCCCAUCCAGCCCACUCAAUCUCACAUCACUGUAGAUUUAACAGCGAAUGGGCCUUCCGAUAAUAGGUCCACUGGUUUUAUGAACGACGACAAGAUAUCCGCUUUGGAAGAAAGGUUAAGAGCAGUUGAGGGAAAUGAUUGGUUUGACCCCAUGCGAGCUUCUGAAGUAUGCUUGGUACCAAACAUCAUGGUACCAAAAGAUUUUAGGAUACCAGAGUUUAUAAAGUACACUGGGUUGGAAUGCCCACACACUCACCUUCAAGAGACUUGUCGACUUUGGUUUUUGUAUUUUUUUUACAACAUGCAAGAAAAUUUACAAGCAUUUAUAUAUAAAAAAAUAUCAAAAAUACCAGUUGAAACCCAAAAAAUUACCUGAGUGUCACUGUAUAGGUAAAAUACUGAAAUACCCUGGAAGUUCUCCAAAAAUUACGAAAAUGCCACUGGCGGCGCGUGUGGCACACGCGCGGCUACUGUUGGCUGCGGCGAAAUUUUCUGGCGAGAUUUCUGGCCAACAAAUGGUUGAUUCUGGCAGAUCUGAGGGCGAGGAUUCUGAUGGUGGUGGUUGUGAAGGUCUUUGAUGGCUGAUGAGUGAGAAUCGACGACUUGAAGCUUCUGUGGCAGCCGACGAUCGCGACCCUUUUCCGACCAAAUGGGGCGGAGACAACGCUGAAAUCGGCCAGGGUUUUGCUUUAUAUGAGGAUAGAGACCUUUCUGUGGUGGUUUGGAAGCUUGAUAUGGCCGGAGAUGGGAGAUCGGAAGAGAGAGAGGGAGUUGCCGGCGAGAGGAGAGAGAGAGUCCGAGAUUACGCUACGGUGUGAACGCGUGUAUGGUAAACAGGUACCUCUGAACACUGUGCGCCGUUGGAUCUCGGAUGAAACGAUCGGAUGGCUGUGAUUGGCCUGAUCUGCAGGUUGAUCGGACGGUCCGGAUGAACAGAGGUAGGAUCUGGUGUGGCGCGGUGUACCGAGAGAUUGGUACACCGGGUGACGUGGCGAAACUGGAUCUAAGCUUAGAUUAUUUCAAGGGCUGAGAUGUGUCUGGGUUUUAAUCUAGUGUGGUAAGCCCUAUUGUAUCCUAUUAAAUCAACGGUUCAGAUCUAAACACUAUUAGAUCUAACGGUUAGGAUAUAUUUGGUAUUUUUCAUAUUGUAUUUUUAAAAAAUCAAUAUCCACUCUCAUGAAGAAAUAGUGAAAAACUUAAAUAGUAACCUUGAUAUUCGUUUCUUUUCUUUCUUUUUCUUACCUCUCCCCCUUUGUUCGUUUUUCUCACCGGCUAUUUAUAGCCAAUCAACAGGGGACAUCAAAAUCUCAACAUUAUCUACUUGCAAGAAAAAAAUCGUCGAUACAACUGCCCCGCCUGCUGUGACAAAAAAAGUUUGCAUUAUUGAUUUUUUUAUUUUGUUUUAUUAUAUAUAAUAAUAAAUAUUUAUAUGGAUAAAACUAAAACUCAAAUUAGUAUUAGAAAAGCCCGUUUCAACCGCUAAAAAUCAAUUUUAAUGACCGAAAAUAAUAGUUUUGACCCAAAAUAACCUGAAACUCAUUUUUUACCCCGAUCGACAUGGUUGGACCCGUAUGGACUCGGUGGACUCGGUUUUGACCGAAUAUGACGGUUUUGACCCAAAACGGCCCGACACUUAUUUUUUACCCUGGUCGACAUGGUUUGACCCGUAUUGACUCGGUGGACUCGGUUUUGACCCGAAACGGCCUGAAACUCAUUUUUUACCCUGGUCGACAUGGUUUGACCCGUAUUGACUCGGUGGACUCGGUUUUGACCGAAAAUGACGAUUUUGACCCAAAACGGCCUGAAACUCAUUUUUUACCCUGGUCGACAUGGUUUGACCUAUAUUGACUCGAUGGACUCGGUUUUGAUCGAAAGAUGCGGUUGACUCGAGAAAAAUAUAUUUUUAAAUUUUCCUUUUUCUUAAUUGUUUUGGAUUUUUAUAAAUAAUAAUAGAAAUAAAAUAACAUUCAAGAAAAUCUUGGUGAAUCCAAAAUUGGGUUACAACAGUUGCACCCUCUUUACAAUGCUUACGGUGCAAAGGCAUUGGAAAAUUCAUUUUCUUUUGACUUUGCAUAGUAAGUUUUGUAAAGAAAAACGAUGGAAGUGUUGAAAAAUGCACAGAUUUUUCGGUUGGUCUAAUUGUUAUGGGCGACCUGCCCAAGUGAAAAACAUGAAAGUGUUUUCAAUAUUGGUUUUGUGAAAUACAUGAAAGUGAUUUCAGCAAUGGUUUUGUGAAAUACAUGAAAGUGAUUUCAACAAUGGUCCUAUUUUCCAGAUGACCACCCCGAUGAUAAAAUGCGAGGAAACUCGCAAGUGGUUUAAUUGUUCCAGGCGACCUGCCCGAUGAUAAAAUGCGAAGAAACUCGCAAGUGGUCUAAUUGUUCUAGGCGACCUGCCCAAUAGUGAAAUGCGAGGAAACUCGUAAGUGGUCUAAUUGUUCCAGGCGACCUGCCCGAUGAUAAAAUGCGAGGAAACUCGCAAGUGGUCUAAUUGUUCCAGGCGACCUGCCCGAUGAUAAAAAAUGCGAGGAAACUCGCAAGUGGUCUAAUUGUUCCAGGCGACCUACCCGACAAUGAAAAUGCGAGGAAACUCGUAAGUAGUCUAAUUGUUCCAGGCGACCUGCCCGAUGAUAAAAAAAUGCGAGGAAACUUGCAAGUGGUCUAAUUGUUCCAAUCUAAUUGUUCCAGGCGACCUGCCCGAUGAUAAAAAAUGCGAGGAAACUCGCAAGUGGUCUAAUUGUUCCAAGCGACCUGCCCGAUGAUAAAAUGCGAAGAAACUCGCAAGUGGUCUAAUUGUUCCAGGCGACCUGCCCGACAAUGAAAAUGCGAGGAAACUCGCAAGUGGUCUAAUUGUUCCAGGCGACCUGCCCGAUAGUGAAAUACUUGAAAGUGAUUUCAAUAUAUUUUUGUGAAAUACAUGAAUGUGAUUUCAGCAAUGGUUUUACGAACCGACCCUUCUGUGAAAUACAUGAAAGUGAUUUCAACAUUUUUGUUUUGUGUGAAAUUCAUGAAAGUAAUUUCAACAUUGGUCCUAUUUUCCACGUGACCACCCCGAUGAUAAAAUGCGAGGAAACUCGCAAGUGGUCUAAUUGUUCCAGGCGACCUGCCCGAUAAUGAAAAUACGAGGAAACUCGCAAGUGGUUAAUUGUUCCAGGCGACCUGCCCGAUGAUAAAAUGCGAGGAAACUUGUAAGUGGUCUAAUAGUUCCAGGCGACCUGCUCGAUGAUGAAAAUGUGACGAAACUCGCAAGUGGUCUAAUAGUUCCAGGCGACCUGCCCGAUGAUAAAAUGCGAGGAAACUCGCAAGUGGUCUAAUUGUUCAAGGUGACCUGCCCGAUAGUAAAAUGCGAGGAAACUCGCAAGUGGUCUAAUUGUUCUAGGCGACCUGCCCGAUGAUAAAAUGCGAGGAAACUCGCAAGUGGUCUAAUUGUUCCAGGCGACCUGCCCAAUAGUGAAAUACUUGAAAGUGAUUUCAAUAUAGUCUUGUGAAACACAUGAAUGUGAUUUCAGCAGUGAGCUUUAGGGUUGAUUGAAAACUUCUAAAGGAAGUCAUACCUGUAUGGUUGAGAUCUGAUUUGUAAAUCGAUCUCCGAGAUGAUGAAAUCUUCUCAAGAAAGUCUUAUGUCUACGGUCGAGAUCUGAUCUUCUGUACAUCGAUCCCAAAAGAUGAUGAAAGCUUCUCAAGGAAGUCCUGUAUGUACGGUUGGGAUUUGAUUUGUAAAUGGAUCCCAAAGAUGAGGAAGGCUUCUCAAGGAAGUCCUGUAUGUACGGUUGGGAUUUGAUUUGUGGAUCCUAAAAAUGAGGAAAGCUUCUCAAGGAAGUCAUGUAUGUAUGGUUGGGAUUCGAUUUGUGGAUCCCAAAAAUGAGGAAAACUUCUCAAGGAAGUCUCGAUUUCAAAGAUGAUGAAAGCUUCUUAAGAAAGUCUUAUAUGUACGGCUGAAAUCUGAUUUGUAAAUCGAUCUCAAAGAUGAUGAAAGCUUCUCAAGAAAGUCUUAUAUGUACGGCUGAGAUUUGAGCUGCCGUUCAAAACGAUGGUAGGAGUAAAUUCCUUAUAAAUCACACAGUAUUUGGCAAAAGACAUCAUCAACUUCUUGCAUUUUCAAUACUCUCAAAGUUCUUAACUUUUGAAGCUUUAACCAUGUCUUCUUCUUCUUCCAAUGCUAACCCAAACCCUGUUCCUGCAGUAGAGCCUGCAGUUUGGCGUACUACCUUUGAAGUGAAUGGUCGUCCAGUUACAAUAGAGGAUACUGUAAUGGACAAUGAAGAUAUUGCUGUAGCCGUGGCUAGAGAUAUGAUCCUUCCUCGUGAUGAAAUAAUGCUGGCAGCCAGGACCGAUAUUGAAGUAGUGAAUCAGUCACUUGCUCUCAGUAUCAGAGCUACUUCGUCUUUGGUGAACGUUGCAGAGCGUCUUCAUGCUAGAAGACUUGAGUUGAAUACUCAGGUUCUUGAUCUCCAUCAUCAGAUUGAGAAUUUAAGGAAUAGACUCCGUGAUGAGAGACGUCACAGAAACAACUUGGAGAGGAGAAACCAAGAGCUAAAUACACGUGUUGACUUUUGGAGGGAUUAUGUUAACACACGACACCUCGAGUUCGAGGAAGAGAUGGAGCGCAUGCAUAAGCAAUUUGAGGAAUUCCGAGGCAUGAUUAACCAUCAAGAUGAAAAUAUCCCUGAUCGUCCUCGCACUGUUUAACAUUUGUACUUGUAAACCCCUUUUUCCAUGAAUAAAAAUCCAUAUUUCUUGUCUUCAUUUAUGAAUUUUGCUUUUGUGGAAUUGCCAUCUUUGAUGUGAUUUAAAAGAACUUCAAUUCAUGUGAGUCUCGUUGGAUCCCAGUGGGGAUAUUGUUUCAUAAAAUAUCUGCAAAACAAUUAUGCAAUGCAUGUGAAGUUAGAUGAUAUGCAAUGCAUCUUACCUGUUUUUGAAACAUAGGUCCCCCCUUUUUGAUGCUUCAUCGUCAUAGGGUGGCUUUGUUUGCAUUCCAAAACCUUCUUUGUUUUUCGAUGCAUUGGCUCAUUCAUGUGCUAGCCAUCCGCUCAGUUGUAAAUGCAGUGCCCAUCUUGGGUUGUCCGUGAUGAUUACUGCUCUCGCUGUUUAUCAAGCUUGACAAUGCCCCCAAGUGUAGUGUUGCUUGAUUUAUCAUUAAGAAGCUUAACAAAUCGUUCAUCUCCUGGAUUCUUUCAAGAAUUGUUCUCUGAUUGAUUGUGUGCAUCGUGCCAACACCUAUCAAGAUUGUCAAUCAGUUAUGAACUCACCUCCAGUUGAAACAUACCCUUCAAGGAUAUGCGGUCAUCCACUUUCAUGGAACUGUCAUGUCAUUCAGACCUGCAUUUCAUACUUUGCAGUACAAAGCUCAUCGUUGUAUGCUCAGCUUCUUUCUCAAUAGGUUCUUCUCAACUCAUUUAACCAGAUUGUGAAAAGAAGUGUCUCAGCCUCUUCAAUGAUGUUGCUUUUAUCACCCAUACUCAUGUGGUGCAAUGCGCAUUUGAGCUUCCAAUCAGAUGGCCCCACGGUCAGUCUAGGUGGGUGCGGUGUAUCCUUCCAACAUUCAUUCAAAAGCAAUCAUGUGAUAACAUCUUUCGAUAGUCAUAGCCAUAUUGGAGACGAUAAACCAAGAUGAAGAUAUGAAGAUGUCCUUCAGGUACAUCUUUGCUCUCAAUUGUUGUCGAGGUUUACUGGAUCAUAAACUGUUCUUGAACAUCAUUGCCCUUAAUUGAUAUGAAUGUGCUCAUUCACUGAUUAUCUUUCUUUGAACCAUAUUAUCCUCAGUUCAUUGAUUCAUCAUUUGAUCAUCUCUACCCCCCAGCUGAUUUAAAAACUGUUUGUUUUCCUUCUCAGAGGUCCAUUGUAUUGCCCCCAGAAGUGUCGAGAAGAAUUGAUGUCAUUUCUGUCAGGAAUUUGCAAACUCCGUCGAUGUUCUUAUUUGAAAAUCUUUCUUAUUUUGGAAUCAAAUCUCACAUUUCAAAGAUCAUGUCAAGCAAAUCUGAUUGUUGAAAUGAAAUCAGAGAGAUGUCAAUUUUGAAAGUAUUUUUGGAAAUCAAGCUUUGUUGGUCAAAGAUCCAACACACGCUAUUCAAUAUAGUCCUUUGAUUGUCUUGUAUUUUGAGAGAAAAGAAAUUGACUCGUUGUAAGAUUAAAAUGGCUUUUUUCAUGGUUUUUUGUAUCGAUUUUAAACUCUAAUUUUGGGUAUAUCUUUUGAUUAUCUGUGAUGAGGUGACCUUUUAUGAAUUUCAAGAAAAAUAAGGUACCCGAGGCAAAACUUGAGGCUUAAUCAAGAAAGAUGGUUUCUUUUUCUUAGCACCAAUUUUAUCAGCAUGCAUAAUAAUCAGUAGCUUGAUUCAUGAAGUCACGACCUGUAUGAAACAACUCUUCAAGUUUUGAGAUCGCCAUUUAUCGGUUCAGAUUGCUUACUUGAUUAAAAAGGACUUUCUAAAGCAUGUAAUGUAGGCUAUGGUUCCUGGCUAUGAAAGAAAGGAAUUUCACAAGCUCAAAAGGUGUUUGAGGGUUUCAUGAACCUAGGAUCACCAUCAAUUACUCAUCAAUCUCUUUUCCUCACGUUGUCUUUGUAGAGACGGUGACAUAUAACCUUGUUAAUCUCUAAGAUUAAAAUUCGUUUAACAUAGGUCAUAACGCAAAUCCAACUUUUCUUUAAUGAAUAGCCAAUCUAAACUUUUGAAGAUCAUAGAGGCUUUACCAUAGACACACCAAAAGACAUAACACUUGAUUUUUCGUGUUAACUUUUGGUAUUUGUUGUGUCUUUAUCAAUCUUUGGCUUUCUUCUUUUAGCCCUUUCUCAAUCAUUGGACUUUUGUUCUAAGCCUUCCCUUUGUCCAUCGACUCUAACAUUGUCUUCGUCUUUUCUAGGAAAAGACUCUCAUUGCCCCUAGUGUGGGGUGUGAUCCUAGUCAAGGUUUUUUAUGAAAGAAAUAUUCUAUCAGCUCAAAAUGGGACUGCAAGGGAUAUAUAUUUCAAGAAUUGUGAAAGGAUGAAACAAAAAUGGCCUUUUCUCAUCUCAAGUAAGGUCGGUUAGAACCGAUAAAUUUUGACCUCAUCCAAUAUAAUGAUUUAGACUUGUAAGAAUCAUAAUUCACGAGUCCAUAACUACUGAAUCCACUACGUUUCAUUAUGCAUACUGCUAAAACUUAGCUAUAUAGUAUGUGGUUCAAUUUCAUGUGUGAGUUCAAAAGUUUCUUGGUCACCUCAUGUCAUUUCAACAAGCUUCGAGUCAUUCAAGCAAAAUAAUUUUAAUCUUCAAGAUUGACUAAUCUUAAACGCAUGUUGGAGCUUGAUCAAAAUAUUUUGUCAAAAUAACCUUUGAAAGAAACAUCUCAUGCUUUCAGAACAACAAAGGGACAAAGAAAAGACAUGUUUUGUUAAAAGAUGAGAUAUGAUCCCAAAAUAAAAUGCAGAAUGACAAAACUCAUAACAAAAAGGAUCGACAGUUUAACACUCUUCUUGGAUCAGCUUUUCUGGUGAUAUCUGUGUUUUGUCAAGCAUUUCAAUCACUUGUCAUUAUGGGGAUGUUGUAGUGACAAUAUGGCCGAUGAUGUCAUUUUCACAAACUCAACUCGAUUCUUGAAAUUCUUGCAACUUUCAAAUGAAUGGCACAAAAUCCCCCAAUGAUAUUCAAAUCUCUUUUCUGGAUUAUACCACCUAGAAAAUGAUGGUUGUAUGGGAUUUGGCGGAGUCAUGGCAAUAAAUCCGGAGUCUAAUAGAUGCUGGUAGACAAACUCGAGUGGUCGAGGUAUGUCAAUCUUGGCAAAAAUAUUUGAGCAGUUGAUACAUAAUUAAAGCUUCCCAUCGUUAGAGUCAUCCUUUGAUUCAUCUCUCAUUAUUGUUCUACAAUCCUUGGCAGAAACUUCAAUAUUUCCCCUCUUCGUAGCUUGUUCAAUUCUUUCGAAAAUCCUCACAACAUCAAUAUCAAUCUUUCCAAUGUUGUUAUGGUUAUUUGUGGAUUGGUAUAAACUUUCCAAUAGCCAGGUAAUCUUGGUAGCGCACAGAAACAUUCAGCACCACCAUUGCCAACGUGUGGAAUCAUGCGUUGUCUCAACUGGAAGAGAAAAUGAUGAAUCUGAAAAUGAUGAAUCUGAAACCCUUUUGUCUCCUCUUCAAUUCCUCACUGGCAGUGCAGCAAACAAACACCUAUAGUGGGAAUUCUGCUUUGUUAAAGUUGCAAUGUUUGCUCUUUUUUUUCUCAGAGCAGCAUCCGAUACUGCAAUGUCUGCUUUGUUAAAGUUGAGAACAAGGGUUGUCAUUAGUUGAUGACUGAAGGCAUUGUUGUCAUUGUUCAUGACUAAAAAGGAGAGGUACAACUUCAAUGGAACGUGGACAAGUAGUGUUCUCAGCAAGAGCCUGUACAGACGUUCCCUUUCCACUUUUGAAGCUCAACAUUUAUUCAAACAGAUUUAUGAGUCGAGCCACUUCACCUUUACUGCUCUCAACUUCCUUUUGAUAAUAAACCUAUGUCUAACCCCUGUCUUUAUUUUCCAUCUUCAUCAGUCCAGUAGACCUCAGGUGGGGGAACUUAUGUUUCAACCGUGUGCAAGCUUGAUAAAUGAAUGAAAUGCGCAAAUGGAUGCAAAAUGCCAUAUGGACUAUGCAUGCUUGUUAUUUGUUUCAAGUUUUCCUUUAGCUUAUGACGAGGAAUAGACCAGAUCAGAUUCUCUUAAGAAAGUUCUCAAUGAGGACUCCAAACCUACAGGAACUUGAACCGAUUUAGGGGAGAAAUUUGAUUUUUAUUGGAUAUUCUUCAGUUGUUUUUCCCUCUACUCUCUUAGCAGAAGUAACCCUACCGGGAUGUUUCCAUGCCUUUUUCACUAACUCUAAUAAUUUCUUCGAGGUCUUGAAAUCUUCAUAAAAUGUUGGCAGUUUGGUAGUCAUUGGAAUAAACUGCUCAUGUAAGAUCCCACAUCGAAAGCGAGCGUCCAACGCCAAGGCCUUAUAAAUGCAUGUUCAUCUUAACUAGUAAGACGCGUUUAAAACCCUGAGGGGGACCUGGGUGGAAGCCCUGGAAAUGGGUAGACCGGGGGGCCUAGAAGGGACAGUAUCUGACAGGGUGAGUGUGCUGCUCUACUCUGAAAGACGCGUUUUGAGGCCAUGCGUGGCUGCCAAGAACAAACCCGUCAGGAGACUUGGGUGGAAGCCCUGGACAUGGGUGAACUAGGAGGCCCAAAGCGGACAAUAUUUUGCUAGUGAGGUAGGAUGUUACAGCUCAAAUCCAAAUUGUUGUAAAAUCAUGUUAGGACAAUAACUAAUACAGCAGCAGGCUCCUAUCACAACGGGACCCAUGGAUACUCACCAUAAUAUGCCAGAUAAGAUUUGAAGUAAGAGUAUCGACUCCUCCAAUGAAAUUGAGAUUUACUUAGAUUUAGAAACAUUGAUUCCCAUGUGGUUCUUGCUACUUCAUGCAAGUGUUUUUCAGCAAAAUUCUCCAGCUUAGAAUAAAGAUGCCAUGGGGUACCAACCAAACCUGAAAUCUUCCCCUCGAUCAUAUGACUCACAGUCCAGACAAACAAUAACUGCAAGCAACAUCUUAAACGACCCCUUCCAGCUUUUCUACAAUAAUUCAAGGAUGAGAAAGUUUCUGCCAAUAUUGCUGUAGCCGGGUUAAUUUUAAGGGUCACCACAUUUUUAAAUACAUUGACAGCCUCAAAAUCGAUCAUUCCCUCUGUAGAUGGGAAAAGAACCAAACCAUAUAUGCCUAAGGCCAAAAUUCUCAAUCGAAUUUCAUUGCUUUUAUCGUGUAAUCUCCUCUUGAAUAUGGCUUCUAGUUCAUUCCAAAACCAACCUUGGCUAUUUCCUCGUUUAGUUGCAUGAGAUUUUGCUAGUUGACAUUCUAUCUGGGUAAUCCAAGCAAAGUUAGAAAGUGCAUGCUCUAUAGGUGUGUAAAAGUAUACCUUUUCUGACUUGGGACAAUUUAGCAGGGAUUCAUACUCCUCAAUAGUAGGAGUCAUAUCCACAGUAUCAAAAGUGAAGCACCGAUAUUCUGGAUCCCAAAACCCUAUCAUGGCCUUAAAACAAGCAUGUUGGACCCUAAUUUUCAGUAAAUGUGAUAGAUCCCCAUAUUGUUUCUGAAAAGUGAUUUGAUCAUGAGAGGAUAACCUUUCCCAACAGUCUAGCAGCUGUCUUGUACCAAGUGGUCUGUCAUCUAAUUUAACAUGCUCUGGCAACUGAGACUCAAAUUCUGAUGGCAAACAAUCCCCUUCAUCAUGUUGGCUCAAUUCUGAUCUGGUAAAAAAUUCCUCAAUAGUAAUGGGUUUUUCCAUCUCACACUUCUUGUAAGGAUCGGUGGAGAUUUAAUGAGCACAUGAAAUGUAUAUGAACAUGUAUGUUCAUGCAUUGACAUUUGUUCGUGUCCUAAUGGGUAUAUCUUACUUGAUAGGAUCUAGCUCAUAAGGUUUGGUUCAGUUUAAUCUAUCCUUAAAGAUAUUUUUUGGUUCUUAGAUUGCCCGAAUUACCCAUGGAGUAAUCGGCCUCUUAACCUUAUACAACAUGAGUAUGGGAAACAAUUUCCACAAUACCCGUUGCAUAGGGUGAGUUACAAUCCAAGCGAAAGUCCAAAUGAGCAUCAGUGGACAUAAGUCACACUUGCCACCUGAAUCUCUCUUUUCUAAUCUUAAACAGGACGAGCUCGGGUCCAGAGCUUUUAUGGGUUCACCGUGAAGUGUGUGAAUACACAAAUAAAUAACAUGCAUGUAUGUGGCAAUAUGGAAAAUUGAAAAGAAUCACAGUAGAUAUUGCAUAAAAUAAAUAAUGCAAAUAAGAUAAAUGCCUAAAAAUAAAUAGCGAUAAGAAAGAACAAAUGAAAAGCAAAUACAAGCAGUUGGCUCAACCCUAAGUCCCCAGUGGAGUCGCCAUUCUGUCGAUACACGACGUCGGGCGACUGCUUCCGCUUUUUUUGUUUAUUUAACAAAAAGGGUUUUUUUUUAAUUGGGGGAAACAAAGAUUUUAUUGGAGUCGCCAUCUAGUAAUUUGAGGGAACUAGAAAUCCCAAAUUAGACACUGGUCCCAGAGAUUCAGGUACGGGGUUAGUUAUGAUUAAGGGAAGGUAGACACCACCCUUAAAACAUCCUUUCAAAGAAAGGUUACCCUUACUUGUGUGUUUUUUGUUUGAUUCAAAUGCGAUUAUAUUUUGGGCUUAUUUGUAAUUAUUUUAAAUGAUUAAUGUCGGUCCCUAAAAAUAGGAGACACGUUAAAAAUGACAUCAGUCCCUAAAAUUUAGGAGACUCGUCUAGAAUAUUAACGUUUAUUCCUAAAAAGGAGAGUUACGUCUGGGUUACCAAAAGAAAUAAUGGAUAUAAUCCAUUAUAUUUUGGGUUUAUUGGUAACUUGUUUUUUUUUAAAAUGGUUAACGUCGGUCCCUAAAAAUAGGAGACGCGUUAAAAAUGACAUCAGUCCCUAAAAAUUAGGAGACUUGUCUAAAAUAUGACGUUUUAACCCUAAAAAGGUGAGAUACGUCUGGGUUACCAAAAAAAAAAUAAUGGACAUAAUCCAUAUUUGGUAUUUGCAUUUUUGACAUCGGUCCUUUUUUUUAAAAAAAAAAGAGAAGUGUUGACUUUGGUUUUUGUAUUUUUUUUACAACAUGCAAGAAAAUUUACAAGCAUUUAUAUAUAAAAAAAUAUCAAAAAUACUAGUUGAAACCCAAAAAAUUACCUGAGUGUCACUGUAUAGGUAAAAUACUGAAAUACCCUCGAAGUUCUCCGAAAAUUACGAAAAUGCCACUGGCUAGAUUUCUGGCCAACAAAUGGUUGAUUCUGGCAGAUCUGAGGGCGAGGAUUCUGACGGUGGUGGUUGUGACGGUCUUUGAUGGCUGAUGAGUGAGAAUCGACGACUUGAAGCUUCGGUGUGAACGCGUGUAUGGUAAACCGGUACCUCUGAACACUGUGCGCCGUUGGAUCUCGGAUGAAAUGAUUGGAUGGCUGUGAUUGGCCCGAUCUGCAGGUUGAUCGGACGGUCCGGAUGAACAGAGGUGGGAUCUGGUGUGGAGCGGUGUACCGUGAGAUUGGUACACCGGGUGACGUGGCGAAACUGGAUCUAAGCUUAGAUUAUUUCAAGGGCUGAGAUGCGUCUGGGUUUUAAUCUAGUGUGGUAAGCCCUAUUGUAUCCUAUUAAAUCAACGGUUCAGAUCUAAACACUAUUAGAUCUAACGGUUAUGAUAUAUUUGGUAUUUUUCAUAUUGUAUUUUUAAAAAAUCAAUAUCCACUCUCAUGAAGAAAUAGUGAAAAACUUAAAUAGUAACCUUGAUAUUCGUUUCUUUUCUUUCUUUUUCUUACCUCUCCCCCUUUGUUCGUUUUUCUCACCGGCUAUUUAUAGCCAAUCAACAGGGGACAUCAAAAUCUCAACAUUAUCUACUUGCAAGAAAAAAAUCGUCGAUACAACUGCCCCACCUGCUGUGACAAAAAAAGUUUGCAUUAUUGAUUUUUUUAUUUUGUUUUAUUAUAUAUAAUAAUAAAUAUUUAUAUGGAUAAAACUAAAACUCAAAUUAGUAUUAGAAAAGCCCGUUUCAACCGCUAAAAAUCAAUUUUAAUGACCGAAAAUAAUAGUUUUGAUCCAAAAUAACCUGAAACUCAUUUUUUACCUCGGUCGACAUGGUUGGACCCGUAUGGACUCGGUGGACUCGGUUUUGACUGAAUAUGACGGUUUUGACCCAAAACGGCCCGACACUUAUUUUUUACCCUGGUCGACAUGGUUUGACCCGUAUUGACUCGGUGGACUCGGUUUUGACCGAAAAUGACGGUUUUGACCCGAAACGGCCUGAAACUCAUUUUUUACCCUGGUCGACAUGGUUUGACCCGUAUUGACUCGGUGGACUCGGUUUUGACCGAAAAUGACGGUUUUGACCCGAAACGGCCUGAAACUCAUUUUUUACCCUGGUCGACAUGGUUUGACCCAUAUUGACUCGGUGGACUCGGUUUUGAUCGAAAGAUGCGGUUGACUCGAGAAAAAUAUAUUUUUGAAUUUUCCUUUUUCUUAAUUUUUUUGGAUUUUUAUAAAUAAUAAUAGAAAUAAAAUAACAUUCAAGAAAAUCUUGGUGAAUCCAAAAUUGGGUUACAACAAUGUCAAUGGAAAAGAGAAGCCAAGAGUUAGUAAGGGCUUAUGCGCAAAGAUGGAGGGAUGAGGCAACACAUGUGCAACCCCCUUUGAUAGAGACGGAGAUGGUGACUUUGUUCCAAACUGAGAUCAGUGGGUUAACUCGGAGUGGCCGGUGCUUCACGCCCGAGGAGUUGAAGAAAGCAAAAGGCAAAGAAGUGGUAGAUCUUGACAAAGCACUAGAAGUUAAUAAGCCAAUAACUGAAGAGGAGUCAAAUGAAUUUUUAAAGUUGAUAAAGCAUAGCGAAUAUUGCAUAGUAGAUCUACUAAAAAAGACUCCAGCAAGGAUUUCCCUUAUGUCCUUGAUACUAAGCUCUAAGCCGCAUCGAAAUGCUUUGCAAAAGGUAUUGAAUGAGGCGUAUGUGCCCCAAGACAUUGAACAGAAAACCAUGGAGCAUCUGGUGGGGAGAAUCCAUGCAACUAAUUACCUGUACUUCACAGCUGAUGAGCUUGAUGCUGAAGGUAUCGGACAUAACAAGCCCUUAUACAUUACUGUUAGGUGCAAGGAUUGCCUCAUAGGAAAGUGCUCGUCGAUAAUGGCUCAGCUCUUAACGUGUUGCCAAAGCACAUGCUGAAGAAAUGCCAAUUGAUGAUUCUCAUAUGAAGUCGAGUACUGUGAUGGCCAGAGCAUAUGAUGGCUCACUUGGGCCAAUAAUUGGGACUGUAGAAGUGGAGCUAUAUGUGGGGCCACAAAUGUUCUUGGUGACCUUUCAAAUUAUGGACAUCCACCCUUCCUAUAGUAUGUUGUUAGGAAGACCUUGGAUUCAUGUGGCUGGGGCGGUAACUUCAUCAUUACACCAAUGCUUGAAGUAUAUCAUGAAUGGGAUGUUGGUAACUGUCAAAGCUGAGGAGACAAUAUCCAUGAUGAAGAAUGUGGCCAUACCUUUCAUUGAGGCAGAGGAUCGCAAGGAUAACAAUAUCCACUCUUUUGAGAUUGUGAACACUGACUUGGUACCUAAGAACACAGUACUAAGAAGGCCAAGGAUCUCAGAAGCAGCAAGGAUGGCAGCUCAAUGCUUCUUGGAACGCGGGAUCCCAUUUCAAUAUAACCCUAUCACUAGGGUACCAGAAAGGGUUAAUCCGAUAAAGAUGAAAGGUGUUGAUCAAAGAUUUGGGCUGGGGUAUAAACCUAAAAAAGUGGAUCAUCGGUGGGCUGCUGGUCGAAGAAGGGAAAGAAGAAUGGCUAGGAUUGAAGGAAGAGAGCUUGAAGAAGAAAAGCUGGAAAUCCCUCCCCUUAGAGUGUCGUUCCCAAAAGCUGCAUAUGUAAUGCAACCCGAUGAAGGAGCAGAAAGCCUUGGUCAAGAACUGUCAAAUAUGAGCAUAAACACCUUGGAGGAGAAUAAGGUGGAAGGAGGUGGCAUGAAGACGGUAGCGGGAAAGAAAGAUGAAGCACUACCACAACUAACUAUCCACACUUUGGAAGAAGUCUCUGCUAAGACCUUUGUACGAAAGCUGGCUGAAGGUGAGAAGUUUCAAAACUAGGUGACUCAAUAAGCCCUAGUAGUAUUUAAAAUGUAAACCAACUUUGUUUGCCUUAACAUGCUUUUGUCAUUGCUUUUGUUUGCUUUAUUUUCCCUGGUUGACAAUCGAGGCUCAUGAUGUCAAUCAGAUUUUGUCGUUGUCAUUGAGCCCACCUUUGUUUUAAAUAAUGAGAUCAUGCGUUUUCCAAAUUUAUCUCUUUAUUCAUGCAUUUACACCAAACACUUUCCGCUUUCAGGAACUCUGAAAGUGGAUCUUCCACAACAUCAUAUACACUUAGCAUCAAGAAUGAAUGGCCAAACUUUAACGAACAUGUGAUCACUAUGGAAGAAGAAGAAUGGGAUGAAAGCAAUAUUAGGGAAUUUACAAAGUUAGUAGAGCAACAUGAACAAACCUGGGAACCAACUACAUAAGAACUAGAAACCGUAAACGUGGGUAGCGAUCAGAUUAAAAAAGAGUUAAAAAUAGGGACCUUAAUCACUCCUAAGGAAAGAGUAGAGGUAAUUGCCCUACUACGAGAAUACGCAGAUGUUUUUGCUUGGUCUUACGAGGAUAUGCCUGGUUUGGAUAGAAAUAUUGUCGUACAUAAGAUACUGCAGGAGGAAGGUUGUAAACUAGUCAAACAGAAGUUGAGGAGAGCCCACCCGGAUAUUUGGAUCAAAGUUAAGGCAGAACUCGAAAAAUAGUGGAAUGCAGGCUUUCUAGAAGUAGUUAAAUAUCCACAAUGGGUAUCCAACAUUGUUGUCGUACCAAAGAAAGAAGGAAAGAUUAGAGUUUGUGUGGACUUCCAAAAUUUGAACAAAGCUAGCCCCAAGGAUGAUUUUCCUCUGCCACAUAUAGAUGUUUUGGUCGACAAUGCUGCACGUAGUUCCACAUAUUCCUUUAUGGAUGGUUUCUCGGGAUACAACCAGAUAAAGAUGGCUUUAGAAGAUAAGGCGAAAAUAACUUUUGUUACACCAUGGGGAACCUAUUGUUACAAGGUUAUGCCAUUUGGUCUGAAGAAUGCAGGAGCCACCUAUCAGAGGGCCAUGGUGACUCUUUUCCAUGAUAUGAUGCACAAGGAAAUUGAGGUGUAUGUAGAUGAUAUGAUUGCCAAGUCCAAGAAGGGAGAAGAUUAUGUAAAGGUUCUGAGGAAGUUAUUUGAGCGUUUGAGGAAGUAUGAACUAAAGCUCAACCCGGCAAAAUGUUCGUUUGGAGUUAAGUCUGGAAAGUUGCUAGGAUUUGUGGUAAGUGACAAAGGUAUAGAGGUGGAUCCUGAUAAAGUGAAGGCCAUCCAAUCCAUGCCAUCCCCAAAGACAGAGAAGGAGGUGAGGGGAUUCUUGGGAAGAUUAAACUAUAUUGCCAGACUUAUAGCUCAACUAACCACAACAUGUGAACCUGUCUUCCGGCUACUGAGGAAAAAGAAUCCUGGGAUUUGGAAUGAGGAGUGUGAGGAAGCAUUCAAUAAAAUCAAGCAAUACUUACAAAGUCCGCCUUUGCUUGUUCCUCCUAUAUCAGGAAGGCCUUUAAUAUUGUAUUUGACAAUAACUGAAACAGCUAUGGGAUGUGUAUUGGGUCAGCAUGAUGAAACCGGAAGGAAAGAAAGGGCUAUUUAUUACCUGAGUAAGAAGUUCACCGAAUGUGAGUCUAGAUACACGGUGAUAUAAAAACUCUGUUGUGCAUUGGUAUGGGCGACAAAAAGAUUACGACAUUACAUGUUGUAUCACACCACUUUGUUGAUUUCAAAAGUGGAUCCACUAAGGUACAUCUGUGACAAGCCCUAUCUCUCAAGCCGAAUUGCAAGGUGGCAGGUUUUGUUGUCAGAAUAUAACAUAGUAUAUAUGACAAGGAAAGCCGUGAAGGGGAGCGCGAUUGUCGACCACCUGGCUGAUAAUGCUGUUGAAGAUUAUGAGCCAUUGGAUUUUGACUUCCCUGAUGAAAAUGUAUUAUCAAUAGUGGGAGAAGAAGAGAAGAAAGAUUGGUGGACCAUGUUUUUUGAUGGGGCAGUGAAUGUUUAUGGUAAUGGGGUCGGCGCGGUGAUAAUCUCUCCUGACCAGAAGCAGUAUCCGGUUUCAGUUAAAUUGUAUUUUGAAUGCACCAAUAAUACAGCUGAAUAUGAGGCUUAUAUCCUGGGUUUAGAAGUUGUGUUAGAGCUGAAGAUCAGAAAGAUAGAUGUAUAUGGUGACUCAAUGUUGAUUAUCUGUCAAGUGAAAGGAGAAUGGCAAACCAAGGAAGAAAAGUUGAGGCCAUACCAGGAAUAUUUAUCAGCACUGUCAGAAGAAUUCGAAGAGAUAAGAUUCACCCAUCUAGGAAGAGAAGGGAACCAUUUUGCGGAUGCUUUGGCCACGUUGGCUGCUAUGGCUACGAUUGAUCUCGGGCAUAAGGUACAUCCUGUACACAUAAACAUCAGAAAUAACCCAGCUUACUGUUGCUCGAUUGAAGGAGAGGUAGAUGGAAAGCCUUGGUAUACGAUAUCAAGAAUUUUGUGCAAAAUCAGGAAUAUCCAGUGGGAGCUUCGAAGAUGGAUAAGAAAACCCUAAGAAGGUUGGCCAUGGAUUUCUACCUCGACGGAGAGAUUCUGUACAAAAGAUCAUUUGACAGAACCUUGCUAAGGUGUUUGAAUGAGACAGAUGCUAAAAAUGCUUUACGGGAGGUACAUGAAGGGGUUUGCUCAACUCAUGCUAACGGGCAUAUGGUAGCAAGGAAAAUACAAAGGGCUGGUUAUUUCUGGAUGACACUAGAGAAAGACUACAUCGACUAUGUCAGGAAAUGUCACAAAUGUCAAGUGCAUAGUGAUAAGGUCAAUGCGCCUCCGACUCCUCUGAUUAAUCUAGCAUCUCCCUGGCCAUUUGCAAUGUGGGGGAUUGAUGUGAUUGGACCUGUUAACCCAAAAGCUAGCAAUGGGCAUAGAUUCAUACUCGUAGCUAUUGACUAAUUCAUGAAAUGGGUAGAAGUUAGUUCAUACGCCCAUGUAACACAGAAAGUGGUGAAAAGGUUUAUAGAAAAAGACUUGAUUUGUCGUUAUGGUCCACCAGAAAAGAUAGUGACCGAUAAUGCACAGAAUUUCAACGGCAAAAUGAUCAUGGAGCUCUGUACCAAAUGGAAAAUCAAGCAUUCAAAUUCCUCACCAUACAGGCCCAAGAUGAAUGGUGCCGUAGAAGCAGCCAACAAAAACAUCAAGAAAAUUAUCCAGAAAAUGGUAGUCACUUACAAGGAUUGGCAUGAGAUGUUGCUGUUCGCUCUCCACGUAUAUCGCACUGCAGUAAGGACCUCAACAGGAACUACUCCAUAUGCUCUGGUAUAUGGAAUGGAGGCGGUGAUGCCUUUGGUAGUAGAAAUCCCUUCGUUGAGGGUGUUGAUGGAUUUAGAAUUAGAAGAGACUGAAUGGGCCAAAGUAAGAUAUGAACAGUUAAACCUGAUCAGUGAAAAGAGGUUGGCUGCAAUCUGUCAUCAUCAACUCUACUAGAAAAGGAUGGCCAAGACAUAUGACAAGAAGGUUAGACCUCGCAUGUUCCAAGAAGGAGAUCUAGUGCUGAAGAAACUAUUGUCUUUACCAGGAGAAGAUCAAAGCAAAUGGGCCCCAAAUUAUGAAGGUCCUUAUGUAGUGAAGAAGGCUUUCUCAGGAGGAGCUCUGAAGUUGUCUAGAAUGGAUGGAGAAGAUCUAGCUAGACCUGUGAAUUCUGACUCUGUAAAGAGAUAUUACGUCUAAUGUGUUCAGUUUUCUCCCAAAAUGAAUAAAGUGAAGUUUGGCUAUGAUUUCUUUGUGUAAAGAACCCUUUUUUUUCAUUUGCAUUGAUCUCACAACACUUAAUUUGUUUAUUUUCAAAAAAAAUCUUGGAAAGAUUUGGCUUUGUGCAUGAUUAUAAGGAAUGUAUCAUAAAAUGCUCAAAGAUGAAGUUUAAGCAUUUCCCGUUAAGAGGUGACCAAACCAAACAAACCCAACGCUGAGAUAAAACCUUGCCCCUAAUAGCAUUUUGAAUUGUAUGGAUAAAUGGUUAGGUAAUCAUCAUUGUAAUCACUCGGAUGUUUUUCUUUCGAGAUAAGAACAAGGUUUAUCAAUCCUAACAAUGUGCGUCUUGAAAUGAGGAAAGGCCAUCUUUGUCAUCCCUUCACUUUCUAAAGAUUUCAUCCUUUGUAGUCCCCAUUUGAGCCGGAUUGAGUUUAUUCUUUAUGAAAACCUGACUAAGACCACACCCCGCACUGGGGGCAAUGAGAAAUCUUUUGUUAGGAAAGAUAAAGAUAAUUGUAGAAAAAAAGGGUAAAGAAUGGAAGCCUAACAUUUAAGAAGAGAAUAAGAAGAAAAGGGAGAAGGAAUUUGAGCAAAUUACAAAAAAAAAAAAAGAAGAAGAAGAAGAAGAAGAAGACUUGGAUCUUUGAAAGUCCGAACCCAAAACUUGGGGGCAUAAAAAAAAAAGAAGGGGGGAAAAGGAAUAAAGAAAGAAGAUGAUGGUUUGAUAAUGCUUUAAGACUGAGAUGAGGAUCCUUAAGCAAGCUUCUCCAAAUGCAACCUAUGAGACAAUUUCACAAAAAACAAAAGAUAGAAGAAGAGUGGUCUUAAGUCUUUAAACCCUCAAACACUAUUGAGCCUUAAAGCAUCCUUUUCUUUCAUAGCCCGUAGAUGUAACCUACAUUACAAGCCUUUAAAAGUCCUUUCUGAUCAAGCGCACAUAACUUGGGUUAAUAAACGAUGGUCUUAUAACUCAUAGGACUUAACAAAUGAGAGAUAAUCCGCUUUUGUCCAUGCAAGAAAAAGGCUAAUAUGAGACAUUUCCCUUUUUCUACACAGCCUUUUCAAAUAAUUACUUAAAACCUGUUGAAAAGAUUAAACAGAAGAGCCUUUGAAAAGAAAAAAAAAACCUAAAGACAAACCGCAAACCGAUAAAACCCUCAUUGGGAAUCGCUUAAAAGAGUUUUCAAUAUGUAUGUUGAAAGUUUCAGUUGUCAUGAACAAAUUCAAGUCUUUUAAAGAUUCUUUUUGAGGAAGGAAUUUUUUGUGCUGGAACGAAAACCAAAAAACCCUUAAUUUGAGAAAGACAAAUUAAAGCAUUGACAAGAGCAUGAUAAAAAGCAAUGGCAAAUCAUGCAUUUUUGGAAAAGGUUCACCUAACGGAAAAGGUCAGGGAUUUCUUCCCUAAAAAGUGAUGGGUAGAAGAAACAUCAUAGGAAAUGGAUCCAGCAUGCCAUUUCGAGCACGUGAACAAGAUCGUAUUAAGAGAGAGUUUCAGAAAAUUGAAGGAAGCGAUGGGACCUAUGUUUCCAAACCAGGUAAGGAUGCAUACAUAAGCAUUGCAUCAAACAUUUUUGUUGAUUUGUUACAGGAAAAAUCCUCAAUAUAGUCCGGCAAGAUUAGAGACAAAGAAAGAAUCUUUGAGUUGAUGAACAACGAAGAAUCAUGCUUUGGACCCUGGAACGGGAGAAAGAUGAGAUAAACCCUAACAUUAGGGAAAUCUCAAAGAAAUAAGAGUCUUCAAUUCAAACCCUAUCAUCUUGAAGAAGAAACAUUUUUUGGUUAAAGAGGAUUGCCAAAAGGGAUCUCAGUUUAACCACCACAUGAAGAUUUUAGCUUUGGUUGAAGGGAGUCGCCAGAUGGGAUUCCAGGUUGACCGAGCUACACACAGGCUUUGGUUCUGGUUAAAGGGGAUCGGCGAAAGGGAUCUUAGUUUACCCUAACCACACAGAGACUUUGGUUCUGGUUAAAGGGGAUCGACGAAAGGAUCUCAGUUUAGCCUAACUGCACAGGAGUUUUGGUUCUGGUUAGAGGGGAUUGGCGAAAGGAAUCUCAGUCUAUCCUAACCAUACAGGUUUUUUGGUUAUGGUUAAAGGGGAUCGGCGAAGGGAUCUCAGUUUAGCCUAACCACACAAAGACUUUGGUUCUGGUUAAAGGGGAUCGGCGAAGGGAUCUCAGUUUAGCCUAACUGCAAAGGAUUUUGGUUUUGGUUAGAGGGGAUUAGCGAAAGGAAUCUCAGUCUAUCCUAACCACAUAGGAGUUUUGGUUCUGGUUAGAGGGGAUUGGCGAAAGGAAUCUCAGUCUAUCCUAACCACACAUGUUUUUUGGUUCUGGUUAAAGGGGAUCAGCGAAGGAUCUCAGUUUAGCCUAACCACACACAGAUUUUGGUUCUGGUUAGAGGGAAUUGGCAAAAGGAAUCUCAGUCUAUCCUAACUACAUAGGAGUUUCGGUUCUGGUUAGAGGGGAUUGGCGAAAGGAAUCUCAGUCUAUCCUAACCGCACACAGGAGUUUUGGUUCUGGUUAGAGGGGAUUGGCGAAAGGAAUCUCAGUCUAUCCUAACCACACAAUUUUUUAGUUCUGGUUAAAGGGGAUCGGCGAAGGGAUCUCAGUUUACCCUAAAUACAAAGGAUUUUGGUUCUGGUUAAAGGGGAUCGACGAAGGGAUCUCAGUUUAUGUUAACCACACACAGAUUUUGGUUCUGGUUAGAGGGGAUUAGCGAAAGGAAUCUCAGUCUAUCCUAACCACACAUGAGUUUUGGUUCUGGUUAGAGGGGAUUGGCGAAAGGAAUCUCAGUCUAUCCUAACCACACAGGAGUUUCGGUUCUGGUUAGAGGGGAUUGGCAAAAGGAAUCUCAGUCUAUCCUAACUGCACACAAGAGUUUUGGUUCUGGUUAGAGGGGAUUGGCGAAAGGAAUCUCAGUCUAUCCUAACCACACACACGAGUUUUGGUUCUAGUUACAGGGUAUUGGCGAAAGGAAUCUCAGUUUAGCCCAACCACACAACAGGACUUGGGGUCCGGUUGAAGUUUUAGGUCAACCAAAUUUUGGGAAGACCAGUUUCGGAAGACCAAUUUUGUUUAUCUUUACAACACUUACUACGCAAAAUCUUUGCUCCGUAAGCAUUGUAAAGAGGGGGCAUCUGUUGUAACCCAUUUUUGGGUCCCCGCACAAAAUACAAAAAAAAUUAUAUCAAAAUAAACAAAAUAUUAUAGAAAAAUAAUAGUAGUGAAAAGAGGAUGUCGGAGCGCCCAGAAAAUGGUCAAAAAUUGGUUGAGGAGGUUUAAAAAUACAAGGAUUGAAGUUUGACAGUAUAUCAUUGACUGGGGCUUAAUUGCAUACAUAUUAAAGUCUGGUGGGCAAUUAGGGACUUGAUUGAAGAAAUCCAAAACCAAGGACCAUAGUGAAAAAAGCGCGCAAAUUGAAGGGCUAAUCUGAAAUUGGACCCAUUUUGGCGCCAAUUUUCGUUUAAAUGAAACGGCGCGUUUUGAUAAAAAACGAUGUUCGUUUCAUGUAUUUCACGAAGAAAAAGAGCAAACGGUGCCGUUUUGAACGGCACCAUAAGCCUUCUUCUUCCCUUAUUGAGAAUAGGGGAAGAAGAAGCAUUUUCCCCCCAUUUUUUUCUCCUCUCUCUCUCUCCCAAAACCCAAAUAACCAACGACGACCCAACUUGUCCCUUCACUGACACCACCACGCCCUCAUGCCGAAAGACCCAUACCCUAUAGAGGUAGGGGCGGCUGUGCAGUAGCCGCCCCCAUGCCACCAUGCCCUGCACCAUGGCACAGGACAGGGCAUGGUGGCCCUCUCUCCCUCUGCCUAUAAAUACAGAGGGAGUGCGGGAGAGAAGAGGGGGGAAAAAAGAUUUUUUGAAAGAGAAAGGGAGGAGAAACCGAGAGAGAGACCGACUGUUUUUUAAGGAGGAAAAGAGAGACGGAAAAAGGGGAAACAACAUUUUUUUUAUUGCUUAUGGGCUGGAACAUCAGCCCAGCCCACGCGGCUGAGCUGAGUCCAGCCCACAGUAUAUGGGCCAGGUCAGGCCCAACCUAGGAUGGGUGGGCCAGAUCCGGCCCAAGUUUUUUUUGGUUAAAAGAAAAUUUCAAAAAAUAUUUUUUAGGAAUUUUAUAAUUUCCCCGCAUAUUUUUCUGUCAUUUUGAUUAAAAGCAAUAUUUUUUAUGUUGCUAAAAAUACAAAAUCCGAUAUUAAAAUACCUGGUUUUCGUCAAAACUUCCAAAAUACAAAAAAAAAACUUGUUUGUUUUGAAAAAAAGAAAAAUGUUUUUGUGCAUACGGCCAAGUAUCUCAAAGCUAAAAAAUCAUAUGGUGUUUUUAUACAUAAAAAAAAAAAACAAUGUUUUUGCAUGCAUUUUGGCUUUAAUAACCAGUUUAUUAGAGUCAAGAGAACAUUGGCCAAAAUUUCAAAAACUACAAAAAUUUUAUUUUGUUUGUCUUUUAAUAUCCGUGGUACGAUAUUACAUGUAAUACAUAUUCCGGAUAUUAAAUGUUUUUCCAACGUUAGAACGGUUAGGUUCUACCCCAUUAAAGAUAAUAACCUCCUUAUUGAGGAGGACUUUUCUUGAGUCUUAGAUAGACAGGACCAACAAGUAGAAAACACAACCAAACCUUAGAUUUUGAUCAGACAAAUAAAACAAUGCAGCUUACCUUAGGUAGGGCGUAUUUGGGGUGCUAAUACCUUCCCUUUACGUAACCAGUCUCCGUACCUGAUCUCUGAGACCAGUUAGGGUUCCUAGUGAUCAUAAUACUAGGUGGCAACUCCCAUUCUAUAUUUUUCACCGCUAAGAGACAAAGAAUUCCUUGUCUCCCCACAUUUACCAGAUAUAUAUCCAUACAUUGAGGGUGGACGAUCGCCGCGACGCCGCACGUGCGACAACAGUUAUAUAUUAAUUCUAAUAAAAAAUAUAUAUGGUUUCUAUGUUUAAAUUUUGGUAUUAAUAACGCAUACAACAAUGAGGCAGUUAAGUUUCUUUGAUAAAAUAAAAUCAUUUAAAAAAUAAAAAUAAGCUAGUAUGUUUGUUACAUAACUAAAAAAAAAAUUGAUUUUUUUUAAAUUAAUUUUUAAAAUCAUUUUAAUAGACUGAUAUUAAAAAUAAAUUUUAAAAAAUAAAAAAUAUAUUAUUUUGAUAUAUUUUUAAGAAAAAAACAUUAUGAAAAGAAAUUGUUAAUAUUGUUAAAAAUAUAUUAAUAUUUUAAGGAAAAAAUAAAAGAAUUUUUUUUUUUCAAAUUAAUUUUUUUCUUUUUUGUAUAUUUUUGUGGUUACCAUAUCAGACAAAGUAGAGGUUGAUUUCAACAUGCUUCCUGCAAGCAUGAUAAACCAAAUUCAUUAUGAGAUAUAUAGCCUCAAGAUUAUCACAUCAUAAAGAAGAGUAGAGGUUCAAAUCCCUAAAUCUAUAAAUAAAUAAAAAAUGAACUAAGCAAUUUUAUCUCGAAACAACAAUGACACUAACUUAAUGCUCAGCCUUGGUACAAAUUAUGUCAGCACUUCCAUGCCUUGUGAUCUUGACAAAAAUAUUUUUGGUCCUUUUAGUUUAGAAAUGAAACUUUUCAGUACAAAACUUUAUUUUACCUAUAUAUAUAGUUCUUGAGUUUGAGAAAAAAAAGAAAGAUUUGUUGAAAAACUACAAAGGAGAGAUAAAAUUAGUCUAUUUAGAUUUGGAUUGAUUUUCUAAUUUUAAAUCAAUUAAAUGUUUAUUUAAAAUCAUGAAUGGAUUUAUUGAAGUCACUUCUUACAUAUAGCACAAUAUUUAUGAAGAUGACACGAGUUAAAAUAAUUGUUUAAACACACACUAUAUAUUGUAAUGUUGUCUGCAUAUAACUGUCAUGUAAGGGCUUCCAAUUCGCCUCUCCGUAUUACAGCACUUUACAAAUUAUUAGAUCAUUUGAUACUACACACAACAUUUGAUAUUUUUAACCAUUCACAUACAUGAAAUAAAACCCAUGGAAACAUGACACAAACGUCGACUGCAACUGCAACAUUAUACUAAUGAGUGUAUUUUCUAAAGUCGAAAGAGUGCUACCCAAUCUAGGUUCAAGUGGGAUGAUGAAUUGAAGAGCAGUUGUUAUUUGACACUGCAAUUAGAUGUCUCAUAUUUGAUUUAUGGAGCUAUGAUAAGGGAAUCGUGCUUGUAUAUUUACAUAGUAACAAGCAUUAUUAAAGAUGGUACACUAGUAAGUUUCCAAAUGCUAUCAGCAAAUAUUAUAACCUCUUAAUUUAUACAAGGAUUGAGCUAAAUUGCUUUAUCAAAUAUUUUAUGUUUUUUUUUUUUUGAAAUAUUGUUAUAGACAUAGAAUCAACAAGUUUAUGUGACAUUCUAUAUUGAUUUUGUUAUAUUUUAAUCACUAAAAGUAUGGGUUUCAGAAAAAUAAAAACCAAACAAAAAAAUUGAAAAAAUUAAAAAUUUUCAAACCAACCCAAUCCAACAAAUUUGAUCAUUUUUCGUCUGGUUUAGUUCGGAUAUUUUUUAGUUGAAACAAUUACUAACCAUUUUCAAAAGAUAAAUAUUGACAAGCCUUUCACCAAAACCAUGUUCAUUUAUGCUGAAUCAGGCCAAAUCAGGUUCAGGUUGCUAACUCAAACUAACGCAAUCCAAAAUUAAAUGCAUAUAGACUCUGGGUUGGUUUAGUUUAUUGAUUAUUAGAAAUGUCAAACUGAAACCGAACCGAAAUAAAUGAAUAUUUCUAACUGAGACGCCCUAAAAUACUGAAAAAAAUGGUUGGUUUUGUUUAGUUUGGUUUGGUUAUAGCAGAUACCCUGACAAUUUACUUUUUCACUCGACCUCAAACAAUAAGCACUAUUAUUAUGUCUUUAAUUGAAUUACUAUAAAGUAUAAAAAUAUAUGUGGAUAAUUGAAAAUUUGCUUAGAGUUGCUAAUAAUUCACAACUGCAACAACCAUCACGACCAGGUAAUGCUUGGGAAUGGGAUCAUGUAAUUGUGGAGAUUUGUCUAGAUUUUCUAGAUAAUAAUUUCAACCACCCUCUCCUUUCCUCAACCACUAUCACUCACCUUUCAACCACCAUCAACUACCCUCUCCUUUUGUCAACCAUCAACACUUCUCAACCAAGCUGCCAAGGCUCUCAUUCCUUCUAUAAAUGAAGACAAAGAGAGAGCAAGAUAAAGUGUAGUGCAGAGACAGUGCAAGUGAGUGCAGAGGAGAGGAAGUGUGGAGAGUGCAAGUGCAACUUUGAGAGUUGUGAGCAGAUUUGAGAGAAACACCAAGUGUAAGAGUGAAACACUGGGAUUUUGGGAUUGUACUAGGGUUGAGUUGAGUGUUUGUAUCAUUCCUCUAAUAAUAUAUGAUUGUGCAUCAAAAGUAUCAUUAAGUCUCCUAUUUUACAUAUAUAUUUAUUAUUUUUAUUUGGGUUUUUUAUAAUAAUUGAUGUGCUUUUUAGUAAUGAAGUUUUUUUUAAUGUUUCGAUAGGAUUUUGGAGCUUAAAUGAAUUAUUUCAGAAAAUUCAACGUCGGAAUUCGGAACAAAGAAUCGAAGAGAAAUUUAGUUGAAGAUUGAAGCAAGUCUUGGUUCAAAUAAGUGCUCCAAAUUUUCCCCAAAAAUCAAUUCUAUUCCAAUUCUAGAAAAGAAUAUCAUAUGAUCUAUUUCAAGCCCAAACAUGCCUUAUGUUGUGUGCAAACUUCAACCAUCAAACACUCAAGGUUUCAAUGUCAAUCUUAGCCCAAAUAAUAGGUACAUUUCUAUCCUUAUUUGAUGCUUAAAUCAGCCCCAAAUCAGCCUCCAAAUCAGCCGAAGCACAAUCCAUGAUCUUACAUGCCCACACAACAAAUAACAUUUGAUUUAUUUUGGGUAAUUCAUUGAUCCAAGAGGGAAAGAACAUGGAUGGAAAGCUGGAGGGGACAUUGUGACAUUAUUUUGGGUCAAAAGAAGAAAGAGACAGCUCAUAAAGGAGGAAGAAAAACGUGCACCAAAGUGUUCUCCAAGCUGGCCUGGUUUGAUUUUCCAGAACACCUUUCGGUGUUUCGCCCAUAACUUUUGACUCAGAUGUCCAAAUGAGCUGUUCUUUAAUGAUGUGAAAAUAUAACAGAAUGGCCUAUAAAUAUGUCUCCAAUAGCCAUUUCCAGGGGAGGCUUCAAAAAGGGUCUAAUUUCUGUCCAAAGUUAGAGUCAAAUUUGUGUCCGAAUUUUUACUGAAAUUGUGUUGUGUGCUUCUUUAUAGAUUUUGGUUCUUUAGCUUGUAAAAAUCAUUAUUUCAGUUUGAUUCAAGUUAUUUCAUGUUUAUUAAAGUGUUAUUAUAUAUAAUCAUGGUUCGCUAAUCUCUUUCUUGGAUCCAAAUCAAGGAUGAUGGUGGUUGAGGUGAGUUUUUUAAGAUAUGAAUGAAUCUUAAUGUCUAUCUUUUCAUUUUCUUUAUAAAUGUUUUAUUAUUGCAAAGAAAUUUUAGAAAUCAUUUAGGUAAUGUUAUAAUCUUGAAUUUUUAUGCACAAACCUUAGUUUUGGUAUAGAGAUUGCUUGAUUCAAUGUCUUACUUAAUAUGAAAAUACUUGUUCAUUCUUAAGCAAUAAUCAAUCUUCAUCUUUUUAAACUUCAUUGUAAUAUCUUCUGAUCUAAUAUCACCAUCGUUGAUAUUAGGUUGAGUUAUCUUAUAUAUGUUUGAAGGAAUCACCAAUACAUCACCAUUAAAAUUGAUUUGGACCAAGACUUACUUUUUCUUGUCAUUUAAAAUCUAUUUACACUUUUUCAUCUUUGAAAACAAAUUCAUCAAUCAUUUUCAACCAAGUUAUUGUUAAUUUAAUUUCUCUUGAGUUUUUUUGUUACCUAGCUUAAUUUCCAGAUCUAGCUCUCUGUGGAUAUGACCUCAAUCUUACUGAGUUAAUUGCUACAUCGCACACUCGUGCACUUGCGAGUUAAAACAAGCCGAACAUAAAAAGCGGUCAAGCAAUUUUUGGCGCCGUUGCCGGGGAGCUAGCAAGCAAAGGUAACAAAUUUAUAUUUGAUUAUUGAAAAAUAAAAAAAAAUACAUAUAAAUAAUAAAUCAAAUGGCUGGUUUUACCGCCUAAAAAAAAAUUGACCUCAACUUUUCGGAUAUUGGACUGUGGACUAAACUAUUAAUUAUUGGAUUUUGGUUGGUUCAACCAUUUUUCUUUUAUUUUCUAUUCUAAUUAGUUUCUAAUAUUUAUUGUUUAUAUUAUAAGGCUGGUUUUACCGCCUCUUGUUUAUUUUAUUUUAUUUUGUUGUUAUUAUUUUUCUUAUAUUUAUUGUCUGAAGUGCUUAGCCGGUAUUACCGCCUCUUGUUCAUUUUAUUUUAUUUUGUUGUUUUGUUGUGAUUAUUUUUCUUAUAUUUAUUGUUUGAAGUACUUGGCCGGUAUUACCGCCUUUUUAUUCAUGCUUGUUAUAAUUAUCUUUUAAUUUUUAUUGUUGUUAUUAUUGCUUAUUAGUUGGAGUGUGAAUUUCUUAAUUUGUUAAAUUUUUAUUUUUGUGCUAUUACUUUAUCUUUUACAUUUCAUUUACUUUUAUUUGCAAUCUUCUUUUUCUUUUUCUUUUUUUUUUCCUUUCCUUUUGUAUUCAUAUAAUUGUUAUAUUAUUAGCUUUUUUUAUCAUGGCUAAUGUUGAAGAUGUAGAGGGUGAAGGGAGUGUUCAAGGUAAUGGACCUCCACAAUUCAAUGAUCAACCUAAUUUUCGAGUACACCUUCGUGUAUUAUCUUUCCUCUUAACCAACAAGCUUUCAAUUUGAAACCGGGCAUGAUUCAACUUCUUCCCACAUUUCACGGUAUGGAUUCUGAAAAUCCAUACAUACAUAUUGUCAUAACCCAAUUUUUGACCAUUUUAUUUUAAUUAUUAUUAUUAUUUUAUUUACUGAAAAGGAUAAAAAAAUAUGAUGAUGAUGAUAAAAAAAAAAUAAUGAUAAAAAAACAAGUAAAAUGAGAUAAAUGAAGAAUGAAUUAAAAUUUGGGUUAAGGGCAACAUGAUUAGAAGUUUUAGGGUUUAAUUAAACUUUGAAAUUAAUCUAAUUAAGCUUGGAAUUAAUUUAAUUAAUCUGAUUAAGGGUUUAAUUGGAGAAUUGAUAAGUUUUGAGACUUAAUUGAGCUUGGAAUUAAUUUAAUUAAUCCAAUCAAGGGUUUAAUUGGAGAAUUGAUAAAUUUUUAGACUUAAUUAAGCUUGAAAUUAAUUUAAUUCAUCCAAUCAAGGGUUUAAUUGGAGAAUUGAUAAGUUUUGAGACUUAAUUAAGCUUGGAAUUAAUUUAAUUAAUCCAAUCAGGGGUUUAAUUGGAGAAUUGAUAAGUUUUAGACUUAAUUGGACUUUGGAUUUAAUUAAAUUAAUGAAAUCAGGGACUUAAUUGAAAAAAUAGCAAAGUUUGGGGUUAAUUAGGGAUACGAUUGCAGCAGAUUAAAGUCCAAGGACUAACUUGUAAAAGGCACCGAAAUGCAGGGGCAAUUACAGUUUAAACCAGGGGCUUAAUUAUAAAAUUCGGCGUCGUUUGAAAGAGCACUAUUCAUCUUCUUCACCCGAAAACAAGAAGAAAACGCAUGCCUUUAUUGCAUUAAAAUCCAUGCAAAACGCAUGCCUUUAUUGCAUUAAAAUCCAUGCAACCGCAUGGCAUUCUCUGGUUAUAAAAACCAGAGAAGGAGAACCGGCAAAGAAAAAAAGGAUGGCAUAACCGAAAAGCCACUAGAGAAACACAGAACCGGGGAAAGAAUAGAAAAAAAAACUUUCGUUCCUCUGUUUCUUCUCAAAGAAACAGAGGAGGCCACGAGCAGCGGAGGAAGAAAGCAACUAGCCCACCAGUCCUCCAUCACGUCUCCGUUUCCCUGCUUACACAGAGGAAGUAACACCGGGAACACAACAAGACGCAAGAACAGAAACUGUACAGAGGGGAGCAAGUUUUCUGCCCCUGUUUCUUCUCUAAGAAACAAAGGCGUUCGUGCCUCACGAUCGUGAGGCACGAACGCGUGAAGAAAGGCCAUUCUCUGGCUUUAUAAGCAAGAGAAGGCCGCAGAGAAGGAAGAAAAACUGAGGAGAAACAUGAAAAAGAGAGGACAGAACCGGUGGACGAGAAGAACAAACACAGACGGCCGCGGACGAGCGGGGAAGACGACUAGCAGGGGAACAAACCGAAACAAAAAAGAAGAAGACGACAGAACAAGGAAAGCUAAAACAGAGGAGUAGACAGAAAGCAGUAACAGAGAGGAGUAACGCUGGUCAGUUGUCAUCCCCGUCUUCCAGUGCAGCAACAGGUAAGUUGCGUUGCCCCUCCCUGCAUUUUAAUUGCAUGUUGCUGUAACAGGCGUGCGUGAGCGGUUCACGCACGCCUGCGGGUAAAAAAAUAGAAAAAUGGCCAGCCGGGUCAAGCCUUUGACCCGGCUAGGCCUGCUGAGUCCAGCCCAGCCCAUGUGGGCUGAGCUGGGCCCAGCCCAAAAAAAUAAAAAAAUAAAAAAAACAGAAAAGUAAAAAAGGGUAGAAAAAAUAAAAAAAAUGUGUAUGCAUGAAUAAAAAUAAUGUAAAUUUACUGGUUUAUUCACUGACGCCAGAGUCAGGAAUAAAAAUACUGGUUUAAAUUUAUAUUAUUUUUAUUCGGUGUAUUUUAUUUUAUUUAGCUAGAAAAAUAAAAAAUAUGUGCAUGCAUAAAAAAUCAAUUUUUUUUAAUUUAUUCACUGGCGCUAGAGUAGGGAAUAAAAAAUAUUGAUCUAAUUUUUCGUAGCUACGAAUUUUUACCAACGCCAGAGUUGGAAUUAUUCGAGCUCGAAUAUUCACUGGCGCCAGAGUCAGGAAUAUUAUAAACAAAUCAUUAUAGCAUAAGCGAAUAAAUGUUUAGCAAUUGAAGACAAAACCAACAAUGCAGUUUGCCUUAGGCAGAACGUUUAAGGGGUGAUAAUAUCUUCCCUUUUACGUAACCAAUCCCGAGCCAUAGAAUCUCUGUUGACCAGUUAGGGUUUCUAGUGACCAUAAUACUAGGUGGCGACUCCUUAAACAAGAUCUUUUCCCCUAAAAGAACAAGAUGCCAGAUAUCUGUUCUUUUUCCAUAAAUCUAGAAUUAUUUUGUGGGCCGCUGCGAUGUCGGGUGCGACACAUAUUAAGGACUUUGAAGAGGUAUGUAAUACUUUUAUUGAUAGAACAUGCACCGAGGAAACCAUUCGGCUUAAAUUGUUCCCAUUCUCUCUAAAGGAUAAAGCCAAGCUUUGGCUAAACUCCUUGCGUCCUAGGUCUAUAGGUACAUGGAGAGAAAUGCAAGCUGAAUUUUUGAAAAAAUACUUCCCCACUCAUAGGACGACAACCUUACAACAUCAAAUGAUGAAUUUUUCUUGUAGUCCAAAUGAGUCAUUUCACCAAGCUUGGGAAAGGUUCAAAGACUUGUUAAAUGCAUACCCCCACCAUGGUUUUGAGAUGUGGAGGUUAGUGAGUUUCUUCUACGACUCUCUUACCGCAGAUUUUAAAAAGCUAGUGUCAACCAUGUGUAAUGGUGAGUUUUAUGACAAAGAACCAAGUGAAGCCUUUAAUUUCUUUGAUCAAUUGGCUGAAAACACAAAGCAAUGGGAGACUUCUCUCCUACUUCAUGUUGAGUCUAGAAACACCAUUUCUCAUUCAAGUGGGAAGUUCCAAUUGAAAGAGAUUGAUGACCUCAAUGCUAGAUUAGCCUCAUUGGCUAGGAAAGUAGAGUCUCUUGAGAUUAAAAAAGUGCAUGUCAUGAGUGAACAACAAGAGGAAAGUUGUGUUGUUUGUGAGAGCAAAGGGCAUAGGACAACUGAGUGUCCUACCAUUCCAGCCUUCAAGGAAGUGCUAUAUAGCCAAACUUCUGAUUCAAGUAAUGUUAGAAAGCCAUUUUCAAACCAAGUAGGCAAUCCCUACUCUGAGACCUAUAAUCCUGGAUGGAGGAACCAUCCAAAUUUUGGAUGGAGAAAUGAGGGCCCUUCAGUACCUCAAACAUUUCAACCUCCACCCCAACCAUUUCAUGCUACCACACAUAACACGUACCAAUCACCUCAUAAGAGAUCCCUAGAGGAUACUCCAACAAUUCAUGCAAACGCAAGGAGGAAUCAAUAACCAAGCUUACAAAUUUCAAGACCAGACUAAUAGGACCUUAGAUGACAUUCAAAGUCAACUAACCAAGUUGACUCAAUCAUUAAGCAUUCAAGAGAAGGGAAAGAUCCCAGCUCAACCAAUGUCAAAUCCUAGAGGUUAGGUACACAUGAGUGAAUCCUCAUUUAGUGAACCUUCAAACCAUGAACAAGUCCAAGCCAUCACUACCCUUAGAAGUGGAAAGAUUAUUGACAAAGCUAUAGGUUUUGGGAUUCCUAGAGGUAUUGUGGAGGAGAAAUCUAGGGAAAGUGAAGAGGGAAUCAAAACACAAGUGACAAAUGAGAGCUUGAGUGACAAAGAAGGUGAGAUAAAUGAGAAAGAAAUGAGUGAGAAAGGAGAUGAUUCAAGAAAAAUUGGAGUCAAAGUGAGUGAUUUAGAAUUUGUUCCUAGAGCACCAUUUCCACAAAGGUUAGGGAAGCCUAAACAUGAUCUUAUGAACUCGGAAAUCUAUGAAUUGUUCAAACAAGUGAAAGUCAACAUUCCACUCAUUGAUGCAAUUAAACAAGUCCCCUCUUAUGCAAAGUUCUUCAAGGACUUAUGCACAGUCAAAAGGAGAUUGAAUGUGAAAGAAAGAGCCUUUCUAACUGAACAUGCUAGUGCCAUCAUCCAGUUUAAGACUCCUCCCAAAUACAAAGAUCCUGGUUGUCCUACUAUUUCAUGCAUUAUUGGAAGUCAUAAAAUAGACCAAGCUUUGUUGGAUUUAGGAGCAAGUGUGAAUUUGAUACCCUACACUGUUUACGAACAGUUAGGUUUAGGAGAAAUCAAGCCUACUCAAAUCACCCUUCAAUUAGUUGAUAGGUCAAUCAAGAUUCCCAGGGGUAUUGUUGAGGAUGUGUUGGUCCAAGUAGACAAAUUCUACUUUCCUGUUGAUUUUGUAGUGUUAGACACCGCACCUAUUCAAGGUUCUAAUGCUCCCAUCCCAGUCAUCUUAGGUAGACCUUUCCUAGCUACAUCCAAUGCUUUAAUUAACUGUAGGAAUGGGGUGAUGAAAUUGUCUUUUGGGAACAUGACUGUGGAGAUGAACAUAUUCAAUGUCUCGAAACAAAUUGGUGAACAUGAGGACAUUAGAGAGGUAGAUUUGAUCCAAACAGUUUGUCAAGAACACUUUGAGAGAGAGUGGUUCAAAGAUCCAUUGGAGAGAACUUUAAUUCAUGAUGAAAGAUUUUGUUCUUUGGAAUGUGUUGAUGAGGAAGUAAGAGAACUCAAGACUUAUCUAGAUCCAAUGCCUAUUAUGUCAAUAGGUCAAUGGACCCCAUCGUUUGAGCCUUCGAUUUCACCCCAAAUGAAAGUUGAGGCAUCUCUUGUCCAACCUUAUAAACUAGAAAGGAAGCCUUUACCGAGUGAUCUUAAGUAUGCAUUUCUAGGGGAAGAUGAAUCAUAUCCUAUUGUGAUUUCAUCAAAACUUAGCAUAGAGCAGGAACAAGAACUUUUGAGAGUGGUGAGAAAACACAAAAAAAGCAAUUGGGUGGACUAUUACUGACUUGAAAGGAAUUAGCCCUCUUUUAUGUACACAUAGAAUCUAUCUUGAAGAAGAGGCUAAAUCUGUGAGGCAAAUGCAAAGACGACUGAACCCAAACAUGAAGGAAGUAGUAAGAGGUGAAGUGCUUAAGCUACUUGAUGCAGGUAUCAUUUACCCCUUGCAAACUCAAAAUGGGUUAGUCCAACCCAAGUUGUCCCUAAAAAAUCUGGAGUCACGGUAGUGAAGAAUGAAAAUAAUGAGCUAGUACCAACUAGAAUCCAAACUGGAUGGCGUCUGUGCAUUGAUUAUCUUAAGUUGAACAUGGUGACCAGGAAGGACCAUUUUCCGCUUCCAUUUUUAGACCAAGUGCUUGAAAGAGUAGCCGGAAGAGCUUUCUAUUGUUUUCUUGAUGGAUACUCAGGUUACAACCAAAUUGAGAUUUCUUUAGAAGACCAAGAAAAAAUCACUUUCACUUGUCCUUUUGGUACCUAUGCUUAUAGAAGAAUGCCUUUUGGCUUGUGUAAUGCACCAACCACUUUUCAAAGGUGUAUGAUGAGUAUCUUUAGUGACAUGGUGGAAAUUUUUUUUGGAAGUUUUCAUGGAUGAUUUUUCAGUUUAUGGGGAUUCUUAUGAGUUGUGUCUAAUGCAUUUAGAAAAAGUUCUUGAAAGAUGUGAAGAGAGCAAUCUUGUACUUAAUUGGGAGAAGUGUCAUUUUAUGGUGACACAUGGCAUUGUCUUAGGUCACAUUGUCUCUUCAAAAGGGAUAGAGGUAGAUAAGUCAAAAGUUGAAGUCAUUCAAAAAUUACCUAGCCCUAGGACUGUGAAAGAUGUGAGAUCGUUUUUAGGACACGCUGGUUUUUACCGAAGAUUCAUUCAUUCUUUUAGUACCAUUCCCAAACCAUUGUGUAACUUGUUGUCACAAGAUGUUCAAUUUGAUUGGACAUCAAAAUGUCAAGAAGCUUUUGAAAAGCUUAAAGGGUUGUUGACCACUACACCAAUCAUGCAAGCUCCUGAUUGGUCUUUACCAUUUGAACUGAUGUGUGAUGCUAGUGAUUUUGCAGUAGGGGCUGUUUUAGGGCAAAGAAAAGAUAAGAAGCCUCAUGUCAUUUAUUAUGCUAGCAAGACUUUGAAUGAUGCUCAAUUGAAUUACACUACAACUGAAAAAGAACUCUUAGACAAGUUUAGGUCUUAUUUGGUUGGAUCUCUUGUUAUUGUUUUCACUGAUCAUGCAGCAUUGAAAUACUUGCUCACAAAACAAGAUGCCAAGCCAUGUUUGAUUCGAUGGAUCCUUAUAUUCCAAGAGUUUAACCUUGAAAUUCGAGAUAAAAAAGGAGUAGAGAAUGUAGUGGCUGAUCAUUUGUCCCGUCUUUCAAGCUAUGAGACCAUAAUUGAUGAAUCUCCAAUAAAUGAAUUCUUUGCUGAUGAAAAUUUAUUUUGUGCAGGUAUUGUUUCCUACAUUGGCUCUCCAUGGUAUGCUGACAUAGCAAAUUACCUAGCCACAAGUCAGAUUCCUUCUCAUUGGUUUAAACUUGACAAACAAAAAUUCUUGCGCAACGUGCGUACCUUUUUUUGGGAUGACCCCUACCUAUUUAAAUACUGCCCUGACCAAAUUGUUAGGCGGUGCAUCCCUGAUCAUGAAAUUCCAAGUGUCAUUAAUUUUUAUCAUGCAUUAGCCUGUGGUGGGCAUUUCUCUUCCAAGAAAACCACUGCCAAGAUCUUGCAGUGUGGUUUUUAUUGGCCCACCAUGUUCAAAGAUGUCCAUGCCUUCUGUGUUGCAUGUGACCGAUGCCAACGACUAGGUAACCUCACUAGGCGUAACAUGAUGCCCCUAAACCCCAUUCUUGUUUUGGAAAUAUUUGAUUGUUGGGGGAUUGAUUUCAUGGGACCUUUCCCAAGUUCAUUUGGUAACCAAUUCAUCCUUGUAGCUGUUGAUUAUGUGUCUAAAUGGGUGGAGGCCAUUGCAUCUCGAACCAAUGACCAUCGAGUUGUGGUCAAAUUCUUGGAAGAAAAUAUUUUCUCUCGUUUUGGCAUGCCCCGGGCUAUGAUUAAUGAUGGGGGAAAACAUUUUUGUAACAAGCCCAUUGGGAUUUUGAUGAGAAAAUAUGGUGUAAUUCACAAGGUCAAUACCCCCUAUCAUCCACAGACUAGUGGCCAAGCUGAGUUGACAAAUUGGGAGAUCAAGAACAUUUUAGAGAAAACAGUCAAUCCAAACCGUAAAGAUUGGUCCCUACGACUAGUUGAUGCUUUGUGGGCAUAUCGCACUGCUUACAAGACCUCUUUAGGAAUGUCUCCUUAUAGGCUAGUUUAUGGAAAGCCUUGUCAUCUCCCUGUUGAGAUUGAGCACCGUGCAUAUUGGGCCAUCCGGCAAUUCAAUGACAAUGAAAACGAGGUUGGAAAAAAUAGAAAGCUUCAAUUGGAUGAAUUAGAUGAGCUGAUAAAUGAUGCAUUUGAAAAUGCAAAAAUUUCAAAACAUAAGAUGAAAACCUUGCAUGAUAAACAUAUUCUUAGAAAAUCCUUUCAUCUUGGUCAAAAGGUUCUCUUGUAUAAUUCACGAUUACAUCUCUUUCCUGGGAAGUUGAGGACAAAAUGGAUUGGUCCAUUUGUGAUUAAAUCCAUCUCUGAGCAUGGUGCAUUUGAGGUAGAAAAUCCUAAGAAUGGAAAUGUUUUCAAAGUAAAUGGUCAUCGAUUGAAACCUUAUCUUGAAAAUUUUGUGGCUGAAGUUGAGACAUUGGAUCUUGAAGAUCCAAUACCAUUGUAGUAUCAGAAGUAAUGAGCUUUUUAUUUUUAUUUUUAUUUUUUUAUUCAUUUUUAUUUUUCUGUUUUUCAUUUUUUUUCUUUCUUCCAUCGCUUAUAUUUUCUUGUUCAUGCAUUAGGGACAAUGCAUUAUUUUAAGUUGGGGGGUGUGAGGUUCUUUAUUUUUCAAAAAAAAAAUCAAUGUUUUCUUUUAGUUGUGAUAUGCAGGUAAAAAAAAUCAAGCAAGAAGUCAGCUCAUGUCCAAUUCAAUCAGACAUUCAUCCUUGAAAACAAAAGGGGAGUAAUAGUUUUCUAAUCUUUAUACUUUUCUUCUCUUUUUUUUUUACAUUGAGGAUAAUGUAAAACUUAAUUUUAGAUAUUUGAUUAUGUUGAAUGCUUGAGAUGACCAUGCAUGUUAAAAAAAAAAACUUGCAUUCGUAUAUGAAUGAGACUUGUUUAGGAUCAACAUUACAUUUUUGGAUUCAUUAUUGUGUUGAACAUUGCAUGCUUUAAUUUGGGAUAGAUAAUAUCUUAUAAAGCAAGAUAUAGCAUACUUUUUUUUAAGAUUAUUGAAGUACAUCUUUCCUUGUAAAAGUUGUGUGAGUUGUGUGAUUAUGCAUGAAAGAUGAGUGUGAUGCUUUACUUGUGAUCAUCCCUUUUGAUCUAGUCCUAAACAAGGUUUAAGUAAAUAGAGUAAUCAUUAUUACACAAAUGUGUACAAAGUUCUAUCUACUCCAAUGUUUUGAGUUGCUCAGUAACUAGGGGUAUUCAUCAUAAAUGUUUAUCUUUACGUCAAACGGCAGCUUGAAAUAUGAGUAUGCAAAGCACUUUAAGUUUGUGACUUUGUGAGUAACCGGGUGCAUUCAUCACAAAUGUUUGUAUUCGCGUCAAAAGGGAAGUGACCACUUAAAGAAAAAAAAUAAAUAAUAUCUUCAAAAAAAAAGAGAAAAAAAAGAAAAGAAAAAAAAUAUAUAUAUAUAUAUAUAUAUAUAUAUAUAUAUAUAUAUAGAUAUUUCUCUAGUUUGCUACCUUGUUUGUAGUAGUGAGAAGGGAAGAUUACAAGUUGAGUUUUCGCGUGAAUCAAUUAUGUUGGUUGCAUGAUAAAUACAAUUCUAGAAAAGAAUAUCAUAUGAUCUAUUUCCAGCCCAAACAUGCCUUAUGUUGUGUGCAAACUUCAACCAUCAAACACUCAAGGUUUCAAUGUCAAUCUUAGCCCAAAUAAUAGGUACAUUUGUAUCCUUAUUUGAUGCUUAAAUUCAGCCCCAAAUCAGCCUCCAAAUCAGCCCAAGCACAAUCCAUGAUCUUACAUGCUCACACAACAAAUAACAUUUGAUUUAUUUUGGGUAAUUCAUUGAUCCAAGAGGGCAAGCACAUGGAUGGAAAGCUGGAGGGGACAUUGUGACAUUAUUUUGGGUCAAAAGAAGAAAGAGACAGCUCAUAAAAGAGGAAGAAAAACGUGCACCAAAGUGUUCUCCAAGCUGGCCUGGUUUGAUUUUCCAGAACACCUUUCGGUGUUUCGCCCAUAACUUUUGACUCAGAUGUCCAAAUGAGAUGUUCUUUAAUGAUGUGGAAAUCAAACAGAAUGGCCUAUAAAUAUGUCUCUAAUAGCUAUCUCCAGGGGAGGCUUCAAAAAAGGGUCGAAUUGCUGUCCAAAGUUAGAGUCAAAUUUGUGUCCGAUUUUUUACUGAAAUUGUGUUGUGUUCUUCUUUAUAGAUUUUGGUUCUUUAGCUUGUAAAAAUCAUUAUUUCAGUUUGAUUCAAGUUAUUUCAUGUUUAUUAAAGUGUUAUUAUAUAUAAUCAUGGUUCGCUAAUCUCCUUCUUGGAUCCAAAUCAAGGAUGAUGGUGGUUGAGGUGAGUUUUUUAAGAUAUGAAUGAAUCUUAAUGUCUAUCUUUUCAUUUUCUUUAUAAAUGUUUUAUUAUUGCAAAGAAAUUUUAGAAAUCAUUUAGGUAAUGUUAUAAUCUUGAAUUUUUAUGCACAAACCUUAGUUUUGGUAUAGAGAUUGCUUGAUUCAAUGUCUUACUUAAUAUGAAAAUACUUGUUCAUUCUUAAGCAAUAAUCAAUCUUCAUCUUUUUAAACUUCAUUGUAAUAUCUUCUGAUCUAAUAUCACUAUCGUUGAUAUUAGGUUGAGUUAUCUUAUAUAUGUUGAAGGAAUCACCAAUACAUCACCAUUAAAAUUAAUUUGGACCAAGACUUACUUUUUCUUGUCAUUUAAAAUCUAUUUACAGUUUUUCAUCUUUGAAAACAAAUCCAUCAAUCAUUUUCAACCAAGUUAUUGUUAAUUUAAUUUCUCUUGAGUUUUUUUGUUACCUAGCUUAAUUUUCAAAUCUAGCUCUCUGUGGAUAUUACCUCGAUCUUACUGAGUUAAUUGCUACAUCGCACACUCGUGCACUUGCGAGUUAAAACAAGUCGAACAUAAAAAGCGGUCAAGCAAUAUACAAUCUGCUGCCUCCGUGGACGUACCCGGUUUUGGGGAACCACGUAAAUCUGCUUGUGUUGUGUUUUAUUUGUGUUUGCUUUCGGUCCAGUAUGCACAACAAAUUGGUAUCAGAGCAUUAGGGAAGCUUAAACACAGAAAAACACAUUUUUCAGCUCUCUGUUCAAAGUUGCAGAAUUUUCAAAUUUCUCAGAUCUUGAUUUUGAUCAGCUGCGGAGAUUCCUCUCGUUGAUACAAGUCCGGAGAUAUAAAGAUCAUCGAAAUCGGAGUUGAAACGAGCCCUGUAGAGCUCGUCGAAGUUUCGCCUGAAAUCUGCUGGAAAAACCAAACAGUGCCGGAAUUCUCGCCUUAGAAGACAGCCACGUCAUCCGACACGUAAGCGAUGAGUCAUCAUCCACAUCAUCAACAGGGGUCCACAUCGCCCUGUCAUCAGCCACAUCAUCUAACAGUGACAGAAUAUUCUCUUGACAUAGUAAGAAUAUUCCGUUAACAGUAAGAGAAUAUUCCCGUGACAAAAUAUUCUUUAUCAGAGACAGAAUAUUCCUUUCCUAAGUCAACUCGGUCAGAUUGGUUUUUUGGCCAACUCAGUGAUUUUUUAGCCUGUUUUUGGCCGAGUCAAGCUGGUUCCUAGCAUUUUCAACCAUUCCGGACGCGACCGUGGUGUCCGUUUUGUGAAACAGUACACAUCGAAGUUACUAUUUUGGCUCUUUUGAGCAUAAAAGUGCAUGUUUUAACAAUUUCAGGAGUCCAUUUGUAAUCCAAAGACGUUCUAAUGGCUGAUAUUCCAGAAGAAAAAUCAGCGGGGAAUGCUAGUAUACCUCCAUAAUACAUCCCGGUAUCAAGUACCAAAUUUGAGGUGGAGAAGUUUGAUGGGAAAGGUAAUUUUGGCAUGUGGAAAUGUGAAGUCAUGGAUAUGCUUGUCCAAAUGAAUUUGGAUUUCACUCUAGAAGAUAAACCGGAGGAUUUGGAUGAUAAAAGCUGGGAAAGGAUAAAUCGGUUGGCUUGUAGUUCCAUCCGACUUUGUCUUGUAAAGGAUCAGAAGUAUGCCUUUCCAGAACAAAACUCUGCAAAGGAAUUAUGGCAAGCACUGGAGGACAAGUUUAUGAAUAAGAGUAUAGAGAAUCGUCUCUACAUGAAGAAAAGGAUCUUCCGUUUUCAGCACAAGAAAGGUACUUCCAUGAAUGAGCAUCUGAAUGAUUUCAAUAAAAUGAUAGCUGAUUUGAAGAAUUUAGAUGUGGAAAUUGAUGAUGAAGAUAAAGCUCUGUUGUUAUUGAAUUCACUGCCUGACACAUAUGAACAUCUCGUCACCACUUUACUGNNNNNNNNNNNNNNNNNNNNNNNNNNNNNNNNNNNNNNNNNNNNNNNNNNNNNNNNNNNNNNNNNNNNNNNNNNNNNNNNNNNNNNNNNNNNNNNNNNNNAGAUUGUUCACAAGGAGUCAACGUCAGAAGCAUUGACAGUUAGAGGCAGAACAAACCCCAGAAGAUUUCGAGGACGAGGGAGAUCUCGCUCAAAAUCCAGAGGAGAAUCAUCAAACAGACGAUAUCUUGCAAAAGAUUAGUGUGCCUUUUGUCACAAAAAGGGCACUGGAAGAAAGAUUGUCCAAUCAAGGGCAGUAAGGAAAAAGAUGAACCAACUGUGAACGUUGCACGAGAUGAGGAUGAACAAGACUCUGCAUUCAUGGUCUCAUCACCAGAAAACCAUUCUGGUGAAUGGAUUCUUGAUUCUGCAUGUUCCUAUCACAUAUGCCCUAACAAGCACUUAAACUUGUCCUCCUCGUGCAUACAUACUUGUGCCUAUUUUUAGAGAAUGGGGUGUGAUCAGUCACGGUUCCUGUUAUUACUUCAGUUUCAGAACUUUUUUUUUCCUUCUCGUGCAUACAUACUUGUGCCUAUUUUUAGAGAAUGAUGGGUCAAGCCUGUUCAGGCCUCAAGUUUAAAUUGGUGUGUCCAAUCUUGUUUAUUUGAGAUGAACUGUUUCAAGCUUCUUGUGAAUUCUGGAAUAGACGGUUAUGCUUUGGUUUUAUUAAUCGUGAUGUUUGUGUUUAAUCAUGUUGUUCGUGUUUUGACAAAAUAUAAAAAAUGUUUUCUUGUGUGUUGCAUAUGUUUAAUACCCUAAUAUGUUUUUAAUGUUUUAUUUAUAUAAAAAAACAAAUAUUUGAAGUUUCAAAAAUAUGUUUUCGCAUGGAUUUCUUAAACACAACACAAAAAUUAUUUUCUUGCAUCUUGGAUUUUACAACAUGUUUGUAAAUUCCAAAGGGUGUUGGCCAAUAUUCCAAAAAUAUAAAAAUCUUAUUUUUGGGAAUUCGUUUUUAUUCACUAUUAAUAUUUGGAUAAAGAAAUCCCAAAAAGGAUAAAUAUCCAAAAUAUUAUUAUGAAUAAUUUGUUAUUCAUUAGUAAUGUUUGGAUAAAGAAAUUCCAAAGGGGUUAAUAUCCAAAAUAUUAUUAUGAAUAAUUUAUUAUUAUUCACCAUAAAUGUUUGGAUAAAGAAACCCCAAAAAGGGGUUAAUAAUCAAAAUAUUAUUGGGAAUAAUUCAUCAUUGUUCACUGAAUAUUUAGAUAAAGAAACCCCAAGUAGUAAAUAUCAAAAAUAUUUUUUUCUAGGAAUAACAAGUCAUUAUCCCUCAAUAAUAUAAGGGCAAAUAAACCUAUAAAAGGUAAAUGUCCAAAAUAUUUUUAAUAGGAAUACAACUUGUUUAGUUUUAACAUAAGGGCAGAUUUAUGCCUGAAAUUUUAUUUAGAACCAUUUAAUCGCACCUCUGAUUAGUACUUAAAAGUGCAUUUUUAUCAAGGUUUUAUAUCAUCAUUUUGCACUUGAAGUAUCAAUAACUCCUUAACUAAAGCAUGUUUUAUAAUAACAUAUCUAAUUAUAUAAGACACCUUUAAUUUAUGGUAAAUGUUCAUCUUAAAUGCAGGCCUAUCACAUAAAUGAAAGAAUUGAUUGAUGAGUUGAAAUACUGAAAUUGAAAGGACAAAGAGAUGGCCAAACUUAGAAAAGAGAUGCUAGUGCAGUCCAAACUGGAACACUGUUCGAUAAUUGGGUCAUAUCUGGAGCUGUAGAUCUUGUAUUUAGGUCCAUUUUAUAUGGAUGGAAAGAUAAGACAUAGGCCUAUAACUUUCAUGUGGAGCCCAAGAUUUAACAAGGCCGUUUUCAAGUCCAAAUUGUAGCAACAAAAAAGAAGUCUGAAUCUGUUCUACAGCCCAGACACUGUUCAGUGUUCAGCCCAUAUCUCAAGUUCUAGAAGUCCAAAUGAUCUCAAAUGUUUACCCUGGAAAGAUGAGACAAUUUCCUAGAACUUUCAUGAUUUAAGUUUGUUCAAAUUAUGACGUCAUAAAUGACGUUUUUGGCAGACAAGAAGAUAAGAAUUGUCACCAAGUCAAGAUGUGGCCACCCACUCAUCAAUUAGUCAGCAAAUCAAUAGUUCUGAAUUUUGGCCUAUAAAAUGAGGCAUUUGCCAUGUAUUUAGGCAUCUUGGUUUUCAGAUCAAGAUCAUGCUCUUGCUCUCUCUUUAUAUUUUGUAAUGCUUAAGUUUUGCUUAUAUUAAUCUCUUGCUUAUGCUUUUCAUUUCCUUUCCUUGUUUAUUUAUGUUUCUCUCUUUCAUUAUGUUUAACUAAGUUAAUUAUGUCAAGGUGAAAAGGGUACACUAAUGGUGUAAGAAUAAGUAUAAUAUAAACUUAACAUGGACCUUAAUGUUGGAUACUAACAUGCUUUAUAUUUGUUAUCUUGUUCACUUUUAACACUUUGCUUGUUAAAUGGUUAAUCUAGAUUUAUGUUGUAUAACACUUGGUACAACAAAUACUUGGCACUUUCAUAGCCCAUACUGUAUGGUAUAACCGACACCUGAGCUAUGAAAGGAACUUGAUUUGUUGUUAACAUAAGUUAUAAUAAUGAAUGCCUGAAAACAUUUACAAGUAUUAGCAUUAUUCGAAUAAGAUAACUAAUGUAAUCAUUUUAACAAUUUAUAAUCCGAUUGGAACCUCCUUUGUGUGUGGUUUCCAGUUGAGUAGAGUUUAUACUAUACUUGUUUGAAAUACCAUUAGUGGAUCCUCUAACCUUGACAUUUGUUGUUAUCAUUGUUUAAUCCUUACGUUAAUCUUCCAUCUCAAAAGUUCUCAUCAAUUUCUUCCUCUUCUUCUUCACUAUUAUUAUUAUCACUGUUAUUAUUAUUGUUGUUGUUGUUGUUGUUGUUGUUGUUGUUGUUGUUACUUUUGUUUUAUUGUUAUCUAUAAUUUAUACAAUUAACCUCCUUGUGGUUCGACCCCGGUCUUGCCGGGUUAUUUAUUACUUCGACACUUCUGCACUUGGGAGAAGACAUCAAUCUUUUGGUCGUGUCAAGUUUUUGGCGCCGUUCCCGAGGAGGUAAAUUCUUGUACAAAUUAUAGUAUUUAUUUUAUUUUACUUUUUUACUUUUCUUGUAUUUAACUUUGUUUCUUUGGUGUUGUUUCUUUUUCUUUUGUUUUCUUCUUCCUUUUAUUCUCUUUUUACACGUGCAUGAGAGUGUGGUCACGUACAUUAAGUGGUAGACUUUGUAGGGUAUCCUCAUCAUUUUCAGAAAAUAUGGCUGAAGAAGAUAACCAAUCGCUUCAUAAUGAGAAUAAUGAGAAUAUUCGGGUUAGAACUCUUAGAGACCACAUGAAUCCCACAAGAACAAGUGCACCCUCAUGCAUAGUUUUUCCUCCUGAUGCAUCUCAUUUUAAUUUUAAGACAGACAUUAUUCAACUUUUACCAUCUUUUCAUGGCUUAGAUUUAGAAAAUCCAUACUUGCAUUUAAGGGAAUUUGAGGAGGUUUGCAACACGUAUAAUGACUCAAAUUGUAGCAUGAACACCAUUAGAUUGAAGCUUUUUCCUUUUUCAUUAAAAGAUAAAGCUAAAACAUGGCUACAAAAUUUGAGACCUGGAUCCAUUCGUGCUUGGGAUGAAAUGCAACAACAAUUUUUUAAGAAGUUUUUUCCAUCCCACAGAACAAACUCUUUCAAAAGACAAAUCAUUACUUUCUCUCAAAAACCAAGAGAAACAUUUUACCAAUGUUGGGAUAGGUAUCGAGAAUUGCUUAAUACUUGCCCCCAUCACGGUUUUGAAACAUGGAGAUUAGUUUCACAUUUUUAUGAAGGGUUAACUCCUAGAGAUAGGCAAAUGGUUGAAUUGAUGUGCAAUGGAACUUUUGAGGAUAAAGACCCUAAUGAAGCAAUGGAGUACUUAGAUUUGCUAGCUGAAAAUGCACAAAAUUGGGACACCACAGGUACUUAUGAGGCACCAAGUAAAACCCAACCUCAUACAUCUAGUGGGGGUAUGUACAACCUUAGGGAAGAUCAUGACCUCCAAGCCAAGUUUGCAUCUUUAGCUAAAAAAGUCGAAGCGCUAGAAUUGAAAAAGAGUGGUCAAUUAAAAUCUGUUCAAGACAUUGCAUGUCAAAUCUGUGAAACCAACGAACAUUCAACCAAUGACUGUCCAACCUUGCCUUCUUUUAAAGAAUGUCUCCAUGAACAAGCCCAUGCAUUAAACAGUUUUCAACGGCCCAACCAUAACCCAUAUUCGCAAACAUAUAACCCUGGUUGGAGAAAUCAUCCAAAUUUCAGUUGGAAGAGUGAGAACAAUAAUGCUCAAACUUCACAGCCACCGUUUCAAGCACAUCAUAAUUUCCAAAAUUCUCAUAGAUAUGCACCUCCUUAUGCUCCACCUCCUAGAAGAAAUCUUGAGGAAACAUUGCAUGCAUUUAUGGAAAAGCAAGAGGCAAUUAACACUCAACUUGCUCAAAGCAUGACAGAUUUUAAAGAUACUCUGGCAAAAUUGACAUCUGCUCUCAGUUUCCAAGAGAAAGGUAAGUUUCCAUCUCAACCACAACAAAAUCCAAAGGGGCAAUACAAUGUGAAUGCAAGUAGUUCGGGAAGCCAACACAUGGAUCACGUAAAAUCAGUCAUCACUCUUCGCAGUGGUAAGGUUAUUAAAAAACCCAUUCUUGAACCUUGUGAGAAUGAUGAUGAGUCAAUCUCUCUGAGGGUAAGGAAGGGGUUGAAUCUGAUCAUUGCAAAGAAAAGACUGAUUCUCCGCCAGCACUUCCAUUUCCUCAUGCCAUGACGAAACAAAGGAAAGUCAAUCACAACUCUGAAAUUUUUGAAACCUUCAAACAGGUAAGGAUCAAUAUACCUUUGCUGGAUGCUAUUAAACAGGUUCCUUCUUAUGCUAAAUUUUUGAAAGAUCUGUGCACUGUGAAGAGAAAACUGAAUGUGAAAAAGAAAGCCUUUUUAGCCGAACAAGUAAGUGCCAUUCUUCAGAACAAUAAUGCAUUGAAAUAUAAAGACCCUGGUUGUCCUACAAUUUCAUGCUUUAUUGGAGAACAUAAAAUUGAAAGAGCUUUACUUGAUCUUGGAGCUAGUGUGAAUUUACUUCCAUAUUCAGUUUUUCAAAGUCUCAAUCUAGGUGAGUUAAACCAACUUCUAUAACUCUUUUACUUGCCGAUAGAUCUGUAAAAGUGCCUAGAGGAAUAGUUGAAGAUGUGUUAGUACAAGUUGAUAAAUUCAUUUAUCCUGUGGAUUUUAUUGUCUUGGACACACAACCUAUUGAAGCAUGUAAUUCAUUUCCUGUUAUUUUAGGGCGUCCAUUUCUUGCAACUUCUAAUGCAUUGAUUAAUUGUAGGAAUGGACUGAUGAAGCUAUCAUUUGGGAACAUGACAUUAGAGAUGAAUAUUUUCAACAUUUGCAAGCAACCUCGAGAUGAUAAUGAUUUACAAGAAGUAGAUUUUAUUGAAGAAUUGGUUUAUGAUCAAUUUGAAUCUACUUUGAGUAAUACUGAGUUUGAUGAAUUUGAAGAUUUGCAAAUGACUUAUUCUCAGGAAGAAAUCACGGAUGAAAAAGGCAUUGAAAAUGUUGAUGCGAAUCUUUUGUCAAGAGUGACAACAGAUUCGAUAUCUGACAUCACACCAACCGAUGAUUACUUUCCUGACAAAUCCUUACUUUCUCUUAGUUCAAUGCCUUGGUUUCCUAAAAAUAUCAAUUUCCUUGCCUCAGGAGAUUUGCCAACUCAUUGGAGUACCGAAGACAAAGGUAAGUUUUUGAACGAAGUGAAGAAAUUUUAUUGGGAUGACCCUAACUUAUUCAAACAUUGUCCUGAUCAAAUAUUUCAAAUAUGCAUUGCGGACAAUGAGGUAAGUAGUGUCAUUAAAUUUUGUCAUUUUGAAGCAUGUGGGAGUCAUUUCUCGUCAAAAAAGGCCAUUGCAAAAAUCUUUCAAACUGGAUUUUAUUGGCCCACCAUGUUCAAGGACACACAUGCAUUCUGCAAAACUUGUGAAAAUUGUCAAAAAGUUGAUACUGGUCAAAAAGUUUUGCUUUAUAAUUCUCAACUCCAUUUAUUUCCUGGAAAGUUAAGAUCAAGAUGGAGCGGUCCAUUUAUUGAGAAACAUGUGUAUCCUUAUGGGGUCUGUGAUAUCGCGAAUCCAAAAAAUAGCAAUGUUUUCAAGGUAAAUGGACAUCGUUUGAAAGUCUACUUUGAUAAUUUUUCAGUUGAAAAUGACUCUAUUGAAUUGAGUGAUCCUGUAUAUAAAGAUUGAUUCGUUUUAUCACAUUGUUUUGUGUUUCAUUUUGCUAGUUUCUCUCACCCCGGUCAAAAGGCGGAUAACGGUACUCCGUGACUUAAGUCGGUUCUUUCAGUUUCUCAUAAUAACUGAUAUUUGUAUAUAUUUGUGCAAUUCUUUGCUCUUUCUCCAUUCUUUGACUCUGUUCUCCAAUUCUCAUUUGAAAAUGGACACCACUCUUGAAAAAUUGAAAAAGUAUUUUCCCGCUCUGCCUCAGAAUGCGAUUACAAAAAUUUACCGUGCUAGGUGUGCAAGAUUGAAGUUGUUGAUGAAUCAUGGAAUUCCUGAAGAUAUUCGCUGGCUGAUUGAAGCAAAGGUCCGAUUAUUAGGUGAGUCCUCCAAUUCUUUCAUUUCACACAUGCCUGGAACAGGUAAAAGCACUUUUGCAAAGAAACGUCGUGCAAAACGACUGAAAGUCUGUCACAAAUGUGCCAGAUGGACUUGCAAUGCAACAUGUCGUUCUUUAGGAAUGGUAUCUAUAAACCGUGAAGAUAAAAUACAAUUCAUUAAGGAUGGCCUGAGUAAGGGGUCUUUAGAUAAUCUUUUGUUGACCCUUGAGACGCAUCCUAGUGGAGAUGUGCAUCGUGCAAUUCAUGAUUUAUAGCCCCAUUUUCAUAAAGAACAUGAUAGACUCAGUCUUGGGAAUCUGACUAAAAAAGACCUUGUUUGCCACUUUUUAAGAAAACUGGAUGGGAAGCCUCUCCCCGACCCAUAGAGGGCGUUUAAGCCGUUCUUGGACAUAAAACCAAGGGAAGAUGUGAGCCACAAUCACAACUACCUGUACAUACACAUUCUUUUUCAAAAUAAAUAAAUAAAAUAUAAAGAGAGAGCAAGAGCAUGAUCUUGAUCUGAAAACCAAGAUGCCUAAAUACAUGGCAAAUGCCUCCUUUUAUAGGCCAAAAUUCGGAACUAUUGAUUUGCGGACUAAUUGAUGAGUGGGUGGCCACAUCUUGACUUGGUGACAAUUCUUAUCUUCUAGUCUGCCAAAAACGUCAUUGAUGACGUCAUAAUUUGAACAAACUUAAAUCAUGAAAGUUCUAGGAAAUUGUCUCAUCUUUCCAGGGUAAACAUUUGAGAUCAUUUGGACUUCUAGAACUUGAGAUAUGGGCUGAACACUGAACAGUGUCUGGGCUGCAGGACAGAUUCGGACUUCUUCUUUGUUGCUACAAUUUGGACUUGAAAACGGCCUUUUUAAAUCUUGGGCUCCACAUGAAAGUUGUAGACCUAUGUCUUAUCUUUCCAUCCAUAUAAAAUGGACCUAAAUACAAGAUCUACAGCUCCAGAUAUGACCCAAUUACCGAACAGUGUUCCAGUUUGGACUGCACCAGCAUCUCUUUUCUAAGUUUGGCCAUCUCUUUGUCCUUUCAAUUUCAGUAUUUCAACUCAUCAAUCAAUUCUUUCAUUUAUGUGAUAGGCCUGCAUUUAAGAUGAACAUUUACCAUAAAUUAAAGGUAUCUUAUAUAAUUAGAUAUGUUAUUAUAAAACAUGCUUUAGUUAAGGAGUUAUUGAUACUUCAAGUGCAAAAUGAUGAUAUAAAACCUUGAUAAAAAUGCACUUUUAAGUACUAAUCAACCUCCUUGGAAGAAGCCUCAAUUAUAAUUAGGGACAUUUCAAAUUUUGAUUCCACAAUUUAUGACCCAUGGAAAAUAUUAAUUGCUAAGGCAAAAAUGGGCUUUUAAAGUACCUUGAAUUUCCUUAGAUUUUGAACUUAGUUUUUUUUCUCUUCCUUGCGAUUUAUGAGUUGCGAACACUUGAAAUAUUAAGGGGAAAAUGAGCUCUUAAGCACAUCGAAUCUCCUUAGAUUUCUAUAUUAGCUGUCUCUAAAUUCAUAAAUUCUGAAUUUAUUUCAAAUCAAACAUAGACUUCGAGAGAUCUACCUCUUUGGCACUCUACAAACAUAUCUAAAGGUAUGAUCCGUAUUGGCCAAGGGUUCUUUCCCUUCGACUUUGAACCCAAGUUCGUCGUCAAAACAGACUUAUCCUAGGAAACUGAUGGGAUUAGAGAACAUCAACACCAUAGCAAUUAUAGGGCAAACCAAACACCAAGCAGCUUAUCUUAGGUAGGGCGUACUAGGGGUGCUAAAACUUUUCCUUUACGCAACCAGUCUCUUGCCUUAGAAUCUUUGAAAGACCAGUUAGGUUUCCUAGUGACCAUAAUACUAGGUGACGACUCCCUUUUUUUACAAAACAAAGACCCCAACAUUAAUCCCUGCUAUCAGGAAGGGUCGCCUCAACAUCGAGCUCUCUUGAGGGUACGACAAUAAUAAUCAUAAUGUUGAUUCUUUUAUCUCCUACUUAAUGCAAGUGUCCAUCGUGUGCUGAAAUUGAUUGUUUACCAUAACAUUUCUUUUAAAGGUAGAGAUUUCUUGGUUGACAAUGGAAAAAAGUAAUCGCAUGGUUAUUUUCCAUAACAUUCCUUUGAGUAAAUAUUCUCUAUUGGAGGUCAAUUUCAUCGAAGCAAUUACCUCAAUGAACACGUCCUAAUUACCAACCUCUAAGUAGUCAUCUCCCUUAUCCUAACUUUUUAUUUCCUUAUAAAAUCUCACGGUUUUUCAUCAUUUUCAGAGGAAAAGUUGACCUUGCAAAUGGUGCUCUAAGGAACCAAGUCAUCCUAGAACUAAUCAUCCACCUAAUCUCGUCAACUCCUUGUUGCACAAACAGCCUGUCUCACUUAAAGGGGAUUUUAAUGAUGAACAAACACAAAUUCCUUGUUGCUCAAAUACAUAUGCUCAUUUAAACACAGGAUGCUUGACCUCAUUAAAGACAAACUGACGACAUCCGUCCGUAACAUAAAUUAUCUUCCUUGCCCCAAAGUCAGCACAGAAAAACCUUGUUCACUAUAAAGGUUCUGAAUGUUUUUCCUAAAUUUCAUGAUAUGGCAUUCAGCAUUCUUAAGCAAACUACAACUGCAGAAGGCUUGUACAUGUAGGGGAGACGUAGGAAGAACUGCAAAAGUUGUCGCAUCUAUUGUUAUGCUGUUCAGAGUUUCUAUCUCAUCAUCCAAUCUGCCUAAAAUAUAAAAGAUCAUGUGCAUGAAUUUGAUCUCAAAGGGGUACCACCUCAUAUGCGUACAGGACAUACAUGACCAGUGAUGGUUGUUCUAUCCACAAAAUUAGCUAACAUACGACUAUUUUAUUCAACUACCAUUUCAGGAUAUGAGUUCUCCUAGCCACACUCAAAAGCCCUAGCCGCUAUAUGAACAAAGCACCUAAAAAAUUAAUCACCUGCCUAAUCUAAUUCACCCACACACACACACACACCCACCUGAUCAUAGACAGGAAACGAGUUAUUUGAAUGCAUAGACAGGAAAUUCAGGUAAACACGCGCGCGCGCACACACACACCUGAUCAUAAAUUUCCUAAAGAAAUUCUGAAUUGUAACAUUGGUAAACAAAGUGUGACAAUAUCAUCACAUUAAAAAUGCAUUUCACUCAAAACAAAUACUAGCUCAAGAAAAAAAAAUGCAAGAAGCCAAGAGAGAAUAAAUUAAGCAGUCCAUAAACAAGAGACAGAGAGGCAUUGUUCCAAUGAGAAAAGUAAUUAAAACCCAACAACUAAAGAAAGAAUCAAACCAGUGAGUAACUAAUCCUUUUAAAGCAUUCCAAGAAUGGCAACCAAAUGUAACAUAAUCAACCUGCAAAAACAAACACAAAAAGAAUUAGAAGAAGAAACCCCAGACCUCCACCACCAAAUCCACCUCCACCAAAUCCACCUCCACCACCAAGCCCGCCACCUCAUUCAUCCUCAAAAGAACCCUUUCUAGAACCGGAUUCUGUAACGCAUUGUCUUCAUUCUGACAGGAGGGGAUAUCAGUCACAAUUUGGAAAUCUAAUAGUUUGAAGGUUUCUGAAAACCGUCCUCAGACCUGUCAGCGUCGCUGGCCAAUUUCUCAUUCUUCCACCGUUGGAUUAACACGAAUUUUGGGUAAGUUGUGUGUCACUAUAGUUCCCACAUCCUGACCAGAGCGAUCGUUCAUAUUUGAAUCCACUAGAUAAAUCUUACCGUUUGAAGAUUUCUGGGCAAAUCACUCUCGGAACAGUCAGAAUCGCCGGCUUAUUUCUUCUUUUUCUACCGUUGGAUCCAUCUGAAUUUUGGAUAUGUGAUGCGUAUGGUCGUAUUACACAUUCGGAACGGUGGAGAUGACAUGAAUCGUUUCCAGAAAAGAGUUAUGCACGCUCAACAGUGGUCCAUCAAUCUCAGGUCAGUUUUGGUCUAACUCCGAUCUAGGGAGAUCCAACCGUUAACUGGAGCUGAUAUUUGGAUAUGUUCUGCAUAAGAUGUGUUUUUACCUUGUCACCGUUGCGAUUUGUUAUUUGUUGAAUUGUUGGUGAGUAAUUGUUGUUUGAAGCUCUGCACAGAAUCUAUCAUGGCUUCCAAUCCGAAACUUCAAACCCUCAAAGCUAACACCACCCACUCAAUCACUAAACAACCCACAAACCAUCACCAAAACAUCCAAAAUACAGCCUCCUCAACGUAGGUUAGGUUUCUAAAAUCCCACGAAUCAACAAACAAUCAAAAAUCCCUUUCCAAUAGUCACCUCCGCCUUGACUCAAGACAACAACCACCCCCUAAACACAUUCACAAUAUUCCUAGCCCAAAAACCCAGAAUAACCAUUCCUUUAACAUUUCAGUGCCACAAAUUUACUUUGAAGGUUUCCCAAUAUGGGCUGAUUACCAUCGCAUAAAGGCUUCUUUUAACAAGUUUGGCUAUGUACUCAAACUUUAUGUAUCCAGGCGUGUCAACAAAUCAGGGAGUCUUUUUGGUUUUGUAACAAUAGCAUCAAAAUUUUCUGAUAAAGUUUUGCUAGAGAGUGUGAAUGAUAUUUGGUUUGAAUAUCACAGACUAAAGGCCAAUUUCACUAGACACUAUAAAAAGAUUCCAAGAGAGAACAAAGCUCCUGACAGAUCAAAACCCAAAACAACUUUAAGAGUGCCUAUUAGUGAAAGAGAUGACAGAAGUUACAAAGAGGUACUCAGUGAAGGAAAAGUGGAACAAAUACUUCUGCCUGUGGCUUCUGGACCAAAGGAUUACUUUGAAAAACUCUUCAUUGAUAUUGAAGAAGAGGAUUAUGCUUGGCUAAAGAGAUGUCUUCUGGGAAAAAUAAAAAAAGGAUCCAAUUACUCUUCUAUACGUUUUGGACUGAUCCAACAUGAUAUAGAUUUUGUUGGACUGCGCUUUCUUGGGGCAUCUCAGGUCCUUGUGAUUUUUUAUAAUAGAGACAUAUUAAUGGAAUCAUGGAGGAAGAAUAAUAAAUGUUGGGAUGUAUUUUUUGAGGAAGUUCGCCCCUGGGUUGAGACUGACACAACUUUGAAUCGGAUGGCCUGGAUAACAAUAACAAAUCUACCCAUUAUAGGGUGGAAUUGCAGAUGCCUCACAAAGAUUUUAGAAAGAUCUGGUCAGAUGAUAGGUUAUGAUAAAACUACUCUCAAGCUUUUUGAACUAUCACAGUUACGGAUCCUCAUUGGUACACAACUGGAUAAGGUGAAUAAGGUGAUUGUUUUGCAACUCAAUAAUCAAACAUAUCAGGUUAAGAUAGAGGAGAUGGACCAGUUACAUUACCCAAUUGCUGGCUCUAUUUCAUACACCAUGGAUGACUUUCUGACAUCCCUAGAGCAAGGGGAUGAUGAUGAUGAGGAAGACUCGGUUGAUGUGGGUGAUGGCGUAGACACAGAUGAGGACAGAGCAGGUGUGGCUCCAUCAGUCACCAGGACUCUUGGGGGCGGCACCAACGGGUGGGAAAAUUCAGAUCUGGCACAGGAUGGAGACAUGCUAUCAACUUCUGACGAUAGCUCUCUUAUCAUAUUUAAUGCUCUUCAUCUGGAUGUGGUGCAAGAUCAACAUGCUGCCUCAUCUUUAGAGAGAUUUCCAGAAAUUAUGGCAUACAAUCUUUCUUUUUCUGACAGCAGCUAUAUAAAAGCAGCCCCAUUCCCAAUGCUCUUACCCUAUAUACGGGACAUGGCACUCCUAUUUUGAGAGAAGAUGCUAGAAACCCUGCAGCUGCCUUGGACCUUGACUCCCUUGUAUUGGCCCAGAUUGAAAGCCCAGUUUAUGGCAGUGGAUCUCAAAGCCCAUCUGACGUUCUCUCUAUUUCAUUUGGAUCAAACAAUGAUUUAGCCCUUCAAUCAACAUACAAUCAUCAAGCCAUAGUAAUUCUGGAACCGCAACACAUGAAUCACCCAGUUAUUUUACACUCUAAUGCAAACACAAAAGAGAGUGCAAUUGCCCUAUCUGCAAAAACAAGAAGGAAGUUGCGACGUACAAAGAUGAUUACAGCUGAUGGAAGUUUGAAUGAAACAGUUAAUAUGAGUGAGAUGGAUACUAAGGACUCAACAAUACAGAGGUGUAACAGGAGGAACUUGCUAGCUCAUGACGAAAACAAUAAGCCUUCUGAGGGUGAUGAGGUUUGUUUAAUGCUGGAAAUAGGAGAGGUUUUGCAGAUUGAAAAACCUCACAAUUUAGAUGACUUCACAUCCUAUAUAAAUCAGCAAAGGCGUAAAGAGAAGGCUGAUUGGGAAGCAUCCCAGUGAGUAGAUGUUCCUCUUUGUUCUGUAAGGAUUUUAAAUCUCUUUUCUUAUGCAGAUUCUUUCAUGGAAUUCUUGUGGUUUGGGGUUAGCUAGAAAGAAGAGGACAGUUUCAAAGUUAAUCAGGGAUUUUGAUAUAGAGGUUUGUUUUUUGUUUGAAACUAAGUUACAAAGUUACUCAGACAAAUUGGUUUUUCAAUUAUGGAGCGUCAGUAAUGUUUCUUGGUUUGGUAAUGAGGCUGAAGGUACUAAAGGGGGCAUUCUGGCUAUGUGGGAUAACUCUAAGUUUGCGGUAUCAUCAGUGGAGUAUGGUCAUGGUUGGAUCGGGUUAUUUGGGCAGAAUGUCUUGACAGGCUUCUCAAGGGCGGUGGUAGGUGUUUAUGCCCUUUGCAAUCAAGCUGACAGACUUCUUCUUUGGAAGGACCUUCGUAUUCUGAAGGCUGCUUUUGAGUGUCCUUGGUUUUUAGCAGGUGACUUCAAUGAAACUAUGUUGCGAAGUGACAGAAGCAGUGGCUUCAUUAACAAGGUGGGUUCAACGGCUUUUAGACUUUUUAUUGAUGAUUGCAACCUAAUCGAGUACAACAUGUCAGAGGGUCUGUACACCUGGUUUCGUGGGGGGUCCAUGAGUAAACUAGACCGUAUUUUUUCUAGUCCUUGUUGUCAUUUGCAAUUCCCCCUUUUGUCUCUUCGACGGCUUCCAAGAGGGUUCUCUGAUCAUUGCCCUUUAAUCCUAGGGGUUUCACCUGCAGAAAAAGGUUGGAUUCCUUUCAAAUUCAUGGAUUGUUGGCUCCAUCAUCCAAAUUUUAAAGAUAUCGUAAAGGGUAUAUGGGAUGAAGCUUGCAAUGAAUUUUCAGGUCAGUUCAAGCUCAUUAAGAAGCUCAGCUUUAUGGCAACUUGGCUCAGACAGUGGAAUAGGGUUGGUUUUGGGCAUCAGGAGACUGCUUUGUCAUUGAUCCAAAGCAAUAUUUCAGCUAUAGAAAAGAAAUCAGAGUAUGGGCAAUUAUCUACUGCAUAGCAGAACUCGCUUGAUUCAUUGAUUAAGAAGUAGUGGCAAUGUAACUUGCAUAUAGAAAGCAUGUGGCGUCAAAAGUCUCGCCAAAUUUGGUGUCGCCUGGGCGAUCGCAACACGCGUUUCUUCCAUCUAGUUGCUAACUUCAGGAGGGCUAAAAACCAUCUCCUGAAAGUGGUUCAUAAUGGUUCUGUUGUUGAAGGUUUACCGGUCAUAAAAGAUGCGGCAGUUAACUUCUUCUCCAACUUAUUCAGAAGUUUUGAUAGAUUCCGAAUUGGUUUAGGGCCUGUUGGUUUUAAAACACUAUCGGCUUCUUCUUCAGCUAGCUUGGAGCGAGAUAUCACUUUGGAAGAAUUAAAGCAGAGUGUUUGGGAUUUUGAUGGGAGCAAGAGUCCGGGUCCAGAUGGUUUCAAUUUCAAAUUCUACAGGCUUGCUUGGAAUUUCAUUGCAGAUGAUUUGUUAGACCUGGCCAAGAAUUUCUUCAAAACAGGUAGGCUUCCAAAAGGAGUCAAUCAUGCUUAUGUUCAUCUAAUUCCGAAGAUAGCUUCCCCAAUUGGCUUCAAAGAUUUCAGGCCUCUUAGUUUGAUUCAUGGCAUUUACAAGAUAAUGGCUAAGGUUCUUUCUAGCCGUCUGAAAGCGGUUAUGCAUGACCUUAUCAGUGAGAAUCAAACAGCUUUCUUGGCAGGGAGGCAAAUAAUUGAUGGGUUUGUGGUUGCCAAUGAAGCAGUUCAUUCCUUGAAAAGACACAGAGUGUCGAGCCUUAUCUUUAAGGUGGAUUUUCACAAGGCUUUCGAUAGUGUGCAGUGGGAUUAUUUAGAGCAGGUUAUGAGGCAUAUGGGUUUUGGUGAAAAAUGGAUUAAUUGGAUCAACACUUGCAUCUCCACUGCAAAAUUAUCAGUGCUGAUUAAUGGAUCUCCUUCUAAGGAAUUCUUGAUGGGUCGUGGGAUUCGCCAAGGUGACCCCCUUUCUCCAUUCCUUUUUCUAAUAGCAGCAGAGGGAUUAUCUGUUUUGUUUCAAAGAGCAGCUUCAAAUGAUCUUUUCAAAGGUAUCCCUUUUGGAGACAGCUUUUGCCUUAGUCACCUACAAUAUGCAGACGACACUUUGAUCUUCAUGCCUGCUAAUCUUCAUAUGGUCAAAACGGUUAAAAGGAUCCUGUUAUGGUUCGCUAUUUGUUCAGGUUUGCACAUUAACUUCCAUAAAAGCUCUUUAAUUGGCAUAAAUGUUGGGGAAGAUACUUGUGCUAGUAUGACAUAUUCAGUCUUUUGCAGAUUUGAUUCCUUGCCUUGCUCUUAUCUAGGCAUGCCUUUAGGAUCCAAUCCUAAAAGAUUGUCUACAUGGAAGCCUAUUAUUGAGAAUUUCAGACGGAAGUUGAGCAUGUGGAGAGGUCGUAUGCUUAGUAUGGCAGGACGUAUUUGCCUAAUCAAAAGUGUCUUGAGUUCAUUGCCAGUAUAUUAUAUGUCUUCUUUUCUUAUGCCGAAAGGUGUCUGUAAUAUACUACCAUCUAUUCAACGAAGAUUCUUGGGUCUGAGUGGCGAAGCAAAAGAAAAUCUGCAAGGUACAAUGGCGUAUUGUUGUGAAAGCUAGAAAAGAAGGAGGCCUCGGGUUGGGUUCUUUAAUGUCAAAAAAUAUAUCCAUGCUUUUCAAAUGGAUAUGGAGGCUAAACUUACCAGACCAUGCCUUAUGGAAACAGGUAACAACCCAUUUUUACUCCCCAACUUUCGAGAAUGGAAUCCCAAAAUUGCAUGGUCAUAUUUCCCCAUUUUGGAAAGACAUUUUGUCAAUCUUGGAUCCAAACAGUGUCAUCGGCUUAGUAUUGCGUGAAAACAUUAAAUUCAAGAUUGGAGAUGGAUCCUCCAUCCUUUUCUGGUCUGACGUGUGGAUAGGAUCAAAUGCUUUACGUUGCAUUUUCCCUAAGCUUUACCAAAUUUCUACUUUUCGGAAUGGUUUGGUUAAUGAGAUGGGUCAAUGGGUGAAUGAUCAAUGGCGAUGGAAUUUGGUUUGGCGUAGGAAGCUCUUAUCUUAUAAAGAGCAACAAUAUCAUCAUUUGCUCUCAAUGCUGGAGCCAACGAUAAUUCGGCAAGGAAAAGAUGACAAACUUAUAUGGCCAUGCAAUUCUGAUGGAAGCUUCUCAGUUAAAUCGUGUUGCACCCUGAUUGACAAUACCUCCUCUGCGACUGAUAGAGUCUUUGAAGCCAAUGUUUGGAUUAAAGGGGCCCCUCUGAAAGUUCAGGUGUUUCUCUGGUUGGCAGUACAAGACAAAGUUAGUACAAGAGCUUUUCUCCAUCAACGGACUAUUUUGUCUGCCACACAAGCUUCAUGUGUCUUUUGCAGCUCAAAUUUGGAAACCUCAGAGCAUCUUUUUAUACAUUGUAACUUUUCUAUGAGUGUUUGGAUGAAAGUUUUGGAUUGGUGGGGUAUCCAAUGUUGUUUACCGAGAACACUUGACUUGCUGCUUCUGCAGUGGCCCGAAAUGGUACAAGGCAAAUUCCAAAGAUCAGCUUGGAGAUUAAUUUCAAGUAGUACUAUUUGGGGUAUAUGGUUACUGAGGAACAAAAUUGUUUUUGAGGAGGGAACUAUAAACUUGUUUGAUUGUUUCUCCACCAUCCUUCAUCGGGUUGCUAUUUGGUUGCAUACUCAUGAUUCAAACUUCAAUUAUACAGGCAAUGACCUCUUAAGAUCUUCUGAUGGCAUCAAAUUAUGGUGUAAUAAGAAAUCUUAGGUAGUCUUCUUGUUGUUUGCUGUAGUAGAUCAGUUUUUUUCUUUUUUCUUUUUUUCUUUUUUAUAUCCCUUGUAUUUCUCUUUGGCUAUUCGCUUUAUGGCCUUCUCAAUAUACUCUCGAUGAUUAUAAAAAAAAAGAAGAAGAAACCCCAUUAGUUAAUAAGUUAAAACAGCAGCAGCAGCAAAAAGACUCAAAUUUUAGUUAUUUGGACUUGAGAAAAAGCAUUGAACCCUCUGUGAAAAUGCCAUGAAAGGGGUGCUUAGAAACCUGGAAAAUAAAAACUUUUAAAAGGGUGUUUUUACAAAGCAAGAAAGAAGCUUGGAAGCAAGGAAGCAAGCCAGCCUACCCUCACGAACUCUGUUUGUUAAUUGUUUUUUCUCCUUUAAAGUGAAAACAAAAAAAUAAAAAACAAAAACAAAGAGCACCCAGAAAAUCUAGUCAGAAAUAUUUUAUGUUGCUGUCUUGGAGAGACGCAUUAUAUUACAUAACAAAAUGAUAAAUUCAUUCAUUACAAAAAGAUACCCAACAAAAUAUAAGAAAACUAAUCUACUGUUCAACCCGAUAGGGGGAUGUACCUGAAAAUUGAUUUAAUACAAUAAUUCAAUUAGACAGAUGAAAAAAAGAUAUCCAUAAAAUUCUUUCUACUUUCUUUCUUUCUUCCUUUUUUUUUUUUUUGAAAAUUUAGUCAAAAGAUCAUUAAAUUAACUUGCUCAUCUAGUAUUGUAUAUAUAUAUCAAUUAAAUUUCAGAAUAAUCUAUGAGUUUGUUUUCUUUUUCUUUUUUCUUUUUUAAUAUCAACCAAAAAUAUAAUUAUUUCUAUCGCUCAAUUAACCCGGCAUUACUUUCACUAAUAGAUGAUUAAUUUUCCACCAGUCCAUUCAACAAACACUAUUGUCAUCAAUUCAAAAAUUAGUUUAAUGUUUCAUCCAUUCAUCAGGUAAAAAUCUCAUUAACCAGGGAAAUUAAUUCUUCAUCUUGCCCAUUUGUCAAGGCACUAAUUCCAUUAAAUCAGGAAUUAGUUCAAUGAUUUACCUAUUCACCAGGUUACUAAUCCCAUUAACCAGAGACUUAAUUCCUCAUCAUGCCUAUUCACCAGGACAUUAAUCCCAUUAAUUCAGGAAUUAGUUCAACGAUUUGCCCAUUCACCAGGGCAUCAUAAUUUCUUAUCACGCCCAUUCACCAGGGCAUUAAUUUCUUAUCACGCCCAUUCACUAGGGCAUUAAUCCCAUUAGUUCAAGAAUUAAUUCAUCACAUCGCAUAUCUUAUUUUCUAAAGUAAACAAUAUAAUAAUUUCAUAUUUAUCAACCACAAUUAAUCAAAUAAAAAUACAUAUUGACCAAUAAUAAAUUCGAGUACCGUGUAAUUACCUGAUGACUAAGCUCGAGUUGAAAUUUCCUGCUGUGGUGUCGGCCUGGCAGCCUCUCUUGAAUUGAAAAGUAUAUCACAUCAUUAUUCUACUUUCCAUAUUGAAACACUCAAUAAAUAAAAUCAUUCCAAUUAUCCUUUUAUUUGCCAAAAUAAAAUCAUUUCGUAAGUUUCCUUCCCUAUCUUUCAAUUUCCACAUUGUAACACAAUUCAUUUUAUCAUUCAAAUCAAUAUAUAUANNNNNNNNNNNNNNNNNNNNNNNNNNNNNNNNNNNNNNNNNNNNNNNNNNNNNNNNNNNNNNNNNNNNNNNNNNNNNNNNNNNNNNNNNNNNNNNNNNNNCUUUAAAUUCAUUUAUUUAAUUUUUACCAUAAUUUAAAUCAAAGAAAAACAUAAAACAAUUUCAUGAUCUAUUCACUCUUUAACAUUAAUAUCAUGCUCUUUCUUACACAAUCUCAUCAUCUUAUCAAAACUCUUAAAUUUUUAUUUUUCUUAUUAUUAUUUUUCCAAAAAUCCCUUCUUCAAGAACACCUAAAAUUUUGCUUUAAUUACCAUAAUUUCUUACUUUUUCUACUCAUUUCAAUAAUCUUAACACAAUUUCACAAUCAAUUGUAAUUUUCUCUAAAAUUUAUCAUGAACCCUAAUUCCUCAUUUCACAAAGUUCAAUCAAUUUAAAGCAUAAAUUCUUCAAGAAUCUUAUUUAAAAGUUUGAGUACAUCUUACCAAGCAAUAACCAAAGUUUUAACACUUUUAAAUUGAGAAAUUUUCCUUGCUUGAAUUUGUUUUUUCUCUCCUGGCCGAUUGCUUCCUUCUCUUUGAAAAAACAAGUUUGUUUUUUUUUUUUUUUUGUUUACUUAUAGCACACACUCACUUGCACUCAUAUAUAUAUAUAUAUAUAUAUAUAUAUAUAUAUAUAUAUAUAUUAACUCUCUUUUUUAAAUACCUUCCACGUCCCUCAAUUUGUUUCUUCCCCAUACACACAUAUAAUUACUUAACUUUUUAAAAAUACCUUCUAUAUUCCUCAAUAGUAAAUUUUAUGAUUUUUGGGUAAAAUUUCAUGAAUCCUAACACCUGUUUAUACCAAAUUUUAUCCAGAUUAUUUCAAAUUUCACUCAGUUACUCGUUAGUACUUUCAGUUUCAUGAAAUUCAUUUCCAUCAAAAUUUUAUUCACAUUUUCAUGUUUAUUUAUUUAUAUUUAUUUUUUAUAUAUAUUUUAACACCCGAACAAAACAUUUCAAUUCAGAUUCUCGAAUAUAUCAUCAUUCUUAUAAUUUAAUUUAUCACUUUCCCUCAUUUUUCGUAAUCUUGACUUUUAUUAAUAUUAAUAAUAUUACCCGGGGUUUUACAGUCUCAGUUGACACUGAUUUUCGCCAUAAAAAAUGGUCGAUUUUUGUUUUAAUGAGUUUCAUUUGAUGAAGAGAGUUCCAUUGAAAUGUUUUUUGCUCUUGAAAUUGCCAAAACAUUUAUAGUUUUUGGGCUGUUUUAUUGGUUUAUUACAUCAUAAAAACGAUUUUUAGGUGUUUUGGUGUGAACUUUGUUUAAAUUUGCAUUUUUUGGUCAAAAACCACCAUGCUUAAUUUUCUAGUCACCUCUCCAAUGGCCAAGAACUGAAAAGUCUCGGUAGGUGACAUGUCGCUUUUCUUUAUUUUUUUUUCAAAAACAUUUGGAGGAUUUUCAAAUAAAAAAGGCCCAUACGUACCAACCCUUUUUAAAAUGGGCUUGAUGUGUAGGCCCGACUUACUAGGCCCAAAAGCACUUGAUCUAUUUCUAUUUUUUUUUCUAAUUUUGUUUUCUUAAUUGAUAUUUUUUAUGUAUUUUUAAUGAAUUUUUGAAUUUAUAUUUAAAUUAAUACUUUUCUCUCUAAAUAUUUAGAUUGUUUAUUUAGUUUUUUCUAAAUAAUGGAUAUCUUUUACUUAUCUUUUAUGUAUUUAAUAUCUAGAAAAAAUUAUUUCAAUUCAUCUAUAUGUUUUUUUAUAUAUUUUAUAUAAAUAAACUUUAUUUUCAUGACGUGUUUAUAAAAAUAAGAAUUAUUUGUUCUUGGUAAGAAAAAGUGACCUUUAAGAUAAAAAAGAAGAAGAAGGAGAAAAGUGUGCAUGAAGAUGAAAGUUAAGGUUAAGUAUCAUAUUUAUGUAUCUUUUACUUUUAUGAAAAUGAUUAUCAUUUUAUUUUAUAAUUUGAUUGGCAUUAACAACUCUUUAUUAGUUUAUUAGUUCAUAUUUUUGUAAGAUUGUUUUUUACAUUUCUUAAUUAAGAGAAUCAUAAUACAAUGAAAUGCACUUGAAACAAUGUCCCAUUUUUCUACUACAUUAAAAAUUAACUUAAGAUCCUAUAUGUGGCACGAUGCGUUAACAACUAUUUUUUAUAUUUAUGAACACUUAUGGUCCUUACUUUAUUUUUAUUAUAUGUAAAUAUCAACUUUUUUAUUUACAAUUAUAAUUUUCUCUUGAUUUUUAAAAAUACGUUAACAACAUUUAUAUAUAUUUUUUUUUGCGUUCAAAAAAUUAUCUAACUCGUAGCAAAGUGAAUUAAAUAAAUGCAUCAACACUUUUUUUUUUGUAUUUAUGAUUAGGAUUUGUUUUUGUUAAAAAUGCAAUUGAAAAGCAUACAAAUUUAUUUUUUGCUAAAAACAAUUUUGUGAUCCAUACCGAAGUGCGAGUUAAAUAACUACGUAUAUGGCUAUAGUAAGUCUUUUAGUAUAUGUGGAUGUAGGAAGCAAUGCGUUAUAUUAUUAGUUAGAUAUAACUUACCUAUUCAUUAUUAAAAAAAACAUAAAAUAAAUAAAUAUAUUAAUAGAAACCUAAAAGAGGUCGGCUGAAAUAUAAUAUUUUUGUCCUUUUUUUUAUUUUGUUUCACAUUUCUCAAUUAAGAGAAUCAUGAUACAAUAAAAUGCAUUUGAAACACCAUCCUAUUUUUCUAUUAAAUUAAAAAUUAACUUCCUGAUGCAACCAUAUUAUUCGAUAGUUUCACCCACAUUUAACUAGUGUUUUGCCUAUGUUUUAUAUAUAAAAUGCCUUGAUAUUCUUUGUUUUAUGUUUUGAAGGCACUUUUGGAUGAAAGAUGCAAAAAGGAGUAAAUUGGAGAUAAUUGGCAGAUUUGACCUUCAGUCGAUGUUUUGUGCAGAGCGUGAGCUCUAGAGGUUGAAAUGAAGUGAUUCCAGUGGCAUUAAAAAGCUAACAUCCAUACCUUUCUGGAAAUCUAAGGCAAGAAAAUAAAAUAAGGAAGAGCAUGGAAAUCACAGCCUUCAAAGUCAAAACAGAUUUGCUUUCUUUUUCCCUUAUCUUUUAUUUUUCGCAUUUUACUUUAUUUUUGUCAUUCUUCAAUAUUCCUUUUCUUUUAUUUCAACAUUGAGGACAAUGUUGUGUUUUAAGUGUGGGGGUAUUGGGAGAAUGUUGGUUUUCUAAUUUUGGUUUUCUUUGUUAUUUUUCAAAAUAAAAAAAAAUUAUGUUUGAUCUUUUGAACUCCCAUUGGUUUUUGAGAAUAUGAGUAUUAUGUAUGAGAAUUAGUUGAGAUAGAUGAAGAUAUAAAUAAAAUGAAUGAGUGUGCAUGCAAGUUUUAAGGUUUAAUUGGUUUAGGGAUUGACUUUGAGAAUCUGUCAUGUUGACUUUAUAGUGUUAUACCAAUGCAAGCUUUUGAGCCUUCAACAUUAUAUUCUUUUAUUGUGCCUUCUUUCAAUGAUAUGUAUCUUUAGAACUUGUUUCAUAUCUUGUUGAGAUUACAUUCAUAUUACAUAUAUACAUGAAGAUAAUAAAGGCAUUAGGAAUUUUAACCACUUGAGCCAAAAAGCCAACCUAAAGCAUAUUAUCCUUAGUGAGCCCCUUUUGAGCUUGUUUAUCUUUUCUUUGCUUUAUCCAUGUAUAAGCCUUAACUUUUUAUAUGUUUUCCUUUUCCCCUGGCCAAGGAUUAGUAGAGCAUAUACUUAUGAUAUCUCAUGGAAUUAUGGUUGGAAAUUAUGCGAAAAGAAAGAAGAAGUGAUGCUUGAUGAAAAGAUGGGCAAAGUUGCCGAAGGUCAAAAAAAAAAAAGGAAAAAAAAAGAAAAAAAAGAAAAGAAAAAGAAAAAGAAAAAAGUGUUCCUUUAUGUUCUUAAUAUUUUAUAUUGAAAAAGCUUGAAAUCAAAAGAAGUUAAGCAUUGGUGAUUAAAGAUGGAAAAUUUAUGUGCUUUGAUGGAAUAUCUUGUUUGAAAUAUCAUUUUUCAGAAUGCUCUACUUUCUUUGGUUUGAACCUUUUGUUUUACUCUCUUUUACCUCACCUUAACCUUAGCCCCAUUACAACCAGAAAAUAAGACCUUUUGAUUCAUGCAUUGUUUGUAAUAUGUUAUUAAUGGGGAUGAGAUUGAAGAGCAAGCUUAUGGUAGAACAUAUUCAUUGAUUGAAUUUGAGAGAUUUAAACACAUAAGCCCUAAACACGUGAGUGUUGGAGUAUAUAUCAAUGAGAGGACCUAUCACUUUGGCAUGGCAUAGAUUUCAUUUAAAUCUCGACGAUUAAUUGACUUUUGAAGUUUGCAUGUAAAUAAAUUCAUGAAAAUUUAUACUCUUUAUCCUUCUUAAUUGUGUUCUUGUUUAUAAUGCAUAUAUUCUUGGAUAUUGAUGGGAGAUUAGAAGAUUAGUCAUAGUGAUUUCAUUUAAUUUAACUUCAAUUUGAUUUUACCUAUCCUUUCUCGAGGACGAGCAAGAGCUAAGUGUGGGGGUAUUUGAUGCAACCAUAUUAUUCUAUAGUUUCACCCACAUUUAACUAGUGUUUUGCCUAUGUUUUAUAUAUAAAAUGCCUUGAUAUUCUUUGUUUUAUGUUUUGAAGGCACUUUUGGAUGAAAGAUGCAAAAAGGAGUAAAUUGGAGAUAAUUGGCAGAUUUGACCUUCAGUCGAUGUUUUGUGCAGAGCGUGAGCUCUAGAGGUUGAAAUGAAGUGAUUCCAGUGGCAUUAAAAAGCUAACAUCCAUACCUUUCUGGACAUCUAAGGCAAGAAAAUAAAAUAAGGAAGAGCAUGGAAAUCGCAGCCUUCAAAGUCAAAUCUCGCAAUCUGCCAGUGUUGACCUUCGGCCAUUCCGACUUGAAUAUCUGGAGCUACAGAAGUCCAAUUGAUGCAAACUCAAUUGUUUUGGAUUCAUGUCUCAAAGGUCUAUAAACGCUCCACAUUUCAGCCCAAACCGAUUUCAUAUGAGGGAGAUAUGAUUUUUCAAAGAUGACAACUGAAUUCUGCCAGCAAACAGGUUUCGUGAAGAAACGAGUCCAAAUUACGUUCCGAAGCAUCUAAACCGAUAUCCAAGUUUGUAUUUCAGCAAUUUAGCUCCUCUAAGUCAAAGCUUGAAGAUUUCAUGCAAGGCUAUUUCUCCUUUUUUAGGAAAAUAGUUAUUGAAGUACUUAAAUGUAAACAGUCUACUUAAUGGAGGACUAUUUUGUAAAAUAGAGACCUAGGGUUUCCUAGGAUAUAAAAAGAAUGAGAGAAGAGAAGGGGGGAGGCAGCCAAGAAGAGAAAAACGCCCCCUUCCUCUAAGAAACCCUAAAUUAUGCAUUCUUCCUUCUUUUUGAUUAGUUGUUCAACAAACAUGCAAGGCUAAACACUUUUUCUUGGUUGCAAGAACACGGAAACCUUCGGAUUUCAAGAACUGUGAGAUUUAUUUUACCUUUUCUUUUCAGUUUAUAUGAUGAAUAUGUUUGUUCUCCUAUGCUUAUUUUUCCUAUGAUUGUUUAUUUUAAUUGCUAGAGCGGACUCUAAGUUAUUAUUGUAGACAAUCUAUUGUUAAUUUUGAUAUCAAAACCGGAGUUGUGGUAUAUGAACUUGUGAAGCAACUGAGUUUAAUAAUUGUGGCGGAUCUACGUUAUUAAUCUUAGGGAGAACAUUCAAUCAAAUCAAACAUAGACUGCGGACAGUUAUGUUUUCUUGAUUAAUCAACUUAUCUAGUUCUUAAGGCUGCCAUUGAAUUAAAUUACUAGUGCGGACACUGUGGUUGUUUGAUGGUUAGGGCUAGUUAUACGGCGGAUCCGUUAACUAACCAAUGUUAAGAAGAGAUAAAUAUUCAGAAUAUAAAUUGAUGUUUCGUUUCCAUGAUCAGUUCUGAUUUUUGUAGGUGGAUGUGUGCUUCUGACCAAGGUUUGUUCUCUUGAUAAUUUUCUGAUUUUAUUAAAUUUAGUUUGAUAGUUUUCUGUUUUCUUUUGCUUUAGCCUAGAUAAUGUCCAAACCCCCCCAAAUUGCAUAUCAUCUAGCAUAAAAAUCUGACUUGAAUCUUCCUCGUGGGAUCGACCCCUUGCUUGCUCUAUACUAUCUUGUGUGUUGUGUUUGAAGCUAGGGUAAUUAAUUUGUGCGACCGCGACAUCGCAACACUUCCUACAUGGGGUGCGUUGCGUUAACAAUUGUUUUUGUAUUUAUUAACAUAUAUGAUCCUCAAUUGAUUUUAUUAUAUGUAAACAUCAACUUUUUUUAUUCACAAUUAUAUUUUUUUCUCUCGAUAUCUAAAAAUACAUCAACAACACAUAUACAUCCAUUCUUUUGUGUUGGAAAAUAUUAUCUGACCCAUAGCGAAGCGAGUUAAAUAAACACGUCAAUACCUUUUUUUUGUAUUUAUUAUUAGGGUUUUUUUUUGUUAAAAAUACAUUUGAAAAGCAUUCAUAUUUAUUUAUUUUGCUAAAAAACAUUUCUGAUCUAUAGUAAAGUGCGAGUCAAAUAACUACUAAUAUGGCUAUAGUGAGUGUUUUUUUAGUAUAUGUGGAUGUAGGUAGCAAUGUGUUAUAUUAUUAGUUAGAUAUAACUUACCUAUUCAUUAUAAAAAUAAAUAAAUAAAUAUGCUGAAACAAUAUAGUCCCCGAGAGGAAAUAUUGUGAAUUCACACAAUGUUUACUUUCUCUUUUUUUGUCCUUUUUUUAUUUAGUGAUCUUUGAUGAUGAAUUGAUUAAGAUUUGAGAUGGGUACUGUAUUUUUAUUUACCUUUUUUAUAGUUAUCUUGCUCUCAAUAAAACAUCUUGAUAUUAGAACAAUGCUCAAUUUCACAAAAAAAAAAUUAAUGUUUGUAAGAAAUUGAAAAUGAAAAGAUCAAAAUUGAAACAAAUAAAAAACUAUUUAAAAAAAAAAUGGUGUCAACUUUGCCUUUUGUUUUUUGCUUUUGAUCAUCUACUUUUUUUAUAAAAAAAAAAUUAAUAUUUCAAUGCUGUGUUAAUUGGAAUUUGAAGUUGGUAAUUUGAUAUAAGUUGGUAAUUUUAUAUGAGCAUCUAGAACUAAAUAAAAAGCCGCACCAUUGGUUUGGUGCUCGACUUUACAAAAAAAAAAUCGAUUAUAUUGUUUGAGAAAAAAUAAAAAAUAAAAAAUAAAAAUUAAAACAUGAAAAAAAAAAUAAGGGGCCUUAAAAAAACAAAUUGUGUCAACGCCUCCAUGCCUUGUAAUUUUAAUAAAUCUUCUUUUUGGUAAUGAAACUUUUUGAUACAAAACUUUAUUUUACUUGUAUUUUAAUUCUUGAGGUUGAGAAAGAAAAAAGAAAUUCAUCAAAAAAUUAGAAAGAAAAGAGAAAAUUAGCGAAAGCCAGCAAGGUAUCUGCUCGAAAAAACCAUUCAACAUAAGAUUGCUCUGCUAGGAAAACAUGAUAUCAGUAUCAAACUUUUGAACAAAGAGUUCAGCAUCAAGUCUCAGUCAUCUUGAGAUUUGAAUUGCUCAUACAACAACAUUUUUAAUAAUGCAUUAGAAACAGAACAUCAAACAAAGAGUUCAGCAUCAAGGAGAACGCAUGAAAGUCCACACAUUAAACCAAAAGAAACACAAAUGGCCAAGCAAACAUACGCCCUUACUUCUGGAGGCUUGUACG